rnacentral:lncRNA from 1 species
UGUGAUUGUAUGCUUGAUUAGGUAAGCAAUAAAUCUCUUUCACUCACAAAAAGGUAGAAAUUGCAAUGCGGCCAUCCCAGCAUAUCAAAACAUUUCUGGUUGUGGCGAUGACCUUUUUUCCCAUAUGAUCCUAGAAAAUGGAUCGGGUUCCACUAUCAAGGGAUAACGAAACAACAAAUGCACAAAAAACAUCCCAGUGCAAGAACAUAGCCUAAAACUGGUUUCAACUGCUAACAACAAAAGCUAAUGGAUCCAAAUCUACUGCAAGUUGACUUGGGGUUCACAAUCAUCCCAAGCAAAAUGUUUUCGAUCACUAGCAUCAUCAUUCAGAAAACUCCAUUGCAUCGUUCCUCGUCCAGUAUUUCUCCAUUAGUUCACCUUCACCCACUUCUUGCUCCUCAUUUUCUCCAGCAUUACUCGCCUCGAUCCUCAACACAAGAUUUCUUGGCUCCGUGCGCCCACCAACAUGAUGUGCCAAUGCUUCUCGCUUCAAAGCAACAACACCUUGUUCCAGAAUCGCACACUCUUCAUUAUUUUGUAGAUUUGCCCAAUAAAGGAUAAACAUGCAUGCAUAACAAACGAAUUCAGCAAGAGAUCUAGUAAUUUUUUUCUCAAAACAAUAUCUAUUACAUAACUUGGAUGGGAAUGUAGUGGCUUAUCGUGAAGGUGAUGCACUCAUGGACUUGUAGUAGAGCUGGUAGCUGCCACAACAGCUUCCCUAUAUGUGGGUGGCCUUGAGGCAGGCGUCGCAGAGGGGCAUCUCUCCUCCAUCUCCUAUUAGGUCACAUCUGUGGAGUCCCUCGGUGUCUACCAUGACGUUGCUAUCAGGUCCCAUGGCUAUGGCUACUUUCAAGUUCCACUCACAGAUUGAUGAUGAGAUCUGAUCUAUUAGAUCCCAAAAUACCUAAAGCAUUAUAUCUCUGUGAGCAUGCAUGCUAAAGGUAGCAGAUCAAACCCAAACAAACAAGUAAAAAAGACCAAGACACUCACCGUCCUCUUGGGGUGGAAAUUGAUGUAGUCAUAGCCACACGACCUGUAAGCAAAUUUGUGGCAGAUGCGCAAGGAAGCCACGGGAGCGACCUGGUCAUCGAUCUAGAAGAGUUGGCCCUCCGUAACACCUGUCUCUUGGUCAUCAUUGAGGCCAGGAAUGGCUGGUUUGUCAUUGCUACCGAUGGUCGCCAAACCAAUGGAUCUAGGAGGUGGCGACGUCAUCAGAGCCAGGGUGGAACGCUUGCCAUUGGUAGUCGUUGUUCACUAACCCGAGGAGUGAAGAUUACUAUACUAUGGGUAACCGGCUGGUCUAGUUGUAUCGACUAUAUAUUGAGUCCUCUCUUAUCGACAUCGAGUCCUCUUGUCCGCCGGAUGCUCUCUCCGGUAUGCUUUUGUAUAGGUGCUAAUUAAUGAAAUUUAUUUGCUACCUUUUAGAUAGGCUUCAGGUGUAAUUGUUAGAGACGCGUAUUUUUUGUGUAUCUGCAUGCUGGAGAGUUGCGGCAAUUGGGUCCACAUUCUAGUCUAUAUGCGUGUGAUGGGCUGCUGCAUGUAGGUAGAUAUGGACUACAAAGUUCUUCUAUCUAUUUAGUGCGAUAUCACUACUAAUUAAUGUUUGAGAUAGAGUAGAUAUCACUACAAAUUAAUGUUUGAGAUAGAUUAGAUCAACUUUUACCACAUCGUGGUCAAUGAUCGUUGACUCGUGAGGGGUCCCUCGCCGCCUUUCUUGGUCAAGGCAUCUCCAACACCGACCCUCAAGCCUCCUGCAUCCGCCCGGACAGUGAAAGCUAUCCAACGUGCUCCUGUAUCGGUACGAGGCGCGGUCCAGAUGUAUACUUUCUCCUGCAAAUGGGAGACAAACGUGGGGAGUGGGAGGGGGGCUUUGCGGGAGUCUGCACCGCUCCCACGCCCGCUUCUGACCACCCUGGCCCGCCCAAACCUCCUUCUGCAUCCCGCGCGCUUCCCGCCCGACGCCAACUGCCCACAUUCACGCCGCUGUAGAGCGCGGCGCCCCACAUAUUGAAGCGGCGCACCCCCCGAUGACGCCGGCCACUGCACGCCCGACUGAACACGUCUCCAUUAAACCCGUGUGAAAGCUGAGGAACCUACUCCAGCCACACGUUCGUUCACGAGCGGGCCGACAUUAAAUGCAACGCCGGGAAAGCUCCUCCCAUGUGCCCUCUAUUUAAACAAGGCCAGACGUCGGGCAAGAAACGCACCACUCCGCCGCUCCCCAUCUCAUCCUUCCACAAUUUUCUUCGCCCUUUUGAUGGCAUCCGGUGAGCACUAAGAGCAUUUCCCCCGCAUAAAAGCCAGCUAGGUGUCCCACCGAGCCCGCCGAAUACGAGUGAUGCCGCUCACUGCUCCACCUCCCUCGUCUGGCCCGACGGAGCAAGUUGCCACCCCAAACUGACGCAUGGUUCACCACCUCGCCGCUCCAAGCCAGCUCACAAGGGAGCGGCCAUUUGCUCUAGGACGACACGACGACAUAGGCAUCGUAGCACCCAUGGUGACGCUGCGUCAUACUGCGUCUCUGAUGCCUAGGACCGUGCCAUCCGCCAGCAACGCGUGUGUAGCCGUGCGCUGCUGGCAGAGAAAGAAGCUGGCAGCAUAGAGAUCGAUGAGUCGGUGGAUGGCACGUCCACGUCCGCCGCCAACAUCGAGGGAAAGUAGAACACGGAGUAUAGCUGAUGACCUGUCCGGUUCUUCUUUAUCUCAGACCAUCAUUGGCCCCGCCUAGGCUCCACGAAAGCGGAGCCCCCCCUUCCCUCCAGCUGAAGCACCCUCUUUGCCACCGCGAUGAGUGGCGCGACCAAACAUAGGGAAGAUACGAGGGAAGAAUAUACCUCUGGGGCUCCCGACAGUCCGGGUAGUGGGCUGCCGGACAUGGAGAAGACAAAGGGAUCCUUCGCGUCCAGCCGUAGACUAGUGUAGUGUUUCUGUGUCGUGGGAGUGGAGCUCCACGCGACUGUAUGUGCACAUAGUUUUAUCUUUUUUGUUAAAAAUAUGUCCAAAUUGUAACUGUUUUCGUCCAGUUUGAAUGAAAUCCAUCAUGUUUAUAUGAAAUCCACCCAUGUUUGCAUGAAUUUCAUCCGGUUUGCUGAAAAAAUGUUUGCAAUGUAUGCGGCUACGAUUGGAUAGCGGCCUCCCGCAUCCGUUUGCUGGCUGCUAUUGGAGAUGCCCUCAAGCCAGCGUUUGGGCGGGUGUAAGGUGUCCCAUCAUCGGUACAGACAAAGUAUUGUAGGAUUUCUGAUCAAUAGAACUGGAAAGUCUCCGGGUGUGGAAACAUCCUCAUAAUCUUUACUACUCCAUCAUGAUUUAUAUGCCUCGCACAUAUUUCAAUAUAAACAUUGAAAAUUAAUUUAUUCAACAAAAUAUUAGUUAUAUGUCACAAAAACAAAACGUUAGAUUCACAUUCUAAACAAGUUUCCAAUGGUAUAGUUUUUGUGACAUAUAACUCAUAUUUUAUUGAUAAAUCAACGUACAUUUUUUUAUUGAAAUGCUUAAGACUUAUGAAUCAUGUUAGAGGUUAGACUCCACGAAUGACGAAAUUUAUCCCCAAGGUAUCUCUGACAAAAUUGUUACUCUAAUGUCACUUAUCAACAUGUGAUCCAAGUCAUAGCAAUAUCCAACCAAUAAUCCAAUGAAUAACGUAAUCAUAUCAUUUCCACUUACUCCGUAAGCAAUAAUAUCAAAUAUGAUCAUAUGAAAAUAUAGCUAAUGACCCUACUAAUCCGAUGGUAACAUGCCAAUAUCCAACUUGUAAACUACUCUACUAGUCACAAGAAAUCCAAGCAAUAACACGGCAAGAGAUAAUUCUAAUAAUUCCUCCAAGAUUGCCAUGAAUAAAUCAUCAUCAAGUAAUUCAAAAUAAAUCGAGUUUUAUUAUAUUAACCAUGGAAUUUCAUUGCAAUUAUGCAAGUGGAGGUUGUGGCUUGCCUUGCUCCAAGCGAGUGUUGCGAGUACUCUUGGUCUUCAUCAAACAGUGCUAACACUCUGGAAAACAAUAUUAACAAGCAAAAUAAAUUCUCUAUCUAGAAAUUCUAGACAACAAAGAAAAGUGUGAAACUCUACCAGAAAAUAAAGGAGCUCACAAGAGAAAAAAAUGCAAAAAGAAUCAACUCAUUUGGACUUGUAGUUUAGGAGCAAUGGAUGGUGAAAGUUGUGGUCAAACUGGAUUAAAAUAGCGUUAAAAUGGAUUUUCUGGAAUCUCCAUGGGCCGACGUCGAAGACUUAAACAAGGAAUACACUUUGACUUAAAUAUUUGGAUAUAUCUUCAAACAUGAUAUUUAAGAAUAGGAGAUUAAAUUGAAGAAGCCAUUGUUAACAAUGACAAAAGCAACAUGUGGGCAUGGAUCAAAACAAGGGAUAUUUACUUUGACAGUCUAAAAUUUGUGAUGUAUCUUGAGUCCAAACUGUAACGACUCUCAUGUUUAACGACGAUUGAGGUGUUUGGAAGUAUUGUUUGAAUACAUCCUCAAACAUAAUAUUUUUUAAAAAUUAAGUGAACAAAACAAAAAAAAUAUUGUGUGGGUUGGGGUGAAGUGUGUGUGGGGGAGGGGGUGGGGGGUGGGGGGGAUUAUUAUCGGAUAGUAUAUUUCACCUAAUUUUGUAACGCAAGCAUCCUGGUCAAUAUGUCCUCAAGAUACAUUCACACCUUUCCCCUCCCGGGCCGCUCGCGCGGGCGGCUCCGGAAGAAAAAACCUAGAUCCAAGCGCCCCUCCUCCCGAAGACAUCCUGGCCGCCGCCGUCGCCGCCGGCGGCGGUGGCGGCGCCCGGCUGCCAAAGGCAGCGGGCAAGAUCUGCACGCCCUGACAUGGCUCCUUCGCGCGGGCGAGCACCGUCUUGUGGGCGUCGUGACCGCUGGCGGUUCUGGUGCGGUGGCGCGCGGCAGAGAGCACUGGAGGAGGAGGAGCACGGUCGCGAGGUGGAGAGGGGUGGCGGUCUUCCUCGGGCGCCGGCGUGUGUGUCGGAGGCCGCGGCGCGGGGUCCCUGGCGGCUGCAGAUCUUGGAAUGGAGUGGUGACCGGGCGCGGCGGCCGGGAGUUGCGGUGGUGUCCGGGGCGUGCGGUGUGCUUCCUGCCGGCGCUAGAGUGGCUCGGGGAAGGCAGCGCCUUGGAUUGCUAGUGGCAGGGAUGUAGCUGGCAUGUAGGCAUUGGGGUCAAUUGACCCCAAUGGAUUUACUAAAUCCUUCAUUAUCUUAGUACUAAUCACUGUUGAUUUAUAGAAGAUGACCCCAUUGCCAUGGAUAUGACCCCAUCAAGCUUUUUUCUAGCUUCGUCCCUGGCUGGUGGUGGCGCGGUCAGGAUCUGGCCAGAGCUCGGUUCAGGAAAUCGCAAAGGGAGCACCUUGGUGGUGCGUGCGUUCGCUGGAGGCGCAGUGCGCUGGCUCCUCCCGUCCGUGCCCCUGGUCGCAGCGGCUUGGCUGGCUGCCAGAGUGGUUUGGCCAGCCCACGCCUGUGGUGCCGGCGGGUCUUGGCAGCGCCAGGGAGGGUGGCUUGGAGCUGGUGACGUUUGUCUUUCGACCGUGCAGGAGCUGGAGGUUGGCCGGCGUGGUCUCGGCUGUGUGAUGGGUCGGUGUUCCGCGACGGUUUUGGCCAUGAUGGCAAGGCGCUGCUGCAACGACGGUGUAACCCUGACAGAUUAGCCCAAUCCUUGGAUAGGGGUGGGAGGUGUGCGACUGUUGGAUGAAAAUCCUGCUCGUGUCUUCGGCCGGAGCUGGCGGCGACGGUGCCUGAGGGAGUCGUUUCCCUCCUUGGAGGUGUCGCUGAGGUGUGUCGGCAUCUCCCCUUCUUGAUCGGGAUGUGGUCUCCAGGCGAAAGCCUUGGUCUAUUGUAGGACUGGCGAUGGCGACGGUAUAACGUCGUUACUCUAUUGAGAGCAUCGUAGGCGGAGACUUGGCUUGCUGAUUCUGUCUGGUGGUUCUCCGGUGCUUGCCGCUGGUUCGAGUCGAUCUUUGUGGGCGCUAUGUACGUAGCCGCCGGUGAACUGAAGACGAUGGCUUUCUCGGGACCGACCGAGUCCCGCUACCCACCCGCCGUCUCCUCUUAGGCAUUCAAAGGUGGUAGUGCGUGUUGGAAAUAUGCCCUAGAGGCAAUAAUAAAAGGGUUAUUAUUAUAUUUCCUUGUUCAUGAUAAUUGUCUUUUAUUCAUGCUAUAACUGUAUUAUCCGGAAAUCGUAAUACACAUGUGAAUACAUAGACCAUAACAUGUCCCUAGUGAGCCUCUAGUUGACUAGCUCGUUGGUCAACAGAUAGUCAUGGUUUCUGACUAUGGACAUUAGAUGUCAUUGACAACGGGAUCACAUCAUUAGGAGAAUGAUGUGAUGGACGAGACCCAAUCCUAAGCAUAGCACAAGAUCGUGUAGUUAGUUUUGCUAGAGCUUUUCCAAUGUCAAGUAUCUCUUCCUUAGACCAUGAGAUCGUGUAACUCCCGGAUACAGUAAGAGUGCUUUGGGUGUACCAAACGUCACAACGUAACUGGGUGACUAUAAAGGUGCACUACAGGUAUCUCCGAAAGUGUCUGUUGGGUUGACAUGGAUCGAGACUGGGAUUUGUCACUCCGUAUGACGGAGAGGUAUCUCUGGGCCCACUCGGUAAUGCAUCAUCACAAUGAGCUCAAAGUGACCAAGUGUUUGGUCACGGGAUCAUGCAUUACGAUACGAGUAAAGUGACUUGCCGGUAACGAGACUGAACGAGGUAUUGGGAUACCGACGAUCGAGUCUCGGGCAUGUAACGUACCGAAUGAGAAAGGGAAUUGUAUACGGGGUUGUUCUAAUCCUCGACAUCGUGGUUCAUCCGAUGAGAUCAUCGAGCAGCAUGUGGGAGCCAACAUGGGUAUCCAGAUCCCGCUGUUGGUUAUUGCCCGAGAGCCGUCUCGGUCAUGACUACGUGUCUCCCGAACCCGUAGGGUCUACACACUUAAGGUUCGGUGACGCUAGGGUUGUAUGAAUAUGAGUAUGCAGUAUACCGAAUGUUGUUUGGAGUCCCGUAUGAGAUCCCGGACGUCACGAGGAGUUUCGGAAUGGUCCGGAGGUAAAGAAUUAUAUAUAGGAAGUGGUAUUUCGGCCAUCGGGAAAGUUUCGGGGUCACCCGGUAUUGUACCGGGACCACCGGAAGGGUCCCGGGGGUCCACCGGGUGGGGCCACCCAUCCCGGAGGGCCCCAUGGGCUGAAGUGGGAGGGGAGCCAGCCCAUAGUGGGCUGGUGCGCCCCCCUAGGCCCACCCCCUGCGCCUAGGGUUGAAACCCUAGGGUGGGGGGCGCACCACAUGCCUUGGGGGGCACUCCUCCCCCCUUGGCCGCCGCCCCCUUGGGAGAUUGAAUCUCCCAGGGCCGGCGCCCCCCCUUGGGGGCCUAUAUAAAGGGAGGGGGGAGAGGGGCAGCCGCACCCUGAAGUCCUGGCGCCCCCUCCCCCUGCUACACCUCUUCCUCCUCCGUCACGUGCUUGGCGAAGCCCUGCCGGACUGCUGCUGUUCCACCACCACCACGCCGUUGUGCUGCUGCUGGAGCCAUCAUCAUCAACCUCUCCUCCCCCCUUGCUGGAUCAAGAAGGAGGAGACGUCACACGCACCGUACGUGUGUUGAACGCGGAGGUGCCGUCCGUUCGGCGCUAGGAUCUCCGGUGAUCUGAAUCACGGCGAGUACGACUCCAUCAUCACCGCUCCCUCUAACACUUCCGUAUGGGAUCUACAAGUGGUAUGUAGAUGCAAACUCACUCCCUUGACUCAUUGCUUAGAUGAACUCAUAGAUGGAUCUUGGUGAAACCGUAGGAAAAUUUUUAAUUUUCUGCAACGUUCCCCAACAGUGGCAUCAUGAGCUAGGUCUAUGCGUAGUUCUCUAUUGCACGAGUAGAACACAAUUUUGUUGUGGGCGUAGAUCUUGUCAACUUGCUUGCCGCUACUAGUCUUAUCUUGCUUUAGCGGUAUUGUGGGAUGAAGCGGCCCGGACCAACCUUACACGUACGCUUACGUGAGACCGGUUCCACCGACUAACAUGCACUAGUUGCAUAAGGUGGCUGGCGGGUGUCUGUCUCUCCCACUUUAGUUGGAGCGGAUUCGAUGAAAAGGGUCCUUAUGAAGGGUAAAUAGAAGUUGACAAAAUCACGUUGUGGUUAUUCGUAGGUAAGAAAACGUUCUUGCUAGAACCCAAUUGCAGCGACGUGAAAGAUGCAACAACAAUUAGAGGACGUCUAACUUGUUUUUGCAGCAAUUGUCAUGUGAUGUGAUAUGGCCAGAAGUUGUGAUGAAUGAUGAAUGAUAUAUUGUGAUGUAUGAGAUCAUGUUCUUGUAAUAGGAAUCACGACUUGCAUGUCGAUGAGUAUGAAAACCGGCAGGAGCCAUAGGAGUUGUCUUUAUUUUUGUAUGACCUGCGUGUCAUUGAAGAAUGCCAUGUAAACUACUUUACUUUAUUGCUAAACGCGUUAGUCAUAGAAGUAGAAGUAGUCGUUGGCGUGACAACUUCAUGAAGACAUGAUGAUGGAGAUCAUGAUGAUGGAGAUCAUGGUGUCAUGCCGGUGACAAGAUGAUCAUGGAGCCCCGAAGAUGAAGAUCAAAGGAGCUAUAUGAUAUUGGCCAUAUCAUGUCACUACUUUAUAUAAUUGCAUGUGAUGUUUAUUAUGUUUUAUGCAUCUUGUUUACUUAGAACGACGGUAGUAAAUAAGAUGAUCCCUUGCAACAAUUUCAAGAAGUGUUCUCCCCUAACUGUGCACCGUUGCUAAAGUUCGUCGUUUCGAAGCACCACGUGAUGAUCGGGUGUGAUAGAUCCUUACGUUCACAUACAACGGGUGUAAGACAGUUUUACACAUGCAAAACACUUAGGGUUAACUUGACGAGCCUAGCAUGUACAGACAUGGCCUCGGAACACGGAGACCGAAAGGUCGAACACGAGUCGUAUGGAAGAUACGAUCAACAUGAGAAUGUUCACUGACGAUGACUAGUCCGUCUCACGUGAUGAUCGGACACGGCCUAGUCAACUCGGAUCGUGUAACACUUAGAUGACUGAGGGGAUGUCAAAUCUGAGUGGGAGUUCAUUAAAUAAUUUGAUUGGAUGAACUUAAUUAUCAUGAACUUAGUCUAAAAUCUUUGCAAAAUAUGUCUUGUAGAUCAAAUGGCCAACGCUCAUGUCAACAUGAACUUCAACGCGUUCCUAGAGAAAACCAAGCUGAAAGAUGAUGGCAGCAACUAUACGGACUGGGUCCGGAACCUUAGGAUCAUCCUCAUAGCUGCCAAGAAAGCAUAUGUCCUUGAAGCACCAUUAGGUGACCCACCUACUCUCCCAGCACUGCAAGACGAUUUGAACGUUUGGCAGACACGUGCUGAUGAUUACUCCCUCGUUCAGUGCGGCAUGCUUUACAGCUUAGAACCGGGGCUCCAAAAGCUUUUUGAGCAACACGGGGCAUAUGAGAUGUUCGAGGAGCUGAAACUAGUUUUCCAAGCUCAUGCCCGGGUCGAGAGAUAUGAAGUCUCCAACAAGUUCUAUAGUUGUAAGAUGGAGGAAAACAGUUCUGUCAGUGAGCAUAUACUCAAAAUGUCUGGGUUGCACAGCCGCCUGUCCCAGCUGGACAUUAACCUCCUGGAUGAGGCGGUCAUUGACAGAAUCCUUCAGUCGCUCCCACCAAGCUACAAGAGCUUUGUGAUGAACUAUAAUAUGCAGGGGAUGGUGAAGACCAUUCCUGAAGUAUUUUCAAUGCUGAAGUCGGCAGAGGUUGAAAUCAAGAAAGAACAUCAAGUGUUGAUGGUUAAUAAGACCACUAAGUUCAAGAAGGGCAAGGGUAAGAAGAACUUCAAGAAGGACGGCAAAGAUGUUGCCGCGCCCGGUAAGCCAGUUGCCGGGAAGAAGUCAAAGAAUGGACCCAAGCCUGAGACUGAGUGCUUUUAUUGCAAGGGGAAGGGUCACUGGAAGCGGAACUGCCCCAAAUACUUAGCGGAUAAGAAGGCCGGCAACAGUAAAGGUAUAUUUGAUAUACAUGUAAUUGAUGUGUACCUUACCAAUACUCGUAGUAACUCCUGGGUAUUUGAUACCGGUGCCGUUGCUCAUAUUUGUAACUCAUAGCAGGAGCUGCGGAAUAAGCGGAGACUGGCGAAGGACGAGGUGACGAUGCGCGUCGGGAAUGGUUCCAAGGUCGAUGUGAUCGCCGUCGGCACACUACCUCUACAUUUACCUACGGGAUUAGUUAUAAACCUUAAUAAUUGUUAUUUGGUGCCAAGUUUGAGCAUGAACAUUGUAUCUGGAUCUCGUUUGAUACGAGAUGGAUACUCAUUUAAAUCCGAGAAUAAUGGUUGUUCUAUUUAUAUGAGAGAUAUGUUUUAUGGUCAUGCCCCUAUGGUCAAUGGUUUAUUCUUAAUGAAUCUCGAGCGUAAUGUUACACAUAUUCAUAGCGUGAAUACCAAAAGAUGUAAAGUUGAUAACGAUAGUCCCACAUACUUGUGGCACUGCCGCCUUGGUCACAUUGGUGUCAAGCGCAUGAAGAAGCUCCAUGCUGAUGGACUUUUGGAGUCUCUCGAUUAUGAAUCAUUUGACACAUGCGAACCAUGCCUCAUGGGCAAAAUGACCAAGACUCCGUUCCCCGGAACAAUGGAGCGAGCAACCAACUUGUUGGAAAUCAUACACACCGAUGUGUGCGGUCCAAUGAGUGUUGAGGCUCGCGGAGGAUAUCGUUAUGUUCUCACUCUCACUGAUGACUUGAGUAGAUAUGGGUAUGUCUACUUGAUGAAACACAAGUCUGAGACCUUUGAAAAGUUCAAGGAAUUUCAGAAUGAAGUAGAGAAUCAACGUGACCGAAAGAUAAAAUUCUUACGAUCGGAUCGUGGAGGAGAAUAUUUAAGUCACGAAUUUGGUACACACUUAAGAAAAUGUGGAAUCGUUUCACAACUCACGCCGCCUAGAACACCUCAGCGAAACGGUGUGUCCGAACGUCGUAAUCGCACUCUAUUGGAUAUGGUGCGGCCUAUGAUGUCUCUUACCGAUUUACCGCUAUCAUUUUGGGGAUACGCUCUAGAGACAGCUACAUUCACUUUAAAUAGGGCACCGUCUAAAUCCGUUGAGACGACACCGUAUGAAUUAUGGUUUGGGAAGAAACCUAAGUUGUCGUUUCUAAAAGUUCGGGGAUGCGAUGCUUAUGUCAAGAAACUUCAACCUGAAAAGCUCGAACCCAAGUCGGAAAAAUGUGUCUUCAUAGGAUACCCUAAAGAAACCAUUGGGUAUACCUUCUACUUAAGAUCCGAGGGCAAGAUCUUUGUUGCCAAGAACGGAUCCUUUCUGGAAAAAGAGUUUCUCUCGAAAGAACUAAGUGGGAGGAAAGUAGAACUCGAUGAAGUACUACCUCUUGAACAGGAUAGUAGUGCAGCUCAGGAAAAUGUUCCUGUGAUGCCUACACCAACUGAAGAGGAAAAUAAUGAUGAUGAUCAAGGUACUUCUGAUCAAGUUACUACUGAACUUCGUAGGUCCACAAGGACACGUUCCGCACCAGAGUGGUACGGCAACCCUGUCCUGGAAAUCAUGUUGUUAGACAACCGUGAACCUUCGAACUAUGAAGAAGCGAUAGCGGGCCCAGAUUCCAACAAAUGGCUUGAAGCCAUGAAAUCCGAGAUAGAAUCCAUGUAUGAAAACAAAGUAUGGACUUUGACUGACUUGCCCGAUGAUCGGCGAGCGAUAGAAAACAAAUGGAUCUUUAAGAAGAAGACGGACGCGGAUGGUAAUGUCACCAUCUAUAAAGCUCGACUUGUCGCUAAGGGUUAUCGGCAAGUUCAAGGGAUUGACUACGAUGAGACUUUCUCUCCCGUAGCGAAGCUUAAGUCCGCCCGAAUCAUGUUAGCAAUUGCCGCAUACUAUGAUUAUGAGAUAUGGCAAAUGGACGUCAAAACGACAUUCCUUAACGGUUAUCUUAAGGAAGAGCUAUAUAUGAUGCAGCCGGAAGGUUUUGUCGAUCCUAAGAACGCUAACAAAGUAUGCAAGCUCCAGCGAUCCAUUUAUGGGCUGGUGCAAGCAUCUCGGAGUUGGAACAUUCGCUUUGAUGAGAUCAUCAAAGCGUUUGGGUUUAUGCAGACUUAUGGAGAAGCCUGCGUUUACAAGAAAGUGAGUGGGAGCUCUGUAGCGUUUCUCAUAUUAUAUGUAGAUGACAUACUUUUGAUGGGAAAUGAUAUAGAUUCUUGGACAGCAUUAAGGCCUACUUGAAUAAGUGUUUUUCAAUGAAGGACCUUGGAGAAGCUGCUUACAUAUUAGGCAUCAAGAUCUAUAGGGAUAGAUCGAGACGCCUCAUAGGUCUUUCACAAAGCACAUACCUUGAUAAGAUUUUGAAUAAGUUCAAAAUGGAUCAGUCCAAGAAAGGGUUCUUGCCUGUAUUGCAAGGUGUGAGAUUGAGCUCGGCUUAAUGCCCGACCAUGGCAAAAGAUAAAGAAGAGAUGAUCGUCAUCCCCUAUGCCUCAGCCAUAGGAUCUAUUAUGUAUGCCAUGCUAUGUACCAGACCUGAUGUAAACCUUGCCGUAAGUUUGGUAGGAAGGUACCAAAGUAAUCCCGGCAAGGAACACUGGACAGCGGUCAAGAAUAUCCUGAAGUACCUGAAAAGGACAAAGGACAUGUUUCUCGUUUAUGGAGGUGAUGAAGAGCUCGUCGUAAAGGGUUACGUCGAUGCUAGCUUCGACACAGAUCUGGAUGACUCUAAGUCACAAACCGAAUACGUGUAUAUGUUGAAUGGUGGAGCAGUAAGCUGGUGCAGCUGCAAGCAGAGCGUCGUGGCGGGAUCUACAUGUGAAGCGGAGUACAUGGCAGCCUCGGAGGCAUCGCAUGAAGCUAUUUGGGUGAAGGAGUUCAUCACCGACCUAGGAGUCAUACCCAAUGCGUCGGGGCCGAUCAAACUCUUCUGUGACAACACUGGAGCUAUUGCCCUUGCCAAGGAGCCCAGGUUUCACAAGAAGACCAGGCACAUCAAGCAUCGUUUCAACUCCAUCUGAGAAAAUGUUCAAGAUGGAGACAUAGAUAUUUGCAAAGUACAUACGGAUCUGAAUGUCGUAGAUCCGUUGACUAAACCUCUCUCGCGAGCAAAACAUGAUCAACACCAGAACUCUAUGGGUGUUCGAUUCAUCACAAUGUAACUAGAUUAUUGACUCUAGUGCAAGUGGGAGACUGUUGGAAAUAUGCCCUAGAGGCAAUAAUAAAAGGGUUAUUAUUAUAUUUCCUUGUUCAUGAUAAUUGUCUUCUAUUCAUGCUAUAAAUGUAUUAUCCGGAAAUCGUAAUACACGUGUGAAUACAUAGACCAUAACAUGUCCCUAGUGAGCCUCUAGUUGACUAGCUCGUUGGUCGACAGAUAGUCAUGGUUUCUGACUAUAGACAUUAGUUGUCAUUGACAACGGGAUCACAUCAUUAGGAGAAUGAUGUGAUGGACGAGACCCAAUCCUAAGCAUAGCACAAGAUCGUGUAGUUCGUUUUGCUAGAGCUUUUCCAAUGUCAAGUAUCUCUUCCUUAGACCAUGAGAUCGUGUAACUCCCGGAUACCGUAAGAGUGCUUUGGGUGUACCAAACGUCACAACGUAACUGGGUGACUAUAAAGGUGCACUACAGGUAUCUCCAAAAGUGUCUGUUGAUGCUAGCUUCGACACAGAUCUGGAUGACUCUAAGUCACAAACCGAAUACGUGUAUAUGUUGAAUGGUGGAGCAGUAAGCUGGUGCAGCUGCAAGCAGAGCGUCGUGGCGGGAUCUACAUGUGAAGCGGAGUACAUGGCAGCCUCGGAGGCAUCGCAUGAAGCUAUUUGGGUGAAGGAGUUCAUCACCGACCUAGGAGUCAUACCCAAUGCGUCAGGGCCGAUCAAACUCUUCUGUGACAACACUGGAGCUAUUGCCCUUGCCAAGGAGCCCAGGUUUCACAAGAAGACCAGGCACAUCAAGCAUCGUUUCAACUCCAUCUGAGAAAAUGUUCAAGAUGGAGACAUAGAUAUUUGCAAAGUACAUACGGAUCUGAAUGUCGUAGAUCCGUUGACUAAACCUCUCUCGCGAGCAAAACAUGAUCAACACCAGAACUCUAUGGGUGUUCGAUUCAUCACAAUGUAACUAGAUUAUUGACUCUAGUGCAAGUGGGAGACUGUUGGAAAUAUGCCCUAGAGGCAAUAAUAAAAGGGUUAUUAUUAUAUUUCCUUGUUCAUGAUAAUUGUCUUCUAUUCAUGCUAUAACUGUAUUAUCCGGAAAUCGUAAUACACGUGUGAAUACAUAGACCAUAACAUGUCCCUAGUGAGCCUCUAGUUGACUAGCUCAUUGGUCGACAGAUAGUCAUGGUUUCUGACUAUAGACAUUAGUUGUCAUUGACAACGGGAUCACAUCAUUAGGAGAAUGAUGUGAUGGACGAGACCCAAUCCUAAGCAUAGCACAAGAUCGUGUAGUUCGUUUUGCUAGAGCUUUUCCAAUGUCAAGUAUCUCUUCCUUAGACCAUGAGAUCGUGUAACUCCCGGAUACCGUAAGAGUGCUUUGGGUGUACCAAACGUCACAACGUAACUGGGUGACUAUAAAGGUGCACUACAGGUAUCUCCGAAAGUGUCUGUUGGGUUGACACGGAUCGAGACUGGGAUUUGUCACUCUGUAUGACGGAGAGGUAUCUCUGGGCCCACUCGGUAAUGCAUCAUCACAAUGAGCUCAAAGUGACCAAGUGUUUGUUCACGGGAUCAUGCAUUACGGUACGAGUAAAGUGACUUGCCGGUAACGAGACUGAACGAGGUAUUGGGAUACCGACGAUCGAGUCUCGGGCAUGUAACGUACCGAAUGACAAAGGGAAUUGUAUACGGGGUUUUUCUAAUCCUUGACAUCGUGGUUCAUCCGAUGAGAUCAUCGAGGAGCAUGUGGGAGAAAACAUGGGUAUCCAGAUCCCGCUGUUGGUUAUUGCCCGAGAGCCGUCUCGGUCAUCACUUCGUGUCUCCCGAACCCGUAGGGUCUACACACUUAAGGUUCGGUGAUGCUAGGGUUGUAUGAAUAUGAGUAUGCAGUAUACCGAAUGUUGUUCGGAGUCCCAGAUGAGAUCCCGGAUGUCACGAGGAGUUUCGGAAUGGUCCGGAGGUAAAGAAUUAUAUAUAGGAAGUGGUAUUUCGGCCAUCGGAAAAGUUUCGGGGUCACCCGGUAUUGUACCGGGACCACCGGAAGGGUCCCGGGGGUCCACCGGGUGGGGCCACCCAUCCUGGAGGGCCCCAUGGGCUGAUGUGGGAGGGGAGCCAGCCCAUAGUGGGCUGGUGCGCCCCCCUAGGCCCAUCCCCUGCGCCUAGGGUUGAAACCCUAGGGUGGGGGGGGGCACCACAUGCCUUGGGGGGCACUCCUCCCCCCUUGGCCGCCGCCCCCUUGGGAGAUUGAAUCUCCCAGGGCCGGCGCCCCCCCUUGGGGGCCUAUAUAAAGGGAGGGGGAGAGGGGCAGCCGCACCCUGAAGUCCUGGCGCCCCCUCCCCCUGCUACACCUCUUCCUCCUCUGUCACGUGCUUGGCGAAGCCCUGCCGGAGUGCUGCUGUUCCACCACCACCACGCCGUUGUGCUGCUGCUGGAGCCAUCAUCAUCAACCUCUCCUCCCCCCUUGCUGGAUCAAGAAGGAGGAGACGUCACACGCACCGUACGUGUGUUGAACGCGAAGGUGCCGUCCGUUCGGCGCUAGGAUCUCCGGUGAUCUGAAUCACGGCGAGUACGACUCCAUCAUCACCGCUCCCUCUAACGCGUCCGUACGCGAUCUACAAGUGGUAUGUAGAUGCAAACUCACUCUCUUGACUCGUUGCUUAGAUGAACUCAUAGAUGGAUCUUGGUGAAACCGUAGGAAAAAUUUUAAUUUUCUGCAACGUUCCCCAACAGUGCGUUGGCAAGGAAAAUCCGGUUGGAGUUGUUGCUUUUCGAGGUGACCGGUGUUUGUGGUGACGUGACUAGAUGAUUGGUUUAGGGCAGACCCUUUUGCUUGUGUUUGUAACUGUCGUGGUGGCUAAUCUGUUGAUUAGCUUCGGUGUGGAGUUGUGCUACACUUGUUGUUCGCAGCAAGAUGUAGUUUCUUGUACUUGAUUUCUGCCUUCUAUAAAAAUAUGGUACGCCUAGGCGUACUCUCGAAAAAAAAUAUGUCCUCAAGAUUAGAUCAAGUUACAUAAUCAUGUUGAAGUUAAAUCAUCUUGUUGAAUUAAAAAAUGAUAAUAUUUUUUGAUGUAUGUUGAAUCAAACCUCACUCAAAACGGUGGAGAACAGUUGAAUUGUUGAGAUAUGUGAAUAAUUAUUCCAACUAUAUUUGAAAAUCCAGCAAAUAAUAUGGAGCACUGGUAGAAAAAGAGGCUUCCGUCUAGCCCCAUUAGUCGCGAAACUGUAGGAACCGCGACUAAUGAAGUCUUUAGUCGCGGUUCGGCAGACGAACCGCGACCAAAGUCUUGGGCCAGGGCGCUCGGUGGCCAGCUGGUGCACGUGAGGGGCUUUAGUCGCGGUUGGGCAGGCCAACCGCGACUAAAGGUGCCCAAAGGCCUUUAGUCGCGGUUGGCCUGGCCAACCGCGACUAAAGCUCCUCCCCUAUAUAUACCAGUUCAGCGCACUCACUUAGCCAUUUGGUGCCACUUCUCUUCACAAGGGGGUGUAGGUUUGCUUUUGGUUCCUCUUAUGCACACAAGGUGUUUGAUGAAAUGCCCAACAGCGUGAAACAAACAUGAUAUGAAGUGUUGGAGCCACACUUGAGGUUCCUCCUCGAUCGCGGUUAGCAACUUGAACCUUUCAUGCAUGUGUGUCAUUGAUAAAAUAUGCAUGUGUGUUGUUCAUUGUUUAAUUUCUAUUGUUUAUAGCUAGUUACUUUAACAAAUGCAUGAUGGUUAAUUAUAUAUUUUAUAUUAUAAUAAUGCAGAUGAAUCGGCAAUGGAUGUACGGUAACCGACUCUCCCGCGAGUUCACUACGGGUUUGAAAGAUUUCCUCGUAGUGGCUAAUGCGAACAAGCAGAAGGGUUUUGUUAUCUGUCCUUGUGUUGACUGUAAGAAUCAGAAGGGUUACUCUUCCUCAAGAGAAGUUCACCUGCACCUGCUUCGGCACGGUUUCAUGCCAAGCUAUAAUUGUUGGACCAAGCAUGGAGAAAGAGGGGUUAUAAUGGAAGAAGAUGAAGAAGGGGAUGAUUUCAUCGAUGAAAGCUAUCUUGCUCAUUUCGGUGAUACUUUCAUGGAGGAUGCUGAAGGUGAAGGGGAAGGUGAAGGGGCAGGUGAAGGGGAAGGUGAAGGGGAAGGUGAAGGUGAAGGUGAAGAAGAGGCACGUGAUGAGACCGUUGAUGAUCUUGGUCGGACCAUUGCUGAUGCACGGAGACGCUGCGAAACUGAAAAGGAGAGGGAGAAUUUGGAUCGCAUGUUAGAGGAUCACAGAAAGUCGUUGUACCCUGGAUGCGAUGAUGGUCUGAAAAAGCUGGGCUGCACACUGGAUUUGCUGAAAUGGAAGGCACAGGCAGGUGUAGCUGACUCGGCAUUUGAAAACUUGCUGAAAAUGUUGAAGAAUAUGUUUCCAAAGAAUAACGAGUUGCCCGCCAGUAUGUACGAAGCAAAGAAGGUUGUCUGCCCUCUAGGUUUAGAGGUUUUGAAGAUACAUGCAUGCAUCAACGACUGCAUCCUCUACCCGCGGUGAAUACGAGAAUUUGAAUGAAUGCCCGGUAUGCACUGCAUUGCGUUAUAAGAUCAGAGGCGAUGACCCUGGUGACGAUGUUGAGGGCGGGAAACCCAGGAAGAGGGUUCCCGCCAAGGUGAUGUGGUAUACUCCUAUAAUACCACGGUUGAAACGUCUGUUCAGGAACAAAGAGCAUGCCAAGUUGUUGCGAUGGCACAAAGAGGACCGUAAGUCGGACGGGGAGUUGAGACACACCGCAGAUGGAACGCAAUGGAGAAAGAUCGACAGAGAGUUCAAAGAUUUUGCAGCUGACGCAAGGAACAUAAGAUUUGGUCUAAGUACAGAUGGCAUGAAUCCUUUUGGCGAGCAGAGCUCCAGCCAUAGCACCUGGCCCGUGACUCUAUGCAUCUACAACCUUCCUCCUUGGUUGUGCAUGAAGCAGAAGUUCAUUAUGAUGCCAGUGCUCAUCCAAGGUCCGAAGCAACCCGGCAACGACAUCGAUGUGUACCUAAGGCCAUUAGUUGAUGAACUUUUACAGCUGUGUGGCAGACCUGGUGUUCGUGUGUGGGAUGAGCACAAAAAAGAGGAAUUUAACCUACGAGCGUUGCUUUUCGUAACCAUCAAUGAUUGGCCUGCUCUUAGUAACCUUUCGGGACUGUCAAAUAAGGGAUACAAUGCAUGCACGCACUGCUUACAUGAGACUGAAAGUGUACAUUUGCCAAAUUGUAAGAAGAACGUGUACCUUGGGCAUCGUCGAUUUCUUCCGAAAAUUCAUCCAGUAAGAAAGAAAGGCAAGCAUUACAACGGCAAGGCAGAUCACCGGCCGAAGCCUGCGGAACGCACUGGUGCUGAGGUAUUUGAUAUGGUCAAGGAUUUGAAAGUCAUCUUUGGAAAGGGUCCUGGCGGACAAUCAGUUCCGAAGGGAGCUGACGGGCACGCAGCCAUGUGGAAGAAGAAAUCUAUAUUCUGGGAGCUAGAAUAUUGGAAAGUCCUAGAAGUCUGCUCUGCAAUCGACGUGAUGCACGUUACGAAGAAUAUUUGCGUGAACCUCCUAAGCUUCUUGGGCGUGUAUGGGAAGACAAAUGAUACAAAGGAAGCACGGCAGGACCAGCAAUGUUUGAAAGACCCUGAUGACCAGCAUCCGGAAUGGUUUCAAGGUCGUGCCAGCUACGCUCUGACCAAAGAAGAGAAGGUCAUCUUUUUUGAAUGCCUGAGCAGUAUGAAGGUCCCGUCUGGAUUCUCGUCCAAUAUAAAGGGAAUAAUAAACAUGGCGGAGAAAAGUUCCAAAACCUGAAGUCUCACGACUGCCACGUGAUUAUGACGCAAUUGCUUCCGAUUGCUUUGAGGGGGCUCCUGCCGGAAAAUGUUCGAGUAGACAUUGUGAAGCUAUGUGCAUUCCUCAAUGCAAUCUCUCAGAAGGUAAUCAAUCCAGAAGAUCUACCACGGUUACAGAACGAUGUGAUCCAAUGUCUUGUCAGUUUCGAGUUGGUGUUCCCGCCAUCCUUCUUCAAUAUUAUGACGCACCUCUUGGUUCACCUAGUCGAAGAGAUUUUCAUUCUCGGUCCUGUAUUUCUACACAAUAUGUUCCCAUUCGAGAGGUUCAUGGGAGUAUUAAAGAAAUAUGUUCGUAACCGUGCUAGGCCAGAAGGAAGCAUCGCCAAGGGCUAUGGAAAUGAGGAGGUAAUUGAGUUUUGUGUUGACUUUGUUCCUGACCUUAAGCCGAUUGGUCUUCCUCGAUCGCGGCACGAGGGGAGACUAAGUGGAAAAGGCACGAUCGGAAGGAAAUCAACGACAUGUAUGGACGGCCAUUCUCUGACUGAAGCACACCACACUGUACUGACCAAUUCCAGCUUGGUGGCUCCGUACUUUGAGAAACACAAGAAUAUUUUACGCUCGGACAACCCGGGGAAGCCUGAAUCCUGGAUUAGGAAGGCCCACAUGGAGACUUUCGGCAGUUGGUUGAGAAAACAUUUAAUGAAUGACAAUGAUGUUGUAGAUCAGCUGUACAUGUUGGCCAAGACACCAUCUUCGACUAUAACGACUUUCCAAGGGUACGAGAUAAAUGGGAAUACAUUUUACACGAUCGCCNNNNNNNNNNNNNNNNNNNNNNNNNNNNNNNNNNNNNNNNNNNNNNNNNNNNNNNNNNNNNNNNNNNNNNNNNNNNNNNNNNNNNNNNNNNNNNNNNNNNNNNNNNNNNNNNNNNNNNNNNNNNNNNNNNNNNNNNNNNNNNNNNNNNNNNNNNNNNNNNNNNNNNNNNNNNNNNNNNNNNNNNNNNNNNNNNNNNNNNNNNNNNNNNNNNNNNNNNNNNNNNNNNNNNNNNNNNNNNNNNNNNNNNNNNNNNNNNNNNNNNNNNNNNNNNNNNNNNNNNNNNNNNNNNNNNNNNNNNNNNNNNNNNNNNNNNNNNNNNNNNNNNNNNNNNNNNNNNNNNNNNNNNNNNNNNNNNNNNNNNNNNNNNNNNNNNNNNNNNNNNNNNNNNNNNNNNNNNNNNNNNNNNNNNNNNNNNNNNNNNNNNNNNNNNNNNNNNNNNNNNNNNNNNNNNNNNNNNNNNNNNNNNNNNNNNNNNNNNNNNNNNNNNNNNNNNNNNNNNNNNNNNNNNNNNNNNNNNNNNNNNNNNNNNNNNNNNNNNNNNNNNNNNNNNNNNNNNNNNNNNNNNNNNNNNNNNNNNNNNNNNNNNNNNNNNNNNNNNNNNNNNNNNNNNNNNNNNNNNNNNNNNNNNNNNNNNNNNNNNNNNNNNNNNNNNNNNNNNNNNNNNNNNNNNNNNNNNNNNNNNNNNNNNNNNNNNNNNNNNNNNNNNNNNNNNNNNNNNNNNNNNNNNNNNNNNNNNNNNNNNNNNNNNNNNNNNNNNNNNNNNNNNNNNNNNNNNNNNNNNNNNNNNNNNNNNNNNNNNNNNNNNNNNNNNNNNNNNNNNNNNNNNNNNNNNNNNNNNNNNNNNNNNNNNNNNNNNNNNNNNNNNNNNNNNNNNNNNNNNNNNNNNNNNNNNNNNNNNNNNNNNNNNNNNNNNNNNNNNNNNNNNNNNNNNNNNNNNNNNNNNNNNNNNNNNNNNNNNNNNNNNNNNNNNNNNNNNNNNNNNNNNNNNNNNNNNNNNNNNNNNNNNNNNNNNNNNNNNNNNNNNNNNNNNNNNNNNNNNNNNNNNNNNNNNNNNNNNNNNNNNNNNNNNNNNNNNNNNNNNNNNNNNNNNNNNNNNNNNNNNNNNNNNNNNNNNNNNNNNNNNNNNNNNNNNNNNNNNNNNNNNNNNNNNNNNNNNNNNNNNNNNNNNNNNNNNNNNNNNNNNNNNNNNNNNNNNNNNNNNNNNNNNNNNNNNNAAAUAACUUAAAACUUGAUAAUUAACAAAAAAACCGUAAAAUUUGAUAAUUAACAAAAAAAACGUAUAUACGGAGAGGGGGCGGCGAGGGGGGCGGCGAUGCGCGCGGUGUUUUUUUAGGGAUCGAGAGGGGACGGCGAGGGUUAUAAAUGUGUUGUCCUCGCCUCCCUCUCCGUGACGCCGUCGUCUGCCUCCCCGUCUCGCGCUCUACCGCGACACCCUCUCCCACCCCUUCCUCGCCCCCUCCUUUUGCCACUGCCCUUUCGCCACCGCCACCGCCACCGCCCCCCUUCUUCACUUAAUUAAUUUGUUUUUACUACAUGUUUUCAGGACUGACAUAAUGGCGGACGAUAGAGCUGACCCGAUUAUGGACAACUAUGAUCCGGACGGUGAAGCACAUAUGUUCGGCAUCAUAAACGGCGAUAUUCUAUAUGUGCCGACCGGACAAGAAGAAGAUGAUAUCUCUUCUUAUCUGAACCUUGACGGUGAAGAUGAAGGGCGCCGUCAGCAAGAUGAUGCCGAACAAACGUCGAUAAACGACGAUCUUCAAAUGGAAGUAGCAACCACCUCCGGCGCCGAGGUAUAUAUAUAUACAUUGAGCCUCUGGUGAUACAAACUAACUGAUUUGAAUAAAUAUGUUUGGACUAACGCGCGCGACUCUCUUUCUUAUUUUAGCCCUCGGCCGGAUCGUCGAAACAAUCGAGUACGUCGUCAAAGCGUGGCGCAACCAAGACGAUGAAACAAGGAGAAACAUGCACCAUCGAGGUUGUCGACAGUGCAACCGGCAGGCCGCUGGAGCCCCGCAAGAACGCCACCAAGUUUGUCAACCAAUGCGGAGCCAUUGUUAGAGACAACGUCUCGAUCACCGUCCAGGAGUGGAAUAAGCCAAAGAAGGCACGAAUUGCUGGUUUCACUUUCGUCGAUAAGAGAACAAAAAGAGAUUGCUUCAAAAAGCUUAUGGAACAUUUCGUUCUACCUCCGGAAUACAACAAAUUCGAUGAGGAGGGUAACAAGAUUGAGGAAAACAAGGAGAGGAGGAGGCUAGUCAAACAGUUCGCUCUUCAUAAGAUGGCCGACGCAUUCCGGAAAUUCAAGCAAAAUCUAGCCCAUGACUUUGUCAAGCAGAACAAGACUCCGGAUUUCAAAGGACAAUAUGAGAAACUGAAACAUGAUUGCCCAGAAUUUGUGAAGCAAAAGAAAUCGGAGCAGUUCAUUCAAAUAUCGAAAAAAAUAAGGAAAAUGCGGCUAAGAAGGAGUACAAUCAUAUUAUGGGGCCAGGAGGGUAUCGCCUUUGGGAGCCUAGGUGGGAGAAGAUGGAGAACGAGCUGAGAGCGCGAGGAAUCCGUCCAGGUACGGAGGGAUGGGACCCAAGGGCCAAAAGCUGGUGGUACGGGCAUGGGGGAACGCUGAACCCGGAGACAGGGGACUGUGUUUACCGGGGCAAAAUAAUUAAACCCACCCAAGCCCUUAUUGACGCAAUGAGGGAUGCUCAAGAGGGGAAGAUCAAGUUCAACAGAGAGAACGACGCACUGACAAAAGCCCUCGGGAAUCCUGAACACGGAGGACGUGUACGAGGCAUGGGGCACAUUCCGUGGAAAAUAGGGUUCCCCCAGAAUGAUGACCCGUACGGUUACAGAAGCCGGAAGAGAAAGAUGGAUCGGGAAGCAGAUGUUGUGGCGCGGUUGGCAUCGGAAAUGGAUGUGAUGAAGAAAACCGUGAGUGUACUAGUAGCCGAACGAGAUGCAGCUCGGGCGCAGCAUGAAGAUCAUCCAGCGGAUCUCAGAAGCCAGCAGCGGAGAAGCAGUGUGGCUUCCACGGAGGCCCCACCGGCUGGUGCAGAUGCACCGACGAUCGAAAUUACUGCACCUGAGCCUCUGGUGGUCGAAAUUACUGCACCGGAGCCUCUGGUGGUCGAAAUUACUGCACCGGAGCCUCCUCGCUACCCCGUGGAUGAUAUAAAGGAGAUGAAAGAAUGUCAUCUGUAUUAUCCUAUCGGGAACAUGUCCGUGAAGGUAGCCAUCGGCAGUGCUUUACCAUGUUUACCUGGAGCACUCCACCACAACACCCCCAUUCAAGAUGGCUAUGCUCGUGUCACGGUGGAGGACAUAGUCCAAGGGUUUGAGGACCUGGAGAUUGACAUUGCUACACCUGAAGGGGAGAAAAGACUUGGAGAUGUCAAGCGCCAUUUCAUUCUAUGGCAAAAGAAGUUUAUCAAGUUUCCAGGCGAGGCGCCAAGGACAACAAGUCCACCCCCCUACGGUGGUGGCGGUUCACCUACACCUCCGUCACGUCAGCCGACGCCCCCCAGUCCACAACGUCCGGCGGGUGAUCAGACGCCGCCCCCCAGUCCUCGUCCGGCGGGUGAUCAGACGCCGCCCCCCAAUCCACCUCCGGCAAAGAAGCAGAAGCAGUCCUGGAUUAUUUACCCGGACCCUUAUGUACCUAAGACCACAAAGGUACCGGAGCCAUCAUUGAAGCCUCUCCCCACAAGGCCUUGGGAACGUAGUGCCGAGGAAACUGCCGCGGCCGCGGCUGCUGAUCAUGAGAAAUGGAAGGCGGACUGCAAGAAGAAAAGAGAGCCCGAGCCCAAGCCAGUAUUUUCUGAUGAGCAAAAGAAGUGGGCUAAGUCAUUUUUGAGCACACCGUCCCAAGCCGCGAAGAAUCUGCCUGACGACUAUGCACGUGAACUUCGUAGGCAGGCACUCAUGUUGAAGGAGAAGAAAGAGCGGGCGGAGAACCAGGAGAACAAAGCCUUGGAGGAGGCCGAGAAAACGGAAUUAGAAAGUAAAAAAAGCGGGAAACGAGUUGCCCAGCUCGGGGAACAAAGUAAACAAUCGAUUGCCCCGCUUAUAGUGAAAGCCGCCGGUCCGGAUGACCCCGAUAUCAUAGCAGCUGCGGCAGCACAUGGAUUGACUGUAACGAGUGCCAGAGAACAAGCGGCCAACUUAGGUAUUACUCUUCGUGAACUGUUAGGCCUUGAUGAGGCACCAGUGAAGGAGGUAGUAAUUACAUAUGUGAAAAAUGGGCCUCUCGUCGAGCCUGCGCAGGAACAGGAUCUACCUCCACAAAUGAAAGGUCUGCUGAAAUGGUACAAGGGUUACAUAAAAAAUAAAAACGCCAAAGAAUAUAUUUAUGCGGAAGUUAGAUAUGAGCAUCACUUCAAACAUUACUAUGUACAAAUUCAUCUGAGUGAAUUGUUCCAGCUUUUCAAUCUGCGCGAGCUCGACAAAUCUAUCAUCAGUUGCUACGUUCUGUAAGUGAUUUAUUUCUACCCCAUCUCGUUCAUAUUGCCUGCACUAUAUAUAUGUCCUAACUAUAUUGUUGUGUCCGCUAUUAUACAUGCAGAAUGAAGAUUAAGGAAUGCAGAGUAAGGAACAUCCAUAAUGUUGGGUUCAUUGACCCACACAUCGUUAAUGGAUAUGUGUUGGAGCAUCACCCCGCCGACAUGGAGGCAGACCUGUGGCAGUUUCUUACAAAGCAGGAACUCAAAAGUGAUAUUCUAUUUCCUUACCAUUUUGGGUGAGUGUUUCUGUCUUGAGCACAUUCUCUUUUGUUUACUCCAUGCAUGGUAUGUGGCCGGCUAAUCGAUGAGUUAUGCAUGACGUACUGUGCAUGUAUCGUGUCCGCAGGUUCCACUGGAUUCUGCUAGUAAUUAAAGUUGACACCUCAGAAUGUCUCGUCCACGACUCUCUGAAUAAGGAUCCAAAGCUUUGGGUCGACAUGAGAAGAAUGCUGCAGAAAUAAUUAUUUUCAUUCAUUUGCGCUCUAUAUCGAUCGGCCUAUUUCGUUCAUUUCCUAAUAUCAAGUAACUAAUAACUCUCUUGUUCAUUUAAUUUUCUUUGCCUCGUAGGGUUUGGAGACGGUUCGUAGAUACAAAGGUCGGUGAAUUCAAAAAAGAGCUAGAAUUCAAAAGGGCAAAGGCUAAGAAUGGUGAGGAUAUUCAGCCAGCGGGGACCAAUCUAUGUGCAUACUAUGUCUGUGAGAUGAUCCGGAGAUACACCUCUGAGCGGGUUCCGAGUGAUACCAAUGCUCAGAGGAAUAACCUCCGGAUGAUGCUUAGUCCAGAAGCUCGCUUCCGACCACUUCAAGAGGAACUUGCUGGAUGGUUCAGGAGGGAAGUCCUCCAUCCUAAAGGAGAACACCAUUACGAGGACGUAGAACUUUAUAUGCAUUAAAUUAUGUAUGGAAACUUGUUCAAAAUUGUAUAUGGUCAUCCGAUGAUAUUGAAUAUAUAUUGUAUAUUCCUCUUGAAUUCUUUUUGGUUCUAAUUUCAAAUUUGUUUGAAAUUGUACAUUCAUAUGCAUGUAUGUAGUACCGUAGAAUAUGUGAAACUCCUUCAAAAUUAAAAUAAAGCACAAAAGAAAUAAAACAAUACAUAUUAAACAGAAAACAGGUUUAAGGGGGGAGGGGGGGCUAAAACCCUAAACCUGCGGCGGCCUUUAGUCGCGGUUGGCCAGAAGAACCACGACUAAAGGUCCUCCGCCCCGACGGCCACCUGGCGCCCACGUGGACGGGCCUUUAGUCGCGGUUCUUAAGCAACCGCGACUAAAGGGUGGGGCCUUUAGUCGCGCCCGUUCGGUCGCGGUUGCGCAACCGCGACUAAUGGCAGUUGCGAACCGCGACCAAAGGCCCUUUUCCCACCAGUGGAGUGAAAAUAAGAAAAAAACAAAUGGGAAAAACCAAAUGUGGCCAUGGAAAAAAAAACUGGCGCUCUAACAAAUGACGAGAUAAGGGAGGCAGAAGAAAAACCAAAUGUGGAUCGAACACGCGACCUUCAGAUCUUCAGUCUGACGCUCUCCCAAGUGAACUAUCCCCGCUUGAUGUUAUUUCAGUUAGUUCCAAUUCUCUUUUUUUGAUUUCUGACUCACUUCAUAUUUGACUCUACACUAACGCUCUUCAAACUAACAUAAGGCCUCAGAAUCUCCACGUAGCAGCGAUCAGUAAAUGUAUUAUAUUACGCAUCUCGUACAACCGUAGCAUAGACUUCUCAACAUAUUUUUAUACGUACUUGAUGAUGUUCUUUCUUUACAUGGAAGAAGGAAAUCCAUGAUCUAUGGAACAAUCCAUGAUCUAUGGAUCACCAGCGGCAGUGCCGCGCAGCACGGAUGGAGAUGGAGGUCCAAGCUCUUAUUGGCGGCGCAGUGGUAGUACAGUGUGAGCACCAUCCCGCCACAGCUGCCGCAUGUCUUGCCACUGCAGCGCGGGUGCUCGUGGCAGAGCUGGAACUCCUUGCCCUUGAACAAUGGGUGCACCAGCAUGCCCUCUGCGAGGGCACAGUCAUUGUGGAGGUCGGAGUCACAGGGUUGGCACGUGUACAUGUCCCCGGCGCCUAGAUCCAUGCAGACGUUGCACUGGAACUCCGCGGCGCCGGUGGCCAUCAGCGCUCCCGGCGGGCGGGGUGGGACGUGGGAGAUUUCCGCAGGAUGUGGCAAGGUUGUCAAAAAACGGUAUUUUCCUUUUUCGGAGGCGGACGUUUUAAAUUGGAUGUAUAUACUACUGGAAUUAUGAUGUACACCGGGUGUCAUGUUCUUCGCCGAGUACCAAAACACGGACACUCGACAAAGAAAAUAACAACGAGAGUCACUUUUGGCAAACCUAGCUUUACGACAAACUGCCUUCUUUGCCGUCACUGCCUCGCGGCAAAGAGGCACCGCACGGCAAACCCUACAGACGUCGAGAGCUGCUCACGACAAAGAGGAGCCACGUGACAUGCCCGUCCGAAACACGACUCCGUCGGUUACUGUGUAUAUCACCGAGAGCGACACUCGGCAAACUAUAUGCCACAUCCUAUUUUCUUUUUUGAGUGUGUUCUUUCUAACUGACAUGUGAUCCCACUGGUCACAUUUAUCAAUAAAAGUUUCAAAUAAUUUGCUAAAUAUUUUUGAACAAAAAUGACGAUAUCUUUCCCGAGAGCUGCUCUCAGCAAUUCUCCUGACCAGUAAGAUAGCGUGGCCACAUGGCAGCUGACAGUUUACAUAUCUUUGUCGAGAGUUGGUCUCGGCAAUGCUCGCCAUCUUUUUCGAGAGCUGCUCUCGGAAAAGGUAUGGCACAACAGUAGUGUCUCCCAGACGACCAAUUUUCUGAGAGGAGCUCUCGGUAGUAUAUCGUUUUCCGAGUGUAGCUCUUGGAAAUCUUUCCCAUCCAUUCUACUGUUAAGCUAUUUCUUUUCUGAUCCCUGCAGAUGAAAACAACUACAGUGCAAUUUGGAGUAGUCCACACAUAUAUAGGCAUAAUUUGAUCUACUCCAUAUAUAUAUACAUACAUAUAUAUAUAUAUAAUUAGGGAUAGUCCACAUAUUAUCACACACAAAUCGAAUGUAGUAUCCUAGUAGAUGUCACACACAAGUCGUAAAUUUAUAUAUAUUGUCACUACUUGCAAAACAUGUGCACGUUACAAUAGAAGUACACUUAUUCAUAUAUAGAUCAGCUUGAGGAGGAGAGGCCAUCGGGUUAACAUUCCAGAGGAGGAGGGGCAUCACUUGCACUGCUUCGAGAUUGCAUAAGAACCUAUAAGAGUAGAGUCACGUGAGGAUGGUUCGUCCCUAUGUAAUGAAUCUUCUACUCUAGUUUAGAUAAUGUUCUACCUGUAGUUGAUUCUCAAGUAGCUUCAACCUAUUGUUAGUGUCUUCUCGUUCCUUUUCUUUGGACUCCUCAGCCUUCCGCCUUUGCUCCUCUUCAACAGCCUGCUGCUUCAUUAAAUUCUGUAACAUGGCAUUAGGCUCAUAUAGGUUGGACCGGUGCUAUUUCGAGGCAUGGACAUAAAUGAAAGGUUAGAAUGCUAACCUUGAGACUUGUGGUGCAUCUAUCUCGCAGCGCCGUGAAUGAUGUGAUCUUCAGUGACGUGGAGGUUUCAGGAGGUAUUGCUGUCUACACCUACAAAGAAGAGAAUGUUGACAGAUUUUGCCGUGUAACCGUGCCACUGUUCAACUCUGAAUAUAGUAUGUUGUCUGAACAAGUUAGCAGGAGCAUAGUCUGCACCAGAGGAUUUGGCAAAUAACUUCAGAAUUUUUAAUUGAACAUGGAUAUAUUAUUCUUGGAAGGAAAGUCUACACCAGUAGAUAUUGUGAUCUUCAAGGAUAACCCAACAUUUUAGGUGCUCUACAAGGAAUGGAUAUGAGAACGUUGCAGCGUCACAAUAGUCAAGAACCUCCACAGAAGGGUUCCAAUACUCAAGGUUUAUUUCUAGUGCUUCUUUUUUCCAGUGUAAAGAAGGGAGUAACCACAGUUUCCCCAAUUGUUGAAUCACAGAUGUAUCACCACAUAAACAGAGCAUAUGACAAGUUCAAAAUUCGAGUGCAAAACAUAUGUUCUUGUGCAACACAAAACGUCCGAAGUUUAAGCGCACAAACAUCGGCAACUCGAUUGCAACUACUUUCACUGAAUAAUGUAUCUCUCAUAACAGUAAAAAAACUAUUUCCUAGCCCAAAAAGAUGUUUUCUCGGAUCACAAUCGAUACCCCUACUUUAUGGCUGAAAACCCUUCUUUAUCACCCAAAACCCUAGCUUUAUUACGCCGCCCAAACUUACCAAACCCUGUUCUGACUUGAAUCCGACCGAUCAUCACAACAUUACAUCCCACCGGUGAUUUCCGCGGUGGUGCAGAAGAAUAGAGGCGGAGGGGAUUUCGAGAACUUGUCAUAAUCCGGAGGGAAGAUCCUGUGCGGGCGGACAAGAUGCACGGAGACGGCGGCUCCAUACCGCUGCUGAUCACCGAUGACGUCGCCAAGAGGAGGCGGACAUCAUCAAGGGAACGUCGACACGACGAGUUCUCCGAUAGAGGAGGCAAAGAGAUGUGUUAGAAGUGAGUGCUUUGAUUUAAUUCAAUUUUUUUUUAAUCUCCACCGAUGUGCUCGAGUUGGAGUGCAGUUUUCCCCCCGCAAAACGCAAUGACCGGCUUGGCCCCUCCGCCGCUAACGUGCCGCUAGAUGUCGCGUGCUGAUUGGCUCGACUAAUUUGCACAUCGGCAACAAGUUCCUGGGUGGCAGGGCGAGCAAUCGCAAGUUGUGUCACCGGCCAGAGUCCAGACAGUUUGUGGGUGUGCAGUGUUGUUACAUCUUUUUUAUGUUUUUUUAGAAUCAUCUUUUUUAUGUGAGAGGCUUUCACAAAUCUCUAAAUAAAUAAAGGACGCGUCUAGUGGGCGGCCGGCUGCCCACUAGCGCGAUCGAGCAGCUGGCCAUAAAAAGCAACUUCCUGUCCCCCACGUGGUACAGAAAAAGCAGGAUCGAGCUGCCACCAAACCGAGUGAUUCCAGCGCCCAAUCCCGAACAAAAAGCGACCCCCCCACGUGGCCAGCUGUCCACAAACUCGCUCGCCCCCACGUCCCAACCCCUCCCACGCCCGCUCGCCCAGGCAAUCCCACGCUGCUUUCUUGACCUGCAGGAAAGAAAGGGAUCCAAAGCUCCUUCUUCCUCCUCCUAUAUAGCCGCCAUGGGAGCAGAAAGAUAGAUGAAUCUGCUUCAACAAAUUGAUCUAAAAUGCAGGGUGAUCAGACCCAUACCAGGCAACAAACAUCAGGCAAGUACUUCCUCUCUAACCCUCUUCAGUUGUCCCCUUUCUUGUACUGCAUCUAUAAAACACCCUCCUCCAUGGAUCCAUCAGCAAAUCCAUGAAGAAUCUGCUUCAAAAAAAGAGUACAUUUGAAACAUCACCUUAUUGUGAACAUCACACCGGCCGCACCCCCCCCCCAUGAGUGCAUCUGCACACUAACUUAGGGUUCCCAGAUCGAAACUGAACGUGUUUUUCUAAACAUGCAUGCUAAGCAAGUUUACCCUGCCCCUUUUAUGUGUUCAACAAGUCAACUAAGACAUAUUUACUGGCCAACAAAUACAUGAUUCUAGCCAACUGAACAUGCAUGCUUGCCAACUAGAUAUAUGCAUCCUGGCCAACUGAAACGUCUAUUCUAGCCAGCUGAACACAUUGACUGUGCAACGGAACAUGCAUGCUGGCCAACUGAUAUAUGCAUCCUAGCCAAUUGAAAUGUCUAUUCUAGCUAGCUAAACACAUUGACUGUGCAACAGAACAUGCAUCCUGGCCAAGCUGAUAUAUGCAUCCUGGCCAACUGAAAUGUCUAUUCUAGCCAGCUAAAUACAUUGGUUGUGCAACAGAACAUGCAUUCUGGCCAAAAUGAUAUAUGGAUCCAUGAAAAUUCAAACAUCUAUUUUAGCCAACUAAACACAUUGGCUGUGCAACUGAACAUGCAUGCUGACCAACUGAUAUAUGCAUCCUAGGAAAAUUGAAACAUCUAUUCUAUCCAACUGAAUACAUGGACUGUGCAACUGAAUAUGCAUGCUGGCCAACUGAUAUAUGCAUCCUGGGAAAUUGAAACAUCUAUUCUAGCAAAAUUGAACACAUUGACUGUCAAACAAAACUUGCAUGCUGGCCAACUGAUAUAUGCAUCCUGGCCAACUCAAAGAUCUAUUCUAGCCAAAACCAAAAAACUGCAGUACGGCAACUUCUGCAGCAAUAUGUGCAACAGAUAAAUAAACAAGGUUAUUGAAGCCAUAAAACCACAUUAAAGUAGUCACACAUAUAUUCUGGUAGCACACCUAUUGCAAAGCUAUAGUGUAAAAAUAUGUUCAAAUAUACUGAAAGUAGAAACAGAAACGGCGACGAAAAACAUAUAUCUAUAGUCUGUCAUCAAAUUCUUCUUUCUUCUUUCACCUGGAUUUUGCAUCUGAAAAAGUAGCAUCAAAUUGUGUCCCUAUUAUGUGCAGCAAAAUUUGAAUAAGCUCCUUGCCAACGGAACCCUGCGGAUCAUUGCAAUAAAAGCAGAGGAAAAAGUCAGAAAACUCUAUGGCAAAAAGAAGUCAAGUUCUUGCCAACUAUUUACUACAAACUGUGCAACUAACAUAACAACUCUGUGCAAAAACAAAAAAUGCAUGCAUGUUAUAAUAAAAGAUUCUGCUACAGACAUGUUGCUUUUGGAACUAAGAUUGUCAUAAAAUGGUGUGCAACUGCCUAUUUACUAAGUUUUUUGGUUGUUUGAAACACUCUUUUCUAUGAUUAACAACUGAUGACAUCACUUUCUUCUUUUUUAUAUGUGCAGUGAGUGUGUGGCAGCAUCCAAAAAAAGGAAAAAAAUGCUUGUUUUCAAUGAGCUUCCUCAUGAUACGGAUCAGCAGCAACCCAGCAUACCACAAGGAAACUGGACAGAAAAUGUACGAUCUGUUUACUACACACAGGCUAGUCAUGGUGGAAACCCUAUGGGCCAUGACAAUGUGGUAGACCAACCAUCAACCCGUGGUGCCCCUGUAGUGGUGUCUUUGCAGUCAGAGAGCCAUACUCUAGAUGACAUGGGAACCGAGGCAAAUGUUCCUCAUCCAACCAGGACUGAGCUAGGAGCUGGGGCUGUUGACGGAGCUGUGCAAGAAGAAGAAGGAGAGGAUGAGGCUGGUUCUCAACGUAUGGAACCCUAUGUUGGCACGAGGUUUGACAGCCUUCAAAUUGCUAAGGAUCACUACAACAGCUACGCACUACGGAUGGAUUUCUCUAUCAAUAUGAACACAUCUAGACGGACACCCCGCACCAAUGAAUUGAUAAAACAACAGUUUUGCUGCAACAAGUUCAAGAAGCCCAAAGCUGAUGAUGGAGGAGCUGAGGCUCCUCCUGUUUUGGACCCUAUUCCAGAUCCAAAAUCUGUUGACAGUGAUGAGGAGAUGAAAGAAGAACCUCCAAUAUUUGCUGAAGAGGAGGCUGGUACUAGUAAGAAGAAGAAGAAGCGCAAACGUGAGACAAUAAAGCAGACUCAGUGCAAAGCAAAAAUGUUGGUGAAGCUGAUAGAUGGGCGAUGAGAGGUGACACACUUUGUUCGUGACCACAAUCAUCCGCUCGUGAACAAACCUUCAUUGUCCAAAUACUUGAGAUCCCACCAAGGCAUCUCACCUGAUGAAAAGGAGUUUCUGCGCAUCUUGUAUAACUGCAACUUGACUACAGGUGUGGUGUUUUUCUAUAUCCCUUAAAGAAUUAAGUUUUCCUCUAGGCAGUCUAGUGUGCAACUUUUAUGGUAGUACUGUGCAACUGAAAUGACUUAACUGUGCAACUGGUGUCCAACUGGUGUGCCACUGAAAUGACUUCACUUUUGGUGCUUGUUGUGCAACUAGAUUGUCUUUACUGUGCAACUAGACGAUGUCAUGUAUGCAAAAAGUGCAAAAGUGUUUUUAAAAAGAUGCAGCUAGGUGUCCAUUUCCUGCGAUUAUCUUUUGUGCCAACACAUUUCCUAUUACUGUGCAGCUGGAUGUGCGCAUUCGUGCAACUAAAAGAAGGAUAUACUAUUUUUUUGUAUUAUGCAGGACGUAUGAUGCAUGUAAUGGCAGAGUUUUAUGGAUCUAAGAUGAUGGUGCCAUUCGGACCAAAGGCAAUAACUAAUAUUUGUACAAGUUUCUGUAAAGAUGACACAAAGGAGGGUGAUCUGAUUGAGACAAUUGCGCACUUCAAGGAUAUUAAAAAACCGAUCCAGACUUCUUCUAUAAGGUGAAAUAUGAUGAAGAGGACAGAGUUGUCAACAUAUUUUGGGUGGAUGGCUUAGCUCGAAAAGCUUAUGCGGAGGCGUACCACGAUUGCAUAUCGUUUGACACCACCUACAUGACCAACAUGUACAAUAUUCCGUUUGCACCCUUCAUAGGAAUAAACUGACAUGGCCAAUCUUUCAUGUUGGGUUGCGCGUUUGUGAGGCAGGAGUUGGCAUCGAGCUUUGAUUGGGUCUUUGGAGCAUUCCUAGAGGCUAUGGAUGGCAAACCUCCUGACAACUUCAUAACCGAUCAGGAUGGUGCAAUGAGGCAGUCAAUACAGAGCAUCUUUCCAAACCACAGUGCACCGCUGUUGUCGAUGGCACAUCAUGAAAAAGGCUCAGGAAAAAGUUAGUUGGCUGCUGUGCCGGAAUCCAGGACUCUCUGAUGAUUUCAACAAGUGUGUUGACUUCAGCUUCACUAUAGACGAGUUUGAGCAGAAUUGGGCUGGGUUAAUGGUGAAGUACGAGGCUAUGACACACACACACACACACUUUGAGAAGUUGUACGAAUACAGGUCAACUUGGAUGUCGUGCUACUUCAAGCACAGGUUCUUCCCGUUCCUACAAUCUACAUAGUGUAAUGAGGGGUUCAACACCGUCCUGAAAAGAUAUGUGAACCCACACAACUCAAUGCUGAACUUCGUCAAGCAAUAUGAAAAAAAUCCAGAACCACAUCCUUGCCAAGGAAGGCUGCAAUGAUUAAAGGACAGAACACCUUGAGAUUGAGCUGUGGUCCAACUUCCCAAUAGAGAAGCAAGUUUACAAAACCUAUACUAGGGACCUUUACCGCAAGUUCAGAGAAGAGUUUGAGCUGAUUGGAUGUUAUAAUGCAUUCCAAGUUGGUGCUGAUAUAGAGCUCAGACCGAACCAGGAAUUUGUUGCCAAAUAUGGUUCUCGAAACUACUUGGUGUAGGCAAGGGUGGAGGAGGGCUCCUAUUUGUGUGAGUGCUGUAAAAUGGACAAAGACGACAUCCUCUAUUGCCACAUCCUCAAGGUGUUCACCCAUAUUGGAGUUGAUGUCAUACCGGAAAGGUACCUGCUAAGACAGUGGACACCUACUGCUAUACCUAGUGCGCCAGGGACUGGUUAUGAGCAACCGGAUGAAAUGCCUCCUCAGUCAAAGAAGCAGAUAAGGGAGAGGAACAUGAUAUACGAUUUUUGGAAACUAGCAAAGUUUGUGAGUGGUUCUGAUCCAGCACAAGCUAUUGUACACAAGCAUAUGCGUGCAACACGUACCGAGAUCGGCCACAUGAACAAGUCCAAGAAAAAGAAAAAACCGACUGCUGCCACGGGGCCAUCAGAUGAUGGCAACCCUCGAGGACCUCCUCCACCUCCACGCAGCAAUCAGGGUGCUCAUUAUCCAGCUAAUUAUCUGCCCCAACUCCUGAUCUAAAUAGGUGUGUAACUUCAGUUGCACACAUCAUUGUGCCUAGUUGCACACAUCAUGGUGGCCAGUUGCAUAGAAACAGGCUGCCUAGUUGCGCAUACUGUGUUAGUUCAAGCAUCGAGAUAACAUAACUAACUUGUUUUUCCUGUUCUGGAUAUAGAUGAUGUCAACCCUCAAGGACAUCCUCCACCUCCUGGCCCUAUAGGUAGCACUCAGGGGCCUCAUCGUCCAGGUAAUUACCUGCCCCAACUCCCAAUCAAACUAGGUCUGUAACUCCAGUUGCACACAUCAUGGUGCUCAGUUGCACAGAAAACAGGCUACCUAGUUGCGCACGUUGUGUUAGUUCGAGCAUCAAAGAUAACACAACUAACUUGUUUGUCCUGUUCUAUCUAUAGGUGAUGCCAACCCUCAAAGACCUCCUCCCCCGCCUGGCCCAACUAGCAGUGCCCUGCGUGCUACUCCCAAUGGACCUACAUGCAGGACUCAGGGGGCUCAUCACCCAGGUAAAAUACCUUCCCCAACUCCCAACAAAACUAGGAUGUGUGACUUCAGUUGCACAUAUCAUUAUGCCAGUGCAACGUCUUGAGCUUGCAUUGGUUUUCCUCGAAGAGGAGAGGGUGAUGCAUCAAUAGUAGCGUAAGUAUUUCCCUCAGUUUUUGAGAACCAAGAUAUCAAUCCAGUAGGAGGCUCCUCAAAAGUCACACGCACGUACACAAACAAACUGAGAACUCGCAACCAACGCGAUAAAGGGGUUGUCAAUCCCUUCACGGCCACUUGCGAAAGUGAGAUCUAAUAAAGAUGGUAAGCUAAGAUAAAUAUGUUUUUGGUAUUUUAUAAUAUGGAUGCAAAAAGUAAAGAUGCAAAUAAAAGUAGAUUGAAAGCAAAUAUGAUAAGAGAUAGUCCCGGGGGCCAUAGGUUUCACUAGAGGCUUCUCUCAAGAUAUCAUAAGUAUUACGGUGGGUGAACAAAUUACUGUCGAGCAAUUGAUAGAAAAGCGCAUAGUUAUGAGAUUAUCUAGGCAUGAUCAUGUAUAUAGGCAUCACGUCCAUAACAAGUAGACCGACUCCUGCCUGCAUCUACUAUUAUUACUCCACACAUCGACUGACUCCUGCCUGCAUCUAGAGUAUUAAGUUCAUAAGAACAGAGUAACACAUUAAGCAAGAUGACAUGAUGCAGAGAGAUAAACUCAUGCAAUAUGAUAUAAACCCCAUCUUGUUAUCCUUGAUGGCAACAAUACAAUACGUGCCUUGCAACUCUUUCUGUCACUGGGUAAGGACACCGCAAGAUUGAACCCAAAGCUAAGCACUUCUCCCAUGGCAAGAAAGACCAAUCUAGUAGGCCAAACCAAACUGAUAAUUCGAAGAGACUUGCAAAGAUAACUCAACCAUACAUAAAAGAAUUCAGAGAAGAUUCAAAUAUUAUUCAUAGAUAAACUUGAUCAUAAACCCACAAUUCAUCGGAUCUCGACAAACACACCGCAAAAAGAGUUUACAUCGAAUAGAUCUCCACAAGAGAGGGGGAGAACAUUGUAUUGAGAUCCAAAAAGAGAGAAGAAGCCAUCUAGCUAAUAACUAUGGACCCGUAGGUCUGUGGUAAACUACUCACAACUCAUCGGAGGGGCAAGGAUGUUGAUGUAGAGGCCCUCCGCGGUCGAUUCCCCCCCCGGCAGAGUGCCGACGAAGGCUCCAAGAUGGGAUCUCGCGGAUAUAGAAGGUUACGGUGGUGGAAAUUGUGUUUCAUGGUGCCCCUGGAUGUUUUCGGGGUACGUAGGUAUAUAUAGGAGGAAGAAGUACAUCGGUGGCCGCCCGAGGGGCCCACGAGACAGGGGGCGCACCCUAGAGGGGGGGGGGCUCCUAUCUCGUGGAGCCCUCAGCUGCUUCUUGACUUGCAUUCCAAGCUCUCCGGAUCACGUUCGUUCCAAAAAUCACGCUCCCGAAGGUUUCAUUCCGUUUGGACUCCGUUUGAUAUUCCUUUUCUUCGAAAUAUUGAAAUAGGCAGAAAAAACAGCAAUACGGGCCGGGCCUCCGGUUAGUAGGUUAGUCCCAAAAAUGAUAUAAAUGUGUAAAAUAAAGCCCAUAAACAUCCAAAAGAGGUAAUAUAAUAGCAUGGAACAAUCAAAAAUUAUAGAUACGUUGGAGACGUAUCAAGCAUCCCCAAGCUUAAUUCCUGCCCGUCCUCGAGUAGGUAAAUGUAAAUAAGAAAUUUUUGAUGUGGAAUGCUACCUAGCAUAAUUCUCAAUGUAAUUUUCUUUAUUGUGGCAUGAAUGUUCAGAUCCAAAUGAUUCAAAAUAAAAGCUUAUAAAACAUAAAAAUAAUAAUGCUUCAAAGCAUACUAACAAAAAAUCAUGUCCUAUCAAAAUAACAUAGCCAAAGAAAGCUUAUCCCUACAAAAUCAUAUAGUUAGGCCAUGCUUCAUUUUCAUUACACAAAAUACUCCCAUCAUGCACAACCUCGAUGACGAGCCGAGCAAUUGUUUCAUACUUUUUAACGCGCUUCAACUUUUUCAACUCUUACGCAAUACAUGAGCGUAAUCCAUGGACAUAACACUAUAGUGGUAUAUGGUGGUGGUUGUGAGGACAAAAAGAGGGAGAAGAUAAUCUCACAUCAACUAGGCGUACUAACGGGCUAUAUAGAGGUGCCCAUUAAUAGAUAUCAAUGUGAGUGAGUAGGGAUUGCCAUGCAACGAAUGCAGUAGAGCUAUAAAUAUAUGAAAGCUGAAAAAAGAAACUAAGUGGGUGUGCAUCCAACUUGCUUGCUCAUGAAGACCUAGGGCAUUUUGAGGAAGCCCAUUGUUGGAAUAUACAAGCCAAGUUCUAUAAUGAAAAAUUCCCACUAAGUAUACGAAAGUGACAACAUAGGAGACUCUCUAUCAUGAAGAUCAUGGUGCUACUUUGAAGCACAAGUGUGGAAAAAGAGAUAGUAGCAUUGUCCUUUCUCUCUUUUUAUCUCAUUUUAUUAUUUUUUCUUUUCUCUUUUUUUCUUUGGCCUUUUUUUUUCUUUUUGGCCUUUCUCAUUUUUUUUCUUUUUUUUAUUUCUCUUUUUUUUCUUUUUGUAAAGUCCGAAGUCUCAUCCCUACUUGUGCGGGAAUCAUAGCCUUCAUCAUCCUUACCUCACUAGGACAAUGCUCUAAUAAUUAAGAUCAUCACACUUCUAUGGAUUUACAACUCAAGAAUUACAACUCAAAGCUAGAACAAGAUCUGACUCUAUAUGAAUGCCUCCGGCGCUGUACCGGGAUAUGCAAUGAAUCAAGAGCGACAUGUAUGAAAAUUAUGAAGGUGGCCUUGCCACAAAUACGAUGUCAACUACAUGAUCAUGCAAAGAGCAAUAUGACAAUGAUGGAACGUGUCAUAAUAAAUGGAAUGGUGGAAAGUUGCAUGGCAAUAUAUCUCGGAAUGGCUAUGGAAAUGCCAUAAUAGGUAGGUAUGGUGGCUGUUUUGAGGAAGGUAAAUAAGGGGUUUAUGAUACCGACAAAAGUUGCGCGGUAAUAAUAAAGGCUAGCAACGUAAAAGGAUGAGUGUGCAUAUGUCCAUGGACUCACAUUAGUCAAAAGAGAACUCAUAUACUUAUUGAAAAAGCCUACUUAGCCCUCGAAGCAAAGUACUACUACGCAUGACCCAAGAGGGAUAGAUUGGUAGGAAAAGACCAUCGCUCGUCCCCGACUGCCACUCAUAAGGAAGACACUCAAAAGAGCACCUCAUCCAACAAAUUUGUCACACAACUUUUACCAUACGUGCAUGCUACGGGACUUGCCAACUUCGACAAAAGUAUUUCUCAAUUUCAUAAUUACCCACUAGCAUGACCCUAACAUUACUACCUUUAUAUCUCAAAACAACUAUCAAGCAUCAAGUUGAUCAUAGCAUCCAAUUCUUAUUCUAUGAUAGUUUUUAUUAUACCCAACUUGGAUGCUCAUCAUUCUAAGACCAACUUUGUAACCAUAGCAAAUACCAUGUUGUUCUAAAAAACUCUCAAAAAUAUAUAAGUGAAGCAUGAGAGACUAGAAAUUUCUUCAAAAUCAGGACACCACCAUGCUCUAAAAGAUAUAAGUGAAGCACUAGAGCAAAAACUAUCAAGCUCAAAAGAUAUAAGUGAAGCACAUAGAGUAUUCUAGCAAAUUCUAAUCAAAUAAGCUUCUCCCAAAAGGUGUGUACAGCAAGGAUGAUUGUGGUAAACUAAAAAGCAAAGACUAAUAUAAUACACGAUGCUCCAAGCAAAACACAUAUCAUGUGGCGAAUAAAAAUAUAGCUCCAAGUAAAGUUACCAAUGAACGAAGACGAAAGAGGGGAUGCCUUCCUGGGGCAUCCCCAAGCUUAGGAUUUUGGCUAUUCUUGAAUAUCUUGGGGUGCCUUGGGCAUACCCAAGCUUAGGCUCUUGCCACUCCUUAUUCCAUAGUCCAUAAAAACUUUACCCAAAACUUGAAAACUUCACAACACAAAACUCAACAGGAAAUCUUAUAAACUCCGUUAGUGAAAGAAAACAAAACCACUACAUAAGGUACUGCAAUGAACUCAUUAUUUAUUUAUUUUGGUGUUAAACCUACUGUAUUCGAACUUCCUUAUGGUUUAUAAACUAAUUUACUAACCAUAGAUGCAUUGAAAUAAGCAAACAACACACGAAAAACAGAAUCUGUCAAAAACAGAACAGUCUGUAGCAAUCUGUAACUAACGCAAAUUGCUGGAACUCUAAAAAUCCUACCAAAAUAGGAAGUCCUGGACAAUUUGUUUAUUGAAAAGCAGAAAAAAGAAUCAACGCAAAAUCACGUUCCUGUGAUUUAACAAAAUUAUAUUCGUGCCCGCAAAGUUUCUGUUUUUCAGCAGAAUCAAAUCAACUAUCAUCGUAGGUUAUCCUAUAGGUUCUACUUGGCACAAACACUAAUUAAAAGAUAAAACACAUCUAAACAGAAGGUAGAUGCAAGAUUUAUUACUAAACAGGAGCAAAAACAAAGAACAUAAAGAAAAUUGGGUUGCCUCCCAACUAGCGCUAUCGUUUAACGCCCCUAGCUAGGCAUAAAAACAAAGAUAGAUCUAAGUAGUGCCAUAUUUGGCACUAGAUUCGUAAGUAGCACGCAUGAUAGAUUCAUAAGGUAAUUUGACUUUAUUUCUUGGAAAGUGCUCCAUGCCUUUCUUUAAUGGAAAUUGGAAUCUAAUAUUCCCUUCCUUCAUAUCAAUAAUCGCACCAAUCGUUCUAAGAAAAGGUCUACCAAGAAUAAUAGGGCAAGAAAGAUUGCAAUCUAUAUCAAGAACGAUAAAAUCUACGGACACCAAAUUUCUAUUUGCAACAAUAAGAACAUCAUUGAUCCUUCCCAUAGGCCUUUUAAUGGUGGAAUCCGCAAGGUGCAGAUUUAAAGAGCAAUAAUCAAGAUCAUGGAAACCUAGAAUAUCACAUAAAGUUUCGGAAUCGUGGAAACACUAGCACCCAAAUCACACAAAGCAAAACACUCACAAUCUUUAAUUCUAAUCUUUAUAGUAGGUUCCCACUCAUCAUUAAGUUUUCUAGAUAUAGAAACUUCCAAAAUUAAGUUUUUCAUCAUAAGAUUGCAUCAAGGCAUCAACGAUAUGUUUGGUAAAAGUUUUAUUUUGACUAUAAGCAUGAGGAGAAUUAACAAUGGAUUGCAACAAGAAAAUACAACCUUUUAAAGAGCAAUUAUAAUAAUCAAAUUCCUUGAAAUCCGAGAUAGUAGAUUCAAUAUUAUUAGAAGUUGAGGAUUCUCCAAUCUCACUUUUACCAAAUUUAGCAAUAAGAUCUAAAGAUUCCGAAUUCUUGGGACGCCUUCUAGGCAAAGUUGAUUCAUCAUCAGUCCCAUUAUCAUCAAAAUUCAUAUUGCAAAAUAUAGAUCUAAUAGGAGACACAUCAAUAACUUUAAGAUCCUCAUCAUUAUUUUCACCUAACUUUUCUGGUUCAGCGGCCAUCUUAUUGACUAAGGUGGCUUGCUUAUCAGAAAUUUUGGCUAUAGUAUUUUCAAGACGGGUAAUUUGAGCAUUAACACCAUAAAAUUCUUCAUUCAUAUCAUCAAGCUCUUUGUUCCUAAACCCCAAAAAACCUUUUUGUUCCUUAAGCUCUUUUCUAAAGAAGUUAUUAUGCUAAAAUUGCAAAUUCAUAAAGCUUCUAAUAUUUGAUUCAAUCUCUUCCAUCCUUCUGAGAAGGUGGUCAUGACCCUUAGGCGAAGCCAUAAGGACAAACAGGCACACAAGCAAACAGAGAAGGGCAAGCGAAAGAGAGGAGGAGAUUGCGAAAGAGAGGGCGAAUAAAACGGCAAGGGUGAAGUGGGGGAGAGGAAAACAAGAGGCAAAUGGUAAAUAAUGUAAAUGCGAGGGAGAUGGGUUUGUGAUGGGUACUUGGUAUGUCUUGACUUGAGCGAAGACCUCCCCGGCAACGGCGCCAGAAAUCCUUCUUGCUACGUCUUGAGCUUGCGCUGGUUUUCCUCGAAGAGGAGAGGGUGAUACAUCAAUAGUAGCGUAAGUAUUUCCCUCAGUUUUUGAGAAACAAGGUAUCAAUCCAGUAGCUGGCUCCUCAAAAGUCCCACGCACCUACACAAACAAACUGAGAACUCGCAACCAACGCGAUAAAGGGGUUGUCAAUCCCUUCACGGCCACUUGCGAAAGUGAGAUCUAAUAAAGAUGGUAAGAUAAGAUAAAUAUAUUUUUGGUAUUUUAUAAUAUGGAUGCAAAAAGUAAAGAUGCAAAUAAACAUAGAAUGAAAGCAAAUAUGAUAAGAGAUAGACCCGGGGGCCAUUGGUUUCACUAGAGGCUUCUCUCAAGAUAGCAUAAGUAUUACCGUGGGUGAACAAAUUACUGUCGAGCAAUUGAUAGAAAAGUGCAUAGUUAUGAGAUUAUCUAGGCAUGAUCAUGUAUAUAGGCAUCACGUCCAUAACAAGUAGACCGACUCCUGCCUGCAUCUACUACUAUUACUCCACACAUCGACCGACUCCUGCCUGCAUCUAGAGUAUUAAGUUCAUAAGAUCAGAGUAACGCAUUAAGCAAGAUGACAUGAUGUAGAGGGAUAAACUCAUGCACUAUGAUAUAAACCCCAUCUUAUUAUCCUCGAUGGCAACAAUACAAUACGUGCCUUGCAACCCUUUCUGUCACUGGGUAAGGACACCGCAAGAUUGAACCCAAAGCUAAGCACUUCUCCCAUGGCAAGAAAGACCAAUCUAGUAGGCCAAACCAAACUGAUAAUUCGAAGAGACUUGCAAAGAUAACUCAACCAUACAUAAAAGAAUUCAGAGAAGAUUCAAAUAUUAUUCAUAGAUAAACUUGAUCAUAAACCCACAAUUCAUCAGAUCUCAACAAACACACCGCAAAAAGAGUUUACAUCGAAUAGAUCUCCACAAGAGAGGGGGAGAACAUUGUAUUGAAAUCCAAAAAGAGAGAAGAAGCCAUCUAGCUAAUAACUAUGGACCCGUAGGUCUGUGGUAAACUACUCACAACUCAUCGGAGGGGCAAGGAUGUUGAUGUACAGGCCCUCCAUGGUCGAUUCCCCCUCCAACAGAGUGCCCGGCGAAGGCUCCAAGAUGGGAUCUCGCGGAUACAGAAGAUUACGGUGGUGGAAAUUGUGUUUCGUGGCGCCCCUGGAUGUUUUCGGGGUACAUAGGUAUAUAUAGGAGGAAGAAGUACGUUGGUGGCCGCCCGAGGGGCCUACGAGACAGGGGGCAUGCCCUACAGGGGGGCGCAGCCUCCUAUCUCGUGGAGCCCUCGACUGCUUCUUGACUUGCACUCCAAUCUCUCCGGAUCACGUUCGUUCCAAAAAUCACGCUCCCGAAGGUUUCAUUCCGUUUGAACUCCGUUUGAUAUUCCUUCUCUUCGAAAUACUGAAAUAUGCAAAAAAAACAGCAAUACAGGCUGGGCCUCCGGUUAGUAGGUUAGUCUCAAAAAUGAUAUAAAUGUGUAAAAUAAAGCCCAUAAACAUCCAAAAGAGGUAAUAUAAUAGCAUGGAACAAUCAAAAAUUAUAUAUACGUUGGAGACGUAUCACCCAGUUGCACAGAACAUGCUGCCUAGUUGCGUGCGCUGUGUUAGUUUGAGGAUCAAGCUAAAAAUCUAACUUGUUUUUCCUGUUCUACCCAUAGGCAAUUACAAUCCAAGUACCAUGACGGGACGUGCUACUCCAAGUGUUUUUUCAACUUAACCUGCACACAUCAACCAGUUAGGUGCACAGCAUGGGCUGCGUGGUUGCAGAGAACAUUAGUGCUGGUUGCACAACAAAAAAAGUACUAAAUUUUUUAUAUGAUUAUUACACAGGUGAUCGUGAUGGUCCUACUGCCCCGUUGGAGGAUGCAUCCCCUGCACAAGCUUCUGAUGACUUUGUGCCCAGGGAUCCUCCAAGGUCUACUACAAAGGGUAGGGCAAAAAGUUGACGGUACAAAUCGGCGCUGGAGCUACACCCAAAGAAGAAAAACAAAUGCAACCAAUGCCAAUCUACAGAGCACACUGCUGGUGUGUGUGUCCACUCAGGCUACUGUGAUUCUGUUUCACCAUUUGUAACUUUGAGACAAAAAAGGAAAAGAAUGAUGUUUUUUAGCAAUGCUGGGACCAAGUAGACACAUUCAGCAUCUAUGAUUUCUCUUUAUCUAAUUUAUGCUCCUUGAAUUAUUUCAUGCACUGUGUAAAAAAUGUUGCUAUUUGUACCUUUGUUGGCAACUGGUUAAAUAUUUAGUUGUUGAACAAUUGUAUGUCAAGUGCUCCUAAUAUAUCAACAAAAGUGAUGAUAUUGACUUGCAAACGGAAUUGCUACUAGUGUGCAACUACAAAAUCUGCUUAAAAAUUGUGCAAACCAGCAACUACCUCCAUGGAGCAGAGAAAGAAAAAGAGUACUGACCUAGUCCUUGUCGUAUCUCAGCAACUUCCUCCAUGGGGCGGUGUUGUGCACGCUGGUGACCCAGUCAUAUGCCAUCUUCUUCCUGAUGUUGAGUACUUCCUUGGGUUCGUAGUUGGGCAGUUGGCUAUCGUUCCACUCGGUGGCGUUAAGCAGUGCGAACAACCCACACUCAUUACUGCGAUGGGCAAGAAAAGAAAAUUUGUCACAUAAAAUUAAAACCAAAUAAAGAUAAUGCACUCUGUGCAACUGCUUAUGUUCUACUGUGCAACUGUUUAUGUUCUACUGUGCAACUACUUAUGUUCUACUGUGCAACUUCUUAUGUGCCACUAUGCAACUGCUUAUGUGCCACUCUGCAACUGGCUAGAUAAUCCAUUAGAAACUCAUAAAAAUGAUAAACAGAUUGCAGACUAGUACUGUGUCUUAAAAAACUAAAGAUUGCACAUGUAGAAAAAUUUAAAAACUACAAAAUGAUGGUAAGAAAUUGAGAAGAGAGCCAUGCUUAUUGUCUUACUUGCCGAGCUGCUUCGGUACGUCAAUGUAAAUAAUCUGAAAGUGCUCGAUGCUGAAAUUUGGGUAAUGCUUCCUCCAUAGCUGGCGUACUGCCCCCGCGAUGGUAGAGGCGGUGGUCAUCAGCUCAAUGUCAUCUAGCGUCCUGCUUGAAUCAAGAACUUCGAAGCGUCCGUCCCUCAAGUUGACAUUGAAGACCCAAUAAUGCCUCCCUCCCUCCUUAUCGGUUACAUCAGUGCACUCGAGCACUGGCAGCAUGACCUGCAAGUGUGAACGAUUUCAGACAUAGAUACAGGCUGUAGCUAAGAAAAAACAGUAAAAGACUUGGUCAAGUUAAAACAUGUUGCAACAAGUAUGUGCCAACUAACAGAUGUGCCAUGUGCAACUGAACAUGCUGUGGGUGUCAACAAAAAGAGAUGGAUCAUGUGGGCACAACACUCACCAAGUCCUUCUUGUCGAGACGGUUCUUGUAAUCAAACUUCUUGUUUAUCUCUUUCACGUUGUGGAUACCUUGCUGUAAAUUCAUCUGCAGAGAUUAUAAAGCAUGGCUCAAACUCCUUAGUAGAUGAAAGGCCUCCCUCAAUUGGUCAACAAAAAAGUGCUACAGAACAAAGAUGAGGGUAAGGAAGGUUUUGGAAAAACUUACCGAAAAACUCAGUGGCAUAACAACCUUCUUUGACCCUUCUAGUAAGCUCUCCAUGAUGUGUAAGAUUCCAGUCUCAAUAACAAUUUUUGACAGCCAUUGAACCGGCUUCAUCGAAUCAACUAACUCCUUUAAAGAAAUGUAGAAAUCACCAUACCUGAUUAUCUCAGGGCUGAAUUUUUUUUGAAAGCAAUAAAAAGACAAGUUAGCUCGAAGGGUCAUAGUAGCAAAAAAAAUGUGCAUGAAAUUGAAAAACAGAACAGUGUGCAACUAAAAGCCCUGUUCUGUGCAACAUGCUAUGCUUUCUGUGCAACUAAGUGGCUGGUCUUGUGCAACUGAAAAAGAUAUGUAUGUAGGCUGUGGGGAGUUAGUUUACCUGGUAGCUUCAUCAUUUGCUCCUUCAUGAUGCCUGGCCCAACACAAGAGGGCAGCGUAAAGCUUGUUCACUGCCUCAUUGGAGCUGAAAGACUUCUUCUUGUUGUAGUCAAUGAAUGGAGACCUUUGAGAUGCCGCGAGCCUUAUUACCGUCCUCUGUCUUCAUGCAAUAGGUGGUCCUGAAGAACAGCUCGUGUCAGCUUCUGGUUCUGCGCAUAUCGGGGUGUGGCAAUUCUCUGGUGAUCCAACAUCUAGCUCUUGAGCUAUUGCCUUGCCAGCAUCAGCAGCAGCGCAUCCUUCAUUCACAGCUGCUGGGUCCAACUCACACUCAUCAAUACUAAUCACACCGGCUUCCGCUGUUUCUGCUGCUGGAGCAGGUGCUGGAGCAUGACCAUCUAUGCCGAGGUCAAAAGAUGGUGCAUCACAGAACCCGUCACCAUGAUAAGACUUUAAUCUUCGUAUGGGUUCAAGGACUAGGGCAUCUCCUUGCGGCACAAACAUGGGUGCAUCAUUCACUGACUUGGUUCGUGAUAGUGUUGUAGUUGGCAGCCUUGGAGGCUUGCACCUACUUAUAAUCUUGAACACCUCCUCUUGUGUUAAUGGUUGCUGAAAGUCAGCUCUUGGUGAUGCAGGCUUGCUUGGCUGUUGUGUGCUGGCUCUUGGGGACGGCAAUUUGGUAGUAGGAUCACCUCCUUUUGUGUUUGGCAUUGAAGCAUCUCUAUGAGUAGGCACUUUGGGGCUUGCAGUUGCAGUGGUGCCUUCCUGAGCAGAUGUGGUGGUUUUGACUAUGACCACGCUGCUAACUGACACAUCAGUUGGCACACUGGUAUCUGUAGUUGGCAUCUUUCCAGUCUGAGUUGGCAGCAACCUAGCAGAACUUGGCACCCCUGCAUCAAUGGUUGCAGCUCGCAGUUCUCUCUCGUCUCUGAACCCCAAAUCUUUUGUGGCCUGUUCCCCCUUUGUGCCGCUGGCAAACUUGACAAUCUUUUGUUGCUUAGGUGGUUUUGGUGGGACUGUUGAAAGGGGAGUCUUCCCCUUGAUCUGUUGAACUCCUGUUAUGGUGGUUGGCUCUCUGCUCACUACAGUUGGCAUAUCAGUUUGAAGCACAGCUUUCUUGACCAUAUUUACUUCAGCAUCUGCACUCACCAUCUUCUCCUUGGUUUGAGGCAAAUGUAGAUUCUUCUUCAUUGAAACUUCUUUACGCUUCUGGACCACGUGAGGGUUUGCCAUGGAUGCUACCUUGCUCUUGCCGGAGCUUAGGUCUCGAAGCUGCUUCAAAUAUUCCUUGUAUUUUUCCUUUGAAUGAACCCAGUCAAGACCCUUUCCUGCUUUCUCCAUGUCAAUUUGAUUCUUUUCAGCAACACUUGAUAAGAACGGGCUCUUGUCAAUGGCAACGUUGAUCUUCUCACACAUAUCUUGGUCGCUAAAAUAUGGCACAGGAAAGGUGGUUGGCAAAGCUGGCUUCAAGUUGCAGAGCUUGAACAUAUCAAUGCUGCACUGGGACUCUGCUUCGUCAUUUUUCUUUGACUUCGGCAAAUCCUUGUCUUCCAGCAAGUUUUGUCAAUUAGCAUCUGUAGUGUGCUCCUGCUACUCAGUGAAUUGCUGCUGCUGGCAGGAGUGGCAGAAGUGCUAGUCCUACUGGAUGUGUUGCCGCCUGUACGACCAGAACCAGGGGCAUUGUCAUCAUCAUCAUCAUCGCUGCUGUCGCUGCCUCCACUGGAUCCCCCUUUAUCAUCACCAUAACCCACCUCGUCUUCUUCUUCAUCAUCUUCUUCCCUCUCACUGCCAUCAACUGCUGCACCUUUGUCCCCGUCCACCUCUUUGGCCUCACCUUCUUCUUCCUCCUCCUCUGCCUCACUAUCUUCUUCCUUGUCCUCCUCCUCUCCUUUGUCCUCUUCUUGUUUGUCCUCCUCCUCCUCCUCCUCCUCCUCUUCCUCCUCCUUCUCCUCCUCUUCCUCCUCCUCUUCCUCCUCCUCCUCUGCAUCUUCUUCAUUGUCAUCCUCAUCCUUGUCCUCAUCCUCUGAUUCAUCCGCAUUUGUGUCGUCGUCAUUGUCAACAUCUAUCGCUGCUUCCAUUUCCUCAUCUUCUUCUGACUCAUCCUCAACAAACUCUUCUUCUUGUUGUAUAAUUGACCCCCGUCUCUUUCUUUUUGGAGCACGGCGUGACGCCCCGGUUUGCAUUGAUGGCUGCUGUACGUAAGGAUCAAUAUCCGGUUCCUCAUCAUCAAUCUUGGCAACUGCUUCAAUGAAGGUGCCAACCUGUUCAGUUACAGCCUUGCACAGGUCAUUGACCACUUUCGCAAUCUUUGCCUUUUUCUGCAUCAACACAAAAAAAAGAUUCAAUAUUGAUUCAGUUAGAAAAAAUUAAAAAGUAAAAUGUUUGUAACUGACCAUGAUGUGAUAAGCAAAAACCGACUAAUACACACUUUUUGGCCAACUAAAAACAUGAUUCUAGCCAACUACACAUGCACUGUGGCACAAACUAAAAACAUGCAUUCUACCCAGUUGAUGUCAAUGGUUGUAAACGAACACUUUGACUGUCAAAAAGAACAUGUGCAACUAUAGAAGCUUAUAUGUGCAACUGAACAUACAUCACAACCAACUGAAUCCUUUAUUCUCGCAACUACAAAAGUUAUACAUGUCCAACUGAACAUACAUCCCAGCCAAAAGAAAAUGUUGGUAAGUGGUACAAAUUUAUGUAUGCAAAACACUAACCUGCGGAUUGUAGGUUAUUGGUAACUUGGAUGCCACGAAUGCUUCAGCUUGCAAAAUUCCACCAAACAGUGGUGUCUGCUCCGUGCCUCUAUACUCCUCUUUAAGCUGAUGUAAAAAAACAGAAAAAGAAAAGAACAAGGUUAUCAAAACAAAUUUUUGUGUUAAACAAAACCAAACAUUAUAACCUGUGCAACUACAACAAGAUACUAUGGUAGACAAUUCGACUAUACAUAUAUGCAACUGAACAAAGAUACAAAAACUGUGCAACCCACAUGGCACCUAAAUUUUUUUUCUACCAACUGAUGCCACACAUCUAUGCAACAAGAUUAGUAAAACUGUGCAACUUAAAAAAGAUGGUGUGCCAAUUUAAAAUGAACAUGUGUGCAGAUGCCAAACUUAAAGCUACAAGCUGUGCAACUACAUGAAUUGUUGUGCCAACUGAUGACAGUUUUUGUGCAAUUUCCAAAAAAGUGACUAGACAUCAAAAGAACAUAAAAAAAGAGACUGUUGGAAAAAAACAAAGAGAACUCACUUGUAAUUUGCCGAACACACCAGGAGAGACGGUAUCAUUCUUCAUCACCUUGGCAAUUAGAGUACCAUCCCAUGCAUUCGGUCGCAUCGCGCAGUUGCUUACUGGGAUGUCAUGGACAAGCGCAUCAAGGUAUAGUAUCUUCACCAGACCCAACAAAAGAAAAGCCAAGUUCAGUUAUUAUUAUGAGUAUUUCAGCAAACUAUAACUGCACAAAAAGAAAAAGAACAGAUGGAAGUGGUCGUUUUCACUAACCAUCAAGUGAUACAAGCAGCAGCAAACAGUUUGCUUCUCCUGGUCCAUGUUCCGGAAAGCUUCGUUAAUGUGUUCUGCUACAAAAAGGCAGAUGUUUGUGUUCUUGAGGUUUUCAUGAUCAAGGCCGUGGUUGGUGCUAAGAAAGUGUUGAAGGCAACUACAAGCCAGGCCAUAAAGAAUGUGUCAUCCGUUCUUCCCCCCAUAUCCUUAAUCAUCGUGGUCCAUGUACUGAUCUGGGGAUGAGAAGUUCCAGUUAUGUUGAAGGUCUCUCUGAAUCUCCUAGUUGUUUCCUUGUCAACUUUGUAACAGACUUUUAGACCCCUGUUAGGAAGAUCAAAUACCCUUUGAACACUGUCAGCAUCGACACGGAUCCUUCCCCUUCCUAGGAAAACCAUUUCAGAGGUCUGUGGCUGGUAGGACUGCACCAGGAACUUAGUGAGGUCUGCUGGAAGUGUGUCUGACAAGUUCAAUAGCCCCCCGAACAAACUCUAAACUAGCUCUGACUUCUGUGGUGGGGUUAGAGAGGCGUUGAAAUUUGCAAACCGCGCUGGUGAUGCCCUUAUCCUGCCUGCUUGUGAUGGUCGCUCCACAUCUUCCCCUGCAGCCACCUCAACUCCUUCACCGCUGGCCUGUUAAUGAGAAUAUAAAAACAUUAAGGAAACAUUAAAAACAAGAGAAAAAAUAAGAAUGAAAAAAAAAUCUAACAAUCAUCAUUUGGAUCAGUAUUGGAAAAAGCUAUAUAUUCAUAAAAUGGAUCAUGCCAACUAAUAUGGUGUAUUUGUGCAACUAAUAAAGACCAUGAGGACAACUAAAGACUGCCAGUGUGCAACCUUCAAAAAAAACUAAGAAAAUAUACGAUACCUGGCAACUACAAAAAGUUCUAACGGAUGUGCAACAAUAAGAAAUGAUAUUGCAACAAGAUAACAACAACUAAAAAAAGGUUUGCAAGGAACUGUUCAAUAGCUCAUAAACACACAAAAAAACCACAUACCUCAGCAUCCGUUGCGGAAGAUGCGACAGGUCCUCCAGCAACUGUUGCCUGCACAAAAAAAUGACCAGUGAUGUCAACUAUAAAGAAGCCAACUUGUCAACUACAAGAUGCCAACUAAUGCCAACUAAUGUCAACUGUAUUUAGAUCAAGAUGGCUAGAGAUGUCAACUACAAGGUUGUUAUUGACAAACUAAAAACAAAAAUGGUGGUGAGACCUGCUGCAUAAUUUCAUCAGCGUCUAAAAAGCGAGAAACACUUAUAUUCGAGAAUUUACUUGCCCUAGAAGAUGACUCAACUCCCUUUCCAACUGUUGCACGUCUAGUCCGCUUUACAACACGGAACUGAUCAGCAUCCUAAGAAAAAAUAAAAAACCAAAAAAUGGGCUUGUGUCAUCAGCAUGCCACUUACCUCAACAUCCUCUCCUUGCUCAACACUCCGCGCAAGUCGUGCCUGGCGAUUAGGAGGACGCUUCGACCUCCAGCGAAGCGACUGACUUCCAGAACGCUGAUUAAGCAACCCAAAAAGAAAACAUGAAAAAAGGACAUUAGCAUACAUGCAUAAGUUGAAAACAACUCAAAAACACAGAAAAAGUGAAAAAAAAAGACAUCUUCUUCAUUGCCAUCCGCUUCUCCUCCUAUUAUAACCAUUUUUGCCCUGCAGGAGGAAAUAUAACAAAAGAAAACAUAGUUAGAAGAUGCGGAAACAAACUAGGGAAAUCAUAGAAGGUUGCUUUGAUUUGCAGACAUCUACACAUAAGCAGGACACAAAAAGCAAAAAACCAAAAAACAUGUGGACAACCAACUACUACAAUGAUGUAGCCAACUGGGCAGUAAACCUUGUGCAAACUAGACAACAUAUAAACCAACUAACUAUUUUCUGCCUAGGUCUUACUUGCCAACUGUGACAAGUAAUAACUAGGCAGAAAAUAGUUAACUAAAGGCAACAAGCUCAGUAAGAUAACUUGUGCAAACUGGAACAAGCAAAAAAUGCAAAGCAAAAAAUCCAGCAAAACAAUUGGGCAUACUAUAUUGAAAAAUUAGCAACCAUUCAGUGCUAAUUUGCAAAAAUAAUUGUCCCUAGUUGCACAUGAGGGGAACGCAUGAAAACAACCACAUCCACAACAAAGACUUGCACAUUGAGAAAAAUUAAAUUGGAAAAUUGGCAAGUAUUGGUACUAAUUUGCACAAUCAAGGGGCCCCUAGUUGCACAAAGCAGGAGAAAGCACAUGAACCACCACAGCCACCAUAAUGCUGGUGGAUAGGGUAGACUAUAUUGGAAAACUGGCAAGCAUUGAUGCUAAAUUGCACAGACAAGAGUCCCUAGUUGCACACAGCAGAGGGGGGAAAACAGCAAAGCCAACUAAGUAGAGCAACUAGCACAAAGUGUAUAACAUAUGAACAGUCAACUAGUAAAAGUGAUGCAGCCAACUGAGCAGGCAACUUGUGCAAUUGAAUACCGUAUAGACAACCAACUAGUACAAACAGUGAGCCAACUGACCAAAACAACUGCUGCAACUGCAGAGCAUAUGGACAGCCAGGUACUAUAUGGACGCAGCCAACUGAGCAGAAUUUUGUGCAACUAACCACUUGAAUUACUGAAUCAUGAACUUGCAGGAUCAGGGAAAAUCAGCCAAUGCAUUGCACAUUACAUUGCGCGCAUCUAAUACAACUUGCAGGAUGACUAAGAAUCAUGAACAGAUCUCAAACCUCUGCAAAAUUGAACAGAACAUGAACUAAACAGCCAAAUCGCCCUAAAAUCGCAACGGGCGCCAUGGACAUGCAUCCCUUCUACCUAACGACUACCACGUACCCUGGCCAACUACACGUUGACCCUGGCUAGCCACCCCCGUGCCGUCAAGGGAGUACUAAUUUGCACAAGUGAUGAUAUCUAUUUGCACACGGCAGAAUAAAAAAACACGUGGACCACCACAUCCACCACAAGGCUGGCAGAUUGGGUACACUAUAUUGCAAAAAAUGGCAAGCCUUGGUGCUAAAUUGCAAACAAGGGUUCCUAGUUGCACACAGCAGCGGGAAAACACACGAACCACCAGAUCAAUCACAAAGGAUGGCAGCUUGGCUAGUUAAUGUUGGGAAAUUGGCAAGCAUAGAUACUGAUUUGCACAAAAAAAUGGUCCCUAAUUGCACACAGCAGGGAAAAACACAUGACCCAGGAGAACCACCACAAGGCUGACACAUGGCUAUAUUGUCUCAAAAAUUGUCUACUGCUGCUCCUAUUUUGCACGCAAGGGGCAACACAGUUGCACACCGCGGGGGGAAAACACUCAUCAAAAACACCAGAUCCACCGCGAGGCUACAAUCCACAAACGAACCUCUAUGGCCGCUAACCAAUCAUCCUCCCUGAACCACUCAUCCCGUACGUAUAUACACGAACUCUCCCCCUAUUGCAAUGCAAAAACGACGGGAUGAGCACGACCCUAGCCCAUCCCUGCCAAUCCGGCGGUUUCCCAAACGAAGUAGUCCGCGGGGGUGACCUCAACCUCGCCGGAAAAUGAGUUCGACCUUCCUACCCCCGACCGUGACCUCGAGUUCGACCUUUACCUCGACCUCACCGAAAAAUGUGGGACCUCACCGGAAAAAAGGAGGGGAUGGGGACGAGUACCGGGGAACGCAUGGUAGGAGCAGUACCUGUGCCGCCGCGGACAACGACCCUCGCGGUGCGCCCCGCCGUUGACCACAACCAAUGGCGGAUUUGGAGCCGCCUCCGAGCACCAACCAGCGGCGAGAGCAGGGGGAAAGAGGAGGAAUGGGCGGCGACAGGUGCGGGGUGGACGGGGUAAUGGCACGAAAUUCGAAACCGCCACCCACUACGCACGACGGCUAUCACGCUGGGGAACUGCCUAAUCCUCUAUGACGUGUGGGUCCGUCGGGAAGUUUAUCUCGCGCGGCGCGGCUCGAUCGGACCAGGCGAUCGGUCCACGCGCGGUCCGAGCGGCGCGGCUCCACCACCCGACCAGGGAACACCUGGACAUCGCGCGCCGUCGAUCGGAACGAGAUCGAGCGGCUCUCGUUCGGCCGCUCGUUCUCUCUAGAUAGUGCGCGUGUAUUUUUUAGGUUUUGGGAUAAAUAAACUGUGAGAUGCUUUCACGGUGGGCCUUUGCCCAUCCCGUACUAUUCCACUCCACCGCCGCCAUCCAUCUCUCAUCCCAACCUACCUAUUCCAGCCGCCUCCAAGCUAUGGAGAAGCCAGUGAAGGUGCCGAUGUCCAGGCUCACCGACGACCUAAUCGCGGAGAUCCUCUCUCGGGUGCCCUACAAAUCACUCUGCAUCUGCAAGUGUGUGUGCCCGGCCUGGCGCGACCUCAUCGCCGACCCCGCGCACCGGAAGAAAGUUGUGCAGACCCUGGCCGGCUUUUUCUACCGCAUCACCGGCGAGGUCACGGCCGUCAAGUACGCCGACCUGUCCGCCUUCCCCUGGUCGAGCGUUCCCAAGACCUACCCACGCCUGCCACUGCCAACUGACAACAAUUUCUUCUCUCUUGAGGAUUCCUGCGAUGGAUUGUUUCUUGCCCGCAUUCGGACGGGCACCCCUGCUGGAAAAUUUCGCUACAUGGUCUCCAAUCCGGCCACGAAUGAGUACACUGUGCUGCCUGACUCUGGCUCCGCCGGCAACAUCUGCCUUGCUUACCUGGGUUUCGACAGUGAUGUUUCCACUCAAGAGUUUCAUGUGUUCGAGUUUGUACUGGUCCUCCGUGAGCCAUCCCUGGUUGUGAGGGGAGUGAAUAUUUACUCUUCAAAAACUGUUGCAUGGGUAGCAAUGGAACCCAAAUGGGACAUCCAAGUUACGUUGUGCUGGCGUAAACCAGGAGUUUUCCGUAAGGGGUUUCUGCACUUGCUGAUAGGUCAGUUUGGGUUGGCAAUACUUGAUGCAGAAGGGCUAACAUGGAGAAUUAUCCCGCUUCCAGUUGUAGAAAGUGUUAAUCCGUGUUUCUCCGGAUUCAUUGGAAAGUCUGCCGGACAGCUAAUUUAUAUCGACCGCGGUGCUAUUGAAGGACACGGCUCUAAUGCAUUGUUGACUAUAUCAGUUUACGUUCUUGGUGCUGAGAUAUGUCAGUGGGAUGUGACUCACCUGGAUGACAAGUGCAUGCGUUGGAAACUCUUGCACAAGCUUUCAAAUGUACUCCGAAGAAGAUGUUUCGGCUCUGUUUCAACCUCGAAGUCAUUGCAGUACACCCACAUGCCAAUAUAAUCUUCUUUGUAGCUCAUUGGAAGAAUGAACUGGUUGCAUACGAUCUGGAUCGUCAUGAGAAGCACAAUUGUGUAUCACAUUCACAUUGAGCCUAACUACUGGCAGUUUAUGAAUUUUUUCCCAUAUGUUCCAUCGUUGUCCCGCUUACCACUGGAUGGAGGAAUACAGCUGGCAACUCCAAAUCAAUGAAUGUUCUGCUCAUUAAAAGUUGGGCAGUCAGCGGUGAGGUGCUCCGGUGUGUUCUCAAGAGUAAUCUUCACAGAGAUUCAAAUACAGAUGAUAUUGUUUUGGAAAAUGCUAACUUCAGUUUUCAGUUCAGUUGGAAAAUGCCAACAAGUAGAGCUGCAUGAGAUACCUUAGUUUGUUAUAUUUUGACAUGUACUACUACUACCUUGUAUUUCUAUUAGAAUCUUAUGUUCUGAUAUGAAAAGGCAUAGUCUGAUAUGUGCACAUUCAAUCUGCAUUGGUUGGUUCUAUCUUGGUGUUUGCACUAAGNNNNNNNNNNNNNNNNNNNNNNNNNNNNNNNNNNNNNNNNNNNNNNNNNNNNNNNNNNNNNNNNNNNNNNNNNNNNNNNNNNNNNNNNNNNNNNNNNNNNNNNNNNNNNNNNNNNNNNNNNNNNNNNNNNNNNNNNNNNNNNNNNNNNNNNNNNNNNNNNNNNNNNNNNNNNNNNNNNNNNNNNNNNNNNNNNNNNNNNNNNNNNNNNNNNNNNNNNNNNNNNNNNNNNNNNNNNNNNNNNNNNNNNNNNNNNNNNNNNNNNNNNNNNNNNNNNNNNNNNNNNNNNNNNNNNNNNNNNNNNNNNNNNNNNNNNNNNNNNNNNNNNNNNNUUAUAUUCAUAGAAGUUUGCAUACGUAUGAAGCAUAUAUUGUGAUCACGCUGUCUCAAAAGGCUGAGAAAUGUCAAUGUUGAUGAUCCGUAAUCCUAGCUGGUUUAUAUCUGUCUCACAAAAUGGUCAAAAUCUCCUAAUAGGACUUGGAACCGUUUCUUGCUCCAUUUUUUCUUCUUCUAAUGGCUCCAAAUUCCAUGUCUAGAGUAUGUAGUUACGUUUUCCUGUCCUCUUUCGAUCUUUCAAUUUUGUUGGUCUGUGAUAUGAUUCCACUAUGAGAGGCACUAAUAUCUUCCCCCCUGUAAUUAACUAGUAUGUUCCAGUUCCAUCAGUUUGAGAUGAAAGUGUAUCCCUGAUUUGAAGCUUUUUACUAUUCACCAACCAAUAAACUAAAUAUUUUAGCCCUCACCUAUGGAAUCUUCGUCUAUAUCUGAACCUGACUGUUUUUGCUAGCAGCUUUCAAGAUUCUAUGUGCAAAAUGAAAGGUCCUAGUCCAUCUUUCUUUGGCUAACCAGAGUAGUUGCCUUGUCUCUACCAGUAUCAAAACAGACAGUGUAAUUUGCACUAUGCUGAUCACUCAGAUGUGGAGUAGAAUUAAUCAUUUCAGGGACAUGUUUAGUACAAUGAUAGAAUUAUUUUUUCCCAGUAGAUAAGCAUGUCAAUGUGUAUUCCGCUGAAUAAUGUGAAGCAUAUUGGCUGCUAAACCUUGCAUGCCCUCUAUUCCCUCUAGUAAUUAUCUACGGUUAUAUCCUCACUCGGACAGAAUUUUGUUAGCUCUAUGCUAAUUCUGUAUAAAUAAUGGUUACCAAUAUUCAUGUGAAGUUCUUAAAAGUCUUCUGUUGAGUCAAUUCUUGAGUAACGUAUAUAUACAAAUUUAGAGAAUCAUUACCUGUUCUUCUGUAGCCAUCUCUGCCUUGCUGUGAGGUGGCAAGAGGCAGUUUUCUUUAUGUUGGGUUGUUAUUCUGUUUUGCAGACUCAAAUAAGCAGCGUAUCAGUUACACGAAACCUCAGAUUUGACGCAGACCUCAUUGGUUGGCUGCCAAAGCCGUGGGGUUAGUUUGCUUAGUACACUCACUACAUAGUUUUUAGCUUUCUCUGCUGUGCUUUUCUCGCCUUUUUCUAUACAGAUCAAAUGUCUCAUACCUUAUCUGUUUUUUCUAAUUAUUUGCUAUCGCUGCAGUGCAGCGAUUUUAGACUGAUCUAAGCCCAGAUUAUGCUGUGGAAGACAGAUUCAUCAGAGGUUGCCUGAUCUAAGCCUAAUCUUCUACCCCUUUCAAGCACAGUUAGUGUUCGGAUGCCAGUCGGCGGAUGCAUCGGCCAAGCAUCAAUCAGUUCACUUCCAUCAGCAGGCUACGUUAGCACGGCGACUUCGUCGAGAUUGUUGGAUGGGUACCCACAGACUACGAAGCCCAAGAAACAAUGGGUAAACUCAAAGUCUGUAUAAUGUUGGUGAAAUUUGGGGACAUAAAUAAACUUAAGCAAGGCGAGUCGGCCAGGCAGUGGAUGACUAUCACCCCGCAGCAGCUAAGCAGGAAACGCUGGAUGGACCGCACCAUGCCGCCGUUUCCGUAUAUACAGAUGCAGAGCAAGAUGAAAGCUGCAGCCUCUCGUUCUGGCUACAUCGCAGAUUCAGAGAAAUAUUUGCUGGCUCUUAAUACGACACCUCAUAUUUGGCAAUAGUGACAACUUUAGAAAGACCUGUUGUUGGUGACGACGCUGAAUAGGUGCCAUCUGAUCCACGGCGUUCUUCGUGGCAAACACCGCAGCGCCGGACACGAGUCAGGUUUGAAGACCCUGUGUGCAUGCCUACGAGCUGCAGAUGCUUCAUGUGGCUAGCUGCCAAUAUUAGAUGCUGGACAGCGGAUAUGCUUCGACGCCGUGGGCUUUCAGCGACCAGCUGCCGGAGACGAUGUCACAUUUGCUGCUUGGCUUUGUCGUCGUGCGAGAGGUCUGGCAUUCCGUCCUCCACGAACGGCAGCAUAUGGAGUCGAUGUCUGACCACGACUAUAAGCUGAUUUACAUGGUGAACAACACAGUCAACGCGACGAAGGGAUGCAAGAGACAUGUGGAUAGCCGUCCUGUCUGGCAGUGCGGUGAAUGAUGUGAUCUUCAAUGACGUGGAGGUUUAAGGAGGCAUUGCUGUCUAUACCUACAAGAAGAGAAUGUGGACAUUUUUGUCUUGAGGAACUGGGUUUAGCUUUGACAGAUUUUGCUGUGCAACCGUGCCACUGUUCAACUCUGAGUAUAGUCUGUUGUCUGAACAAGUUAGCAGGAGCAUAGUCGGCACCAGAAGAUUUGGCAAAUAACUUCAGAAAUCUUGAUUGAACAUGGAUAUAUUAUUUCCUGGAAGGUAAGUCUAUAUAUUCAACAAGUUAGUAGCUGCAUGAUUGAUAAAGAGAUGUGGGCAUAUACUAUUGUUAUCCUGAUUCUAAGUUCUAGACAAUAUACUUCAACAGCUGGAGCCAUAUCAUUAUGUACAUAUAGCCACACUUCACACAUGCAAAUCAAGCUGUUUGGUUACUGCUCAGACAAGUCAGUCAAGCUCUUGCUCUACAACUAUGUCCCUGAUGGUAAUCUACAGGAGCUCCUCAGCGAGAACAGGAGCCUGGACUGGGAUUCAGGGUGGACACGGUCCGGGCCGGUCCGGUCCCUGACCGAGCCACCGUUUGGACCGGCCGCCGGCGGUCCGGACCGGACCGGACCGACCAGCCUCGCGGUCCUGGUUUCAAGGACCGGACCGGCGGCACUGAAGCCCGGGCCGGACCGAGCGGACCGGCCAACCACUACCAGCGACGACGUGCACGGGUGCACGGGUGCGCUGGCAAGGUGGGCGACGUGCGCACGACUGUGGCGAGAUGGGCGACAUGCGAUAGCGCGGGCGUCGAAGGGCGACCUGCUAUGGAAAGUGAUCUGGGUGGCGCGGCUGUUAGCCAUUAUUUUCUCUGUACCGUGAUGUUUCUUCCUUUGGCAGUUUUUCUACAGCAUGCAAGCAAUAUAGCACCUGCAUGAGCCCGUGAUUUUCUCUGUGAGGGCCUCGCCGUGAUUAGAGGAUCAAAUUGAACGUGGAGUUGAUCGUCAAAUGGCGCCGUGACUUUCGGAUCAGAUCCUUUUUCUCUCUUACUUUCUAUUUUCUGUUCGACUGAAACGGCAGCACGGGAUUGAUGGCGCGUGAUAAUAGGAAGAGGGCCCUAGUAUUAAAUCUUGGGCCUUCCAAAACAAUACUUUCCUGAUUUAUUGGAUGUGAAAAUCAUGACCGAGUAUUUCCCCCACGAUUCGAAAAUCACGAGAGAGUGUUUCUCCCACGAUUCGACUGGGCUGAAACGGCUGCUAUGGCACUUCGUCUGCACUGCAAAAAGCGUUGCCAUGGCAGGAAUUGCUGCCACGGUUGGGUCGAUGACAUGGUCGAGAACUCGAGAUCGGCGGCAGUUCACGCAUGGCAGCGAUGGCGAGCGGCAGCAAAAGGCUACGUCGCAAGGGUACGAGAGGAAGGAAGAAGAAGGGAAGCUCAUGGACAUGGUGGUUCAUCCAGGGGCUGCCGGUGGCCGCGAUGGCGAGGAACGGUGACUGCGGUGAUCGCGUUUUCUCGGUCCGCUCGGUCGGACCGGUUAAAGACCGGACCGGACCGAGAUUUUUUCGGGCCGAAUAUGGCAGCCCGGACCGCCCCUUUUCGCUAGCGGGCCAGGACCGAGCGGGCCAAGACCGAGCGGGCCACGAGCGGGCCAGAAAGACCGCUCGUUACGUCCACCUCCGACUGGGAUACACGGUACAAGAUCGUGGUCGGGGCAGCACUGAUACUCUACCGGGAUGUCAAGUGCGACAACAUCCCACAUAACCGACAUCAACACACAUACGAAAGUAAGCACGUCGAUAGAAAGUAAAGUCAUACAAGACCGAGCUUGCCCACAUGAAAAAAAAACCGAUGCCAUCGAAACAACGAUUGACAAAAUGCAACAACGACCUAAUUGAACCGGGUGCUUAUCUCCACUGAUCUUGGUUUCUCAGUUGGUUUUGCUGAUCAGGCAUGGUAUUGUUUGGGCAGACUGGGUGAUGAUGUAGAGGGUGGUUAAAGGGAGUGGAUUCGCGAAAGUGCUCUUCUGAUCCCGAGCUUCAUGUGAGCUCGGGUGAACAGUAAAUGGAAAAAAAAUCUGAUUUUUUUGUUCCAAACAUUGGCAAAUGUUUUCAUUGCUUGCAAAAUUUUAUCAUGAAAUGACAUUCUUGAAAUUUGUGUAAAAAAUGAUGCUCCAAAAUACUUUUGAAAAUGAAAUUGCUGCUCAUAACAAAGCUCCAAAUUAGGGAGGUAGAAAAAUAGAUUGCGGUGAGUGUGGAUCGAACACAUGACCUUCAGAUCUUCAGUCUGACGCUCUCCCAACUGAGCUAUCCCUGUUAUAGCCUGUUGUCUAGGUGCAUAGUCUGCACCGGAAGAUUUGGCAAAUGGCAUAGAAAUUCUUAUUGAACAUAGAUAUAUUGUUCUUGGAAGGAAAGUAUAUAUAUUCAACAAGUUAGUACCACCGGUUGCCCCAACACAUGUGCAUCUGUAGCACCAACAGCUGCUCAUCUGUUGUCAUGCCAUCUCGCAACGACUAUAUGCAUCUGUAGUAAUUCUGACAGAAGAAGCAAUACAUUUUUAUCAACAUGAAAUUUGUUUGGUAAAAUCCAUGAGAACUUCAUCAGUAACCAAUUGAUUGAUACCCCACAUAUGACAAGCAAGCGUGUUCCUUUCCAAAAAACUUCAAAAUGGACAUCACUUUUUCAUGAGUUCUUUCGGGAGUAAAGUAAGGUAAGGUCUUUGGUCACCAUUUACCUACCAUUUUAGUUAGUUCUACAUGUACAACUGAUUCAGCAACUCGAAAGGAAUUCUUUAAAAGGAAAUCAGUUAAGCAACUCGAAUGAAUCCAUCAUGCAUUGGUCUCAAAUCCAAGGAAAUAUGAGCAAAACCUCCCAAAUCUAAACAAAGCACCGAACAUCUUUCAGACGGAAAUUAACUCUUUCAGAACCUUUCAAAAGAUGACAUAUCAAGGAUCAAAAUCGACCACAUAGAUUGAUGACCAAGACUUUAUCCAUUAGUCUGGAUGCCUCAUAUGAUGAUAAUUCCAACCAUGGAACCACAGGUGUGGUGAUCCGUGAUAGCCCACGUACUCUUAUUCAUACACAUGCCCUCUGGUAUGAUUUUGCUGCUAGUCCAAUGGCGACGGAAGCUGUGGUGAUGUGCAAUGGAGUGCACAUGCCUCUUGAGAGGGGGUUAUGUAGAGUAAUGAUUUAGAGUGAUGCACAAGCUGUCAUCAAGCUAUGGGAGUCAUGCGGCUUUGAUCGAGAUUGCUGGAGCCUUGCGGAUUGAAGAACUGAGUGUGCAUUUUGAGAGUUCUAUGCCGAGCUUUGUUGGACAAGAUGCUAGUAUGGCAGCUCAUCUAUGUGCUAAACUGGUGGCCAAGUUUAGGAAGAGAUGUUUAUGGCUUAAUUUUACCCCUCUACUCCUAAUGAACAUAUUGCAUUGUGAUUGUAUGCUUGAUUAAGUAAGCAAUAAAGCUCUUCACUCACAAAAAAGGUAGAAAUUGCAAUGCGGCCAUCCCAGCAUAUCAAAACAUUUCUGGUUGUGGCGAUGACCUUUCUUUUCCAUAUGAUCCUACAAAAUGGACUGGGUUUCACUAUCAAGGGAUAACGAAACGACAAAUGCACAAAAACGUCCUGGUGCAAGAACAUAGCCUAAAACUGGUUUCAAUUGCUAACAACAAAAGCUAAUGGAUCCAAAUCUACUGCAAGUUGACUUGGGGUUCACAAUCAUCCCAAGCAAAAUGUUUUCGAUCACUAGCAUCAUCAUUCAGAAAACUCCAUUGCAUCGUUCCUCAUCCAUUCUUUCUCCAUUAGUUCACCUUCACCCACUUCUUGUUCCUCAUUUUCUCCAGCGUUACUCGCCUUGAUCUUCAACACAAGACUUCUUGGCUCCGCGCACCCACCAACAUGAUGUGCCAAUGCUUCUCGCUUCAAAGCAACAACACCUUGUUCCAGAAUCACACACUCUUCAUUAUUUUGUAGAUCUGCCCAAUAAAGCAUAAACAUGCAUGCAUAAUAGACGAAUUCAGCAAGAAAUCUAGUAAUUUUUUUCUCAAAACAAGAUCUAUUACAUAACUCGGAUGGGAAUGUAGUGGCUUAUCGUGAGGGUGAUGCACUCAUGGACUUGUAGUAGAGCUGGUAGCUGCCACGACAGCUUCCCUAUAUGUGGGUGGCCUUGAGGCAGGCGUCGUGGAGGGGCAUCUCUCCUCCAUCUCCUAUUAGGUCACAUCUAUGGAGUCCCUCAGCGUCUACCAUGACGUUGCUAUCAGGUCCCAUGGCUAUGGCUACUUCAAGUUCCACUCACAGAAUGAUGAUGAGAUCUGAUCUAUUAGAUCCCCAAAUACCUAAAGCAUUAUAUCUCUCUGAGCAUGCAUGCUAAAGGUAGCAUAUCAAACCCAAACGAAUAAGUAAAGAAGACCAAGACACUCACCAUCCUCUUGGGGGUGGAAAUCGAUGUAGCCGUAGCCACACGACCUGUAAGCAACUUUGUGGUAGAUGCGCAAGGAAGCCACGGGCGCGACCUGGUCAUAGAUCUAGAAGAGUUGCCCCUCCGUAACACCUGCCUCGGGGUCAUCAUUGAGGCCAGGAAUGGCUGGUUUGUCAUUGCUGCCGAUGGUCGCCAACCCAAUGGAUCUAGGAGGCGGCGGCGUCAUCGGAGCCACGUGGAACGCUUGCCAUUGGUAGUGGUUGUUCACUAACCAGAGGAGUGAAGACUACUGUACUAUGGGUAACCGGCUGGUCUAGUUGUAUCGACUAUAUAUUGAGUCAUCUCUUAUCGGCAUCGAGUCCUCCUGUCCGGUGGAUGCUCUCUCCAGUAUGCUUUUGUAUAGGUGCUAAUUAAUGACAUUUAUUUGCUACCUUUUAGAUAGGCUUCGGGUGUAAUUGUUAGAGGAGACAAGUAUUUUUUGUGUAUCUGCAUGCUGGAGAGUUGCGGUAAUUGGGUCCACAUGCUAGUCUAUAUGCGCGUGAUGGGCUGCUGUAUGUAGGUAGAUAUGGACUACAAAGUUCUUCUAUCUAUUUAGUGCGAUAUCACUACUAAUUAAUGUUUGAGAUAGAGUAGAUAUCACUACAAAUUAAUGUUUGAGAUAGAUUAGAUCAACUUUUACCACAUCGUGGUCAAUGAUCGUUGACUCAUGAGGGGUCCCUUGCCGCCUUUCUUGGUUAAGGCAUCUCCAACACCGAUCCUCAAGCCUCCUGCAUCUGUUCGGACAGUGAAAGCUAUCCAACAUGCUCCUGUAUCGGUACAAGGCGCGGUCCAGAUGUAUACUUUCUCCCGCAAAUGGGAGACAAACAUGGUGAGUGGGAGGGGGGCUUUGCGGGAGUCCGCACCACUCCCACGCCCGCUUCUGACCGCCCUAUCCCACCCAAAACCCCUUCCACAUCCCGCGCGCUUCCCGCCCGGUGCAAACUGCCCGCAUUCAUGCUGUUGUAGUGCGCGUCACUCCACAUAUUGAAGCGGCGCACCCCCCGAUAACGUCGGUCGCUGCACGCUCGACUAAACACGCCUCCAUUAAACCCGUGUGAAAGCUGGGGAACCUACUCCGGCCACACGUUCGUUCACGAGCGGGCCGACAUUAAACGCAACACCGGGCAAGCUCCUCCCAUCCGCCCUCUAUUUAAACAAAGCCAGACGCCGGGCAAGAAUCGCACCACUCCGCCGCCCCCAUCUCAUCCUUCCACAAUCUUCUUCGCCCUUUCGAUGGCAUCCGAUGAGCACGAAGAGCAUUUCCCCAGCAUAAAAGCCAGCUAGGUGUCCCACCGAGCCUGCCGAAUACGAGUGAGGCAACUCACUGCUCCACCUCCCUCGUCUGGCUCGACGGAGCAAGUUGCCACCCCAAGCCGGCGCGAGGUUCACCACCUCGCCGCUCCAAGCCAGCUCAUAAGGGAGCGGCCAUUUUCUCUAGGAUGACACGACGGCACAGGCAUCGUAGCAGCCGUGGCGACGCCGCGUCAUACCGCAUCUCUCAUGCCUACGAUCGUGCCAUCCGCAGACAACGCGUGCGUAGCCGCGCCCUGCCGGCAGAGAAAGAAGCCGGUAGCGCAGAGAUCGACGAGUCGGUGGAUGGCGCGUCCGCGUCCGCCGCCAACGUCGAGGGAAAGUAGAACACGAAGGCCUCCGCCGCUUGGGUCACAGGAAGGCCACCGCUGGCACGUCAACGGCUUGUAUAGCCGGUGACCUAUCUGGUUCUUCUUUAUCUCAGACCAUCAUUGGGCACGCCUAGGCUCCACGAAAGCGGAGCUCCCCUUUCCCUCUAGCUGAAGCACCUCUUUUGCCACUGCGAUGACCGGCGCAGCCAGACAUAGGGAAGAUACGAGGGAAGAAUAUAUACCUCCGGGGCUCCCGGCAGUCCGGGCAACGAGCUAUCGGACAUGGGGAAGACAAAGGGAUCUGCCGCGUCUGGCCGUAGGCUAGUGUAGUGUUUCCGUGUCGUGGGAGUGGAGCUCCGCACGACUGUAUGUGCACAUAGUUUUAUCUUUUUUGUUAAAAAUAUGUCCAAAAUGUAACUGUUUUCGUCCGGUUUGUAUGAAAUCGGUCAUGUUUAUAUGAAAUCGGUCCAUGCUUGCAUGAAUUUCAUCGGAUUUGUUGAAAAAAUGUUUGCAAUGUAUGCAGCUACGAUUGGAUGGCGGCCUCCCGCAUCCAUGUCCGUGGAUGGAUGCGGGAGGAAAUUUGCUGGCCGCUGUUGGAGAUGCCCUCAAGCCAACCUUUGGGCGGGUGUAAGGUGUCCUGUCAUGGGUACAUACAAAAUAUUGUAGGAUUUCUGGUCAAUAGAACGGGAAAGCCUCCGGGUGUGGAAACAUCCUCAUAAUCUUUGCUACUCCAUCAUGAUUUUUAUGUCUCACGCGUAUUUCAAUAUAAACAUUAAAAUUAAUUUAUUCAACAAAAUAUUAGUUAUAUGUCACAAAAACAAAACGUUACAUUCACAUUCUAAACAAGUUGUGAAUGGUAUAAUUUUUGUGACAUAUAAUUUAUUGAUAAAUCAAUGUACAUUUUUAUUGAAAUGCUUGAGACUUAUGAAUCAUGUUAGAGGUCAGACUCCACGAAUGACGGAAUUUAUCCCCAAGGUAUCUCUGAAAUAAUUGUUACUCUAAUGUCAUUUAUCAACAUGUGAUCCAAGUCAUAGUAAUAUCCAACCAAUAAUCCAAUGAAUAACGUAAUCAUAUCAUUUCCACUUACUCCAUAAGCAAUAAUAUCAAAUAUGAUCAUAUGAAAAUAUAGCUAAUGACCCUACUAAUCCGAUGGUAACAUGCCAAUAUCAACCUUGUAAACUACUAGUCACAAGAAAUCCAAGCAAUAACAUGGUAGUAGAUAAUUCUAAUAAUUCCUCCAAGAUUGCCAUGAAUAAAUCAUCAUCAAGUAAUUCAAAAUAAAUCGAGUUUUAUAAUAGUAACCAUGGACUUUCAUUGCAAUUAUGCAAGUGGAGGUUGUGGCUUGCCUUGCUCCAAGCGAGUGUUACGAGUACUCUUGGUCUUCAUCAAACAUUGCUAACACUCUGGAAAACAAUAUUAACAAGCAAAAUAAAUUCUCUGUCUAGAAAUUCUAGACAACAAAGAAAAGUGUGAAACUCUACCAGAUAAUAAAGGAGCUCGUAAGAAAAAUAAUGCAAAAAGAAUCAGCUCAUUUGGACUUGUAGUUUAGGAGCAAUGGAUGGUCAAAGUUGUGGUCAAACUGAAGGAAAUAUGCCCUAGAGGCAAUAAUAAAGUUAUUAUUUAUUUCCUUGUUUCAUGGAAAAUGUUUAUUAUUCAUGCUAGAAUUAUAUUAACCGGAAACUUAGUACAUGUGUGAAUACAUAGACAGAAUAUAUUGUCCCUAGUAUGCCUCUACUUGACUAGCUCGUUAAUCAAAGAUGGUUAUGUUUCCUAACCAUAGACAUGUGUUGUCAUUUGAUGAACGGGACCACAUCAUUAGGAGAAUGAUGUGAUGGACAUGACCCAUCCGUUAGCUUAGCAUUAUGAUCGUUACAGUUUCAUUGCUACUGCUUUCUUCAUGACUUAUACAAGUUCCUCAGUGUAACGCCCGGAUAAUCUUGCUACAGUAAUCCCACGCUAAUCAUGGCACGUCAUCCUGAUUACUGUUGCUAACCUCGCAAUAAUUCGAAACCGUUCAAAUUCAAAAUUCAAAUUGAUGAAAAUAAUUAAAGUUUUCAAAAUUUAAAAUAAAAUUGUUCGGUGGUUGACGAAUAUUACAAGGGUAAAUAUUAUGCAACAAACAAAUUUUUAUUAAAUGCCUAAGUGUUUAUAGAUAAAUAAAAAAAAACAUAAAAGAAAAUAAAUAAAUAAAUAAAAAACCCUGGGCUUCGGCCCAGCUGACCACAGGCCAACUGGGCCACCACCAGGCCCGGCCGGCCCCCACCCCUCUCCCCUUAUCCCCCACGACGGAAACCCUAGCCCACUCCCGAUCCCCACUCUCCCCUCACUCCCCCGAUCUGGAUCGACAUCGGGGCGACCACGCCACCGCCCCGGAUCGNNNNNNNNNNNNNNNNNNNNNNNNNNNNNNNNNNNNNNNNNNNNNNNNNNNNNNNNNNNNNNNNNNNNNNNNNNNNNNNNNNNNNNNNNNNNNNNNNNNNNNNNNNNNNNNNNNNNNNNNNNNNNNNNNNNNNNNNNNNNNNNNNNNNNNNNNNNNNNNNNNNNNNNNNNNNNNNNNNNNNNNNNNNNNNNNNNNNNNNNNNNNNNNNNNNNNNNNNNNNNNNNNNNNNNNNNNNNNNNNNNNNNNNNNNNNNNNNNNNNNNNNNNNNNNNNNNNNNNNNNNNNNNNNNNNNNNNNNNNNNNNNNNNNNNNNNNNNNNNNNNNNNNNNNNNNNNNNNNNNNNNNNNNNNNNNNNNNNNNNNNNNNNNNNNNNNNNNNNNNNNNNNNNNNNNNNNNNNNNNNNNNNNNNNNNNNNNNNNNNNNNNNNNNNNNNNNNNNNNNNNNNNNNNNNNNNNNNNNNNNNNNNNNNNNNNNNNNNNNNNNNNNNNNNNNNNNNNNNNNNNNNNNNNNNNNNNNNNNNNNNNNNNNNNNNNNNNNNNNNNNNNNNNNNNNNNNNNNNNNNNNNNNNNNNNNNNNNNNNNNNNNNNNNNNNNNNNNNNNNNNNNNNNNNNNNNNNNNNNNNNNNNNNNNNNNNNNNNNNNNNNNNNNNNNNNNNNNNNNNNNNNNNNNNNNNNNNNNNNNNNNNNNNNNNNNNNNNNNNNNNNNNNNNNNNNNNNNNNNNNNNNNNNNNNNNNNNNNNNNNNNNNNNNNNNNNNNNNNNNNNNNNNNNNNNNNNNNNNNNNNNNNNNNNNNNNNNNNNNNNNNNNNNNNNNNNNNNNNNNNNNNNNNNNNNNNNNNNNNNNNNNNNNNGGCCGCCGCGGCCGGCGACUCCCCUGGCCGGCGACCUGCGGCGCUGGGUCAGGGGCUCGACCCGCUAACGUGCGCCCCGUAGCCCCCUGCACCCGCGCGCCCAUGCGCCCGCACCCGUUAAGGCCCCCCCAGGGCCACUGACAUGGGGGCCCCCACCCCCAGAACGCAAAAAAAAGAAAGAAAAAAAUAAAUAAAUAAUAAUAAUAAAAAUAAAAAAAUAAUAAAUAAAUAAUAAAUAAUAAAAUAAAUAAAAAACAAUAAAUAUAAUUAAUGAAAUUAAAAUGAUUUAAUAAAAUUAUUAAUUAAUUAAUUAAUUAAUUAAGUUAAUUAAUCCGGUUUAAUUAAAUUAAUUAACUAGUUAAGUUUAAUUAAACUGUAAUUAGAUUAACCUAAACCCUAAUUAAUUUAAAUAGAGAAUGACAGGUCGGUCCCACUGGACCCACAUGUCAGGGUUGACUCAGUCAACCCCUGUUGACUGCUGACGUCAGCAUGACAUCAUGCUGACGUCAUAAAUCCAUUUUUUCGAAUUAAUUAAAUAAUUAAUUAAAUUCCAGAAAUUGUUAAAAAUCUUUUAAAAAUCAUAUCUUUUAAUCCGUAACUCGGAUUAAAAUAUUUUCAACAUGAAAGUUGCUCAGAACGACGUGACGAUUCCGGAUACGCAGUCCGUUCGUCCGCCACACACCCCUAGCAUACCGAACACGCAACUUUCCCCUCCGGUUCGCCAGUCCGAAAACGCGAAACACCGGGAAUACUUUCCCGGAUGUUUCCCCCUUUCGUCGGUAUCACCUACUAUCGCGAUUGGGCACACCUAGCAUCGUUACUUGUCAUGUCAUGCAUCGAUAUGCAUUUGUUUGCAUGGUAUUCAUUGUUUCUUCCCCCUCUUCUCUCCGCUAGACUACGAGACCGACGCUGCUGCUGCCCAGUUCGACUACGGAGUUGACGACCCCUCUCUCUUGCCAGAGCAACCAGGCAAGCCCCCCCCUUGAUCACCAGAUAUCGCCUAUUCUCCUCUAUACUGCUUGCAUUAGAGUAGUGUAGCAUGUUACUGCUUUCAUUAUUCCUAUUCUGAUGCAUAGCCUGACAUUGUCGCUACAUCUGUUGAUACCUUACCUGCAAUCCUAAAUACUUAGUAUAGGAUGCUAGUUUAUCAUUGUUGGCCCUACCUUCGUGUCAGUCUGCCUUGCUAUAAUAUUGGGCCGUGAUCACUCAGGAGGUGAUCACGGGUAUAUACUAUACAUACAUACAUACUAUACAGAGGGUGACUAAAGUCGGGUCAGCUCGAAGAGUACCCGCGAGUGAUUCACGGAUUGGGGGCUGAAAGGACCUUGUCCCGACGGCCCUCUGUGUGGAUCUUUGUGGCGGAGCGGCAGGGCAGGUUGAGACCACCUAGGAGACAGGUGGGCCUGGCCCUGUUCGGCGUUCGCGGAUACUUAACACGCUUAACGAGAUCUUGGUAUUUGAUCUGAGUCUGGCUACGAGCCUAUACGCACUAACCAUCUACGUGGGAGUAGUUAUGGGUAUCCCGACGUCGUGGUAUCAGCCGAAGCACUUCAGACGUCAGCGACGGAGCGGCGCGCGCCGGAUUGGAACGUAAGCCUGCUCUUGUAUUAAGGGGGCUAGUUCUGCUUUCGGCCGCGUACACAACGUGCAGGUGUGCUAUGGGCGAUGGGCCCAGACCCCUUUGCGCUUAGGUUUAGACCGGCGUGCUGGCCUCUCUGUUGAGCCUAGGUGGGGCUGCGACGUGUUGAUCUUCCGAGGCCGGGCAUGACCCAGGAAAGUGUGUCCGGCCAAAUGGGAUCGAGCGUGUUGGGCUAUGUGGUGCACCCCUGCAGGGAAGUUAAUCUAUUCGAAUAGCCGUGAUCUUCGGUAACAGGACGACUUGGAGUUGUACCUUGACCUUAUGACAACUAGAACCGGAUACUUAAUAAAACACACCCUUCCAAGUGCCAGAUACAACCGGUGGUCGCUCUACCUCAGGGAUAUGAGGAGGGGAUCGCCGGGUAGGAUUAUGCUAUGAGAUGUUACUUGGAGAUGCUACUUGGAGGACUUCAAUCUACUCUCUUAUACUUGAUGCAAGACGAAGGUGACCAGAAGCGUAGUCUUCGACAGGAUUAGUUAUCCCCCUCUUAUUCUGGCAUUCUGCAGUUCAGUCCACUGAUAUGGCCCCUUUACACAUAUACCCAUGCAUAUGUAGUGUAGUUCCUUGCUUGCGAGUACUUUGGAUGAGUACUCACGGUUGCUUUCUCCCCCCUUUUCUCCCCCUUUCCUUUCUUUCUGGUUGUCGCAACCAGAAGCUGGAGUCCAGGAGUCAGACGCCACCGUCGACGACGACCCCUACUACACUGGAGGUGCCUACUACUACGUGCUGCCCGCUGAUGACGACCUGGAGUAGUUUAGGAGGAUCCCAGGCAGGAGGCCUGCGCCUCUUUCGAUCUGUAUCCCAGUUUGUGCUAGCCUUCUUAAGGCAGACUUGUUUAACUUAUGUCUGUACUCAGAUAUUGUUGCUUCCGCUGACUCGUCUAUGAUCGAGCACUUGUAUUCGAGCCCUCGAGGCCCCUGGCUUGUAUUAUGAUGCUUGUAUGACUUAUUUUAUUUGUAGAGUUGUGUUGUGAUAUCUUCCCGUGAGUCCCUGAUCUUGAUCGUACACAUUUGCGUGCAUGAUUAGUGUACGAUUGAAUCGGGGGCGUUACAAGUUGGUAUCAGAGCCGACUGCCUGUAGGAAUCCCCCUUCCACACUCCUUGGCCGAAGUCGAGUCUAGUCACUACAAAACUUUUACUAACAUGGUUGUGUGCCUUACGGGCCCACGUCGCCAUCGGGUGGUACUAGGAUCUUUUACUCCUCGACCUUUGCUCUGGGACUCUGAACUCUUUUCUACUCGGGUUAAACGAAUUUACUAACUCUAACAUUAGGAUCCCGUUACCACGUUCACCCCGAAGUUGGAUAAGCCAUAGUUAUUCUGUAGGAUAGCAUUUUGAAUAGUGCCCAUAUUGUCAUUUGACUCCAUUGAAACAUCUUUGUUUUCAGAUGGAACCCACGAGGCAGGUCGUGCGCCACACUGCGGCCAUUGGUGCCUCAGGAUCACCUGCUGUGCUAGCUGAUAUGAUGACCUAUCUGGGUUAUCGCUGGCACCCUGAGUACACCGUCUACGAGGAGUACCAGGACUUUAACCAGGAGCAGUACCGUGCCAUCGUCCACCUCUACUCUCGGGAGUAUGAGUCCACUACCGUGCUGCACACCGCUCAUGGUGUUGGAGUGACCAUCGAGAUGGCAGUCCACGAUGCGGCUCAUGCUGCUCUGACACGUCUUCGUGGAGAGUAUCAGGCAUUGGACACUUCCCCUUUCAGGCACAUUCCUAUCGCAUCUGACGUUGGUGCGGAGGGAUACUACACUGCCGCCUACUCCACCGUCACCCGAGAAGCCGUUCCACCAUCAGCGCCUGGUUCUGCAUGCUGAUGGGCUGGACCGAGCUAACAGAGCUCUUCGCCACGAGUUGUACACCACUCGUCAGCACCUUUACAGGGCUCUGACGCGGUUGCACCCCUUUGUCCGGUCUGGACAGCUGCCGCGUUCUGCGAUCUACCCAGCCAGGACCGUGAUGCCCCACGGUGUCGGAUGGCCAGAGGUGGGAGGCUACUCUCCCGCACUUGGUCCUCUUCUGCCACCUGAGCGUCGGGUUCUACACCAGAGUAUCCGCGGCCCCCAGGCCACUGACGUGGAGGACUAUCCGUUGCCUCACUACCAGCUGUCAGGUUACAGCUACCUUCACAGUACCUCCUGGGACUGAUGUAGUCUUGCUCAUUAGUCUUAGAUGCACUCGCGAGCCUGCGUGCCGCCUAUGAUGACUUAGUCUAUGUACGGAACUCUGUGUACUGAACUCUAUGUCCGACCCCUUUUGUAAGUUAUGCCGACUAUCUAUGUGGUAUCUGUCGUGCUCCUUUCAUUGUGCAUGUUUCAUCAUGAAUGACUCUUGUCUAUGCAAAUUCUCAAUACUGAACUACCCCUGUUAUAUAUUAGCAGGAUGGUUAGACCAGCUGGUCGUGGUCGUGGUGGCAACUUCCCACCACCGCCUGAGUACAUGGCUGGUAUGAUCCAACAGCUUGAGAUGAAUCGCCAGUUCAUGGAAAACAUGAUGGCUCAGUUUCCUCGCCCCAAUAUGAACCAGCAUCCAAACACAACAACUCUGCAGGAUUUCAUACGCCUCAACCCAAGUGUGUACCGCAGCUCAACCCAGCCGCUGGAUGCUGAUGACUGGCUCCGUGACAUCACCUAUGAGAUGGAGUCUGCUGAUGUAGCCCCUGCCAGCUAUGUCACUUUUGCUUCCUUCUUCCUGAAGGGACCCGCAGCUCAAUGGUGGGACAGCCACAGGCGUACUCUGCCAGUUGGGACAAUCAUCUCCUGGCCAGACUUUCAGGCUGCCUUCUGUGCCCGCUUCAUUCCUCAGGGAGUCAUGGACCGGAAGAAGCGUGAGUUUCGCAACCUCACCCAAGGCAACAAGACUGUUGAAGCUUAUCAGCGGGAGUUUCUGGACUUGUCUCGCUAUGCUGAAGAGGACAUUGCAACUGAUGCACGUAGGCAGGAGAAGUUCCGUGACGGCCUUCAAGCUGACAUCAAGCUCGCACUUCUAGUGCACGACUUUGCUGAUUUCGCCACCUUGGUGAAUAAGGCCAUCAAUGUUGAGACUGGUCUUCAAGAACACCAUAGCUCUCAAAGGCGCAACCGUGACACGGGCUCAUCUUCGGGCCCGCCCUCGCAGAAGCGUAAGAUAUGGAUCCCGAACAGCAUGUACCGUCCAAAUGCACCAGCCCCAAGGCAGUCUUACGCUGCACCUCGUCUGCCUACUGCUCCAACUAGGCUGCCAAGGCUUCCAGCUCCGCCACCCCAAGCUCCUGUUCCCACUCCCAAUAAUGGCCUGUGCUACAAGUGUGGUCAACCAGGUCACCGUGCUAGGGAUUGCAUUCAGAAUCAGAAUCAACUGGCCCUUCCAGCAACUGGCCGUGGGAACAACCAGGCCCGCAACAACAUUGCCAAGUCUUAUGGCCGUGUUCAUGCCAACCACAUUGAUCUGAAUGAAGCUCAAGACCAGCCUGCUACUGUGAUGGGUACACUCCUCGUAAAUUCAGUACCAGCAUCCGUUUUAUUUGAUACAGGUGCAUCGCAUUCAUUCAUGUCAGAAGAAUUUGCAUACAAGCACGAUGUUAAAUUUGAGCAGAUGAACACUUCGGUAGUGGUAAAAACCCCCGCGGGACAAUGUCAGACCUCCAUGGUUGGCAUUGACGUCCCUGUGGAAAUCGAAGGGUUGGAGUUUCGUGCCUCGCCCAUUAUACUGAAGUCGUCUAACAUUGACCUCAUUCUGGGAAUGGAUUGGUUAAAGGCGCAUACUGCUUCUAUCGUUUGCGCCACUAAGACCGUCCAUCUGCUACACCCUUCUGAUGAAAUAAUUAGCUAUGAUGCUCAUCUGGUUCGGAAUGCCGAGGCCAGGCUUUAUGCCUUAAACGCAUUGAACGUUACACCACUCAAGGGCAUUGAAAACAUUCCCGUCGUGCGUGAAUUCCUAGACGUCUUUCCUGAAGAACUCCCAGGGAUUCCCCCUGCUAGAGCUGUCGAAUUCGUCAUCGACUUGAAACCGGGCACCACUCCUAUAGCCAAGCGACCCUAUAAGAUGCCGCCGCAUGAACUCCUUGAGCUUAAGGAGGAAAUCGAUAAAUCUCUUCAAAGUGGUUUCAUUCGCCCAAGUUGCUCUCCUUGGGGAGCACCUUCUCUCUUUGUCAAGAAGAAAGAUGGGACAAACCGAUUGGUCCAAGACUACCGUCCUAUAAAUCAAGCUACCAUUCAGAAUAAGUAUCCUCUUCCUCGGAUCAAUGAUCUGUAUGAUCAAUUAGCUGGAUCAUCAGUGUUCUCUAAACUCGACUUGAGGUUGGGUUACCACCAGAUCCGUGUUCGUGAGGAAGAUAUCCCCAAGACCGCAUUCAUGACUCGUUAUGGUUCAUACGAGUACACCGUCAUGUCUUUCGGCUUAACCAAUGCUCCAGCCACCUUCUCUCGCCUGAUGAACUAUAUAUUCAUGGAUUACCUCGACAAGUUCGUCGUGGUUUAUCUGGAUGAUAUUCUGGUAUUUUCCAAGAACGAAGAGGAACAUGCUGAACAUCUUCGCCUCGUGCUGGAAAAGCUACGAGAGCAUCAACUUUAUGCCAAGUUCUCCAAAUGUGAAUUCUGGCUUCCCGAAGUAACCUAUCUCGGGCAUGUCAUCUCUAAGGAUGGUAUUGCCGUCAACCCUGAACGAGUUCAGGCUAUUCUCGAUUGGACUCCUCCGAAGAACGUUAAGCAAGUCAGAAGUUUUCUCGGUCUCGCCAGCUACUGCCGUCGAUUCGUCGAGAACUUCUCCAAGAUUGCCAGGCCUCUGACUAACCUAUUGCAUAAGGGUGUCAAGUUCCAAUGGACAGACAAAUGUCAGGAAAGCUUCCAGGCACUCAAAGACAAGUUGACUUCUGCCCCAGUACUAGCUCCACCUGAUACUAAGAAGGACUUCGUCAUUUACUGCGACGCUUCCCGUCAAGGAUUAGGCUGUGUCCUAAUGCAAGAGCGCAAAGUGGUUGCUUAUGCCUCUCGUCAAUUGCGCCCUCACGAAGAGAACUACCCAGUUCAUGACCUCGAACUUGCUGUUGUCAUUCAUGCACUAAAACAGUGGCGACAUUACCUACUCGGUAAUCGUUGCGAGAUCUUCACUGACCACCAAAGUCUGAAGUAUCUAUUUACUCAGCCAGACCUGAACCUCCGUCAGCAGAGAUGGAUGGAGACUGUUGCAGACUUUGAUUUGGGUAUUUCCUAUACCCCAGGCAAGGCUAAUGUAAUGGCUGAUGCCUUGAGCCGCAAGUCUUACUGCAACCACCUCCAGGUUCACAAAGUUCAGCCCUCACUUGUUGAAGAAUUCAGAAAGCUAAACCUCCAUAUUGUUCCUCCGGGUGCACUCGCUCCCCCUCCCCCGGAGUUCCGCAAGAUGAAUCUCCGUGUUGUUUCCCAGGGUUCCCUCUAUACCCUGGCUGUUGAACCCGAUCUCGUGGGCACCAUAAAGACAAUGCAGGGAUUUGACUCUGAAGUCUACAAGAUUAAGCAAGACCUCAAAGAAGGAGGUUCCUCAUCCUUCACUAUUGCUGAUGAUGGCGCCUUGUACUUCAAAGGCCGCCUAGUGGUGCCGUGUAAGAAGGAAAACCUGAAUAUGACCCCGGAGGUUAUGAAAGAAGCUCAUGAUACGCCUCUAUGUAUCCAUCCUGGUAGUACGAAGAUGUAUCAAGACAUUCGUCAGAGAUUCUGGUGGUCUAACAUGAAGCAAGACAUUGCUCGUUAUGUUGCUGAAUGUGACGUUUGCCGUCGUAUCAAAGCAGAACAUCAAAGGCCUGCUGGAACUCUGCAACCUAUAACUAUUCCUGAAUGGAAAUGGGACCAUGUCGAGAUGGACUUCGUUACUGGGUUCCCCAAAUCGCAGAAAGGUAAUGAUGCUAUUCUUGUCGUCAUUGACCGACUUUCUAAGGUUGCACAUUUUCUGGCGGUCAAAGAAACGAUCACUGCUAGUCAGCUUGCAACUCUCUACAUGUCCAGAAUUGUUUCGCUUCACGGUAUUCCAUUGGUUAUCAGUUCAGACCGUGGCAGUUUAUUCACUUCAAGAUUCUGGGCAAGUUUCCAAGAAGCUAUGGGCACUCAUCUAUCUUUCAGCACUGCUUUUCAUCCUCAGUCACAAGGGCAAGUUGAACGUGUCAACCAAGUUCUCGAAGACAUGCUUCGAGCUUGUGUUAUUUCCUUCGGCAAGAAAUGGGAGGAAUCUCUUCCGUAUGCCGAGUUCUCUUAUAAUAAUAGCUAUCAGGCUAGUCUGAAGAUGGCCCCCUUCGAAGUGUUAUAUGGACGAAAGUGCCGAACCCCUCUGAACUGGUCAGAAACUGGGGAACGUCCACUCUUUGGUCCGGAUAUUAUCCAACAUGCCGAAGAGCAAGUCCGCAUUAUUCGCGGGAAUCUCAAGACUGCUCAGUCACGCCAGAAGAGUAAUUAUGACCGUCAUCAUAAAGACAUGGUCUAUCAACCUGGCGAAAAGGCCUAUCGUCGCGUUACACCAAUGAAGGGUGCUCACCGCUUCGGGAUCAAAGGGAAGCUAGCUCCCCGCUAUAUUGGUCCUUUCACUAUCCCCGAGAGGCGUGGAAAAGUGGCAUAUCAACUGGAGCUUCCGCCGAACCUUUCUCAGGUUCACGAUGUGUUCCAUGUGUCGCAACUCCGCCGUUGCUUCAAGGACCCAAUCCGAGCUGUGGAUCAUGAAGUGCUCGAAUUGCAACAGGACCUCUCCUAUAAAGAGCAUCUGGUCUGUAUUCUCGACCAAGCUGAACGCCGCACACGCCAGAGGGCGAUCAAGUUCCUCAAGGUCCAGUGGUCGAAUCACUCUGAAGACGAAGCCACCUGGGAACGCGAGGAUCGCCUGCGUGAUGAAUACCCCGCACUGUUUCCUUCUACCUCCUAAAAUCUCGGGACGAGAUUUCUUGUAGUGGAGGAGAUUUGUAACGCCCGGAUAAUCUUGCUACAGUAAUCCCACGCUAAUCAUGGCACGUCAUCCUGAUUACUGUUGCUAACCUCGCAAUAAUUCGAAACCGUUCAAACUCAAAAUUCAAAUUGAUGAAAAUAAUUAAAGUUUUCAAAAUUUAAAAUAAAAUUGUUCGGUGGUUGACGAAUAUUACAAGGGUAAAUAUUAUGCAACAAACAAAUUUUUAUUAAAUGCCUAAGUGUUUAUAGAUAAAUAAUAAAAAAACAUAAAAGAAAAUAAAUAAAUAAAUAAAAAAAACCCUGGGCUUCGGCCUAGCUGACCACAGGCCAACUGGGCCACCACCAGGCCCGGCCGGCCCCCACCCCUCUCCCCUUAUCCCCCACGACGGAAACCCUAGCCCACUCCCGAUCCCCACUCUCCCCUCACUCCCCCGAUCUGGAUCGAGAUCGGGGCGACCACGCCACCGCCCCNNNNNNNNNNNNNNNNNNNNNNNNNNNNNNNNNNNNNNNNNNNNNNNNNNNNNNNNNNNNNNNNNNNNNNNNNNNNNNNNNNNNNNNNNNNNNNNNNNNNNNNNNNNNNNNNNNNNNNNNNNNNNNNNNNNNNNNNNNNNNNNNNNNNNNNNNNNNNNNNNNNNNNNNNNNNNNNNNNNNNNNNNNNNNNNNNNNNNNNNNNNNNNNNNNNNNNNNNNNNNNNNNNNNNNNNNNNNNNNNNNNNNNNNNNNNNNNNNNNNNNNNNNNNNNNNNNNNNNNNNNNNNNNNNNNNNNNNNNNNNNNNNNNNNNNNNNNNNNNNNNNNNNNNNNNNNNNNNNNNNNNNNNNNNNNNNNNNNNNNNNNNNNNNNNNNNNNNNNNNNNNNNNNNNNNNNNNNNNNNNNNNNNNNNNNNNNNNNNNNNNNNNNNNNNNNNNNNNNNNNNNNNNNNNNNNNNNNNNNNNNNNNNNNNNNNNNNNNNNNNNNNNNNNNNNNNNNNNNNNNNNNNNNNNNNNNNNNNNNNNNNNNNNNNNNNNNNNNNNNNNNNNNNNNNNNNNNNNNNNNNNNNNNNNNNNNNNNNNNNNNNNNNNNNNNNNNNNNNNNNNNNNNNNNNNNNNNNNNNNNNNNNNNNNNNNNNNNNNNNNNNNNNNNNNNNNNNNNNNNNNNNNNNNNNNNNNNNNNNNNNNNNNNNNNNNNNNNNNNNNNNNNNNNNNNNNNNNNNNNNNNNNNNNNNNNNNNNNNNNNNNNNNNNNNNNNNNNNNNNNNNNNNNNNNNNNNNNNNNNNNNNNNNNNNNNNNNNNNNNNNNNNNNNNNNNNNNNNNNNNNNNNNNNNNNNNNNNNNNNNNNNNNNNNNNNNNNNNNNNNNNNNNNNNNNNNNNNNNNNNNNNNNNNNNNNNNNNNNNNNNNNNNNNNNNNNNNNNNNNNNNNNNNNNNNNNNNNNNNNNNNNNNNNNNNNNNNNNNNNNNNNNNNNNNNNNNNNNNNNNNNNNNNNNNNNNNNNNNNNNNNNNNNNNNNNNNNNNNNNNNNNNNNNNNNNNNAAUUAAAUUAAUUAACUAGUUAAGUUUAAUUAAACUGUAAUUAGAUUAACCUAAACCCUAAUUAAUUUAAAUAGAGAAUGACAGGUGGGUCCCACUGGACCCACAUGUCAGGGUUGACUCAGUCAACCCCUGUUGACUGCUGACGUCAGCAUGACAUCAUGCUGACGUCAUAAAUCCAUUUUUUCGAAUUAAUUAAAUAAUUAAUUAAAUUCCAGAAAUUGUUAAAAAUCUUUUAAAAAUCAUAUCUUUUAAUCCGUAACUCGGAUUAAAAUAUUUUCAACAUGAAAGUUGCUCAGAACGACGUGACGAUUCCGGAUACGCAGUCCGUUCGUCUGCCACACACCCCUAGCAUACCGAACACACAACUUUCCCCUCCGGUUCGCCAGUCCAAAAACGCGAAACACCGGGAAUACUUUCCCGGAUGUUUCCCCCUUUCGUCGGUAUCACCUACUAUCGCGAUUGAGCACACCUAGCAUCGUUACUUGUCAUGUCAUGCAUCGAUAUGCAUUUGUUUGCAUGGUAUUCAUUGUUUCUUCCCCCUCUUCUCUCCGGUAGACUACGAGACCGACGCUGCUGCUGCCCAGUUCGACUACGGAGUUGACGACCCCUCUCUCUUGCCAGAGCAACCAGGCAAGCCCCCCCCUUGAUCACCAGAUAUCGCCUAUUCUCCUCUAUACUGCUUGCAUUAGAGUAGUGUAGCAUGUUACUGCUUUCAUUAUUCCUAUUCUGAUGCAUAGCCUGACAUUGUCGCUACAUCUGUUGAUACCUUACCUGCAAUCCUAAAUACUUAGUAUAGGAUGCUAGUUUAUCAUUGUUGGCCCUACCUUCGUGUCAGUCUGCCUUGCUAUAAUAUUGGGCCGUGAUCACUCGGGAGGUGAUCACGGGUAUAUACUAUACAUACAUACAUACUAUACAGAGGGUGACUAAAGUCGGGUCAGCUCGAAGAGUACCCGCGAGUGAUUCACGGAUUGGGGGCUGAAAGAACCUUGUCCCGACGGCCCUCUGUGUGGAUCUUUGUGGCGAAGCGGCAGGGCAGGUUGAGACCACCUAGGAGACAGGUGGGCCUGGCCCUGUUCGGCGUUCGCGGAUACUUAACACGCUUAACGAGAUCUUGGUAUUUGAUCUGAGUCUGGCUACGAGCCUAUACGCACUAACCAUCUACGUGGGAGUAGUUAUGGGUAUCCCGACGUCGUGGUAUCAGCCGAAGCACUUCAGACGUCAGCGACGGAGCGGCGCGCGCCGGAUUGGAACGUAAGCCUGCUCUUGUAUUAAGGGGGCUAGUUCUGCUUUCGGCCGCGUACGCAACGUGCAGGUGUGCUAUGGGCGAUGGGCCAGACCCCUUUGCGCUUAGGUUUAGACCGGCGUGCUGGCCUCUCUGUUGAGCCUAGGUGGGGCUGCGACGUGUUGAUCUUCCGAGGCCGGGCAUGACCCAGGAAAGUGUGUCCGGCCAAAUGGGAUCGAGCGUGUUGGGCUAUGUGGUGCACCCCUGCAGGGAAGUUAAUCUAUUCGAAUAGCCGUGAUCUUCCGUAACAGGACGACUUGGAGUUGUACCUUGACCUUAUGACAACUAGAACCGGAUACUUAAUAAAACACACCCUUCCAAGUGCCAGAUACAACCGGUGGUCGCUCUACCUCAGGGAUAUGAGGAGGGGAUCGCCGGGUAGGAUUAUGCUAUGAGAUGUUACUUGGAGAUGCUACUUGGAGGACUUCAAUCUACUCUCUUAUACUUGAUGCAAGACGAAGGUGACCAGAAGCGUAGUCUUCGACAGGAUUAGUUAUCCCCCUCUUAUUCUGGCAUUCUGCAGUUCAGUCCACUGAUAUGGCCCCUUUACACAUAUACCCAUGCAUAUGUAGUGUAGUUCCUUGCUUGCGAGUACUUUGGAUGAGUACUCACGGUUGCUUUCUCCCCCCUUUUCUCCCCCUUUCCUUUCUUUCUGGUUGUCGCAACCAGAAGCUGGAGUCCAGGAGUCAGACGCCACCAUCGACGACGACCCCUACUACACUGGAGGUGCCUACUACUACGUGCUGCCCGCUGAUGACGACCUGGAGUAGUUUAGGAGGAUCCCAGGCAGGAGGCCUGCGCCUCUUUCGAUCUGUAUCCCAGUUUGUGCUAGCCUUCUUAAGGCAGACUUGUUUAACUUAUGUCUGUACUCAGAUAUUGUUGCUUCCGCUGACUCGUCUAUGAUCGAGCACUUGUAUUCGCGCCCUCGAGGCCCCUGGCUUGUAUUAUGAUGCUUGUAUGACUUAUUUUAUUUGUAGAGUUGUGUUGUGAUAUCUUCCCGUGAGUCCCUGAUCUUGAUCGUACACAUUUGCGUGCAUGAUUAGUGUACGAUUGAAUCGGGGGCGUUACACUCAGACUAUGAGAUUAUGCAACUCCCGAAUACCGGAGGAACACUUUGUGUGCUAUCAGACGUCACAAGUAAAUGGGUGAUUAUAAAGAUGCUCUACAGGUGUCUCCGAAGGUGUUUGUUGGGUUGGCAUAGAUCGAGAUUAGGAUUUGUCACUCCGUGUUUCAGAGAGGUAUCUCUGGGCCCUCUUAGUAAUACUCAUCACUAUAAGCCUUGCAAGCAUUGUGACUAAUGAGUUAGUUACGGGAUGAAGUAUUACAAAAUGAGUAAAGAGACUUUCCGGUAACGAGAUUGAACUAGGUAUGAUGAUACCGACGAUUGAAUCUCGGGCAAGUAACAUACCGAUGACAAAGGGAACAACGUAUGUUGUUAUGCGGUUUGACCGAUAAAGAUCUUCAUAGAAUAUGUAGGAACCAAUAUGAGCAUCCAGGUUCCGCUAUUUGAUUGACCGAAGACGUGUCUCGGUCAUGUCUACAUAGUUCUCGAACCCAUAGGGUCCGCAUGCUUAAUGUUCGAUGACGAUUGGUAUUAUGAGUUUAUGUGAUUUGAUGUACCAAAUGUUGUUCUGAGUCCCGAAUGAGAUCACGGACAUGAUGAGGAGUCUCGAAAUGGUCGAGCCAUAAAGACUGAUAUAUUGGAAGACUAUAUUCGGACACCGGAAUAGUUCCAAGGUGUAUCGGGUAAUUUCCGGAGUACCGGGNNNNNNNNNNNNNNNNNNNNNNNNNNNNNNNNNNNNNNNNNNNNNNNNNNNNNNNNNNNNNNNNNNNNNNNNNNNNNNNNNNNNNNNNNNNNNNNNNNNNNNNNNNNGGAGACAGGCCAAGGUGUGGCACGCGCGCCCCUAGCCCAAACCGAAUUGGACUAUGGGGGCCGGGCCCCCUUUCCUUCUCUCCACCCCCUCCUUCCCCCUUCUCCUUGUUGGAAUAGGAAGGGGGGCGAAUCUUACUUGGAGUAGGAUUGCCCCCCCAUGGCGCGCCUCCUUCCCUGGCCAACCUCCCACUCCUCUCGUCCUUUAUAUACGGGGGAGGGGGCACCCCAUAGACACACAAGUUGAUCUUUAGCCGUGUGCGGUGCCCCCUCCACAGUUUUCCACCUCGGUCAUAUCGUCGUAGUGCUUAGGCGAAGCCCUGCGCCGGUAACUUCAUCACCACCGUCACCACGCCGUCGUGCUGACGGAACUCUCCCUCGGCCUCAGCUGGAUCUAGAGUUCGAGGGACGUCACCGAGCUGAACGUGUGCAGAUCGCGGAGGUGUCGUGCGUUCGGUACUUGAUCGGUUGGAUCGCGAAGGCGUUUGAAUACAUCAACCGCGUUAUUUAACGCUUCCGCUUUCGGUCUAUGAGGGUACGUGGACACACUCUCCCCUCUCGUUGCUAUGCAUCACCUAGACAGAUCUUGCGUGAUCGUAGGAUUUUUUUUGAAAUUACUGCGUUCCCCAACACAAACUAGAUUAAAAUAGCUUUAAAAUAGAUUUUCUAUAAUCUCCAUGGGCUGAUGUCGAAGACAUAAACAAGGAAUACACUUUCACUUAAAAAUGGUUCGGAAUGGGCUGGAGUGGUUGGUUGGUGGGACCACCCAGUCAAACAUGAUAUUUGAGAUUGAAGUGUUUGAAAAUAUUUGGAUAUAUCUUCAAACAUGAUAUUUGAGAAUAGGAGAUUAAAUUGAAGAAACCAUUAUUAACAAUGACAAAAGCAACAUGUGGGCAUGGAUCAAAACAAGGGAUAUUUACUUUGACAGUCUAAAAUUUGUGAUGUAUCUUGAGUCCAAACUGUAAUGACUCUCAUGUUUAAUGACGAUUGAGGUGUUUUGAAGUAUUGUUUGAAUACAUCCUCAAACAUAAUANNNNNNNNNNNNNNNNNNNNNNNNNNNNNNNNNNNNNNNNNNNNNNNNNNNNNNNNNNNNNNNNNNNNNNNNNNNNNNNNNNNNNNNNNNNNNNNNNNNNNNNNNNNNNNNNNNNNNNNNNNNNNNNNNNNNNNNNNNNNNNNNNNNNNNNNNNNNNNNNNAACGCAAGCAUCCUGGUCAAUAUGUCCUCAAGAUUAGAUCAAGUUACACAAUCAUGUUGAAGUUAAACCAUCUUGUUCAAUUAAAAAAUGAUAAUAUUUUUUGAUGUAUGUUGAAUCAAACCUCACACAAAACGGUGGAGAAUAGUUGAAUCGUUGAGAUAUGUGAAUAAUUAUUCCAACUAUAUUUGAAAAAUCCAGCAAAUAAUGUGGAAUGAAGAUAAGAAAAAAACAAAUGAAAAAAACCAAAUGUGGCCAUGGAAAAAAAAAACCUGGCGCUCUAACGUGAUGUAUCUUCAAUCCAAAUAAUAUUGACCCUCUAGAUAAUGCCACAAAAAGUAAUGACAAGAUAAGGGAGGCAGAAAAAGGAAGAUUGCGGUGAACGUGGAUCGAACACGCGACCUUCAAAUCUUCAGUCUGACGCUCUCCCAUCUGAGCUAUCUCCGCAUUAUGUAAUUUUGGUUAGUUCUGUUUAUGUAUCUUGGAUUUCUGACUCACUUCAUAUUUGACUCGACACUAACGCUCUUCAAACUAACAUAAGGCCUCGGAAUCUCCACGUAGCAGCGAUCAGUAAAUGUAUUAUAUUACGCACCUCGUACAACCGUAGCAUAGACUUCUCGACAUAUUUUAUACGUACUUGAUGAUGUUCUUUCUUUACAUGGAAGAAGGAAAUCCAUGAUCUAUGGAACAAUCGUAAAGGUCCAGAACAAACGCAGUUUAAUUAGGCAGUACUAUAUACAUACUAUGGACUAGCCCAUUGGCUCAUUAGCAAAUUGUUUAAUUAACCUCUGAAUUUCUUCUUGGCUUUGGGCGGUAGACGGUCUGCAGCGCCGCUUUCUUGUCAGAAGCGAAUGCAUCAGUACAAGAGCCGCCGGUGCCACAGCUCCGGCGAGCAAUCUCUCCUGCCGCCGCUCGCUGCACGAGUGGGAAGCCCAUCUCCUGCAUGAAGCCAACUACCCGGCGCCGCGCGCGCUGGGACGGUGGAGGCUCAGCNNNNNNNNNNNNNNNNNNNNNNNNNNNNNNNNNNNNNNNNNNNNNNNNNNNNNNNNNNNNNNNNNNNNNNNNNNNNNNNNNNNNNNNNNNNNNNNNNNNNNNNNNNNNNNNNNNNNNNNNNNNNNNNNNNNNNNNNNNNNNNNNNNNNNNNNNNNNNNNNNNNNNNNNNNNNNNNNNNNNNNNNNNNNNNNNNNNNNNNNNNNNNNNNNNNNNNNNNNNNNNNNNNNNNNNNNNNNNNNNNNNNNNNNNNNCCCAUGCCCGGCGUCACGAGCCCCGACAAGUUCCGGACCGAGAUUGGGCGUGCGCGGGCGUCUCUGUCAGAGUAGCAGCGGGCCCCCCCGCAGUACAUCGCCGGUAACCACGAGGCGUGGGCGGCGUACUUUGAACGCCGGCAAGCGGAGCGGUUGGCCUCUACCAACAACGCGCCGGUGGGGCGGGGGAGCAAGAACAGGGACGGCCGCCGCCUGUGGUGGGGCGCCCUCGGCCGCACGCUCCACGCCGUCCUCGAGUAUCUUGAGGGCGACAACGACUCUCCGUUGACGUACCCGGCCGCCCUGGUCCCCGCCGGAGUGGCGGCCAAUGGAUGCCGAGGAGGACCAGCUCCUCUUCCUCCUCCUCCCGAUCCUCCUCCCACUCCUCUGGGUCGCCGACGCUCUUCAGUAUCAAGGCUGAGCCCGCGGAAACCCAUCUCGGCAGCGCCGGCAUCAUCAUCGACGAGGAUGGGCAUCCCUCCUCCUCGGCUCCUCCCUGCUUCGUUAAGCCCAAAACGGAGCCGGGGCUCACCGCCGUCAAGACGGAGCCGGGGCUCGCCGACGUGAAGACGGAGCCGGGGCUCGAGAUCGACGACGAUGCAGCCAUGAAGUGGGUGCGUGAAGACUGGGCGCGGCUGGAGAUGGAGCGCCAGCACCGCGCCCUGGAGGAGAUCAUCACGCGUUGCCGUGGGCGCGACAAAGGGGGUGUGGUCGUGCUUGAAGACAGCGACGACGACGCGCCACUACCGGUCCGCCUAGGCGACCCCGGGCAAGGGUCCAGCGGCGUGAAUAAGGAGAAGGACGACGACGACGGCGGUGGCGACGACGGCGACUACGCCGCGUUCAGCGAGUUCUUCGGCCUGUAGUCACGGUGCACUGUUUUUUUAGUGAGUUUCUUGUUUUCUAUGUAAAAACAUGUUGAACGCCGAAGUUUAUGUCCUGUUCGCCGAAACUUUGUCAUGUUUGCCGAAUUUUAGCCGUUUUCCUUUUCAAAACAGUAUUAAAAGAGGCGUCGGGGGCGACCCUGGGGGUGGCGGCUGGGAACCCGAUCGUCCCCAAGCCGAUUUUUAGCGUCGGGUCGCCCCCAGGUGGCGAUUUUAAGAACCCCCUGGGGGGCCAACGGCUGGGGUUGCUCUUAGCGCAAGACCUUUUAUAACGCUAUAUCGUGCGCUAUUGAAAACCAUGGUGUAUAUGUUAGGGAACGUAAUAAUUUCAAAAAAAUUCCUACGCACACGCAAGAUCAUGGUGAUGCAUAGCAACGAGAGGGGAGAGUGUUGUCCACGUACCCUCGUAGACCGAAAGCGGAAGCAUUAGCACAACGCGGUUAAUGUAGUCGUAUGUCUUCACGGCCUGACCGAUCCAGCACCGAAAACACGCCACCUCCGAGUUCUUGCACACGUUCAGCUCGAUGACGUCCCUCUAACUCCGAUCCAGCCGAGUGUCGAAGGAGAGUUCCGUCAGCACGACGGCGUGGUGACGAUGAUGAUGUUCUACCGACGCAGGGAUUCGCCUAAGCACCGCUACAAUAUUAUUGAGGUGGAAUAUGGUGGAGGGGGCACCGCACACGGCUAAUAGAUCUCAAGGAUCAAUUGUUGUUGUGUCUAGAGGUGCCCCCUGCCCCCGUAUAUAAAGGAGCAAGGGGGAGGGGGCGGCCGGCCAGGAGGAGUCCUACUCCCAUCGGGAGUAGGACUCCCUCCUUUCCUUGUCCAAGUAGGAGAGGCGGAAGGAAGGGAGAGAGGGGAGGAAGGUAAGGGGGGCGCCCCCCCCCCUCCUUGUCCUAUUCGGACUAGAGGGGGAGGGGGCACGCGGCCUGCCCUGGCCGCCCCUCCUCUUCUCCACUUUGGGCCCAUGAGGCCCACUAACCCCCGAGGGGGUUCCGGUAACCCCCCGGUACUCCGGUAUAUAUCUGAUAACCCCCGGAACCAUUCCGGUGUCCGAACAUAGUCGUCCAAUAUAUCAAUGUUCAUGUCUCGACCAUUUCGAGACUUCUCGUCAUGUCCGUGAUCAUAUCCGGGACUCCGAACUAUCUUCGGUGCAUCAAAACACAUGAACUCAUAAUAUAACUGUCAUCUAACUUUAAGCGUGCGGACCCUACGGGUUCGAGAACUAUGUAGACAUGACCGAGACAUGUUUCCGAUCAAUAACCAAUAGCGGAACCUGGAUGCUCAUAUUGGCUCCUACAUAUUCUACGAAGAUCUUUAUCGGUCAAACCGCAUAACACCAUACGUUGUUCCCUUUGUCAUCGGUAUGUUACUUGCCCGAGAUUUGAUCGUCGGUAUCUCAAUACCUAGUUCAAUCUCGUUACCGGCAAGUAUCUUUACUCGUUAUGUAAUGCAUCAUUCCGUAACUAACUCCUUAGCUACAUUUCUUGCAAGUCUUAUAAUGAUGUGCAUUACCGAGAGGGCCCAGAGAUACCUCUCCGACAAUCGAAGUGACAAAACCUAAUCUCGAAAUACGUCAACUCAACAUGUACCUUUGGAGACACCUGUAGAGCUCCUUUAUAAUCACCCAGUUUCAUUGUGACGUUUGGUAGCACACAAAGUGUUCCUCUGGUAAACGGGAGUUGCAUAAUCUCAUAGUUGUAGGAACAUGUAUAAGUCAUGAAGAAAGCAAUAGCAACAUACUAAAUGAUCAAGUGCUAAGUUAACAGAAUGGGUCAAGUCAAUCACAUCAUUCUCCUAAUGAUGUGAUCCCGUUAAUCAAAUGACAACUCAUGUCUAUGGUCAGGAAACACAACCAUCAUUGAUCAACAAGCUAGUCAAGUAAAGGCAUACUAGUGACACUAUGUAUGUCUAUGUAUUCACACAUGCAUUAUGUUUCCGGUUACUACAAUUCUAGCAUGAAUAAUAAGCAUUUAUCAUGAUAUAAGGAAAUAAAUAAUAACUUUAUUAUUGCCUCUAGGGCAUAUUUCCUUCAGUCUCCCACUUGCACUAGAGUCAAUAAUCUGGAUUACACAGUAAUUGUUCUAACACCCAUGGAGCCUUGGUGUUGAUCAUGUUUUGCUCGUGGAAGAGGCUUAGUCAAUGGGUCUGCAACAUUCAGAUCCGUAUGUAUCUUGCAAAUCUCUAUGUCUCCCACCUGGACUUGGUCCCGGUUGGAAUUGAAGCGUCUUUUGAUGUGCUUGGUCCUCUUGUGAAAUCUGGAUUCCUUUGCCAAGGCAAUUGCACCAGUAUUGUCACAGAAGAUCUCCAUUGGUCCCGAUGCACUAGGUAUGACACCUAGAUCGGAUAUGAACUCCUUCAUCCAGACUCCUUCAUUUGCUGCUUCCGAAGCAGCUAUGUACUCCGCUUCGCAUGUAGAUCCCGCCACGACACUUUGUUUAGAACUGCACCAACUGACAGCUCCACCGUUCAAUAUAAACACCUAUCCGGUUUGCGAUUUAGAAUCAUCUGGAUCAGUGUCAAAGCUUGCAUCGACAUAACCAUUUAUGACUAGCUCUUUGUCACCUCCAUAAACAAGAAACAUAUCCUUAGUCCUUUUCAGGUAUUUCAGGAUAUUCUUGACCGCUGUCCAGUGAUCCACUCCUGGAUUACUUUGGUACCUCCCUGCUAAACUUAUUGCUAAGCAUACAUCAUGUCUGGUACACAGCAUUGCAUACAUGAUAGAGCCUAUGGCUGAAGCAUAGGGAACAUCUUUCAUUUUCUCUCUAUCUUCUGCUGUGGUCGGGCAUUGAGUCUGACUCAACUUCACACCUUGUAAUACAGGCAAGAACCCUUUCUUUGCUUGAUCCAUUUUGAACUUUUUCAAAACUUUAUCAAGGUAUGUGCUUUGUGAAAGUCCAAUUAAGCGUCUUGAUCUAUCUCUAUAGAUUUUGAUGCCUAAUAUGUAAGCAGCUUCACCAAGGUCUUUCAUUGAAAAACUUUUAUUCAAGUAUCCUUUUAUGCUAUCCAGAAAUUCUAUAUCAUUUCCAAUCAAUAAUAUGUCGUCUACAUAUAAUAUCAGAAAUGCUACAGAGCUCCCACUCACUUUCUUGUAAAUACAGGCUUAUCCAAAAGUCUGUAUAAAACCAUAUGCUUUGAUCACACUAUCAAAGCGUUUAUUUCAACUCCGAGAGGCUUGCACCGGUCCAUAAAUGGAUCACUGGAUCUUGCACACUUUGUUAGUACUUUUUGGAUCGACAAAACCUUCUGGUUGCAUCAUAUACAACUCUUCUUCCAGAAAUCCAUUCAGGAAUGCAGUUUUGACAUCCAUUUGCCAUAUUUCAUAAUCAUAAAAUGCGGCAAUUUCUAACAUUAUUCGGACAGACUUAAGCAUCACUACGGGUGAGAAAGUCUCAUCGUAGUCAACUCCUUGAACUUGUCGGAAACCUUUUGCAACAAGUCGAGCUUUUUAGACAGUACCAUUACCAUCAGCGUCAGCCUUCUUCUUGAAAAUCCAUUUAUUCUCGAUGGCUUGCCGAUCAUCGGGCAAGUCAACCAAAGUCCAUACUUUGUUCUCAUACAUGGAUCCCAUCUCAGAUUUCAUGGCCUCAAGCCAUUUUGCGGAAUCCAGGCUCAUCAUCGCUUCCUCAUAGUUCGUAGGUUCGCCAUGGUCAAGUAACAUGGCUUCUAGAAUAGGAUUACCAUACCACUCUGGUGCGGAUCUUACUCUGGUUGACCUACGAGGUUCGGUAGUAACUUGAUCUGAAGUUUCAUGAUCAAUAUCAUUAGCUUCCUCAUUGAUUGGUCUUUCCUUUAGAUCUGUGAUAGAAGGUGUACCCAAUAGUCUCUUUUGGGUAUCCUAUAAAGACACAUUUCUCCAAUUUGGAUUCGAGCUUAUCUGGUUGAAGUUUCUUCACAUAAGCAUCACAGCCCCAAACUUUAAGAAACGACAACUUUGGUUUCUUGCCAAACCAUAGUUCAUAAGGCAUCAUCUCAAUGGAUUUGAUGGUGCCCUAUUUAACGUGAAUACAACCGUCUCUAAAGCAUAACCCCAAAACGAUAGCGGUAAAUCAGUAAGAGACAUCAUAGAUCGCACCAUAUCUAGUAAAGUAUGAAUACGACGUUUGGACACACCAUUACGUUGUGGUGUUCCGGGUGGCGUGAGUUGUGAAACUAUCCCGCAUUGUUUAAAAUGCAAACCAAACUCGUAACUCAAAUAUUCUCCUCCAUGAUCGGAUCAUAGAAACUUUAUUUUCUUGUUACGAUGAUUUUCCACUUCACUAUGAAAUUCUUUGAAUUUUUCAAAUGUUUCAGACUUAUGUUUCAUUAAGUAGAUAUACCCAUAUCUGCUCAAAUCAUCUGUGAAGGUGAGAAAAUAACUAUACCCGCCACGAGCCCCAAUGUUCAUUGGACCACAUACAUCAGUAUGUAUGAUUUCCAACAAAUCUGUUGCUCGCUCCAUAGUUCCGGAGAACGGCGUUUUAGUCAUGUUGCCCAUGAGGCACGGCUCGCAAGUACCAAUUGAUUCAUAAUCAAGUGAUUCCAGAAGUCCAUCAAUAUGGAGUUUCUUCAUGCGCUUUACACCAAUAUGACCCAAACGGCAGUGCCACAAACAAGUUGCACUAUCAUUAUCAACUCUACAUCUUUUGGCUUCAACAUUAUGAAUAUGUGUAUCACUACUAUCGAGAUUUAAUAAAAAUAGACCACUCUUCAAGGGUGCAUGACUAUAAAAGAUAUUACUCAUAUAAAUAGAACAACCAUUAUUCUCUGAUUUAAAUGAAUAACCGUCUCGCAUCAAACAAGAUCCAGAUAUAAUGUUCAUGCUCAACGCUGGCACCAAAUAACAAUUAUUCAGGUCUAAAACUAAUCCCGAAGGUAGAUGUAGAGGUAGCGUGCCGACAGCGAUCACAUUGACUUUGGAACCAUUUCCCACGCGCAUCAUCACCUCGUCCUUAGCCGAUCUUCGCUUAAUCCGUAGUCCCUGUUUCAAGUUGCAAAUAUUAGCAAUAGAACCAAUAUCAAAUACCCAGGUACUACUGCAAGCAUUAGUAAGGUACACAUCAAUAACAUGUAUAUCACAUAUACCUUUGUUCACCUUGCCAUCCUUCUUAUCCGCCAAAUACUUGGGGCAGUUCCACAUCCAGUGACCAGUCUGCUUGCAGUAGAAGCACUCAGUCUCAGGCUUAGGUCCAGAUUUUGGUUUCUUCUCUUGAGCAGCAACCUGUUUGCCGUUCUUCUUGAACUUCCCCUUCUUCUUCCCUUUACCCUUUUUCUUGAAACUGGUGGUCUUAUUGACCAUCAACACUUGAUGCUCCUUUUUGAUUUCUACCUCCGUAGCUUUUAGCAUUGCGAAGAGCUCAGGAAUAGUCUUGUCCAUCCCUUGCAUAUUAUAGUUCAUCACAAAGCUCUUGUAGCUUGGUGGCAGUGAUUGAAGAAUCCUAUCAAUGACACUAUCAUCAGGAAGAUUAACUCCCAGUUGAAUCAAGUGAUUAUUGUACCCAGACAUUUUGAGUAUAUAUUCACUGACAGAACUAUUCUCUUCCAUCUUGCAGCUAUAGAACUUAUUGGAGACUUCAUAUCUCUCAUUCCGGGCAUUUGCUUGAAAUGUUAACUUCAACUCCUGGAACAUCUCAUAUGCUCCAUGACGUUCAAAACAUCGUUGAAGUCCCGGUUCUAAGCCGUAAAGCAUGGCACAUUGAACUAUCGAGUAGUCAUAAGCUUUGCUCUGCCAGACGUUCCUAACGUCGUCAGUUGCAUCUGCAGCAGGCCUAGGACCCAGCGGUGCUUCCAGGACGUAAUUAUUCUGUGCAGUAAUGAGGAUAAUCCUCAAGUUACGGACCCAGUCCGUGUAAUUGCUACCAUCAUCUUUCAACUUAGCUUUCUCAAGGAACGCAUUAAAAUUCAACGGAACAACAGCACAAGCCAUCUAUCUACAACAAACAUAGACAAGCAAAAUACUAUCAGGUACUAAGUUCAUGAUAAAUUUAAGUUCAAUUAAUCAUAUUACUUAAGAACUCCCACUUAGAUAGACAUCCCUCUAAUCAUCUAAGUGAUCACGUGAUCCAAAUCAACUAAACCAUGUCCGAUCAUCACGUGAGAUGGAGUAGUUUUCAAUGGUGAACAUCACUAUGUUGAUCAUAUCUACUAUAUGAUUCACGAUCGACCUUUCGGUCUCAGUGUUCCGAGGCCAUAUCUGUAUAUGCUAGGCUCGUCAACUUUAACCUGAGUAUUCCGUGUGUGCAACUGUUUUGCACCCGUUGUGAACGUAGAGCCUAUCACACCCGAUCAUCACGUGGUGUCUCAUCACGAAGAACUUUCGCAACGGUGCAUACUCAGGGAGAACACUUAUACCUUGAAAUUUAGUGAGAGAUCAUCUUAUAAUGCUACCAUCAAUCAAAGCAAAAUAAGAUGCAUAAAGGAUAAAUAUCACAUGCAAUCAAUAUAAGUGAUAUGAUAUGGCCAUCAUCAUCUUGUGCUUGUGAUCACCAUCUCCGAAGCACCGUCAUGAUCACCAUCGUCACCGGCGCGACAGCUUGAUCUCCAUCGUAGCAUCGUUGUGAUUUCGCCACCUAUUGCUUCUACGACUAUCGCUACCUCUUAGUGAUAAAGUAAAGCAAUUACAGGGUGAUUGCAUUGCAUACAAUAAAGCGACAACAAUAUGGCUCCUACCAGUUGCCGAUAACUCGGUUACAAAAUGUGAUCAUCUCAUACAAUAAAAUAUAGCAUCACAUCUUGACCAUAUCACAUCACAACAUGCCCUGGAAAAACAAGUUAGACGUCCUCUACUUUGUUGUUGCAAGUUUUACGUGGCUGCUACGGGCUGAGCAAGAACCGUUCUUACCUACGCAUCAAAACCACAAUGAUAGUUCGUCAAGUUAGUGUUGUUUUAACCUUCUCAAGGACCGGGCGUAGCCACACUCGGUUCAACUAAAGUUGGAGCCGCCAGCCACCUAUGUGCAAAGCACGUCGGUAGAACCAGUCUUGCGUAAGCGUACGCGUAAUGUCAGUCCGGGCCGCUUCAUCCAACAAUACCGCCGAACCAAAGUAUGACAUGCUGGUAAGCAAUAUGACUUGUAUCACCCACAACUCACUUAUGUUCUACUCGUGCAUAUAACAUCUACGCGUAAAACCAGGCUCGGAUGCCACUGUUAGGGAACGUAGUAAUUUCAAAAAAAAAUCCUACGCACACGCAAGAUCAUGGUGAUGCAUAGCAACGAGAGGGAAGAGUUUUGUCCACGUACCCUCGUAGACCGAAAGCGGAAGCAUUAGCACAACGCGGUUGAUGUACUCGUACGUCUUCACGGCCCGACCGAUCAAGCACCGAAAACAUGGCACCUCCGAGUUCCUACACACGUUCAACUCGAUGACGUCCCUCGAACUCUGAUCCAGUCGAGUGUCGAAGGAGAGUUCCGUCAGCACGACGGCGUGGUCAUGAUGAUGAUGAUCUACCGACGCAGGGCUUCGCGUAAGCACCACUAUGAUAUUAUCAAGGUGGAAUAUGGUGGAGGAGGGCACCGCACACGGCUAAUAGAUCUCAAGGAUCAAUUGUUGUUGUGUCUAGAGGUGCCCCCUGCCCCCGUAUAUAAAGGAGCAAGGGGGAGGGGGCGGCGGGCCAGGAGGGGGCGUGCUAGGAGGAGUCCUACUCCCACCGGGAGUAGGACUCCCUCCUUUCCUUGUCCAAGUAGGAGAGGUGGAAGGAAGGGAGAGAGGGGAGGAAGGAAAGGGGGCGCCGCNNNNNNNNNNNNNNNNNNNNNNNNNNNNNNNNNNNNNNNNNNNNNNNNNNNNNNNNNNNNNNNNNNNNNNNNNNNNNNNNNNNNNNNNNNNNNNNNNNNNNNNNNNNNNNNNNNNNNNNNNNNNNNNNNNNNNNNNNNNNNNNNNNNNNNNNNNNNNNNNNNNNNNNNNNNNNNNNNNNNNNNNNNNNNNNNNNNNNNNNNNNNNNNNNNNNNNNNNNNNNNNNNNNNNNNNNNNNNNNNNNNNNNNNNNNNNNNNNNNNNNNNNNNNNNNNNNNNNNNNNNNNNNNNNNNNNNNNNNNNNNNNNNNNNNNNNNNNNNNNNNNNNNNNNNNNNNNNNNNNNNNNNNNNNNNNNNNNNNNNNNNNNNNNNNNNNNNNNNNNNNNNNNNNNNNNNNNNNNNNNNNNNNNNNNGUUCUGGUAACCCCCCGGUAUUCCGAUAUAUAUCUGAUAACCCCCGGAACCAUUCCGGUGUCCGAAUAUAGUCAUCCGAUAUAUCAAUCUUCAUGUCUCGACCAUUUCAAGACUCCUCAUCAUGUCCGUGAUCAUAUUCGGGACUCCGAACUAUCUUCAGUACAUCAAAACACAUGAACUCAUAAUAUAAUUGUCAUCUAACUUUAAGCGUGCGGACCCUAUGGGUUUGAGAACUAUGUAGACAUGACCGGGACAUGUUUCCGGUCAAUAACCAAUAGCGGAACCUGGAUGCUCAUAUUGGCUCCUACAUAUUCGAGGAAGAUCUUUAUCGGUCAAACCGCAUAACAACAUACGUAGUUCCCUUUGUCAUCGGUAUGUUACUUGCCCGAGAUUCGAUCGUCGGUAUCUCAACACCUAGUUCAAUCUCAUUACCAGCAAGUCUCUUUACUCGUUAUGUAAUGCAUCAUUCCGUAACUAACUCAUUAGCUACAUUGCUUGCAAGGCUUAUAGUGAUGUGCAUUACCGAGAGGGCCCAGAGAUACCUCUCCGACAAUCGGAGUGACAAAACCUAAUCUCGAAAUACGCCAACUCAACAUGUACCUUUGGAGAUACCUGUAGAGCUCCUUUAUAAUCACCCAGUUUCGUUGUGACGUUUGGUAGCACACAAAGUGUUCCUCCGGUAAACAGGAGUUGCAUAAUCUCAUAGUUGUAGAAACAUGUAUAAGUCAUUAAGAAAGUAAUAGAAACACACUAAAUGAUCAAGUGCUAAGCUAACGGAAUGGGUCAAGUCAAUCACAUCAUUCUCCUAAUGAUGUGAUCCCGUUAAUCAAAUGACAACUCAUGUCUAUGGUCAGGAAACACAACCAUCUUUGAUCAACAAGCUAGUCAAGUAGAGGCAUACUAGUGACACUAUGUAUGUCUAUGUAUUCACACAUGCAUUAUGUUUCUGGUUAAUACAAUUCUAGCAUGAAUAAUAAACAUUUACACUAGUAGAAAACAUGGCAUUUGUCCCGGUUCGUAAGGGCCUUUUGUCCUGGUUUAAGAACUAGGACUAAAAGGUCGAUACUAAUGCCCUUGGCCUUUAGUCCUGGUUUAAGAACUGGGACUAAAAGGUCGAUACUAAUGCCCUUGGCCUUUAGUCCCGGUUCUUACACGAACCGGGACAGAUGGGCCUCCAUGUGGCCACUGCGGGUAGCCCAGGCAGGGUGGCCUUUGGUCCCGGUUGGUGACAUAAACCGGGACCAAAAGGCAUCCACGCGUCAGCAGCUGGCUGGAGCUGAGUUUUUUUUAAAGUGGCCAGUUUAGGGGUUUUGGGGGUUAAUUUAGGUUGUUAUUAGCUAGCUAAUAGAGAGAAGUGUCCUCUAUUAUAUCUUCGUGCUUGGUUUACCAACGCUACUGCCAAGUUCAUUUCACCCGCUGAUAUAUAAUAACUCUUCAUGAUCGCAUCAUACAUCAUCAUAAGUAAUAACAAGUCCUACUAAUCAUGCAUCAUCAUACAACUUCUACUCGUUAUUAAUAACAAGUCAUACAAUCAUCAUCCUCGAUCAUAGUCAUCGAACCCAACCCUAUAUAAUUGUUCUUAGCACAUGAUCAUCAGUAUCAGGUAGGACCUAAACACCCUUAAGGCAAAAUAGCAUAAAACAAUAUAGACCCUGACUCUCCAUUAUGAAAAAUGGAGAUUAUCCUGUUUCCAAUUCUCACACUUCACUUCUUUUUUCUUCCAAGAACCUCCUUACGACUGUCCAUGCAUUUUUUCCAUUCAUUGAUUUUCAUGUCUCCACUUAUUUUAGAAAUCCGAUAUGGACAGUUGAGAUUCGUAGGACGACCUGGUUGUAUGUUCAAAACAUCAAGGCGACCGUGCGUAUACAUCAGAUGAGGCACACAAUCAUCAGGAUUAUCUGUUGAAAAACAUAGUAAUAACUUCGUAGUUAGCAAUGGUGUACUAGUUUUAGAAGUAUGCAAAAAGAUGCACGGAUGUCGUAAUAGUAAAAAAAAUUAUCAGGGUAUCUCCAUGGUAGUUACCGUAGUUCAACACGUGCACUAGUGGCACGUAUUGACCAUAAUGUUGAGGAGUUCGAUUGUAGAUAUUGUAAUUCUCAAGAUCAGUACAAAAUGCGACCAGAUGAUUUUUCUCCUUAUAAGUUAAUUCGGAGCCAUCGGUGUAGUGGGUUUUGUCUACCAUCUUCCGCACAUUCUUUGAAGAAUGAAAAUAAGCUGUCAAUGGAAAUAAGCUGUCAACUAUUUUGAAAUAAACAAUAUAAAUUACUUAAUAACGACUAUGUUUGAGAAUCUCACAUGGGGGAAGAAUUGGAAGUGUAUCAAUAAGGACCCAAAUGUCCAUAUUGUCUUGCUCGAUUGUAGGAUCACCAAGAUCCAUGGGGACAAGCAUACCCUCAUCAAAACCAUACAUCUUGCAAAGUGCUUCCCAAUUUUUGCAACCAAAAUGGGUUACACUCUUAGAAUUGUACAGAUUUACUUCAAAAUCCACACCAUGAUGGGUCCUUAGGUGAAUUGUUUUGGUUUUCAUACUUUCAUGGUCUUCAAAACCCAUCCUCUCCAAGACAUAGCGUCUUGCAUAGCAUGGGAUAAGCUAGUCGAAUUGGAAAAUAUGAAAAAAUACACAUUAAAAUAGUUGAAGUCGUGCUUAAUUACGAAAAAACUAUUGUCGUCGUUGCGUACUAUUUCAACAUCGAAGGUCUCCUCGAGCUUAAUGCUGAAGCGCCAAUCUUCAUCCAGCUCAAGGAACCUGUCGCACAUACCUCGGUCGUCGUGGCACCAGUCGCACUCCCCCGGGCGGUUUUCGUCGUCCGAGUAUGACAUUUCUGGUCUAUGUUCAUAAUUCAAAUAUUAAACUUGUACAAUUAAAUAUGUGUACUAAAAAACCUAAAUUAGAUCAUUAUUAUUAAUCACGGGUUGACUAUCGGUGAUGGUAGCUCCUCCUUUCAUUCCCGAGUGCAUUAUUACAUCAAAUUGUGUAGCACACGGGAAUGAAGGAGAAGCUACCCCCACGACGGCGUGGAUGAUGGAGGGGGCUCCUAGAUUUCUGCAUAGUGCUCUCCAAUUUUAGCAUUCAAAGUAGGAGUACUUUUCCAAUAUGAGCAUUCAAUAAGCAAAACCAAAUCAUAAAAUAAAGUAGUAUUCAAAUUAGCAUGCAUUCAAUUAUAAGCAAAAGUACAUCAUCUCUUGUGUCCGUACAUCAUCGAAUAUUGCUACCUCUUGAGCACUGCGUUGGUUUUCCCAGAAGAUGAGAGGAUGAUGCAGUAAAGUAGCAUAAGUAUUUCCCUCAGUUUUUGAGAACCAUGGUAUCAAUCCAGUAGGAGACCACGCACAAGUCCCUCGUACCUACACAAAACGAUAGCUACUCGCAACCAACACGAUUAGGGGUUGUCAAUCCCUUCAUGGUCACUUACGAGGGUGAGAUCUGAUAGAGAUGAUAAAUAAUAUUUUUGGUAUUUUUGAUAGAUGGAUGCAAAGUUAAAAGUAAAAGGUAAAGUAAAAACAAAGCAAGUAAAUAAAGCGAUAGAGAUUGAUAUGAUGAGAAUAGACCCGGGGGCCAUAGGUUUCACUAGUGGCUUCUCUCAAGAGCAUAAAUAUUCUACGGUGGGUGAACAAAAUUACUAUCGAGCAAUUGAUAGAAUUGAGCAUAGUUACGAGCAUAUCUGGGCAAUGAUCAUGUAUAUAGGCAUCAUGUCCAAGACAAGUAGAUCAAAGCGAUUCUGCAUCUACUACUAUUACUCCACUCAUCGACCGCUAUCCAGCAUGCAUCUAGAGUAUUAAGUUAAAAACAGAGUAACGCCUUAAGCAAGAUGACAUGAUGUAGAGGGAUAAAUUCAUGCAAUAUGAUAAAAACCCCAUCUCGUUAUCCUCGAUGGCAACAAUACAAUACGUGCCUUGCAACCCUUUCUGUCACUGGGUAAGGACACCGCAAGAUUGAACCCAAAGCUAAGCACUUCUCCCAUUGCAAGAACUACCAAUCUAGUUGGCCAAACCAAACGGAUAAUUCGAAGAGACUUGCAAAGAUAACUCAAUCAUACAUAAAAGAAUUCAGAGAAGAUUCAAAUAUUUUCCAUAGAUAAUCUGGAUCGUAAACCCACAAUUCAUCAGUCUCAACAAACACACCGCAAAAAGAAGAUUACAUCGAAUAGUUCUCCACAAGAGAGGGGGAGAACAUUGUAUUGAGAUCCAAAAAGAGAGAAGAAGCCAUCUAGCUGCUAGCUAUGGACCCGAAGGUCUGAAGUAAACUACUCACACUUCAUCGGAGGGGCUAUGGUGUUGAUGUAGAAGCCCUCCGUGGUAGAUGCCCCCUCCGGCGGAGCUCCGGAACAGGCCCCAAGAUGGGAUCUCGUGGAUACAGAAAGUUACGGCGGUGGAAUUAGGUUUUUGGCUCCGUAUUUGAUCUGUCGGGGGUACGUAGAUAUAUAUAGGAGGAAGGAGGACGUCGGUGGAGCAACAAGGGGCCCACGAGCUAGGGGGCGUGCCCAGGGGUGCCCUCCACCCUCGUGACCGCCUCUUUCGUUCCUUGGAGCAGGGUCCAAGUCUCCCGGAUCACGUUCGGUGAGAAAAUCACGUUCCCGAAGGUUUCAUUCCGCGUGGACUCCGUUUGAUAUUCCGUUUCUUCGAAAUACUGAAAUAGGCAAAAAACAGCAAUUCUGGGCUGGGCCUCCGGUUAAUAGGUUAGUCCCAAAAAUAAUAUAAAAGUGGAAAAUAAAGCCCAAUAUAGUCCAAAACAGUAGAUAAAGUAGCAUGGAGCAAUCAAAAAUUAUAGAUACGUUGGAGACGUAUCAGGCAUCCCCAAGCUUAAUUCCCGCUCGUCCUCGAGUAGGUAAAUGAUAAAAAAGAAUUUUUGAUGCGGAGUGAUACUUUGGCAUAAUUUCAAUGUAAAUCUUCUUAAUUGUGAUAUGAAUAUUCAGAUCCGAAAGAUUCAAGACAAAAGUUCAUAUUGACACAAAAAUAAUAAUACUUCAAGCAUACUAAUCAAAGCAAUCAUGUGUUCUCAAAAUAACAUGGCAAAAGAAAGUUCAUCCCUACAAAAUCAUAUAGUUAGGCUAUGUUUCAUUUUCGUCACACAAAGAUGUUCCCAACUUCUAUACCCCCGAUGACAAGCCAAGCAAUUGUUUCAUACUUAAAUAAUCUCAAACUUUUUCAAUCUUCACGCAAUACAUGAGCGUGAGCCAUGGAUAUAGCACUAUGGGUGGAAUAGAAUAUGAUGAUGGGGAUUGUGUGGAGAAGACAAAAAAAGAAAGUCUCACAUUGGCGAGGAUAAUCAACGGGCUAUGGAGAUGCCCAUCAAUUGAUGUCAACAUGAGGAGUAGGGAUUGCCAUGCAACGAAUGCACUAGAGCUAUGAAUGCUCAACAAAAGAAAACUAGUGGGUGUGCAUCCAACUUGCUUGCAAACGAAGACCUAGGGCAUUUGAGGAAGCCCAUCGUAGGAAUAUACAAGCCAAGUUCUAUAAUGAAAAAUUCCCACUAGUAUAAAAAGACAACUUAUGAGACUCACUACAUGAAGAACAAGGUGAUACUUUGAAGCACAAUAUAUGAGACUCACUACAUGAAGAACAAGGUGCUACUUUGAAGCACAAGUGUGGAAAAAAGAUAGUAGCAUUGCCCUUUUUCUUUUCUUUUUUUUUCUUUUGUUUUUCUUUUUCCCUUUUUUUGGCCCUUUCCUUUUUUUGGCCUUUCUUUUUUUUCUUUUCUUUUUUUCUUUGAGCAAUGCUCUAAUAAUGAUGAUCAUCACACUUCUAUUGAUUACAAGAUAAGGAUUACAACUCGAAACUUAGAACAAGAUAUGACUCUAUAUGAAUGCCUCUGGCGGUGUACCGAGAUGGUGCAAUGAAUCAAGAGUGACAUGUAUGAAAAAUAAUGCAAGGUGGUUUUGCCACAAAUGCGAUGUCAACUACAUGAUCAUGCAAUGGCAAUAUGACAAAAGUAAUGUAUGUCAGGAUGAGGAUGGAAGUUACAUGGCAAUAUAUCUCGGAAUGGCUAUGGAAAUGCCAUAAUAGGUAGGUAUGGUGGCUGUUUUGAGGAAGAUAUAAGGAGGUUUAUGUGUGAUAGAGCGUAUCGUAUCACGGGGUUUGGAUGCACCGGCGAAGUUUGCACCAACUCUCAAGGUGAGAAAGGGCAAUGCACGGUACCGAAGAGGCUAGCAAAGGCGAAAAGGUGAGAGCGCGUAUAAUCCAUGGACUCAACAUUAGUCAAAAGAACUCAUAUACUUAUUGCAAAAAUUUAGAAGUCAACAAAAAUCAAGUACUACGCGCAUGCUCCUAGGGGGAUAGAUUGGUAGGAAAAGACCAUCGCUCGUCCCCGACCGCCACUCAUAAGGAUGCACAAGCCAGGUACACUUCAUGUUUCAAAUUUGUUACACAACUUUAACCAUACGUGCAUGCUACGGGAUUUGCAAACUUCAAGACAAGCAUUUCUCAAAUUCAUAAUCACUCAACUAGCACGACUUUGAUAUUAUCACCUCCAUAUCUCAAAACAAUUAUCAAGCAUCAAACUUAUCUUAGUAUUCAAUUCACUCAAAAGAAAGUUUCACAUAUCUUGAAUACCAAGUAUAUUAACAUUAAGCAAAUUACCAUGCUAUUAACGACUCUAAAAAAUAAUAUAAGUGAAGCAUGAGAGAUCAAUAGUUUUUAAAAAAAAUCCACCACCGUGCUCUAAAAGAUAUAAGUGAAAUACUAGAGCAAAAACUAUCACGCUCAAAAGAUAUAAGUGAAGCACUAUGAGCAAAACUAUCAAGCUCAAAAGAUAUAAGUGAAGCACAUAGAGUAUUCUAACAAAUUCUAAAUCAUGUAUGGCUCUCUCAAAAGGUGUGUACAGCAAGGAUGAUUGUGGUAGACUAACAAGCAAAGACACAAAUGAUAUAAGACACUCCAAGCAAAACACAUAACAGGUGGUGAAUAAAAAUAUAGCUCCAAGUAAAUUACCGAUGGAAGUGGACGAAAGAGGGGAUGCCUUCCGGGGCAUCCCCAAGCUUUGACUUUUUGGUGUACUUGGAUUAUCUUGUGGGUGCCGUGGGCAUCCCCAAGCUUAGGCUCUUGCCACUCCUUGUUCCAUAAUCCAUCAAAAGAAUUCACCCAAAACUUGAAAACUUCACAACACAAAACUCAACAGAAAUCUCGUGAGCUCCGUUAGAGAAAGAAAACAAAAUACUACUUCAAGGUACUGUAAUGAACUCAUUAUUUAUUUAUAUUGGUGUUAAACCUACUGUAUUACAACUUCUCUAUGGAUUAUAAACUAUUUUACUAGCCAUAGAUUCAUCAAAAUAAGCAAACAACACACGUAAAACAGAAUCUGUCAAAAACAGAACAGUUUGUAGCAAUCUGUAACUAAUGCAAACUUAUGGAACUCUAAAAAUUCUACCAAAAUAGGAAGUCCUGGAAAAUUUGUUUAUUGAACAUCGUCAAAAAGAAUCAACGCAAAAGCACGUUCCUGUGAUUUAACAAAAUUAUAUUCGUGCGUGCAAAGUUUCUGUUUUUCAGCAGAAUCAAAUCAACUAUCAUCGUAGGUUAUCCUAUAGGUUCUACUUGGCACAAACACUAAUUAAAAGACAAAACCACAUUUAACCAGAGGCUAGAUGGAUUAUUUAUUCCUAAACAGAAGCAAAAACAAAAAACACAAAAUAAAAUUGGGUUGCCUCCCAACAAGCGCUAUCGUUUAACGCCCCUAGCUAGGCAUAAAAGCAAGGAUAGAUCUAGGUAUUGCCAUCUUUGAUUUUCAAUUUCUUGGCGGAGUCAUGCUCGAAUCUGGGAGGUUCUUUCCGCUUCCCUUCAUACUCGGAAAUUUUUAGGUCUAAAGAAUCCAACCGCUUAUUACAAAGAGUAAUCAACAUAUUCAUGCGGUGAAGAUUUCCGCUAACACUUUUAAGAGGCUCAAGAGACUUUUGUAAAAAAAUUGUUACUUCGCAAAUCUUCUCAAACACUUGGGUUUCUUCCUGGGUAGGAUAAGAUCCUCCCUUUUGGGGUAGUGUUCCCACUAUUCCCUCUAUAAUUUCAUGCGCAAUACUGGGAUCAAUCUCAAUGAAAUUUCCCUUGGCGAUGCAAUUCAAGAGUUGUCUAUGCGUCAUAUUUAACCCAACAUAAAAAUUACGAAGAAGAAAUCUAAAGUUUACCUCUAGGGUGCACUUAUGAUAGGAUUCCAUCAUCCUAUACCAAGCAUCUUUUAAGUUUUCUCCUUGCCUUUGCUUGAAGUGAAGAACUUCAAACUCGGGAGACAUAGGAGCGGAUAAGGAAUUAGACAUUACGACAGGCAAGCAAACUAGCACACGAGCAAACAGAAAGGCAACGGGAAAAAGCAAAACGAGAAAGAGAGGAGGAGAUUGGGAAAGAGAGGGCGAAAAAAACAGCAAGGGUGAAGUGGGGGAGAGGAAAACGAGAGGCAAAUAAUGUAAUGCGAGAGAUAGGGAUUGUGAUGGGUACUUGGUAUGGUUGACUUGCUUGCGUGAGCCUCCCCGGCAACGGCGCCAAAAAUUCUUCUUGCUCCCUCUUGAGCACUGCGUUGGUUUUCCCCGAAGAGGAGAGGAUGAUGCAGUAAAGUAGCAUAAGUAUUUCCCUCAGUUUUUGAGAACCAAGGUAUCAAUCCAGUAGGAGACCACGCACAAGUCCCUCGUACCUACACAAAACGAUAGCUACUCGCAACCAACGCGAUUAGGGGUUGUCAAUCCCUUCACGCUCACUUACGAGGGUGAGAUCUGAUAGAGAUGAUAAAUAAUAUUUUUGGUAUUUUUGAUAGAUGGAUGCAAAGUGAAAAGUAAAAGGUAAAGUAAAAAACAAAGCAAGUAAAUAAAGCGAUAGAGAUUGAUAUGAUGAGAAUAGACCCGGGGGCCAUAGGUUUCACUAGUGGCUUCUCUCAAGAGCAUAAAUAUUCUACGGUCGGUGAACAAAUUACUGUUGAGCAAUUGACAGAAUUGAGCAUAGUUAUGAGCAUAUCUAGGCAAUGAUCAUGUAUAUAGGCAUCACGUCCAAGACAAGUAGAUCGAAACGAUUCUGCAUCUACUACUCUUACUCCACUCAUCGACCGCUAUCUAGCAUGCAUCUAGAGUAUUAAGUUAAAACAAAUUAACGCCUUAAGCAAGAUGACAUGAUGUAGAGGGAUAAAUUCAUGCAAUAUGAUAAAAAAACCAUCUUGUUAUCCUCGAUGGCAACAAUACAAUACGUGCCUUGCAACCCUUUCUGUCACUGGGUAAGCACAUCGCAAGAUCGAACCCAAAGCUAAGCACUUCUCCCAUUGCAAGAACUACCAAUCUAGUUGGCCAAACCAAACGGAUAAUUCGAAGAGACUUGCAAAGAUAAGUCAAUCAUACAUAAAAGAAUUCAGAGAAGAUUCGAAUAUUUUCCAUAGAUAAUCUGGAUCAUAAACCCACAAUUCAUCGGUCUCAACAAACACACCGCAAAAAGAAGAUUACAUCGAAUAGUUCUCCACAAGAGAGGGGGAGAAUAUUGUAUUGAGAUCCAAAAAGAGAGAAGAAGCCAUCUAGCUGCUAGCUAUGGACCCGAAGGUCUGAAGUAAACUACUCACACUUCAUCGGAGGGGCUAUGGUGUUGAUGUAUAAGCCCUCUGUGGUAGAUGCCCCCUCCGGCGGAGCUCCGAAAUAGGCCCCAAGAUGGGAUCUCAUGGAUACAGAAAGUUACGGCGGUGGAAUUAGGUUUUUGGCUCCGUAUUUGAUCUGUCAGGGGUACGUAGGUAUAUAUAGGAGGAAGGAGGACGUCGGUGGAGCGACAGGGGGCCCAUGAGGUAGGGGGCGCGCCCUCCACCCUCGUGACCGCCUCUUUUGUUCGUUGGAGCAGGGUCCAAGUCUCCUAGAUCACGUUCGGUGAGAAAAUCACGUUCCCGAAGGUUUCAUUCCGUUUGGACUCCGUUUGAUAUUCUGUUUCUUCGAAAUACUGAAAUAGGCAAAAAACAACAAUUCUGGGUUGGGCCUCCGGUUAAUAGGUUAGUCCCAAAAAUAAUAUAAAAGUGGAAAAUAAAGCCCAAUAUAGUUCAAAACAGUAGAUAAAGUAGCAUGGAGCAAUCAAAAGUUAUAGAUACGUUGGAGAUGUAUCAAAUAUUAUCACUAAUAAUCCUCGAAUACUAUCAUACAUAUAGCAUUGCUAAUACAGCUAGAACCGUAGCGCCCGACGGGUAUCGUCGCGGGCGGUGGACACCCAAAGAUAAGGAACCAUCACAAGAUCAUAACUCCAGUGAGAUCCCUGAAGAACCUGCCAGGUAUUGUCGAACCUGCCCUCCAACGCAACCAUGUAGAGACGGACGUGCUCGUCCUCCUUGCUGACACAGUGACGUACCACCUCCGCGGUGUCCGGAAGCCUCGGCACCAUCACUGGCCCAUGCGACCGCCACCAAACAAGGAUCGGGUCAACAACGGGUUGGCUCCUCACCAACCUACGCCCCCCCGAAGGUAGCACCUCCCAAUACCAGCCCGGUGGAGCCCAGUCCGGGACAUGGCCCUGAUCAAGCAGGCCUCCACCGUCGAGUCGACGACGAGGAUGCAGGUUAGGCAUCGCCGAUGUUGAUGCGGGAACAACUUCUGUAUAUAGUAAAAUAAAGUAGUUUUAUUAAUUAAAUCAACUAGUUCAACUACUAAGCACUUACUAUAAAUAAAUAAAGUAGUAAUUACUAAAAAUAAACUACUUCUAUAGUAAAAUAAAGUAGUUUAUUAAAUUAACUAGUUCAACUAUAUAUUAAGCACUUACUAUAAAUAAAAUAAAGUAGUACUUACUAAAAAUAAACUAGUUUAACUAGUUCUAUUAUUUUUCUAACUAAUUAUAUUAAACACUUCCUCUUCUUAUUUUCCUUUUUCCUCUCCUGCUUUUUCUUCUAAAUAUCAACAUAUACAUAAAUGACUUUGAUCAUACACAAUUUUCCUAUACAUACACAAUAUGAACAUAUACAUAAAUUGACAAAGAAAAUUCUAUGAACAAAAAAAUCAUUAAAAUUCUAUGAACAAAAUUACAACAGAAAAAAUCAUAAAAANNNNNNNNNNNNNNNNNNNNNNNNNNNNNNNNNNNNNNNNNNNNNNNNNNNNNNNNNNNNNNNNNNNNNNNNNNNNNNNNNNNNNNNNNNNNNNNNNNNNNNNNNNNNNNNNNNNNNNNNNNNNNNNNNNNNNNNNNNNNNNNNNNNNNNNNNNNNNNNNNNNNNNNNNNNNNNNNNNNNNNNNNNNNNNNNNNNNNNNNNNNNNNNNNNNNNNNNNNNNNNNNNNNNNNNNNNNNNNNNNNNNNNNNNNNNNNNNNNNNNNNNNNNNNNNNNNNNNNNNNNNNNNNNNNNNNNNNNNNNNNNNNNNNNNNNNNNNNNNNNNNNNNNNNNNNNNNNNNNNNNNNNNNNNNNNNNNNNNNNNNNNNNNNNNNNNNNNNNNNNNNNNNNNNNNNNNNNNNNNNNNNNNNNNNNNNNNNNNNNNNNNNNNNNNNNNNNNNNNNNNNNNNNNNNNNNNNNNNNNNNGGCACGGGACAGCGUCGGGGCGGCACGGGACGGCGCCGGGCGACGACGGCGACGGCGAGGCAGAGAGGGCAGUCUGGCGGCAUCGGGGCGGGGAAGAACACGAACUAAAUGAAAUUUUGACAAGUGCCAGUUAUAUAGACGAUGCAUUGGUCCCGGUUCGUGAGAGAAACCGGGACGAAUGCAACCUUUAGUCCCGGUUGGUGGCACCAAUCAGGACCAAAGGCCUCUUUUCAGCAGCCCAAAGGGCGGGAAGCAGAGGCCUUUGGUCCCGGUUGAUGGCACCAACCGGGACUAAAGGGGGGCAUUGGUACCGGUUUGUGCCACCAACUGGGACUAAAGCCACCCUUUAGUCCCGGUUGAUGCCACCAACCGGGACCAAAGGCCUUGCACAACGCGGUGCGGUGGGAACUUUAGUCCCACCUCGCUAGCUGAGAGAGCUCAACACCUAUUUAUAAGCUGCGUUCCGGCUCAGGUGCUGAGCUCCUCUCAAAUAUACAUGCAUUAGUUGCCUACCCUUGUCACUGUCAUGUUGGGCCUAUUGGGCAUGCGGGCCUGCAUCCUGGCCCAUGUCCAGAUGGGUUUCUAGUCGUAUGCUGGCCGUGUGGCCCAUUAGGCGGCUUUUUUAUUUUUUUUUCCAGUAUUUUUUUUGUUUUUUGAAUUAUUUAUUUUCUUUUGAUUUUUGCUUUAUUUUUUUAUUCUUUUUGCUUUUAACUAAGAAUAAUUAUAAUCUUUCUGUUACGCCAUUAGUUUUCAAAUUUGAAUAGUUUAAAUUUUAAUUCUUUGAAAUUUGUGUGAAUCACUAGUUUGUGAAUAACUUCACUAUAAAAAUAUAUUUUGAGUGAUUCUUUUUCCUGCUAUUUAAUAUUAUUGUGUUUUAUCAAUAUAUUCAAAAACAGAUUUUGUUAUUUUAGUUUCUAUCAAAAAAAAUCUUGAAAUUGAAAAGCAUUUCAAAUGAACUCUGAAAAGGUUGAAAGUUGGCAUGGUAUCAUCAUUUCACCCACAUAGCAUGUGCUAAAAUGUUGAGAGGGUUAUGAGAAAAACUGGAUACACUUCGUGUACAAAAUGGACAAUCUCUUUCAAAGUAUCAGGUUUUCAUACGGAAACUCAUCUGUUACACAGGGAUUUCAUUUUUUUAAACUUAUUUGAACUCCUAACUUUUUGUGUGUUCAAAAUGCACCAUUCAAAGCCACAUCAUUAAUUUUCAACCUUUCUAACUUCAUUUGUUAUUUUUCAUGCAUUUACUUAUUAUUUUGAGCUAUAAGACCUGAAAUUGAAAAGCAUUUUAAAUAAACUCUGAAAAGGUUGGAAGUUGGCAUGCACCAUUUCAUCCACAUAGCAUGUGCAAGAAAGUUGAGUGGGUUACAGCAAAAACUGGAUGCACUUCAUGUACAAAACGGACAAUCUCAUUCAAAGUAUCAGGAUUUUAUACGGAAACUUUUCUGUUACAAUAGGCAUUUCAAAUGAACUAUGAAAAGGUUGAAAGUUGGCAUGGUAUCAUCAUAAUAGUUGUGGACAAAUUCUUCACUUUUUCUUCGCUUGUGUCCUUUCCUUAUUGUGCCGUAACCAUGGAUAAUCUUCAUCAUUUAUCAGGAUGCUUGGGUCAGCCUUGACUUUGAAGGGAGGAAUUUCAUGAAACUUUUCAUAAUCUUCGGACAUAUCUAUCUUGCCCUCCACUCCCACGAUGUCCCUUUUUCCUGAAAGAACUAUGUGGCGCUUUGGCUCAUCGUAUGAUGUAUUCACUUCCUUAUUUUUUUUCUUUUUCUUGGUUUGGAAGACAUGUCCUUCACAUAGAUAACCUGUGCCACAUCAUUGGCUAGGACGAACGGUUCGUCAGUGUACCCAAGAUUGUUCAGAUCCACUGUUGUCAUUCCGUACUGUGGGUCUACCUAUACCCCUCCUCCUGACAGAUUGGCCCAUUUCCAUUUAAACAAAGGGACCUUAAAAUCUACUCCGUAGUCAAGUUCCCAUAUGUCCACUAUGUAACCAUAAUAUGUGUCCUUUCCCCUCUCGGUGGUUGCAUCAAAGUGGACACCGCUGUUUUGGUUGGUGCUCUUUUGAUCUUGGGCGAUCGUGUAAAAUUUAUUCCCAUUUAUCUCGUAUCCUUUCCAAAUCAUUACAGUCGAAGAUGGUCCCCUGGACAAUGAGUACAACUCCUCACAAACAGUGUUUUCACCUCUGAGACGUGUUUCCAACCAACUGCUGAAAGUCCUGAUGUGUUCACAUGUAAUCCAGUCGUCGCACUGCUCCGGGUGUUUGGAGAGCAGACUAUUCUUGUGUUCAUCGACAUAAGGGGUCACCAAGGUAGAGUUCUGUAGAACUGUGUAGUGUGCUUGAGACCAAGAAUAUCCGUCCCUGCAUAUUAUUGUCUCCCCUCCAAGCGUGCCUUUUCCAGUUAGUCUCCCCUCAUACCGCGAUUUAGGGAGACCUAUCUUCUUAAGGCCAGGAAUGACGUCAACACAAAACCCAAUGACAUCCUCUGUUUGAUGGCCCAUGGAGAUGCUUCCUUCUGGCCUAGCGUGGUUAUGGACAUAUGUCUUUAGGACUCCCAUGAACCUCUCAAAGGGGUACAUAUUGUGUAGAAAUACGGGGCCCAGAAUGACAAUCUCGUCAACUAGAUGAACAAGGACGUGCGUCAUGAUAUUGAAGAAGGAUGGUCGGAACACCAGCUCGAAAUUGACAAGACAUUCCACCACAUCAGUCCUUAGCCUUGGUAUGAUUUCUGGAUCGAUCACCUUCUGAGAGAUUGCAUUGAGGAAUGCACAUAGCUUCACAAUGGCUAAUCGGACAUUUUCCGGUAGAAGCCCCCUCAAUGCAACCGGAAGGAGUUGCAUCAUAAUCACGUGGCAGUCAUGAGACUUUAGGUUCUGAAACUUUUUUCUGCCAUAUUUAUUAUUCCCUUUAUAUUCGACGAGAAACCAGUCGGGACCUUCAUACUAAGCGGGCAUUCAAAGAAGAUUUCCUUCUCUUCUUUGGUAAGAGCGUAGCUGGCAAGACCUUCAUACUGCUUUGGAGGUAUGCCGUCUUUUUCGUGCAAAGUUUGCAGGUCCUCCCGUGCCUCAGCUGUAUCUUUUCUCUUCCCAUACACGCCUGAUACGUCUCCAACGUAUCUAUAAUUUUUGAUUGUUCCAUGCUAUUAUAUUACCCCUUUUGGAUGUUUAUGGGCUUUAUUUUACAUAUUUAUAUCAUUUUUGGGACUAACCUACUAACCGGAGGCCCAACCCAUAUUGUUGUUUUUUGCCUAUUUCAGUAUUUCAAAGAAAAGGAAUAUCAAACGGAGUCCAAAUGGAAUGAAACCUUCGGGAGCGUGAUUUUUGGAACAAAUCUGAUCCGGAGAGCUUGGAGUGCAAGUCAAGAAGCUCCCGAGGGCCCCACGAGAUAGGGGGCCGUGCCCCCACUGUAGGGUGCGCCCCCCUGUCUCGUGGGCCCCUCGGGCAUCCACCGACGUACUUCUUCCUCCUAUAUAUACCUACGGACCCCGAAAACAUCCAGGAGCACCACAAAACACAAUUUCCACCGCCGUAACCUUCUGUAUCCGCGAGAUCCCAUCUUGGAGUCUUCGCCGGCACUAUGCCGGAGGGGGAAUCGACCACGGAGGGCUUCUACAUCAACACCAUAGCCCCUCCGAUGAGUUGUGAGUAGUUUACCACAGACCUACAGGACCAUAGUUAUUAGCUAGAUGGCUUCUUCUCUCUUUUUGGAUCUCAAUACAAUGUUCUCCCCCUCUCUUGUGGAGAUCUAUUCAAUGUAAUCUCUUUUUGCGGUGUGUUUGUCGAGAUCCGAUGAAUUGUGGGUUUAUGAUCAAGUUUAUCUAUGAAUAAUAUUUGAAUCUUCUCUGAAUUCUUUUAUGUAUGAUUGAGUUAUCUUUGCAAGUCUCUUCGAAUUAAUUUCAGUUUGGUUUGGCCUACUAGAUUGAUCUUUCUUGCCAUGGGAGAAGUGCUUAGCUUUGGGUUCAAUCUUGCGGUGUUCCUACCGAGUGACAGAAAGGGUUGCAAGACAUGUAUUGUAUUGUUGCCAUCGAGGAUAACAAGAUGGGGUUUAUAUCAUAGUGCAUGUGUUUAUCCCUCUACAUCAUGUCAUCUUGCUUAAGGCUUUACUCUGUUCUUAUGAACUUAAUACUCUAGAUGCAGGCAGGAGUCGGUCGAUGUGUGGAGUAAUAGUAGUAGAUGCAGGCAGGAGUCGGUCUACUUGUUAUGGACGUGAUGCCUAUAGACAUGAUCAUGCCUAGAUAAUCUCAUAACUAUACGCUUUUCUAUCAAUUGCUCGACAGUAAUUUGUUCACCCACCGUAAUACUUAUGCUAUCUUGAGAGAAGCCUCUAAUGAAACCUAUGGCCCCGGGUCUAUCUCUUAUCAUAUUUGCUUUCAAUAUAUCUUUAUUUGCAUCUUUAAUUUUUUGCAUCUAUAUUACAAAAUACCAAAAAUAUAUUAUUGUCUCUCUAUCAGAUCUCACUUUCGUAAGUGGCCGUGAAGGGAUUGACAAGCCCUUUAUUGCGUUGGAUACGAGUUCUCAGUUUGUUUGUGUAGGUGCCUGGGACUUUUGAGGAGCCUCCUACUGGAUUGAUACCUUGGUUCUCAAAACUAAGGGAAAUACUUACACUACACUUGCUGCAUCACCCUCUCCUCUUCGGGGAAAACCAACGCUAGCUCAAGACGUAGCAACGCCCAAGAAGCCUAGAAGGUUCACACAAAGGUUCUUCGUCACGUGCAUCACGUCGAUCAAAGAGCGGACCUCUAGGUCUUUCCAGUAGGGUAGGUCCCAAAAUAUAGAUUUCUUCUUCCACGUGGGUGCAUGUCCCUCAGCGUCACUCGAAACAGCUAGUCCGCCGGGACCCCUUCCAAAGAUUACGUGUAAAUCAUUGACCAUAGCAAGUACGUGAUCACCGGUAUGCAUGGCGGGCUUCUUCCGGUGAUCUGCCUCAUCUUUGAAAUGCUUGCCUUUCUUUCGACAUUGAUGGUUGGUCGGAAGAAAUCGAUGAUGACCCAGGUACACAUUCUUCCUGCAGCUUCCCAUGUAUAUACUUUCGGUGUUAGCUAAAUAGUGUGUGCAUGCGUGGUAUCCCUUGUUUGUAUUUCCUCAAAGGUUACUGAGAACGGGUCAAUCGUUGAUGGUUACAAACAGCAACGCGUGCAUGUUAAAUUCCUCCUGUCUGUGCUCAUCCCACGCACGUACACCAUUUCCAUUCCACAGUUGUAAAAGUUCUUCAACUAAUGGCCUUAGGUACACAUCAAUAUCGUUGCUGGGUUGCUUAGGCCCUUGGAUGAGAACUGGCAUCAUUAUGAACUUCCGCUUCAUGCACAUCCAAAGAGGAAGGUUAUACAUACAUAGAGUCACGGGCCAGGUGUUGUGAUUGCUGCUCUGCUCCCCGAAAGGAUUAAUGCCAUCCACGCUUAAACCAAACCAUACGUUCCUUGGGUCACAUGCAAACUCAGCCCAGUACUCUCUCUUGAUUUUUCUCCACUGCGACCCGUCAGAGGGUGCUCUCAACUUCCCGUCUUUCUUACCGUCCUCACUGUGCCAUCACAUCAACUUGGCAUGCUCUUUGUUUCUAAACAGUCGUUUCAACCGUGGUAUUAUAGGAGCAUACCACAUCACCUUCGCAGGAACUCUCUUCCUGCGGGGCUCGCGGUCAACAUCACUAGGGUCAUCUCGUCUGAUCUUAUACCACAAUGCACCGCAUACCGGGCAUGCGUUCAAAUCCUCGUACGCACCGCGGUAGAGGAUGCAGUCAUUAGGGCAUGCAUGUAUCUUCCGCACCUCCAAUCCUAGAGGGCAUACGACCUCCUUUGUUGCGUACGUACUGUCGGGCAAUUCAUUAUCCUUUGGAAGUUUCUUCUUCAAUAUUUUCAGUAGCUUCUCAAAUCCUUUGUCAGGCACAGCAUUCUCUGUCUUCCACUGCAACAAUUCCAGUAUGGUACCCAGCUUUGUGUUGCCAUCUUCGCAAUUGGUGUACAACCCUUUUUUGUGAUCCUCUAACAUGCGAUCAAACUUCAGCUUCUCCUUUUGACUUUCGCAUUGCGUCCUUGCAUCGACAAUGACCCGGCGAAGAUCAUCAUCGGGCACAUCAUCUGGUUCCUCUUGAUCUUCAGCAGCUUCCCCCGUUGCAGCAUCAUCGGGCACAUCGUCUGGUUCCUCUUGAUCUUCAGCAGCUCCCCCCGUUGCAGCAUCACCGUAUUCAGGGGGCACCUAGUUGUCAUCGUCCUCUUCUUCUUCGCCGUCUUCCAUCAUAACCCCUAUUUCUCCGUGCCUCGUCCAAACAUUAUAGUGUGGCAUGAAACCCUUGUAAAGCAGGUGGGUGUGAAGGAUUUUCCGGUCAGAGUAAGACUUCGUAUUCCCACAUUUAGUGCAUGGACAAUACAUAAAACCAUUCUGCUUGUUUGCCUCAGCCACUUCGACAAAAUUAUGCACGCCCUUAAUGUACUCGAAGGUGUGUCUAUCACCAUACAUCCAUUGCCGGUUCAUCUGCGUGCAUUAUAUAUAAUUAUGUGUGUCAAAAGUAAGAAAAUCAGACAAAUAUCUAUCUAAAGGAAGAAAAUCGGACAAGUAUCAGAAAAAAGAUAAGAACAAGAGGCUCGGUGGUGCCAGCGACGAGAUCGGCGCGGGCGAUCAACGAUGGUGAAAAUGGGGACGGGGCGUGACGGACUGCUAAAUCUAGUCAAUUCUCGGAAAAAAAUGGAGCUCCGAGGACGAGCUUCGAGAAGAGAAAGCUUAACUAGUGUGGCUCGAGCAUUUCAUUGAACACCUCAUGUGCAUAGGAGGUGAACUAGAGCACCCAAAUGCCCUCUCCCCACCGGAUUGAAAAAAUAGAGCAUUGUGGAGUGCUCUGCCGCGGCGAUGGGUAUAUAUAGGCAAAUUAUUUGUCCCGGUUCGUGGCAUGAACCGGGACUAAAUCCCCCCCUUCUACACCGGUUCAAGGCAUGAACCGGUACCAAUGGAUGUGGGCCAGUAGCAAGGUCCAUUCGUCCCGGUUCGUGCCUAGAACCGGGACAAAUGGGUCCAGACGAACCGGGACCAUUGCCCACGAGGCCCCGGCCGGCCCCCUGGGCUCAUGAACCGGGUCUAAUACCCCCCAUGGGUCCCGGUUCUUGAAGAACCGCGACUAAUGGGCUGGCCAGGCCCGAACAAUAGCCCUGUUUUCUACUAGUGUUAUCAUGAUAUAAGGAAAUAAAUAAUAACUUUAUUAUUGCCUCUAGGGCAUAUUUCCUUUAGUAUAUGCAACCUGUUUUUUGUAAAUAUAAUUUUUGCAAAGAAGGCAAAAAAUCAUGAUUUUUUUGGCCACAAACAUGAACAAGUGUUAUACUCAUGUAAAAAAAUCGCCAAGGAGUGACUUUGAUGGUAUUAUGGCCGGAAAAAGUAGUAAGCACUACUAUUCGCACUUUUUGUCCUCGAAUUUUUGUUUGUCUUGCCCAAAAGUCCACAAUAUAUGUUUUCAUUGGCGGACUUUUUCCAGGUUGUCUAAUUCACAUCUAGAUGUUUUCUAAAAAUGUCACAUUUUAGCUCCCACAAAUAAAGUAGCAACAAGGAACUAAAUAAAGCUGGGACAAAAGAAAAAUAGACCACAAACAUAAUGGACACCAGGUUAGAUGUGACAUAACUAUGUCACAUCUAGAUGUGUCCUAGACAGACCCAACUUUUUUACACGAGUACAACAAAAGGUCGAGUUUGUUUCCUAAAUUUGUAAGAUUUUUUGGACCGUUUCCGCAAUAUCUAGUUUUUUUUGGCAUAUCGAGUGCAUAUGCACUGAGAGCCAAGGCUUAUUUCCCCUUUUUGCAUGCUAUCAAAUCCAUGAAGCCUUUCCAGUUGUGGUCUACUUCUUUUGUUGCCUCCAAGUAUAUUCAGAAACAAAAAACAAAUUGGUUUCUCUCUACAUUCUUAUUUGGGCGAACCUGCCUGAUAUAUGCUUUCUUCGAGAAUGCUUUUGCAACAUUUUUCAUGGGGUGUGGCUAGGUCUAAGUUGACUGAGACUUAUCCCUUUUUUGCGGCAGAAUGACUGAGAUCCAAAUCUCAGUCAAGUGGCAUAAUAUGCAAGAAAAAAAAUAAAAGAAAAAAAAGAAAACUUCGUACAGAUCUCAAUGUAAGAUAUCGCGAAUAUAGCAUCGACUGAGACAUAAUUAAAUCGCAGUCGACUGAGAUUUCACAAGUCUGUUUUUUAUGAUGUGAAUCCUUGUCAUUCAAGGUUGACGUUGUUUCCACCCGAUAUAACUUAGGGUUGUAUGUGAUCCUCCCCCCUUCCGCGUCACCCCCGUGAGUGGCCGGGGGAAACCCUAGCGACGGGCUCAGGCCCUCCUCUCCCCUCCUCCCCUCGUUGUUGCCUCGGCAUGCUGGUUGGGGUUUGCCCGGCAAUGUCGAUAGCAACGUGGUGUUCCCUCUUCCCCUGCUUGGUGUAGGUUGGCAAGGGUCGACGGAGUCAAGUUGCGGCACGAUGCAUGCAUAGGACUGGGCCGCACAUCAGAAAUAGCUGGCCGCGGGUUGCUGGCGGUGGUGCGGAGGCUCGUGGGAGGCUGGGGUGUGUGACGUGCCUACGGCGGCAACAUGACUGGGAGUGGCUCACCAACCCCGACAGGAAGAGUAGAAGUCACCUCCUUCCACUCCUAGCCCGACAUCAACCACCGAGUCAGGGUCCAUGCUUCCAUGGUAGGAAGCGUCAACCCCUGUGUCCCCAACCCGUCUAGGUGGACCGGGCGGACAUGACCCUAUGGAUGCCAAUGUUCGCCACCCAACAAGCCCCGACUAUAACCCACUAUCCUUGGCCCACGCAAGCUCGCAGAACACCUCAUCUGUGGCCAUAGGUGCCAAUCCGCUGGACGGCGCACCGCUACGACCGCAGCACCGGUGCGAGGCCACUGCACCCGGGAAAGACCUCCACCUCGCCGCCAUGAGUCGUGCCCCAUGCCUCCACCCCAUGGGCCUUAACCACCACCCUUGCCGCCUGCGAACGACUAGGCAACAGAUCUAGUGGAUUUGGCCGGAGCCUGGAAAACACGCCACCAUGAGGGGGACCACAACAGACUAUGGCCGCUGAAACUAGCCACAACCAGCGGUCGUCCAAUCCCCGCCAAUGCUGCGAACCAUGCCGCCCGCGCUCAUGAGGCGCCAGAUCGGAGCCACGGUUGACGGUGUCUUGAGACAUGGAUGCCGGUGUGCAGGCCCAGAUGGCAGUUUGAAUGGUUUUGGCUCUCCGGCAGGCAUCAUGGCGGCGGCGGUGGCUAUCUCAGUGAAACUGUCACACUUUCUAGCUACCGGGCCAUCUCAGGAUUCCAAAAUAAGACUCAUUGAUACUACGGCCCAGAACUAACCGAUGGCAAUUAAGGCUCGGUGGUUUUCCUUUUCCCCCACGAGAGACGAGAGAGACCACGACGGUGGUGGAAGGGUUGCUUUCUUUUCGUAGCGGCCGCGUCUACACCACGUAGUCCUACCAUCGUCGGUUGAGAAUCGUCGAAGAAAAGAACUCCAUGCUGGGUUACUAUUCUUUCGUAGCGGGCGCGUUUCUGGUUCGCUAUAAAUAUAGGCCGGUGAGAGGACACGAUUAUCAGAUCGAACAAGCAAGGGAGCAGUUGAUCAAUCGGCUAAGAAAGAUGCAGAUCUUCGUUAAGACCUUGACCGGGAAGACGAUCACGCUCGAGGUGGAGAGCAGCGACACCAUCGACAAUGUCAAGGCCAAAAUCCAGGACAAGGAAGGUAUGUACCACCAUCGAUCAAUCUCAUCACCGGUCGCCGGCCUUCAGUGUUCACAAUCUCAUCGCCGGUGGCCGGCCACUAGCAUCUCUCGACCAUGCUGAACCUAUUGCUGCUUAUCGAUAUAUUGCAGGCAUCCCUCCGGAUCAGCAGCGCUUGAUCUUCGCGGGGAAGCAGCUGGAGGACGGGCGCACCCUGGCCGACUACAACAUCCAGAAGGAGUCGACGCUGCACCUGGUGCUCCGCCUGCGGGGCGGCAGCCGCGGCCAGUACAUCAUCAUGGACCCCAGCCUCCUGCAGCUCGCCCUCAAGUACAAGGAGAAGAAGAUGAUCUGCCGCAAGUGCUACGCGCGCUUGCCCCGCGGCACCACCAACUGCCGCAAGAAGAAGUGCGGACACAGCAACGAGAUCAGGGCCAAGAAAAGGUUCCUCGACAAGCAUAUCAUGUGAAGAAGAAGAAGAAGAAGCACAAGGCCUAUAUAUCCACCGCCCUCCAAUAUGACGUGUUAUAUAGUAGUAGCAGUAGUAGUAGUGUAGUAUUUUCUAUGGCAACAUAGUCUUUUAAGUCUUACUAGGUUUUAAGCCAUGCAAACUACUCAAAGCAAAGCAACGUCAACAAGUAGGAGUAGUAUAUUUAGUCCGCAUGGAUUGGAUGUGUAAUGAUGAUAAUUUAUUAAAUGGCCGGGUUGACUGCAGUUCUGUGCACAGAUUUUGUUUGUCUGUUUUCAUAAUUAUUUUCUGAACGCACAACGACAACGUCAACAAUGACGCAAAGGAACAAAUCCUAUAAGCACACACACCUUCUUGUGCUUGAAAGUAUUGUCCAUGGGCAGUCCAAUGUCAAAAAAACAAACCAAACUUUACUCAAAGCAAAGCAUCGUCUAUCGGUGAUGUUUUGCAGAUCAUGGGAGCAUGCAUGCUGGAUCGGUUUAACACCUGAACGGCGUAACUCCCGCUGGGGCGGCUCCGGAGGUGCCCUAGACGUUGCCGCGGCGGCGAGGCAACCUUUCCCAGCUUCAUUGUUUGCUUUGUGUUGUCUCAGUGGUCAUCUUAGCAAGAAGCGCUCGUAAACUUUCUGGUUUCAUCUUACUUGUGCUCGCGCUGCUGUCCGAGCGGUGCUUGCACUGGUUGUUGUUUUUCUCGAAAAUCUGCCGCUAGGGAUCUCGAUUUCAUUAAAAAAAGAACGGAAAUGUUAACGCCCACACGUGUGGGCGUUUGCACAUCGCCCACGCGCCUCCAUCACCACUCAUUUUGCCACGUAUGAAUAGAUGACAUCAGCAUAAUUUAUUUAUUUUUGGUUCUCGGCUUAAAAAUGUUGUAUCUCCUAAAUAAAAAAGUAAACUAAAAAUCCGUUUUUACCAUUAAAUCCGUCUCGACGAGAUCUUCAAAACUAGACCCGAUGUUGAUAUGUUUCGACGAUUUUUUUUUUGCCAGAAGUUGCCACGAUGUUUACACUGCAAUUGCCAUAGGGCUUAAACUAAAGUUGUCAUGUGGCAAUUUUAGUUUGUAGAUCAUGGCAAUUUUAGUAUUUUGAUGAUGGCAACUCCAGUACUUUGACCAAGAAAAUUAUUUUUUGUAUGAACCAUGACAAUUUUACGUGCAUGUAUCAUGGCAAUUUUAGUUUAUGGUUCAUAUCAAGUCUAAUUUCUUAAUUUCCCGUUUUAUAAAUGUCAAAAUUUACUUUUAAAUGUAGAAGAAAAUAGCUGAAACAUAUCAUGGCAACUUCAGUGUAAAUAUCAUGGCAAUUCAUAUGCAAUAGACAUGGCAACUUUUAAUCCAAAAAAUUUUCAUCAAAACAUAUCAACAUGGGAUCUAGUUUCGAAGAUCUCAUCACGAGGGAUUUAAUGAUGAAAACGGAUUUUCAAUCGGAUUUUUCGUUUAAGAGAUAAAACAUUUUAAAAACUAAAAAUCCAAAAAGAUUCCUGCAUGCAUGCAUGCGAUGACGUGGCAAUCUGUUUACAUUAGAGACGUGUGGUGCGUCUUCUUUCCUGCCACACGUGUGGCAGUUAGCGCGACCCAAAAAAGAAAAGGGUUGCCCGGUUUACUACGGAAAACCGGGCUAAAACCAUUACAACAGCCCACACAAAGCAACCCGGCCGACCUGGCCACCCACACGGAGAUACACAAACGUCGUAGAGAAGAACCAUAAAGUUGAGGUCGUCACCAAGCGUCAUCGUCAUCGCUCCUCCACAAGCCAGCGACUCCGACUUCACCAUGGAAUUCCGCCAACAAAGCCCUCGUCGCCACAAACAUAGGAACCCAUGCCGACUGAGAAGAUCACCAAAAAACAGGAGAAAUGGGCAGAGUUGGCAACAACCACUAGUGCAGAACCGGGCAAUAGCACCGGUUCGUAAGGCCCUUUAGUGCCGGUUCCAUAACCAGCACUAAAGUGUGGGCACUAAAGGCCCCCCCCCCUUUAGUACCGGUUCAGCACGAACCGGUGCUAAAGGGAAACCACGUGGCACGAGCCAGCUCCAGGGGCCUGGAGCCCUUUAGUACCGGUUGGUAAGACCAACCGGUACUAUAAGGUUUGGGGUUUUUUUAGUUUUAUGAUUUCUUUUUCAUUUAAUUUUGUGUUUCGAUUUUAAUUCUUUUUCGUUUGCUGGUAUUUUACGAUACUACACAUUGUACACGUUAUGCAUAUAUAUAUAUAUAUAUAUAUAUAUAUAUAUAUAUAUAUAUAUAUAUAGAAUUUCUAGUAGAAUCAAUCAUGCAUAUAUAUAUCAUCAAUUAAUGUCUCACAAACCAUCAUUUUAAUUAAUUCACACAUACACACAUGUAUAGCUAUAUAUGAUUUCUCCUACAUAUGCAUGUUGCCUUUGGAGCCAGUGGCAUUAGCCUAAUUGGUGCCUUCGGAGCACGAUGACAAUUGGAAGUGGUUUUCAUGAGGGCGGUAGCGGGUAAUAGUAUUCUCCCUUCGGAUUUAUGACCUGGUCAAGCAAAAAUCCCGCUAUUUCCUCUUGAAGUGCUUCUACGCGCUCCGUUUCUAGGAGCUUCUCCCGCACCUCUCUGAACUGUUAAGAAGAAGAUCAAUAUGCAUGUGUAUUAGUUGUGUGACUAGAUAUCGAUAAUGGUGUAAAAAUUGUGAAUAGUGUUUUGACAAGCGUACCCAUUCCUGUCUUUGAGAUCUGCUCCUUUCGGACGCCAUCAUGCGAAUGUUCUCGCAAACGCAGAAUGCACACAGAUCAGUCCCCUGCGCCUGCUUCAGGGCCUUUACGAGAAUGGAAUUUGAUCAGAUAAUAAUUAAUCAAGCAUGAUAAUUAAAGAGAUGGCAGCUAGCUAGCUAGCUAGUACUACUUAAUUACUUACCUUGGGUCUUCCCCAUUUAAGCUUUUCUUUCCAUUCGCCUUCCAUGACGCUGAUGAACCUUGCCCAAGCCCUGCCCGCCGACAAAGAAAAUGAAUAAAGGGGUUAUUAAAUAGUUCAUAUCAUGAAAUGACGAACUAAAUAGGCCGAGAUAUAUAGUUAAUAAUGAUUGAAAUUACCUGUUGACUAUCCCCAAACAAGAUGUUAUAGUCAGUUUUUUCUUUGAGUAGUGAGUCCAGUAUUUCAACUGUUCCGGCGUCAACUUUAAUGAUACACAAGACCCAGUGAAAUCUGCAUGCACACACGUUUGCAUGUCUUAAUUAAGCGGGCAUAUGUAAGCAAAAACAUGUAGCUAGCUAGUAGGCAAAAAUAGAGAAUUUGUAGUACAAGACAGUGUGACUCACUGGAAGUUGUAAGGAAGUAGUAUAUCUUGAUUGUAUUUGAGGCACUUCAAGAACUCUAGCAUGCUGUCCUCUACGGCCUUUUGAUGGCGUUCAUCUAUUUUCCAUGUGUAUUCAUUAACGGUGUUUGGGUCAAUGAACCCAAUGCCAUAGCGUCCACCUUUUCUCAUUUCAUACAUCUUCAUCCUGCAUAUAAUACCACAGAAAAGAAUAUAGUAAGGAUAAUUACAGGUAAUGAUUGAUUAAAAGGAUCACUACAGCUAGCUUGAGACUUAAAUUACAGAAAGAAAUCACUUACAGACAGUAGCAACUGACGAUAGAUUUAUCGAGUGCGUCUUGAUUGUAUAACUGGAACAGUUCAAAAUACUCAACGGACACAGCUUUCUCAUGGUAGUAAUGCUCCUUCUUGACAUUCACCAUGAGGGACAAUCGAUCGGAAAUCUUAGUAAUGUUCAUGUACCAUUGAUGCAAUUCAUACAUUCUCGUUGGGAGGUUCUUGACCUUGUCUGGCUCGACCAAAGGUUGGCCCCGGACAUAUUUCCGUUUUAUUUCAUCCUCUCUAAGCAUAGGCAUGGGUUCGAUCUCGAGGAGUUGUCCAACAGUGAUUUUGAGAACUUCAGCCUGCAUUAUAUGCUCCUCCGUUAUUACCACAUUGCCCACCUCAGGAACGUAAACUGUUUGCUCACAAUAAUAUUGGGCGCGCAUACUGUCACGUGUUGUUGGCACAACAAGCGAGGGGAUCAAUUGCGCCGCCUGUUCUCCCAGCUGGGGAAUGGUUUUCCCGCAUUUUUUGACAGAUGCUUCUUGUUUGCUCGAUCCCGAGCUCGCUUCCUUAUGUAGACGUGCUCGAUAAAUAAUAUUUUUGGUAGUUUUGAUAGAUGGAUGCAAAGUGAAAAGUAAAAGGUAAAGUAAAAACAAAGCAAGUAAAUAAAGCAAUAGAGAUUGAUAUGAUGAGAAUAGACCCGGGGGCCAUAGGUUUCACUAGUGGCUUCUCUCAAGAGCAUAAAUAUUCUACGGUGGGUGAACAAAUUACUGUUGAGCAAUUGACAGAAUUGAGCAUAGUUAUGAGCAUAUCUAGGCAAUGAUCAUGUAUAUAGGCAUCACGUCCAAGACAAGUAGAUCGAAACUAUUCUGCAUCUACUACUAUUACUCCACUCAUCGACCGCUAUCCAGCAAGCAUCUAGAGUAUUAAGUUAAAACAAAUUAACGCCUUAAGCAAGAUGACAUGAUGUAGAGGGAUAAAUUCAUGCAAUAUGAUAAAAAAACCCAUCUUGUUAUCCUCGAUGGAAACAAUACAAUACGUGCCUUGCAACCCUUUCUGUCACUGGGUAAGCACACCGCAAGAUCGAACCCAAAGCUAAGCACUUCUCCCAUUGCAAGAACUACCAAUCUAGUUGGCCAAACCAAACAGAUAAUUCGAAGAGACUUGCAAAGAUAACUCAAUCAUACAUAAAAGAAUUCAGAGAAGAUUCAAAUAUUUUCCAUAGAUAAUCUGGAUCAUAAACCCACAAUUCAUCGGUCUCAACAAACACACCGCAAAAAGAAGAUUACAUCGAAUAAUUCUCCACAAGAGAGGGGGAGAAUAUUGUAUUGAGAUCCAAAAAGAGAGAAGAAGCCAUCUAGCUGCUAGCUAUGGACCCGAAGGUCUGCAGUAAACUACUCACACUUCAUCGGAGGGGCUAUGGUGUUGAUGUAUAAGCCCUCCGUGGUAGAUGCCCCCUCCGGCGGAGCUCCGAAAUAGGCCCCAAGAUGGGAUCUCAUGGAUACAGAAAGUUACGGCGGUGGAAUUAGGUUUUUGGCUCCGUAUUUGAUCUGUCAGGGGUACGUAGGUAUAUAUAGGAGGAAGGAGGACGUCGGUGGAGCGACAGGGGCCCACGAGGUAGGGGGGCGCGCCCUCCACCCUCGUGACCGCCUCUUUUGUUCGUUGGAGCAGGGUCCAAGUCUCCUAGAUCACGUUCGGUGAGAAAAUCACGUUCCCGAAGGUUUCAUUCCGUUUGGACUCCGUUUGAUAUUCUGUUUCUUCGAAAUACUGAAAUAGGCAAAAAACAACAAUUCUGGGCUGGGCCUCCGGUUAAUAGGUUAAUCCCAAAAAUAAUAUAAAAGUGGAAAAUAAAGCCCAAUAUAGUCCAAAACAGUAGAUAAAGUAGCAUGGAGCAAUCAAAAGUUAUAGAUACGUUGGAGAUGUAUCAAAUAUUAUCACUAAUAAUCCUCGAAUACUAUCAUACAUAUAGCAUUGCUAAUACAGCUAGAACCGUAGCGCCCGACGGGUAUCGUCGCGGGCGGUGGACACCCAAAGAUAAGGAACCAUCAGAAGAUCAUAACUCCAGUGAGAUCCCUGAAGAACCUGCCGGGUAUUGUCGAACUUGCCCUCCAACGCAACCAUGUAGAGACGGACGUGCUCGUCCUCCUUGCUGACACGGUGACGUACCACCUCCGCGGUGUCCGGAAGCCUCGGCACCAUCACUGGCCCACGCGACCGCCACCAAACAAGGAUCGUGUCAACAAUGGGUUGGCUCCUCACCAACCUACGCCCCCCGGAAGGUAGCACCUCCCAAUACUAGCCCGAUGGAGCCCAGUCCCGGACAUGGCCCUGAUCAAGCAGGCCUCCACCGUCGAGUCGACUACGAGGAUGCAGGAUAGGCAUCGCCGAUGUUGAUGCGGGAACAACUUCUGUAUAUAGUAAAAUAAAGUAGUUUUAUUAAUUAAAUCAACUAAUUCAACUACUAAGCACUUACUAUAAAUAAAUAAAGUAGUAAUUACUAAAAAUAAACUACUUCUAUAGUAAAAUAAAGUAGUUUAUUAAAUUAACUAGUUCAACUAUAUAUUAAGCACUUACUAUAAAUAAAAUAAAGUAGUACUUACUAAAAAUAAACUAGUUUAACUAGUUCUAUUAUUUUUCUAACUAAUUAUAUUAAACACUUCCUCUUCUUAUUUUCCUUUUUCCUCUCCUGCUUUUUCUUCUAAAUAUCAACAUAUACAUAAAUGACUUUGAUCAUACACAAUUUUCCUAUACAUCCACAAUAUGAACAUAUACAUAAAUUGACAAAGAAAAUUCUAUGAACAAAAAAAUCAUUAAAAUUCUAUGAACAAAAUUACAACAGAAAAAAUCAUAAAAAUUCUAUGAACAGAAAAAACUCAUAAAAAAUUGACAUAUUCGAUCUUUGCAUAUAUAUGAACAUACAAACAUGCAUAUUCAACAAUAAUAUCUCCAAAAAAAUCUAUUAACAAAAAAAAAUCUAACACAAUAUGAACAAAUUACCAAAUAUGAAAAAAAAUCUAACAAAAAACUCUAUCAACAAAAUCUAACUCAAUUAACUACACAUCUAAAUUACUACAUAUCUACAUUAACUACACAUCUAAUUAAAUUAGCAAAAUUCAUAUAAUUAGCUCACGGGAUGGCGACGGUGUGAGGGGCGCGGUGAGGGUGAGGGGCAGGGGACGGCGACGGCGACGAUGCGUGAGGGGCGGCACGGCGACGGACGAUGGUGAGGGGCGACGUGGCGACGGGCGACGAGCGAGGCAGGGCCGGCGGCGUCGUGGGGCGGCGACGGUGUCGGGGCGGCACGGGACAGCGUCGGGGCGGCACGGGACGGCGCCGGGCGACGACGGCGACGGCGAGGCAGAGAGGGCAGUCUGGCGGCAUCGGGGCGGGGAAGAACACGAACUGAAUGGAAGUUUGACAAGUGCCAGUUAUAUAGACGACGCAUUGGUCCCGGUUCAUGAGAGAAACCGGGACGAAUGCAACCUUUAGUGCCGGUUGGUGGCACCAAUCAGGACCAAAGGCCUCUUUUCAGUAGCCCAAAGGGCGGGAAGCAGAGGCCUUUGGUCCCGGUUGAUGGCACCAACCAGGACUAAAGGGGGGCAUUGGUACCGGUUUGUGCCACCAACUGGGACUAAAGCCACCCUUUAGUCCCGGUUGAUGCCACCAACCGGGACCAAAGGCCUUGCACAACGCGGUGCGGUGGGAACUUUAGUCCCACCUCGCUAGCUGAGAGAGCUCAACACCUAUUUAUAAGCUGCGUUCCGGCUCAGGUGCUGAGCUCCUCUCAAAUAUACAUGCAUUAGUUGCCUACCCUUGUCACUGUCGUGUUGGGCCUAUUGGGCAUGCGGGCCUGCAUCCUGGCCCAUGUCCAGAUGGGUUUCUAGUCGUAUGCUGGCCGUGUGGCCCAUUAGGCGGCUUUUUUUAUUAUUUUUUCCAGUAUUUUUUUUGUUUUUUGAAUUAUUUAUUUUCUUUUGAUUUUUGCUUUAUUUUUUUAUUCUUUUUGCUUUUAACUCAGAAUAAUUAUAAUCUUUCUGUUACGCCAUUAGUUUUCAAAUUUGAAUAGUUUAAAUUUUAAUUCUUUGAAAUUUGUGUGAAUCACUAGUUUGUGAAUAACUUCACUAUAAAAAUAUAUUUUGAGUGAUUCUUUUUCCUGCUAUUUAAUAUUAUUGUGUUUUAUCAAUAUAUUCAAAAACAGAUUUUGUUAUUUUAGUUUCUAUCAAAAAAAAUCUUGAAAUUGAAAAGCAUUUCAAAUAAACUCUGAAAAGGUUGAAAGUUGGCAUGGUAUCAUCAUUUCACCCACAUAGCAUGUGCUAAAAAGUUGAGAGGGUUAUGAGAAAAAUUGGUUACACUUCGUGUACAAAAUGGACAAUCUCUUUCAAAGUAUCAGGUUUUCUACGGAAACUCAUCUGUUACACAGGGAUUUCAUUUUUUUAAACUUAUUUGAACUCCUGACUUUUUGUGUGUUCAAAAUGCACCAUUCAAAGCCACAUCAUUAAUUUUCAACCCUUUCUAACUUCAUUUGUUAUUUUUCAUGCAUUUACUUAUUAUUUUGAGCUAUAAGACCUGAAAUUGAAAAGCAUUUUAAAUAAACUCUGAAAAGGUUGGAAGUUGGCAUGCAUCAUUUCAUCCACAUAGCAUGUGCAAGAAAGUUGAGUGGGUUACGGCAAAAACUGGAUGCACUUCAUGUACAAAACGGACAAUCUCUUUCAAAGUAUCAGGAUUUCAUACGGAAACUUUUCUGUUACAAUAGGCAUUUCAAAUGAACUAUGAAAAGGUUGAAAGUUGGCAUGGUAUCAUCAUAAUAGUUGUGGACAAAUUCUUCACUUUUUCUUCGCUUGUGUCCUUUCCUUAUUGUGCCGUAACCAUGGAUAAUCUUCAUCAUUUAUCAGGAUGCUUGGGUCAGCCUUGACUUUGAAGGGAGGAAUUUCAUGAAACUUUUCAUAAUCUUCGGACAUAUCUGUCUUGCCCUCCACUCCCACGAUGUCCCUUUUUCCUGAAAGAACUAUGUGGCGCUUUGGCUCAUCGUAUGAUGUAUUCACUUCCUUAUUUUUUUCUUUUUCUUGGUUUGGAAGACAUGUCCUUCACAUAGAUAACCUGUGCCACAUCAUUGGCUAGGACGAACGGUUCGUCAGUGUACCCAAGAUUGUUCAGAUCCACUGUUGUCAUUUCGUACUGUGGAUCUACCUAUACCCCGCCUCCUGACAGAUUGGCCCAUUUGCAUUUAAACAAAGAGACCUUAAAAUCUACUCCGUAGUCAAGUUCCCAUGUGUCCACUAUGUAACCAUAAUAUGUGUCCUUUCCCCUCUCGGUGGUUGCAUCAAAGUGGACACCGCUGUUUUGGUUGGUGCUCUUUUGAUCUUGGGCGAUCGUGUAAAAUGUAUUCCCAUUUAUCUCGUAUCCUUUCCAAAUCAUUACAGUCGAAGAUGGUCCCCUGGACAAUGAGUACAACUCCUCACAAACAGUGUUUUCACCUCUAAGACGUGUUUCCAACCAACUGCUGAAAGUCCUGAUGUGUUCACAUGUAAUCCAGUCGUCGCACUGCUCCGGGUGUUUGGAGAGCAGACUAUUCUUGUGUUCAUCGACAUAAGGGGUCACCAAGGUAGAGUUCUGUAGAACUGUGUAGUGUGCUUGAGACCAAGAAUAUCCGUCCCUGCAUAUUAUUGUCUCCCCUCCAAGCGUGCCUUUUCCAGUUAGUCUCCCCUCAUACCGCGAUUUAGAGAGACCUGUCUUCUUAAGGCCAGGAAUGAAGUCAACACAAAACCCAAUGACAUCCUCUGUUUGAUGGCCCAUGGAGAUGCUUCCUUCUGGCCUAGCGUGGUUAUGGACAUAUUUCUUUAGGACUCCCAUGAACCUCUCAAAGGGGUACAUAUUGUGUAGAAAUACGGGGCCCAGAAUGACAAUCUCGUCAACUAGAUGAACAAGGACGUGCGUCAUGAUAUUGAAGAAGGAUGGUCGGAACACCAGCUCGAAACUGACAAGACAUUCCACCACAUCAGUCCUUAGCCUUGGUAUGAUUUCUGGAUCGAUCACCUUCUGAGAGAUUGCAUUGAGGAAUGCACAUAGCUUCACAAUGGCUAAUCGGACGUUUUCCGGUAGAAGCCCCCUCAAUGCAACUGAAAGGAGUUGCAUCAUAAUCACGUGGCAGUCAUGAGACUUUAGGUUCUGAAACUUUUUUCUGCCAUAUUUAUUAUUUCCUUUAUAUUCGACGAGAAGCCAGUCGGGACCUUCAUACUAAGCGGGCAUUCAAAGAAGAUUUCCUUCUCUUCUUUGGUAAGAGCGUAGCUGGCAAGACCUUCAUACUGCUUUGGAGGUAUGCCAUCUUUUUCGUGCAAAGGUUGGAGGUCCUCCCGUGCCUCAGCUGUAUCUUUUCUCUUCCCAUACACGCCUGAUACGUCUCCAACGUAUCUAUAAUUUUUGAUUGUUCCAUGCUAUUAUAUUACCCCUUUUGGAUGUUUAUGGGCUUUAUUUUACAUAUUUAUAUCAUUUUUGGGACUAACCUACUAACCGGAGGCCCAGCCCAUAUUGUUGUUUUUUGCCUAUUUCAGUAUUUCAAAGAAAAGGAAUAUCAAACGGAGUCCAAAUGGAAUGAAACCUUCGGGAGCGUGAUUUACGGAACAAAUCUGAUCCGGAGAGCUUGGAGUGCAAGUCAAGAAGCUCCCGAGGGCCCCAUGAGAUAGGGGGCCGUGCCCCCACUGUAGGGUGCGCCCCCCUGUCUCGUGGGCCCCUCGGGCAUCCACCGACGUACUUCUUCCUCCUAUAUAUACCUAUGGACCCCGAAAACAUCCAGGAGCACCACAAAACACAAUUUCCACCGCCGUAACCUUCUGUAUCCGCGAGAUCCCAUCUUGGAGUCUUCGACGACACUAUGCCGGAGGGGGAAUUGACCAUGGAGGGCUUCUACAUCAACACCAUAGCCCCUCCGAUGAGUUGUGAGUAGUUUACCACAGACCUACGGGACCAUAGUUAUUAGCUAGAUGGCUUCUUCUCUCUUUUUGGAUCUCAAUACAAUGUUCUCCCCCUCUCUUGUGGAGAUCUAUUCGAUGUAAUCUCUUUUUGCGGUGUGUUUGUCGAGAUCUGAUGAAUUGUGGGUUUAUGAUCAAGUUUAUCUAUGAAUAAUAUUUGAAUCUUCUCUGAAUUCUUUUAUGUAUGAUUGAGUUAUCUUUGCAAGUCUCUUCGAAUUAAUUUCAGUUUGGUUUGGCCUACUAGAUUGAUCUUUCUUGCCAUGGGAGAAGUGCUUAGCUUUGGGUUCAAUCUUGCGGUGUUCUUACCGAGUGACAGAAAGGGUUGCAAGACACGUAUUGUAUUGUUGCCAUCGAGGAUAACAAGAUGGGGUUUAUAUCAUAGUGCAUGUGUUUAUCCCUCUACAUCAUGUCAUCUUGCUUAAGGCGUUACUCUGUUCUUAUGAACUUAAUACUCUAGAUGCAGGCAGGAGUCGGUCGAUGUGUGGAGUAAUAGUAGUAGAUGCAGGCAGGAGUCGGUCUACUUGUUAUGGACGUGAUGCCUAUAGACAUGAUCAUGCCUAGAUAAUCUCAUAACUAUACGCUUUUCUAUCAAUUGCUCGACAGUAAUUUGUUCACCCACCGUAAUAUUUAUGCUAUCUUGAGAGAAGCCUCUAGUGAAACCUAUGGCCCCGGGUCUAUCUCUUAUCAUAUUUGCUUUCAAUCUAUCUUUAUUUGCAUCUUUAAUUUUUUGCAUCUAUAUUACAAAAUACCAAAAAUAUAUUAUUGUCUCUCUAUUAGAUCUCACUUUCGUAAGUGGCCGUGAAGGGAUUGACAAGCCCUUUAUUGCGUUGGUUACGAGUUCUCAGUUUGUUUGUGUAGGUGCGUGGGACUUUUGAGGAGCCUCCUACUGGAUUGAUACCUUGGUUCUCAAAACUAAGGGAAAUACUUACACUACACUUGCUGCAUCACCCUCUCCUCUUCGGGGAAAACCAACGCUAGCUCAAGACGUAGCAACGCCCAAGAAGCCUAGAAGGUUCACACAAAGGUUCUUCGUCACGUGCAUCACGUCGAUCAAAGAGCGGACCUCUAGGUCUUUCCAGUAGGGUAGGUCCCAAAAUAUAGAUUUCUUCUUCCACGUGGGUGCAUGUCCCUCAGCUUCACUCGGAACAGCUAGUCCCCCGGGACCCUUUCCAAAGAUUACGUGUAAAUCAUUGACCAUAGCAAGUACGUGAUCACCGGUACGCAUGGCGGGCUUCUUCCGGUGAUAUGCCUCAUCUUUGAAAUGCUUGCCUUUCUUUUGACAUUGAUGGUUGGUCGGAAGAAAUCGAUGAUGACCCAGGUACACAUUCUUUCUGCAGCUUCCCAGGUAUAUACUUUCGGUGUUAGCUAAAUAGUGUGUGCAUGCAUGGUAUCCCUUGUUUGUAUGUCCUCAAAGGUUACUGAGAGCGGGUCAAUCGUUGAUGGUUACAAACAGCAACGCGUGCAUGUUAAAUUCCUCCUGUCUGUGCUCAUCCCACGCACGUACACCAUUUCCAUUCCACAGUUGUAAAAGUUCUUCAACUAAUGGCCUUAGGUACACGUCAAUGUCGUUGCUGGGUUGCUUAGGGCCUUGGAUGAGAACUGGCAUCAUUAUGAACUUCCGCUUCAUGCACAUCCAAAGAGGAAGGUUAUACAUACAUAGAGUCACGGGCCAGGUGCUGUGAUUGCUGCUCUGCUCCUCGAAAGGAUUAAUGCCAUCCACGCUUAAACCAAACCAUACGUUCCUUGGGUCACAUGCAAACUCAGCCCAGUACUCUCUCUUGAUUUUUCUCCACUGCGACCCGUCAGCGGGUGCUCUCAACUUCCCGUCUUUCUUACCGUCCUCACUGUGCCAUCACAUCAACUUGGCAUGCUCUUUGUUUCUAAACAGUCGUUUCAACCGUGGUAUUAUAGGAGCAUACCACAUCACCUUCGCAGGAACUCUCUUCCUGCGGGGCUCGCGGUCAACAUCAUUAGGGUCAUCUCGUCUGAUCUUAUACCACAAUGCACCGCAUACCGGGCAUCCGUUCAAAUCCUCAUACGCACCGCGGUAGAGGAUGCAGUCAUUAGGGCAUGCAUGUAUCUUCCGCACCUCCAAUCCUAGAGGGCAUACGACCUCCUUUGUUGCGUACGUACUGUCGGGCAAUUCAUUAUCCUUUGGAAGCUUCUUCUUCAAUAUUUUCAGUAGCUUCUCAAAUCCUUUGUCAGGCACAGCAUUCUCUGCCUUCCACUGCAACAAUUCCAGUAUGGUACCCAGCUUUGUGUUGCCAUCUUCGCAAUUGGUGUACAACCCUUUUUUGUGAUCCUCUAACAUGCGAUCAAACUUCAGCUUCUCCUUUUGACUUUCGCAUUGCGUCCUUGCAUCGACAAUGACCCGGCGAAGAUCAUCAUCGGGCACAUCGUUUGGUUCCUCUUGAUCUUCAGCAGCUUCCCCCGUUGCAGCAUCAUCGGGCACAUCGUCUGGUUCCUCUUGAUCUUCAGCAGCUCCCCCCGUUGCAGCAUCACCGUAUUCAGGGGGCACCUAGUUGUCAUCGUCCUCUUCUUCUUCGCCGUCUUCCAUCAUAACCCCUAUUUCUCCGUGCCUCGUCCAAACAUUAUAGUGUGGCAUGAAACCCUUGUAAAGCAGGUGGGUGUGAAGGAUUUUUCGGUCAGAGUAAGACUUCGUAUUCCCACAUUUAGUGCAUGGACAAUACAUAAAACCAUUCUGCUUGUUUGCCUCAGCCACUUCGACAAAAUUAUGCACGCCCUUAAUGUACUCGGAGGUGUGUCUAUCACCAUACAUCCAUUGUUGGUUCAUCUGCGUGCAUUAUAUAUAAUUAUGUGUGUCAAAAGUAAGAAAAUCAGAGAAAUAUCUAUCUAAAGGAAGAAAAUCAGACAAGUAUCAGAAAGAAGAUAAGAACAAGAGGCUCGGUGGUGCCAGCGACGAGAUCGGCGCGGGCGAUCAACGAUGGUGAAAAUGGGGACGGGGCGUGACGGACUGCUAAAUCUAGUCAAUUCUCGGAAAAAAUUGAGCUCCGAGGACGAGCUUCGAGAAGAGAAAGCUUAACUAGUGUGGCUCAAGCAUUUCAUUGAACACCUCAUGUGCAUAGGAGGUGAACUAGAGCACCCAAAUGCCCUCUCCCCACCGGAUUGAAAAAAUAGAGCAUUGUGGAGUGCUCUGCCGCGGCGAUGGGUAUAUAUAGGCAAAUUAUUUGUCCCGGUUCGUGGCAUGAACCGGGACUAAAUCCCCCCUUCUACACCGGUUCAAGGCAUGAACCGGUACCAAUGGAUGUGGGCCAGUAGCAAGGUCCAUUCGUCCCGGUUCGUGCCUAGAACCGGGACAAAUGGGUCCAGAUGAACCGGGACCAUUGCCCACGAGGCCCCGGCCGGCCCCCUGGGCUCAUGAACCGGGUCUAAUACCCCCCAUGGGUCCCGGUUCUUGAAGAACCGGGACUAAUGGGCUGGCCAGGCCCGAACGAUAGCCCUGUUUUCUACUAGUGUUAUCAUGAUAUAAGGAAAUAAAUAAUAACUUUAUUAUUGCCUCUAGGGCAUAUUUCCUUUAGUAUAUGCAACCUGUUUUUUGUAAAUAUAAUUUUUGCAAAGAAGGCAAAAAAUCAUGAUUUUUUUGGCCACAAACAUGAACAAGUGUUAUACUCAUGUAAAAAAAUCGCCAAGGAGUGACUUUGAUGGUAUUAUGGCCGGAAAAAGUAGUAAGCACUACUAUUCGCACUUUUUGUCCUCGAAUUUUUGUUUGUCUUGCCCAAAAGUCCACAAUAUAUGUUUUCAUUGGCGGACUUUUUCCAGGUUGUCUAAUUCACAUCUAGAUGUUUUCUAAAAAUGUCACAUCUUAGCUUCCACAAAUAAAGUAGCAACAAGGAACUAAAUAAAGCUGGGACAAAAGAAAAAUAGACCACAAACAUAAUGGACACCAGGUUAGAUGUGACAUAACUAUGUCACAUCUAGAUGUGUCCUAAACAGACCCAACUUUUUUACACGAGUACAACAAAAGGUCGAGUUUGUUUCCUAAAUUUGUAUGAUUUUUUGGACCGUUUCCGCAAUAUCUAGUUUUUUUUGGCAUAUCGAGUGCAUAUGCACUGAGAGCCAAGGCUUAUUUCCCCUUUUUGCAUGCUAUCAAAUCCAUGAAGCCUUUCCAGUUGUGGUCUACUUCUUUUGUUGCCUCCAAGUAUACAGAAACAAAAAACAAAUUGGUUUCUCUCUACAUUCUUAUUUGGGCGAACCUGCCUGAUAUAUGCUUUCUUCGAGAAUGCUUUUGCAACAUUUUUCAUGGGGUGUGGCUAGGUCUAAGUUGACUGAGACUUAUCCCUUUUUUGCGGCAGAAUGACUGAGAUCCAAAUCUCAGUCAAGUGGCAUAAUAUGCAAGAAAGAAAAUAAAAGAAAAAAAAGAAAACUUCGUACAGAUCUCAAUGUAAGAUAUUGCGAAUAUAGCAUCGACUGAGACAUAAUCAAAUCGCAGUCGACUGAGAUUUCACAAGUCUGUUUUUUAUGAUGUGAAUCCUUGUCAUUCAAGGUUGACGUUGUUUCCACCCGAUAUAACUUAGGGUUGUAUGUGAUCCUCCCCCCUUCCGCGUCACUCCCGUGAGUGGCCGGGGGAAACCCUAGCGACGGGCUCAGGCCCUCCUCUCCCCUCCUCCCCUCGUUGUUGCCUCGGCAUGCUGGUUGGGGUUUGCCCGGCAAUGUCGAUAGCAACGUGGUGUUCCCUCUUCCCCUGCUUGGUGUAGGUUGGCAAGGGUCGACGGAGUCAAGUUGCGGCACGAUGCAUGCAUAGGACUGGGCCGCACAUCAGAAAUAGCUGGCCGCGGGUUGCUGACGGUGGUGCGAAGGCUCGUGGGAGGCUGGGGUGUGUGACGUGCCUACGGCGGCAACAUGACUGGGAGUGGCUCACCAACCCCGACAGGAAGAGUAGAAGUCACCUCCUUCCACUCCUAGCCCGACAUCAACCACCGAGUCAGGGUCCAUGCUUCCAUGGUAGGAAGCGUCAACCCCUGUGUCCCCAACCCGUCUAGGUGGACCGGGCGGACAUGACCCUAUGGACGCCAAUGUUCGCCACCCAACAAGCCCCGACUAUAACCCACUAUCCUUGGCCCGUGCAAGCUCGCAGAACACCUCAUCUGUGGCCAUAGGUGCCAAUCCGCCGGACGGCGCACCACUACGACCGCAGCACCGGGGCGAGGCCACUGCACCCGGGAAAGACCUCCACCUCGCCGCCAUGAGUCGUGCCCCAUGCCUCCACCCCAUGGGCCUUAACCACCACCCUUGCCGCCUGCGAACGACUAGGCAACAGAUCUAGUGGAUUUGGCCGGAGCCUGGAAAACACGCCACCAUGAGGGGGACCACAACAGACUAUGGCCGCCGAAACUAGCCACAACCAGCGGUCGUCCAAUCCCCGCCAAUGCUGCGAACCAUGCCGCCCGCGCUCAUGAGGCGCCAGAUCGGAGCCACGGUUGACGGUGUCUUGAGACAUGGAUGCCGGUGUGCAGGCCCAGAUGGCAGUUUGAAUGGUUUUGGCUCUCCGGCAGGCAUCAUGGCGGCGGCGGUGGCUAUCUCAGUGAAACUGUCACACUUUCUAGCUACCGGGCCAUCUCAGGAUUCCAAAAUAAGACUCAUUGAUACUACGGCCCAGAACUAACCGAUGGCAAUUAAGGCUCGGUGGUUUUCCUUUUCCCCCACGAGAGACGAGAGAGACCACGACGGUGGUGGAAGGGUUGCUUUCUUUUCGUAGCGGCCGCGUCUACACCACGUAGUCCUACCAUCGUCGGUUGAGAAUCGUCGAAGAAAAGAACUCCAUGCUGGGUUACUAUUCUUUCGUAGCGGGCGCGUUUCUGGUUCGCUAUAAAUAUAGGCCGGUGAGAGGACACGAUUAUCAGAUCGAACAAGCAAGGGAGCAGUUGAUCAAUCGGCUAAGAAAGAUGCAGAUCUUCGUUAAGACCCUGACCGGGAAGACGAUCACGCUCGAGGUGGAGAGCAGCGACACCAUCGACAAUGUCAAGGCCAAAAUCCAGGACAAGGAAGGUAUGUACCACCAUCGAUCAAUCUCAUCACCGGUCGCCGGCCUUCAGUGUUCACAAUCUCAUCGCCGGUGGCCGGCCACUAGCAUCUCUCGACCAUGCUGAACCUAUUGCUGCUUAUCGAUAUAUUGCAGGCAUCCCUCCGGAUCAGCAGCGCUUGAUCUUCGCGGGGAAGCAGCUGGAGGACGGGCGCACCCUGGCCGACUACAACAUCCAGAAGGAGUCGACGCUGCACCUGGUGCUCCGCCUGCGGGGCGGCAGCCGCGGCCAGUACAUCAUCAUGGACCCCAGCCUCCUGCAGCUCGCCCUCAAGUACAAGGAGAAGAAGAUGAUCUGCCGCAAGUGCUACGCGCGCUUGCCCCGCGGCACCACCAACUGCCGCAAGAAGAAGUGCGGACACAGCAACGAGAUCAGGGCCAAGAAAAGGUUCCUCGACAAGCAUAUCAUGUGAAGAAGAAGAAGAAGAAGCACAAGGCCUAUAUAUCCACCGCCCUCCAAUAUGACGUGUUAUAUAGUAGUAGCAGUAGUAGUAGUGUAAUAUUUUCUAUGGCAACACAGUCUUUUAAGUCUUACUAGGUUUUAAGCCAUGCAAACUACUCAAAGCAAAGCAACGUCAACAAGUAGGAGUAGUAUAUUUAGUCCGCAUGGAUUGGAUGUCUAAUGAUGAUAAUUUAUUAAAUGGCCGGGUUGACUGCAGUUCUGUGCACAGAUUUUGUUUGUCUGUUUUCAUAAUUAUUUUCUGAACGCACAACGACAACGUCAACAAUGACGCAAAGGAACAAAUCCUAUAUAAGCACACACACCUUCUUGUGCUUGAAAGUAUUGUCCAUGGGAAGUCCAAUGUCAAAAAAACAAACCAAACUUUACUCAAAGCAAAGCAUCGUGUAUCGGUGAUGUUUGCCCUAGACGUUGCCGCGGCGGCGAGGCAACCUUUCCCAGCUUCAUUGUUUGCUUUGUGUUGUCUCAGUGGUCAUCUUAGCAGGAAGCGCUCGUAAACUUUCUGGUUUCAUCUUACUUGUGCUCGCGCUGCUGUCCCAGCGGUGCUUGCACUGGUUGUUGUUUUUUUCGAAAAUCUGCCCCUAGGGAUCUCGAUUUCAUUAAAAAAAGAAGAGGGUUGCCCGGUUUACUAACGAAAAACCGGGCUAAAACCGUUACAACAGCCCACACAGGGCAACCCGGCCGACCUGGCCACCCACACGGAGAUACACAAACGCCGCAGAGAAGAACCAUAAAGUCGAGGUCGUCACCAAGCGUCAUCGUCAUCACUCCUCCACGAGCCAGCGACAACAACUUCACCAUGGAAUUCCGCCAACAAAGCCCUCGUCGCUACAAACACAGGAACCCAUGCCGACUGAGAAGACCACCAAAAAACAGGAGAAAUGGGCAGAGUUGGCACCAACCAACACCUCCUCGAAGACCACCAGCCACUUGUCAUCGUCGCCACCUAGCACUCUAGGGCAGCUCCGAAUCCACGAUGGCAUGGCGAGACGUAGAAGAGACCCGUCGAGCAUGUCGGGGAAGAACCGACAACCGAAGCCCUGCCGCGACCCUGCACCGUUGGCCAUCAUCAUCGUUGUCAAACUAGACGCCACACCACCUCAUUGCCGGCUGGGCACCAGCCAACCGCAACAUCGUGAGCGUCUAGCACAUGGAGAGCACGAACGAGAUACAAAGGUCUUCCAGAAAAGGCCCCAAAGAGGGAAGCGGCAGUGUCGACGCCGUCGCCCGACCCGACCGGGCGGUAGGCUUUCACUCGAAGAACUGAAUCCGAGAGUGUGCAGGGGGUGAACUCCACGACGACGCCUCCAAGAAGGUGCACGACGCCCGCGGCGGCGGCCGCCGCCGACCGACAAGCUUUCGCCUGGAGCGCCGCCCAACACCACACCCCCACGCACCAUGCAUCUGCUAGCCAGCACACCUCCCGCGAAGCCACUACACCGACUGCCCGCGAGAGCCACCACAAUCUCUUUCUCACCGCCAACCACCACCGACAGCCUAGAUCUAGCCGCCCGACCAGAAACAGUUGGCCGUGUUCUGCAUGGUGUAUGGUGCUGCAUCUUCCUCCCUGACUGCCCUCAUCUCGGUCCUCGACGGCAAGACGGCGUCCACGACAAUCAUCUCCGAGGAGCUUCGCCACCUGUUCAAGCCGGAUUGGGACUGGGAGGUCGAUCCUAUAUCCGAUCGGGAGUUCACCGCCGUAUUCCCGGAUCCUGUCAGCCUCCGCUACGGCACCCACAUCGCGGAGUUGACCUUGGCGCUCCAUCAGCUCAAGGUUCACAUAUCGGUUCCCUCGGUGGAUCCUCUCGCCGUGGCCUCCCUAUCCACUGUGUGGGUUCAGAUUCGUGGGCUACCCCCCAUUGCUCAUGUGGAUGGUGCUAUCUGGGGCAUGUCCCGGCUCCUGGGAAAGAUUGUGUCGGUGGACGCUCUCUUGCUACUUAAGGGGCCGGCCGUUCAUGUCGAGCUCAAGACCCCGGAUCCCUCCAAGCUUCAGAUGACUUUGCGGAUGUUCUUCAACGAUGUGGGCUACGACCUCCAUAUUUCAGUCAAAGAUGAGCUCUCCACUUCUCCCGCUGGCCAUGAGGAUGGGUCGGACCCCGAGGUCGACCCGGAUCUUGAGGGGGAUGGUGGCCCCACUACUGGUCACGACCGGAACCGCCGUCCACGUGGUCGCUCCCCUAGCUCUGUCCGCUCGGACGACGACUCCGGGGACGACCAUGGGCCCUCGCCCCGAACCGGCGCGGCUGCUCCCCCUCCCUGCUCCCCCUCCCUGCUCCAAGCCUCUCGCCCCGGACUCCCGUGCGUUACUUCGGGAGCUGAGGAGGAGGACCUGGAGGCGAUCUCCGCUAUGCUUGACGAGGCGGCGAGCCUUCCUCCUGGCGCCGUCAUCUCGAUCGUCAUGGAGGCGCAGGUCUCCUCCUCAGACGGCAGCAUCAGCGACACGAGCAGUGUGGGCAUGGAGGUCAUCCCCGCGAAUCUCAUGCCGCAAUCCUUCUAAGAACUGUGUGGUGAAAAAAUAUGGGAUCGAAAGAAGGAUUGUGCGCUAGCAACUGAUGCAUAACCUCUUCGAAUUGUAACAUGUAAUUAUGGACAGUGCUAGUCUGACGGAGAGUGCGAAACUGACGAAGAUGAGUCUGAUAUUGUUCUCGACCAAACUUCCCACACAAGGCCGCGCACAACUCAUCCCACGACAUGGACUCGCUCUGAGCCUCGUGUAGUUGUAGCCAGCGUGCCGCGUUGCCUGUGAAGUGCAGGGUAGCUACCCUGACCCAUAACUCAGACCGAACUCCAUACACGGAGAAAUAUUUUUCACAACGCAUUUUCCAGAAUUGUGGAUUGUCGCCGUCAAAUGACGGGAAAUCCAAUUUUGGCAGUGACAAACUAUGGGAAUUGAUGUGUUGUGUGCGCGGAUCGAAUGCUACCAGAUGCGGUGAUGGGGGAUCGGUCAAGGAUGUACCCUUGACCGGAGGAGGCACAUGGGUGGUGACCACGCCAUAUGCCGGCCCUCCGGUGUUGUCGAUCUCGUCGUGGCCUCUCAGCCCGUGGUGUUCGGGAGCGUCGUGGUUCGAACUCGACGCCGGCCGCACCACCGCGUCGCCCUCCGGGAUCGGAUCCGGAGGCGCCGCCAGCACGGGGUGGAGAGCGAUGCGCCCCACCUGCGCACGCGGGUCGUCCACCUGCCUCUGGAUGUGGGUGACGGCGGGGCGCCACAGCUCCAGAGAAGUCUGGAUCGCAUCUGGCCUUGCCUCGUUGGCGAUGCGCCCGUCGUUGACGGCCUUGGCAAGAGCUGCGAUCUGCUCCUCCAUCUUCGCCGCCAGUCUUGCUUGCUUCGUUUGAUAGCGGGGCUUGGGAUAGGCGGUCUCCCAGUAGGAAGAUCGCUGGACCUCUGAUACCAGAUGUAACGUGCCUGGUUGCGGUGGAUCUAGAAGAGAAGGAGGAGGAACGGAAGCAGGUAGAAGGAGGAAGAAAGGGGGAUCGAUCAGGUAGGAGGAGUCCAGGAGAUCAGCUCCGGUUCAAGUCAUGUUACAUUGCAUAAAGCCCACACACACACCACUCGCUAGUCUAUAAAGGCCGUCAAGCCGCGUUGGCCGUCCUGGACCAAUCAUCCUCUUGCGUCGCGUCACCACCUGCUGAGCUGGCUUCUUCACGGGUCAUCCUGGCUGACCGUGGGGUCAGCUUGCUCCUGGGGCCCGUUGGUCAGGAGUUGUGGUGGUGCAGUCCUAACAGUAUGUACCGUACCACCAUCGAUCAAUCUCAUCGCCGGUUGCCGGUCUUAGUGUUCGCAGCAGCGAUCAAUCUCAUCGCAUGUGCCCAGCCUUCAAUGUUGCUUCUGCUUUAUCAAUGUUUUUUGCAGGCAUCCCUCCGGAUCAGCAGCGCUUGAUCUUCGCGGGGAAGCAGCUGGAGGACGGGCGCACUGUGGCCAACUACAACAUCCAGAAGGAGUCGACGCUGCACCUGGUGCUCCGCCUGCGGGGCGGCAGCCGCGGCCAGUACAUCAUCAUGGACCCCAGCCUCCUGCAGCUCGCCCUCAAGUACAAGGAGAAGAAGAUGAUCUGACGCAAGUGCUACGCGCACCUCCCCCGCGGCACCACCAACUGUCGCAAGAAGAAGUGCGGCCACAGCAACGAGAUCAGGGCCAAGAAGAGGUUCCACAACAAGCACACCUUCUGAUGAAGAAGAAGAAGAAGAAGAAGAAGAAGAAAAAGAAGAAGAAGAAGAAGAAGAAGAAGAAGAAGGCCUAUCCGCCGUCGUCCAAUUUUGAAGCUCUUUCAUUCAAUUGCUAUAUUCAAUUUUGGAAUUGGUUGAAGAUUUUGGCCGGGCCAACGAUUUUUCAAAUCUAUCAGCAGCAACCGGCCUAUAAAGACGUAUCAAUCUCACGGUCCCCUCCCACCAUCUAGAAAAGAAGCGUCGUCAUCUAUAUUGUAGCACCAAUAUAGUACUUCCUUUGUUUCUAAAUAUAGGUCUUUUUAGAGAUUUUACUAGAGACUACAUAUAGAUGUAUAUAGACAUGUUAUACAUAUUUUAGAGUGUAGAUUCAUUCACUUUGCUCCGUAUGUAGUCUAUAUUGGAUCUCUAAAAGGAAUUAUAUUUAGGAACGGAGGGAGUAUAUGCAACCUCCGACACAAAAAAUUCCCCACAAUAUAGGUUGGUUAGCGGAUAACAUAGAAUCACACAUGAAAAGCCCACCAAAUCAACACAUUAUAAAUAAAAAUAAAAUACACUCUAUCAUCUCCCCCACCCGCCAAACUAAAUAUUCCAUCAGUUUCAAAAUAUAAGGGUUAUUAAUUUUUUAGAAGUCAAAUUGCUUUAACUUUGACCAAGCUCAAAACAAAAAUAUUGACACUGAAAAUAUUAAAGAAAAAAGUAUGGAAAUUCUUCUCAUGACGAAUUAAAAAAACAUAUGACAGUAUGGAUUUGAUAUAUUUCUCUACAAAUUUGAUCAGAAGGUUUGUCUUUUCAAAAAAAGUAAUACACCUUAUUUUUUGAAACAAAGUGAUUUCUUUCUUUUAUAAACCCAACAUCAUCAAUGGCGCAGGAAAGCGUGCCCAAACCUUCUAGUAUCUACAAUUUGCCAUAGAUGUAAAAGGCAAAUUUGGCAUCGUACAGAAAAAUAAGAAUUUGCCAUAACAUGUUAAAUAAACUUGUCAUAGUCUAUAUAAUAGAUUUUUCAUGACUUAUGCAAUAAAUAGUAAUUAAUUUAAAACAGUAACCCGAGCCUAGUUCCAGCCCUCUCACGCACUCAAUGAUUUCGGCCAUCCGAUUUUACGUCAUGGUCGUUUCUAGCCAUUAGAUUUAUUCAUUAUUCAAUGUUUUUUUUGAGGGAUUGUUUUUUGGUUAAAUGGGCCAGCUGUCAAAGAAAAUAUUGAUGCGCUAUUCAGUGUUUUUUUCAUUAAACUUUUUGAGGGAUUGUUUUUCUGUUAAAUGGGCGCCUGCGGCAGCUCUGGCUCGUUGUGACUCGGUAUAGGAGGAGAGGUCAUCGAUCUCCGCCCAUAGCGGCUGGAUGAAGCGCCGGUUGGCCUCACAUAGGCAUCAUCCUGGAUGGACUCGAGGAUGACGGUCUACUCCGCCAUCUUCUCCGCUUGGGCGACUCCAAACUCUGUCAUGGCAUCCUCCAUACUACCUGUAGCCAGCUCCGCCGCCUCCUCCUCCUUCAGAUCCGCCUCCUCCAUGGGAUGGGGGUCCUGCUCUACUUCCAGCAGCUACUCCCCUUCCUCCUCCUUCUCCUGUUGCUGCUCCAGCUCCGGUGAAUCCGGAGGCAGGUCGGUAGUGCAACGAGUAGCACGCAUGGCCUAAAUCGCCUCCAACAGCUGCAACCAAAGCUCCGGUGUCAACAUGCCUAGGUGGUGAUCCUCUUCCCGGCCAUGCUAGCGGCUACGACAAGCUAGCAGAUGGGAGGGAGAGGGGAGGAAUGGGGAUGGGCUAGGGUUGGGCUGCCACUGUCCAGCUUAAAUGGCCGGACGUGCUCCCUUGGGGUGGCACCACACAACACGGAGCCCGGGAGGUGCCCGUCGGACAAACGGUCUCUCAGUGUACGCGCAUGGGCCCUUUAGUCAGUCCUACAUGUCGCAUGUGUUCAGGCCUGUCCGGGCAUCCCCAUAUUCUCCCUACAUAUGGGCCGGAUAUAUAUUGGGAGUACCGGCUAGUCCUGGCGUUUGUGUCGGAUUUGCGAAGUCCGGUUGGGUGCCGUUUUGUGUCUGGGCAGUGACCCGACAGCACGCCUGGCCGUUUGGGUGGGUAUGGGGGUCCAGUUGUAGAUGCUCUUAUCGCAUUGUGGCAAACCACGAAAAGUGUGGUCAAUAAACUGAUUACCACACCUUAGGAAAUGCUUGGCAAACAAACUGAAUUAAUGACAUGACAGGUAUAGGGCUGCUUUGGAAAGUGUGGCAUGCCACAAGUUCGGCAAGGACCCAACUAAACCUUGGCAUCCUCUGGUCCGGGCUUGGCUUUGCAAAGCCCGAUCCCAAAAUCUCAAGCCCAAGCUCGGCCCGACUCAAAACACAUGAACAACCCAAUCUCGAAGAUUCUGAUGUAUCUGCAGAAAGUCCAUCAGCUGAGCCGCAUCUUGAUCUUCCGCAACUUGUUCUCAGCGAGGACAGAAGAGAGGAUUGCUCUGCCGGAGCUCCCGGCACAAAGGGCUAGGAAUGGUUGUGGAGCGCGCACGACGUCGGAGCUGCGAGCCUGACGGCGCGAAGGAGGAAGAAGAGAGUGAAGGAAAUAUGCCCUAGAGGCAAUAAUAAAGUUAUUAUAUAUUUCUUUAUUUCAUGAUAAAUGUUUAUUAUUCAUGCUAGAAUUGUAUUAACCGGAAACAUAAUACAUGUGUGAAUACAUAGACAAACAUAGUGUCACUAGUAUGCCUCUACUUGACUAGCUCGUGAAUCAAAGAUGGUUAAGUUUCCUAGCCAUGGACAAAAGAGUUGUCAUUUGAUUAACGGGAUCACAUCAUUAGGAGAAUGAUGUGAUUGACUUGACCCAUUCCGUUAGCUUAGCACAUGAUCGUUUAGUAUGUUGCUAUUGCUUUCUUCAUGACUUAUACAUGUUCAUGUGACUAUGAGAUUAUGCAACUCCCAUUUACCAGAGGAACACUUUGUGUGCUACCAAACGUCACAACGUAACUGGGUGAUUAUAAAGGUGCUCUACAGGUGUCUCCGAAGGUACAUGUUGGGUUGGCGUAUUUCGAUAUUAGGUUUUGUCACUCCGAUUGUCGGAGAGGUAUCUCUGGGCCCUCUUGGUAAUACACAUCACUUAAGACUUGCAAGCAUUGCAACUAAUGAGUUAGUUGUGGGAUGAUGUAUUACGGAACAAGUAAAGAGACUUGUCGGUAACGAGAUUGAACUAGGUAUUGGAUACCGACGAUCGAAUCUCGGGCAAGUAACAUACCGAUGACAAAGGGAACAACGUAUGUUGUUAUGCGGUUUAACCGAUAAAGAUCUUCAUAGAAUAUGUAGGCACCAAUAUUAGCAUCCAGGUUCCGCUAUUGGUUAUUGACCAGAAACAGUUCUAGGUCAUGUCUACAUAGUUCUCGAACCCGUAGGGUCCGCACGCUUAAGGUUUCGAUGACAGUUAUAUUAUGAGUUUAUGAGUUUUGAUGUACCGAAUGAGUUCGGAGUCCCGGAUGAGAUCGGAAACAUGACGAAGAGUCUCGAAAUGGUCGAGACGUAAAGAUCGAUAUAUUGGACGACUAUAUUCGGAGUUCGGAAAGGUUCCGAGUGAUUCGGGUAUUUUUCGGAGUACCGGAGAGUUAUGGGAAUUCGCCGGGAGAAGUAUUGGGCCUUAUUGGGCCAUACGGGAAAGAGAGAGGGGCUGCCUAGGGCAAGCUGCCCCCCCCAAGGCCUAGUCCGAAUUGGACUAGGGGGAGGGGCCGCACCCCCUCCUUCCUUCCCUUCCCUCUUCCCCUUCCUUGUCUCCUACUCCUACUACUUGGAAGGACUCCUAGUUGGACUAGGAAAGGGGCAAUCCUACUCCCGGUGAGAGUAGGACUCCCCUAGGGCACGCCAUAGAGAGGGCCGGCCCUCCCCUCCUCCACUCCUUUAUAUACGGGGGCAGGGGGCACCCCAUAGACACACAAGUUGAUCUACGGAUCGUUCCUUAGCCGUGUGCGGUGGCCCCCUCCACCAUAUUCCACCUCGGUCAUAUCGUCGCGGAGUUUAGGCGAAGCCCUGCGCCGGUAGAACAUCAUCAUCGUCACCACGCCGUCGUGCUGACGGAACUCAUCCCCGACGCUUUGCUGGAUUGGAGCCCGGGGAACGUCAUCGAGCUGAACGUGUGCUGAACACGGAGGUGCCGUACGUUCGGUGCUUGGAUCGGUCGGAUCGUGAAGACGUACGACUACAUCAACCGCGUUGUCAUAACGCUUCCGCUUACGGUCUACGAGGGUACGUGGACAACACUCUCCCCUCUCGUUGCUGUGCCAUCACCAUGAUCUUGCGUGUGCGUAGGUAAAUUUUUGAAAUUACUACGUUCCCCAACAGUGGCAUCCGAGCCUAGGUUUUAUGCGUUGAUGUUAUAUGCAUGAGUAGAACACAAGUGAGUUGUGGGCGAUACAAGUCAUACUGCUUACCAGCAUGUCAUACUUUGGUUCAACGGUAUUGUUGGAUGAAGCGGCCCAGAUCGACAUUACGCGUACGCUUACGCGAGACUGGUUCCACCGACGUGCUUUGCACACAGGUGGCUGGCGGGUGUCAGUUUCUCCAACUUUAGUUGAACCGAGUGUGGCUACGCCCGGUCCUUGCGAAGGUUAAAACAGAACUAACUUGACGAACUAUCGUUGUGGUUUUGAUGCGUAGGUAAGAACGGUUCUUGCUAAGCCCAUAGCAGCCACGUAAAACUUGCAACAACAAAGUAGAGGACGUCUAACUUGUUUUUGCAGGGCAUGUUGUGAUGUGAUAUGGUCAAGACGUGAUGCUAUAUUUAUUGUAUGAGAUGAUCAUGUUUUGUAACCGAAGUUCUCGGCAACUGGCAGGAGCCAUAUGGUUGUCGCUUUAUUGUAUGAAAUGCAAACGCCCUGUAAUUGCUUUACUUUAUCACUAAGCGGUAGCGAUAGUCAUAGCAGCAAUAGAUGGCGUAAACGACAACGAUGCUACGAUGAAGAUCAAGGUGUCGCGCCGGUGACGGUGGUGAUCACGACGGUGCUUCGGAGAUGGAGAUCACAAGCACAAGAUGAUGAUGGCCAUAUCAUAUCACUUAUAUUGAUUGCAUGUGAUGUUUAUCCUUUAUGCAUCUUAUCUUGCUUUGGUUGACGGUAGCAUUUUCAGAUGAUCUCUCACUAAUUAUCAAGAAGUGUUCUCCCUGAGUAUGCACCGUUGCCAAAGUUCGUCGUGCCCAGACACCACGUGAUGAUCGGGUGUGAUAAGCUCUACGUCCAUCUACAAUGGGUGCAAGCCAGUUUUGCACACGCGGAAUACUCAGGUUAAACUUGACGAGCCUAGCAUAUGCAGUUAUGGCCUCGGAGCAUGGAGACCGAAAGGUCGAGCGCGAAUCAUAUAGUAGAUAUGAUCAACAUAGUGAUGUUCACCAUUGAAAACUACUCCAUCUCACGUGAUGAUCGGUUAUGGUUUAGUUGAUUUGGAUCACGUGAUCAUUUAGAUGACUAGAGAGAUGUCUGUCUAAGUGGGAGUUCUUAAGUAAUAUGAUUAAUUGAACUUAAAUUUAUCAUGAACUUAGUCCUGGUAGUAUUUUGCAAAUUAUGUUGUAAGAUCAAUAGCUUGCGUUGUUGCUUUCAUAUGUUUAUUUUGAUAUGUUCCUAGAGAAAAUUGUGUUGAAAAAUGUUAGUAGCAAUGAUGCGGAUUGGAUCCGUGAUCUGAGGUUUAUCCUCAUUGUUGCACAGAAGAAUUAUGUCCUUAAUGCAUCGCUAGGUGACAGACCGAUUGCAGGAGCAGAUGCAGACGUUAUGAACGUUUGGCUGGCUCAAUAUGAUGACUACUUGACAGUUUAGUGCACCAUGCUUAACGGCUUAGAAUCGGGACUUCAAAGACGUUUUUGAACGUCAUGGACCAUAUGAGAUGUUCCAGGAGUUGAAGUUGAUAUUUCAAGCAAAUACCCGAGUUGAGAGAUAUGAAGUCUCCAACAAGUUCUAUGGCUAAAAGAUGGAGGAGAAUCGCUCAACUAGUGAGCAUGUGCUCAGAUUGUCUGGGUACUACAAUCGCUUGAAUCAAGUGGGAGUUAAUCUUCCAGAUAAGAUAGUGAUUGAUAGAAUUCUCUAGUCACCACCACCAAGUUAGUAGAACUUCGUGAUGAACUAUAAUGCAAGGGAUGACGAAAACGAUUCCCGAGCUCUUCGUGAUGCUGAAAUCGACGAAGGUAGAAAUCAAGAAAGAGCGUCAAGUGUUGAUGAUUGACAAGACCACUAGUUUCAAGAAAAGGGCAAAGGGAAAGAAAGGGAACUUCAAGCAGAAUGGCAAGCAAGUUGUCACUCCCGCGAAGAAGCCCAAAGCUGGACCAAAGCCUGAAACUGAGUGAUUAUACUGCAAAGGAAAUGGUCACUAGAAGCGGAAAUGCCUUGAAUAUUUGGUGGAUAAGAAGGAUGGCAAAGUGAACAAGGGUAUAUUUGAUAUACAAGUUAUUGAUGUGUACCUUACUAGUGUUUAUAGUAACCCCUGAGUAUUUGAUACUUGUUCGGUUGCUAAAGAUUAGUAACUCGAAACAGGAGUUACAUAAUAAACAGAGACUAGUUGAGGGUGAAGUGACGAUGUGUAUUGGAAGUGGUUCCAAGAUUGAUAUGAUCAUCAUCGCACACUCCCUAUACCUUCGGGAUUAGUGUUAAACCUAAAUAAAUGUUAUUUGGCAUUUGCGUUGAACAUGAAUAUGAUUUGAUCAUGUUUAUUGCGAUAUGGUUAUUCAUUUAAAGUCAAAGAAUAAUUCUGUUUACAUGAAUAAAACCUUCAAUGGUCAUACACCCAAUGAAAAUAGUUUGUUGGAUCUCGAUCGUAAUGAUACACAUAUUCAUAAUAUUGAUGCCAAAAUAUGCAAAGUUAAUAAUGAUAGUGCAACUUGUUUGUGGCACUGCCGUUUGGGUCAUAUCUGUGUAAAGCGCAUGAAGAAACUCCAUAAAGAUGGAUUUUCGGAAUCACUUGGUUAUGAAUCAUUUGAUGCUUGCGAACCGUGCCUUUUGGGCAAGAUGACUAAAACUCCAUUCUCCGGAACAAUGGAACAAGCUACUGACUUAUUGUAAAUAAUACAUACCGAUGUAUGUGAUCCAAUGAGUGUUGAUGCUCGUGGCAAGUAUCGUUAUUUUCUGCCCUUCACAAAAUGAUUUGAGCAGAUAUGGGUAUAUCUACUUGAUGAAAUAUAAGUCUAAAAUAAUUGAAGGGUUCAAAGAAUUUCAGAGUGAAGUGGAAAAAUCAUCAUAACAAGAAAAUAAAGUUUCUACGAUCUGAUCGCGGAGACGAAUAUUUGAGUUACGAGUUUGGUCUUCAAUUAAAACAAUGUGGAAUAGUUUCACAGCUCACGCCACCUGGAAUACCACAACGUUAUGGUGUGUCCGAACGUCAUAACUGUACUUUAUUGGAUAUAGUGCAAUCUAUGAUGUCUCUUAUCGGUUUACCACUAUCGUUUUGGGGUUAUGCAUUAGAGACAGCUGCAUUCACGUUUAAUAGGGCACCAUCUAAAUCCGUUCAGACGACACCGUAUGAACUAUGGUUUAGCAGUAAACCUAAGUUGUCGUUUCUUAAAGUUUGGAGUUGUGGUGCUUAUAUGAAAAAGUUUUAACCUGAUAAGCUCGAACUCAAAUCGGAGAAGUGCGUCUUCAUAGAAUACCCAAAGGAAAUUGUUGGGUACUCCUUCUAUCACAAAUCCAAAGGCAAAACAUUCAUUGCUAAGAAUGGAUCCUUUCUAGAGAAGGAGUUUCUCUCGAAAGAAGUGAGUGGGAGGAAAGUAGAACUUGAUGAGGUAAUUGUACCUGCUCCCUUAUUUGAAAGUAGUUCAUCACAGAAAUCUGUUCCUGUGACUACUACACCAAUUAGUGAGGAAGUUAAUGAUGAUGAUCAUGAAACUUCAGAUUAAGUUACUACAGAACCUCGUAGGUCUUCCAGAGUAAGAUCCGCACCAGAGUGGUACGGUAAUCCUGUUCUGGAAAUUAUGUUACUAGACCAUGACGAACCUACGAACUAUGAAGAAGCGAUGGUGAGCCCAGAUUCCGCAAAAUGGCUUGAGGCCAUGAGAUCUGAGAUAAGAUCCAUGUAUGAAAACAAAGUAUGGACUUUGAUUGACUUGCCCAAUGAUCGGCGAGACAUUGAGAUUAAAUGGAUCUUCAAGAGGAAGACGGACGCUGAUAGUGUUACUAUCUACAAAGCUAGAAUUGUCCCAAAAGUUUUUCGACAAGUUCAAGGUGUUGACUACGAUGAGAGUUUUUCACUCGUAUCUAUGCUUAAGUCUGUCUGAAUCAUGUUAGCAAUUGCCACAUUUUAUGAAAUCUGGCAAAUGGAUGUCAAAACUGCAUUCCUUAAUGGAUUUUUUAAAGAAGAGUUGUACAUGAUGCAACCAGAAGGUUUUGUCCAUCCGAAAGGUGCUAACAAAAUGUGCAAGCUCCAGCGAUCCAUCAAUGGACUGGUGCAAGCAUCUCGGAGUUGGAAUAUACGCUUUGAUAAGUUGAUCAAAGCAUAUAGUUUUAAUACAGACUUGCAGUGAAGCAUGUAUUUACAAGAAAGUGAGUGGGAGCACUACAACAUUUCUGAUAAGUAUAUGUGAAUGACAUAUUGUUGAUCGGAAAUAAUGUAGAAUUUUUCUGGAAAGCAUAAAGGAGUGUUUGAAAGGAGUUUUUCAAAGAAAGACCUUGGUGAAGCUGCUUACAUAUUGAGCAUCAAGAUCUAUAGAGAUAGAUCAAGACGCUUGAUAAGAUUUUUCAAUGAGUACAUACCUUGACAAGAUUUUGAAGUAGUUCAAAAUGGAACAGUCAAAGAAAGAGUUCUUGCCUGUGUUGCAAGGUGUGAAGUUUAAUAAGACUGAAAACCCGACCAUGGCAGAAAAUAGAAAAGAAUGAACAGUCAUUCCCUAUGCCUCAGUCAUAGGUUCUAUAAAGUAUGCUAUGUUGUGUACUAGACCUAUUGUAUACCUUGCUCUGAGUUUGUCAAAGGAAUACAAUUUUGAUCUAAAAGUAGAUCACUAGAACAGCGGUCAAAAAAUAUCCUUAGUGGGGACUAAGGAGAUGUUUCUUGAUUAUGGAGGUGAUAAAAGAGCCAGUCGUAAAAAGUUACAACGAUGCAAGCUUUUACACCAAUCCAGAUGACUCUAAGUCUCAAUCUGGAUACAUAUUGAAAGUGGGAGCAAUUAGCUAGAGUAGCUCCGUGCAGAGCAUUGUGGACAUAAAAUAUUUGCAAAAUACAUACGGCUCUGAAUGUGACAGACCCGUUGACUAAACUUCUCUCAUGAGCAAAACAUGAUCAUACCUUAGUACUCUUUGGGUGUUAAUCACAUAGCCAUGUGAACUAGAUUAUUGACUCUAGUAAACCCUUUGGGCAUUGAUCACAUGACGAUGUGAACUAUGGGUAUUAAUUACAUACAGAUGUGAAUAUUGGUGUUAAAUCACAUGGUGAUGUGAACUAGAUUAUUGACUCUAGUGCAAGUGGGAGACUGAAGGAAAUAUGCCCUAGAGGCAAUAAUAAAGUUAUUAUUUAUUUCCUUAUUUCAUGACAAAUGUUUAUUAUUCAUGCUAGAAUUGUAUUAACCGGAAACAUAAUACAUGUGUGAAUACAUAGACAAACAUAGUGUCACUAGUAUGCCUCUACUUGACUAGCUCGUGAAUCAAAGAUGGUUAAGUUUCCUAGCCAUGGACAAAAGAGUUGUCAUUUGAUUAACGGGAUCACAUCAUUAGGAGAAUGAUGUGAUUGACUUGACCCAUUUCAUUAGCUUAGCACACGGUCGUUUAGUAUGUUGCUAUUGCUUUCUUCAUGACUUAUACAUGUUCCUGUGACUAUGAGAUUAUGCAACUCCCGUUUACCAGAGGAACACUUUAUGUGCUACCAAACGUCACAACAUAACUGGGUAUUAUAAAGGUUCUCUAAAGGUGUCUCUGAAGGUACAUGUUGGGUUGGCGUAUUUCGAUAUUAGGUUUUGUCACUCCGAUUGUCGGAGAGGUAUCUCUAGGCCCUCUCGGUAAUACACAUCACUUAAACCUUGCAAGCAUUACAAUUAAUGAGUUAGUUGUGGGAUGAUCUAUUACGGAACGAGUAAAGAGACUUGCCGGUAACAAGAUUGAACUAGGUAUUGGAUACCGACGAUCGAAUCUCGGGCAAGUAACAUGCCGAUGACAAAGGGAACAACGUAUGUUGUUAUGUGGUUUGACCGAUAAAGAUCUUCGUAGAAUAUGUAGGAGCCAAUAUGAACAUCCAGGUUCCACUAUUGGUUAUUGACCAGAAACAGUUCUAGGUCAUGUCUACAUAGUUCUCGAACCCGUAGGGUCCGCACGCUUAAGGUUUCGAUGACAGUUAUAUUAUGAGUUUAUGAGUUUUGAUGUACCGAAGGAGUUCGGAUUCCCGGAUGAGAUCGGGAACAUGACGAGGAGUCUCGAAAUGGUCGAGACGUAAAGAUCAAUAUAUUGGACGACUACAUUCGGAGUUCGGAAAGGUUCCGAGUGAUUCGGGUAUUUUUCGGAGUACUAGAGAGUUACGGGAAUUCGCCGGGAGAAGUAUUGGGCCUUAUUGGGCCAUACGGGAAAGAGAGAGGGGCUUCCUAGGGCAAGCUGCGCCCCCCCCCCCCAAGGCCUAGUCCGAAUUGGACUAGGCGGAGGGGCCGCACCCCCUCCUUCCUUCCCUUCCCUCUUCCCCUUCCUUGUCUCCUACUCCUACUACUUGGAAGGACUCCUAGUUGGACUAGGAAAGGGGGAAUCCUACUCCCGGUGGGAGUAGGACUCCCCUAGGGCACGCCAUAGAGAGGGCCGGCCCUCCCCUCCUCCACUCCUUUAUAUACGGGGGCAGGGGGCACCCCAUAGACACACAAGUUGAUCUACCGAUCGUUCCUUAGCCGUGCGCGGUGCCCUCCUCCACCAUAUUCCACCUCGGUCAUAUCGUCGCAGAGUUUAGGCGAAGCCCUGCGCCGGUAGAACAUCAUCAUCGUCACCACGCCGUCGUGCUGACGGAACUUAUCCCCGAUGCUUUGCUGGAUUGGAUCCCGGGGAACGUCAUCGAGCUGAAUGUGUGCUGAACACGGAGGUGUCGUACGUUCGGUGCUUGGAUCGGUCGGAUCGUGAAGACCACUAGUGCAAAACCGGGCAAUAGCACCGGUUCGUAAGGCCCUUUAGUGCCGGUUCCAUAACCGGCAAAAAAGUGUGGGCACUAAAGCCCCCCCCCCUUUAGUACCGGUUCAGCACGAACCGGUGCUAAAGAGAAACCACGUGGCACGAGCCAGCUCCAGGGGCCUGGAGCCCUUUAGUACCGGUUGGUAAGACCAACCGGUACUAUAAGGUUUGGGGUUUUUUUAGUUUUAUGAUUUCUUUUUCAUUUAAUUUUGUGUUUCCAUUUUAAUUCUUUUUCGUUUGCUGGUAUUUUACGAUACUACACAUUGUACACGUUAUGCAUAUAUAUAUAUAUAUAUAUAUAUAUAUAUAUAUAUAUAUAUAGAAUUUCUAGUAGAACCAAUCAUGCAUAUAUAUAUCAUCAAUGUCUCACAAACCAUCAUAUUAAUUAAUUCACACAUACACACAUGUAUAGCUAUAUAAAAUUUCUCCUACAUAUGCAUGUUGCCUUCGGAGCCAGUGGCAUUAGCCUAAUUGGUGCCUUCGGAGCACGAUAAAAAUUGGAAGUGGUUUUCAGAGGGCGGUAGCGGGUAAUAGUAUUCUCCCUUCGGAUUUAUGACCUGGUCGAGCAAAAAUCCCGCUAUUUCCUCUUGAAGUGCUUCUACGCGCUCCGUUUCUAGGAGCUUCACCCGCACCUCUCUGAACUGUUAAGAAGGAGAUCAAUAUGCAUGUGUAUUAGUUGUGUGACUAGAUAUCGAUAAUGGUGUAAAAAUUGUGGAUAGUGUUUUGACAAGCGUACUCAUUCCUGUCUUUGAGAUCUGCUCCUUUCGGACGCCAUCAUGCGAAUGUUCUCGCAAACGCAGAAUGCACACAGAUCAGUCCCCUGCGCCUGCUUCAGGGCCUUUACGAGAAUGGAAUUUGAUCAGAUAAUAAUUAAUCAAGCAUGAUAAUUAAAGAGAUGGCAGCUAGCUAGCUAGCUAGUACUACUUAAUUACUUACCUUGGGUCUUCCCCAUUUAAGCUUUUCUUUCCAUUCGCCUUCCAUGACGCUGAUGAACCUUGCCCAAGCCCUGCCCGCCGACAAAGAAAAUGAAUAAAGGGGUUAUUAAAUAGUUCAUAUCAUGAAAUGACGAACUAAAUAGGCCGAGAUAUAUAGUUAAUAAUGAUUGAAAUUACCUGUUGACUAUCCCCAAACAAGAUGUUAUAGUCAGUUUUUUCUUUGAGUAGUGAGUCCAGUAUUUCAACUGUUCCGGCGUCAACUUUAAUGAUACACAAGACCCAGUGAAAUCUGCAUGCACACACGUUUGCAUGUCUUAAUUAAGCGGGCAUAUGUAAGCAAAAACAUGUAGCUAGCUAGUAGGCAAAAACAGAGAAUUUGUAGUACAAGACAGUGUGACUCACUGGAAGUUGUAAGGAAGUAGUAUAUCUUGAUUGUAUUUGAGGCGCUUCAAGAACUCUAGCAUGCUGUCCUCUACGGCCUUUUGAUGACGUUCAUCUAUUUUCCAUGUGUAUUCAUUAACGGUGUUUGGGUCAAUGAACCCAAUGCCAUAGCGUCCACCUUUUCUCAUUUCAUACAUCUUCAUCCUGCAUAUAAUACCACAGAAAAGAAUAUAGUGAGGAUAAUUACAGGUAAUGAUUGAUUAAAAGGAUCACUACAGCUAGCUUGAGACUUAAAUUACAGAAAGAAAUCACUUACAGACAAUAGCAACUGACGAUAGAUUUGUCGAGUGUGUCUUGAUUGUAUAACUGAAACAAUUCAGAAUACUCAACGGACACAGCUUUCUCAUGGUAGUAAUGCCCCUCCUUGACAUUCACCAUGAGGGACAAUCGAUCGGAAAUCUUGGUAAUGUUCAUGUACCAUUGAUGCAAUUCAUACAUUCUCGUUGGGAGGUUCUUGACCUUGUCUGGCUCGACCAAAGGUUGGCCCCGAACAUAUUUCCAUUUUAUUUCAUCCUCUCUAAGCACAGGCAUGGGCUCGAUCUCGAGGAGUUGUCCAACAGUGAUUUUGAGAACUUCAGCCUGCAUUAUAUGGUCCUCCGUUAUUACCACAUUACCCACCUCAGGAAUGUAAACUGUUUGCCCACAAUAAUAUUGGGUACGCGUACUGUCACCUGUUGUUGGCACAACAAGCGAGGGGAUCGAUUGCGCCGCCUGUUAUCCCAGCUGGGGAAUGGUUUUACCGCAUUUUUUGACAGCUGCUUCUUGUUUGCUCGAUCCCGAGCUCGCCUCCUUACGUAGACGUGCUCGAUUUAACUUCCUGAUGUGGCGCUCAUAGUCUGUGUCAACAGGCUUGGGAGCUGGUGGUUGAGCCAUACGAAUGAAGUGGUCAAUCGUUUCCUCAGGCACUUUCUCCCUUGGCGGCGUUGGCGGUUUCGGUGCAAAAUGGGCUUCCACCUCGGACUUCGAUAUGGCUGCGAUUUCCUCCUCGGACCUGUCAUAAGCCCUCUGCGAAAGAGGCGUGAGGCUUGGACCGUAUCUAUAUCGCUUGCCUCCGCCUGUACUUCUUGUACUACCUCGACUCGUACCGCUACGCACCAUAGCUGCGGGGUGUCUCUUCUGCGAUUGCUGAGGCGGCGGAGACGGCUGACGGGGCUGAGUUGGACGAGGAGGAGUGGCCGCCUGAAGUUGUGCCGGACUUGGAGGAGGAGUGGCCUGAGGUUGUGCCGGACUUGGAGGAGGAGUGGACGUCUGACGCUGUGGCGGACUUGGAGGAGGAGGAGUGGCCUGACACUUUGCCGGACUUGGAGGAGGAGUGGCCUGACACUUUGCCGGACUUGGUGGACUUGUAGGAGCGGGAGACUGCUGACUCGGUGGCGGACUUCGACGAGGAGUCGGCUGACGCGGUGUCGGUGGCCUUCAAAAGAUGAUGCAAUCCUUUGUUCCAUAGGAUGAUAUGAUGGUUGGCGUCUCCGAGAAAGCGCUCGUCGUCACCUCCAGGAAUGUCAAGCUCUAGCUCCGAAUAUGGGUCCACCACCUCAUCAACCAAGACACGAGCAUAGCCCGCUGGAAUCAGGUUGCAAUGGAAGGUUGCCUCGGGGGGAUUUGUAAAAGCAACAGCGUCCGCCACCUUCAUGGAUAUGUUCUUCAUUUUGACGUGUAGCUCGCAGCUAGUGUUCUCCGUGAUGUCAUCCACGGGGUAUCUACCCAGCAUUGCGUCGUCCGGGGCGGAACCGCUGCUUCUCGGCAUGGAUGGGGCGGUGCUAUCCAAUGCUGGAUCAUUCGCUAGCUGCUGCAGCUGCUGAGACCCCCCUUUGCUGGGUAAGUGAGUCGAUCUGCUCCUGCUGCCGCUAGAAUUUGACUACCAAUUCCGCUUGACUUUCUUCUAGGCCUUGAAGGUGUUCAUAGUCCCGCUUCCUCUGCUCCUCCUCCAUCUUCCUCUUCUUCUCCUCCGCAAUCUUCUUUCUCGCACGGGUUCUGUAGUCGUUGUUCCAGUCUGAAAACCCCUCAUACCACGGAAUAUCGCCCUUGCCUCGUGUUCUUCCCGGGUGUUCAGGAUUUCCCAGGGCACGCGUAAGCUCGUCAUUCUCUCUGUUGGGCUGGAACACCCCCGAUCGUGCCUCUUCUAUUGCAACAAGUAUCGCAUCGUCGGCUUCCUUUCAGACUUGCCCUCGUUGAAACAUUGCCUGUCUUCGGGUCCAACUCCCCCCCAUGCGCAUAGAACCAAGUCCUGACCCUGGGGGGCCAGCUCUUAGUAACCGGAGUGGCACCUGCAUCCUCCAUCUCUUUCUCAGACUUAUCCCACUUAGGCAUUGCCACCGCAUAGCCACCUGGCCCCAACUUAUGGAACUUAUCCUUUUUCGGCAUUCUUCUUGUUUAUUCUCGACCGUUCCUUAGCUAAUUCCGAAUCCUUGAAUUUCACGAAAUCGUCCCAAUGAGCACGUUGGUUCUCUAGUGUUCCCUCGAAUACUGGAGUCUUCCUUCCUCCCUUGACGUACUUGUCCCAUUCACGAUUCUUGUGGUUCUUGAAUGCAACCGCCAUCUUCCUAAGAGCAGCGUCCUUGACUUUCUGCACAUCUGCUUCUGUGAAAUGAUCUGGUAGGGUGAAAUGUUCCAUGAGAGUAUCCCAAAGCAGAUCUUUUUGAUUCUUGUCGACAAAAGUAACAUCUGGACAUGGAGCAGCGUUCUCUUUGCCUUUUUGUCUUUUGUCUUUUGCUGGCUCUCUCCAUUCUUGAAGGGAGAUCGGGAGUUGGUCCUUCACAAGAACUUCGCACUAACGAACGAACUUGUCCGCAAUCUUCUUAGGCGCUAAUGGUUCGCCAUUAGGUCUGACUGCCUCGAUAUUGUACUUUACGCCCUCCUUCAACUUUUUGUUCGGGCCUCGUUUCGUCCUUUUGCCUGAAGAUUUGCUCGAUCCGGAUGGCUGAAAGAACAAAGAUCGAUUCGUUAAUAUAUCUUCAAGUCAUUUAAAACAUGUGAUGAUCACCAGAUACCUGCUUAUAUAAAUAUAUAUACCUCGCCGGUCUUUGUUGUUUCAGGAUCAACAUGUUCUUCGUCAUCGUCAUAAUCGUAGUUCAUGACUUCAUCAAUUCGGUCGUCGCGAUCGAAUAUCAUAUCACCCUCUCCGGUGUUGUUUAGAAACUCGGAGCCGUCAUAAUCUUCUUCAUUCUGAUCAUCAUCUGGCCCGCGUAUCAUAUCGAACAUGGUCUAUUCUCCCUCUCUGUCGGUAUUGUCUGCCAUAGCUUUUAUUUAACUAAUUCAAAAGAAAUACAAAACAAUUUAGUAUUCAAAUUACAUCGUCUCGAAUAAUAGAUAUAAUCUCGAAUACUUCGUCUAGAAUAAUAGAUAUAAUCUCGAAUACAUCGUCUCGAAUAAUAUAUAAUAUUGAAUAGUACAUCACUGGCUAGCUAAUUAAAGAUCGAAUACUACAGAAGAAUCUAGGACACUUGUGGUUCCUGCGGCGCGGGCGGUGGACACCCAAAGAGAAGGAACCCUCACAGGAUCAUAGCUGAAGUGAGAUCCCCGAUGAUACUGCCAGGUAUUGGAGAACGUGCCGCCCUCUAACGCAACCAUGUAGCGAUGGACGUGCUCGUCCUCCUCCCUGACACGGCGACGUACCACCUCCGGCGGGGCCGGGUCCCUCCGCACCGAAACUGGCCCACGCGAACGCCACCAAAUGAGAUCAGGGUCGACGACGGGACCCGGGGCCGGGUUCCUCAUCAAGCGGCGCGCCCCUCCAGGCAGCACCUCCCAGUGCCAGCCCGGCGGAGCCCAGUCCCGGACAUGGGUCGGCUGGACGUCGUCGCGGACGGGUCAACGGCGAGGAUGCGGGUCGGGCAUCGUCGAGAACAAAUACUAGCUAUAUGCCCGCAAAAAGUAAUAUUUUUUUAAUGAUUGGAUUUUGAUAACUAAAAUUUCUAACAUUUCUACUAUUUCAAAAAUAUAUAUACUAUUUCAUACUAAUUAAGCAUCUAACACUAAAAACAGAAAACACAACUUCUAUACAUCCAUUAAAAAACUGAAANNNNNNNNNNNNNNNNNNNNNNNNNNNNNNNNNNNNNNNNNNNNNNNNNNNNNNNNNNNNNNNNNNNNNNNNNNNNNNNNNNNNNNNNNNNNNNNNNNNNNNNNNNNNNNNNNNNNNNNNNNNNNNNNNNNNNNNNNNNNNNNNNNNNNNNNNNNNNNNNNNNNNNNNNNNNNNNNNNNNNNNNNNNNNNNNNNNNNNNNNNNNNNNNNNNNNNNNNNNNNNNNNNNNNNNNNNNNNNNNNNNNNNNNNNNNNNNNNNNNNNNNNNNNNNNNNNNNNNNNNNNNNNNNNNNNNNNNNNNNNNNNNNNNNNNNNNNNNNNNNNNNNNNNNNNNNNNNNNNNNNNNNNNNNNNNNNNNNNNNNNNNNNNNNNNNNNNNNNNNNNNNNNNNNNNNNNNNNNNNNNNNNNNNNNNNNNNNNNNNNNNNNNNNNNNNNNNNNNNNNNNNNNNNNNNNNNNNNNNNNNNNNNNNNNNNNNNNNNNNNNNNNNNNNNNNNNNNNNNNNNNNNNNNNNNNNNNNNNNNNNNNNNNNNNNNNNNNNNNNNNNNNNNNNNNNNNNNNNNNNNNNNNNNNNNNNNNNNNNNNNNNNNNNNNNNNNNNNNNNNNNNNNNNNNNNNNNNNNNNNNNNNNNNNNNNNNNNNNNNNNNNNNNNNNNNNNNNNNNNNNNNNNNNNNNNNNNNNNNNNNNNNNNNNNNNNNNNNNNNNNNNNNNNNNNNNNNNNNNNNNNNNNNNNNNNNNNNNNNNNNNNNNNNNNNNNNNNNNNNNNNNNNNNNNNNNNNNNNNNNNNNNNNNNNNNNNNNNNNNNNNNNNNNNNNNNNNNNNNNNNNNNNNNNNNNNNNNNNNNNNNNNNNNNNNNNNNNNNNNNNNNNNNNNNNNNNNNNNNNNNNNNNNNNNNNNNNNNNNNNNNNNNNNNNNNNNNNNNNNNNNNNNNNNNNNNNNNNNNNNNNNNNNNNNNNNNNNNNNNNNNNNNNNNNNNNNNNNNNNNNNNNNNNNNNNNNNNNNNNNNNNNNNNNNNNNNNNNNNNNNNNNNNNNNNNNNNNNNNNNNNNNNNNNNNNNNNNNNNNNNNNNNNNNNNNNNNNNNNNNNNNNNNNNNNNNNNNNNNNNNNNNGAGGGGCGGGGACGGCUGGGGUCGGCGACGAGGGGCGGGGGCGGCGACGUCGACGGGGACGGUGUCGAUCGGGGCAGGGCGGCGCGGCGGAGAGGGAGAGGAAACAGAGGGAAACUGAAAUUUUUUAAGUGUUGUAUAUAUAGGAUGGACCUUUAGUACAGGUUGGAGCCACCAACCGGUACUAAAGGUCUGUUUUGGCCAGGCCAAGCGGCGGGAAGCGACCCCCUUUAGUAUCGGGUCGUGGCACAAACCGGUACUAAAGGGGGUGCGCUGGCGCAGGUGCGGUGCGGCAAGUUUAGUCCCACCUCGCUAGCCGAGGGGCGACCGCACUGGUUUAUAAACCCCCGUGCGGUCGCUCUCUCGAGCUCCUCUCCUAAGCAGGCUUACUGGGCCUACGUGUUCUUUGCAGCCCUGUGAGCCCACUAGGCAUUUGCGGGCCUGCAUCCUGGCCCAACGACAGGUUGGGUUUCUAGUCGUAUGCAGGCCGCUCUGGCCUAGUAGGCGGGCUUUAUUUUAUUUUAUUUUUUGCUUUAUUUAUUUUUGUGUUGUUUUUUUUGUGUAUUUAGAGUUUCUUUGUGAACAUUUUUGUUUUAGGUACAAAAAAUUACAAACUUUCUGUUAGGGCUUUUUUUAUUAUUUUUUUUUGCUUUAUUUAUUUUUGUGUUGUUUUUNNNNNNNNNNNNNNNNNNNNNNNNNNNNNNNNNNNNNNNNNNNNNNNNNNNNNNNNNNNNNNNNNNNNNNNNNNNNNNNNNNNNNNUACAAACUUUCUGUUAGGGCUUUUUUUUGCUUUAUUUAUUUUUGAGUUGUUUUUUUGUGUAUUUAGAGUUUCUUUGUGAACAUUUUUGUUUUAGGUACAAAAAAUUACAAACUUUCUGUUAGGGCUUUUUUAUUAUUAUUUUUUUGCUUUAUUUAUUUUUGUGUUGUUGUUUUUGGUGUAUUUAGAGUUUCUUUGUGAACAUUUUUGUUUUAGGUACAAAAAAUUUGAAUAGUUUAAAUUUUGAAUUAUUUGAAAUUAGUGUGAAUCACUAGUUUGUGAAUAACUUCACUUUAAAAAUCAGUAAAGGCAUGAAAGAAUUUGUUUGCACAUAAAAUUUCUUCGCGUUUCAAAUGCCAAAACACAUAACUACCCUAACUAUAACAGAGAUUCCCCUCUCGGUGCGAAACACAGAAGAAAGUGAUGAUAGUGAAGCCGAUCACAUCCCAGAUCUUUGGGUGUGAAACUUUUUCUUCACGUGUGUCCUUUUGCGCCGUAACCAUGGAAAAUCUUCAUCAUUAAACAGGAUGCUCGGGUCAAUAUUCACUGUGAAUGGAGCAAUUUCAUCAAACUUUUCAUAAUCUUCUGACUUGGCUGUCUUGUCAUCCACUCCCACGAUGUUUCUCUUCCCAGAAAGAACUAUGUGCCGCUUUGGCUCAUCGUACGAUGCAUUCGCUUCCUUAUCUUUUCUUUUUCUUGGCUUGGUAGACAUGUCCUUCACAUAGAAAACCUGUGCCACAUCAUUGGCUAGGACGAAUGGUUCGUCUGCAUACGCAAGAUUGUUGAGAUCCACUGUUGUCAUUCCGUACUGCGGGUCUUCCGUUACCCCGCCUCGUGUCAUAUUGACCCAUUUGCACCGAAACAAAGGGACCUUUAAACCACAUCGAUAGUCAAGUUCCCAUAUGUCCUGUAUAUAACCAUAAUAUGUUUCCUUUCCCGUCUUGGUUUCUGCAUCAAAGCGGAAACCACUGUUUUGGUUGGUGCUCUUCUUAUCUUGGGCGAUCGUGUAAAAUGUAUUACCAUUUAUCUCGUACCCUUUGAAAGUCAUUAUAUUCGAAGAUGGUAACUAGGACAGCAAGUACAGGUCAUCUUCAAUAGAGGUGUCAUGCAUGGUACGUGUCUACAACCAGCUAGCGAAACUCCUAGUUUGUUCACGUGUAAUCCAGUCAUCAGACCGCUCCGGGUGUUUGGAGCGUAGCAAAUUCUUGUGUUCAUCCAUAUACGGAGCCACCAAGGCGGAAUUCUGUAGAACUGUGUAGUGUGCUUCAGUGAGAGAAUGUCCGUCCAUACAUAUUAUUUGUUCCCCUCCUAGCGUGCCUUUUCCAUCCAGUCUGCCCUUAUGCCGCGAUUCAGGAACACCAAUCGGCUUAAGGUCAGGAAUAAAGUCAAUACAAAACUCAAUGACCUCCUCAUUUUGAUUGCCCUUGGAGAUGCUUCCUUCUGGCCUAGCACGGUUAUGAACAUAUUUCUUUAAGACUCCCAUGAACCUCUCAAAGGGGAACAUAUUGUGUAGAAAUACAGGACCCAAAACGUUAAUCUCUUCGCAUAGGUGAACUAGGACGUGCGUCAUGAUGUUGAAGAAGGAUGGUGGGAACACCAACUCGAAACUGACAAGACAUUGCACCAAAUCAUUUUGUAACCUUGGUAUGAUUUCUGGAUCGAUUACCUUCUGAGAGAUUGCAUUGAGAAAUGCAUAUAGCUUCACAAUGGCUAAUCGAACGUUUUCCGGUAGAAGCCCCCUCAAUGCAACCGGAAGCAGUUGCGUCAUAAUCACGUGGCAGUCAUGAGACUUUAGGUUCUGGAAACUUUUUCUCUGCCAUGUUUAUUAUUCCCUUUAUAUUCGACGAGAAGCCAGACGGUACCUUAAUACUGAGCAGGCAUUCAAAGAAGAUUUCCUUCUCUUCUUUGGUAAGAGCGUAGCUUGCAUGACCCUGAUGUAUGCCGUCUUCUCCGUGCAUACGUUGCUGGUCCUCCCGUGCCUCAGGUGUAUCUUUUGUCUUCCCAUACACGCCCAAGAAGCCAAGCAGGGUCACGCAAAGAUUCUUCGUCACGUGCAUCACGUCGAUUGCGGAGCGGACCUCUAGGUCUUUCCAAUAUGGCAGGUCCCAAAAUAUAGAUUUAUUCUUCCACAUGGGUGCGCGUCCGUCAGCGUCCUUUGGAACAGGUUGUCCGCCAGGACCCUUUCCAAAUAUCACCUUCAAAUCCUUGACCAUAUCAUGUACAUCAGCACCAGUACGGUGGCGAGGCUUCGUCCGGUGAUCCGCCUCACCUUUGAAAUGCUUGCCUUUCUUUCUUACGGGAUGCCUGCUCGGAAGAAAUCGACGAUGUCCCAGGUACACAUUCUUCUUACAACUAUUCAAAUAUAUACUGUCGGUAUCAUCCAAACAGUGCGUGCAUCCGUGGUAUCCCUUGUUUGUCUGUCCUGAAAGGUUACUGAGAGCAGGCCAAUCAUUGAUGGUCACUAACAGCAAUGCCUUUAGGUCAAAUUCUUCCUGUUUGUGCUCAUCCCAUGCACGUACACCUGUUCCAUUCCAGAGUUGUAAGAGUUCUUCAACUAAUGGCCUUAGGUACACAUCAAUGUCGUUGCCAGGUUGUUUAGGGCCUUGGAUGAGCACUGGCAUCAUAAUGAACUUCCGCUUCAUGCACAACCAUGGAGGAAGGUUAUACAAACAUAGAGUCACAGGCCAGGUGCUAUGGUUGCUGCUCUGCUCCCCAAAAGGAUUAAUGCCAUCUGCGCUUAGACCAAACCAUACGCUCCUUGCGUCAUCUGCAAACUCCUUCCCGUACUUUCUUUCGAUUUUUCUCCACUGCGACCCGUCAGCGGGUACUCUCAACUUUCCGUCUUUCUUACGGUCUUCUCUGUGCCAUCACAUCGCCUUGGCAUGCUCUUUGUUUUGGAACAAACGUUUCAACCGUGGUAUUAUAGGAGAAUACCACAUCACCUUGGCAGGAAUCUUCUUCCUGGGGCGCUCGCCCUCGACAUCACCAUGCUCAUCGCGGUUGAUCUUAUAGCGCAAUGCACCACAUACCGGGCAAGCGUUCAAAUCCUCGUACUCACCGCGGUAGAGGAUGCAAUCAUUAGGGCAUGCAUGUAUCUUCUGCACCUCUAACCCUAGAGGGCAGACAGCCUUCUUUGCUUCGUACGUACUCUCGGGCAAUUUGUUGUCCUUUGGAAGCAUAUCCUUUAUCAUUACCAGCAACUUUCCAAAUCCCUUGUCAGAUACACCAUUCUCUGCCUUCCAUUGUAGCAAUUCCAGUGUGGUGCCCAGCUUUUUCUUGUCACCUAUGCAAUUCGGGUACAACAAUUUUUUGUGAUCCUCUAACAUGCGCUGCAACUUCUUCUUCUCCAAAUCACUUGCGCAGUUUCUCUUUGCAUCGGCAAUGGCCCGACCUAGAUCAUCAUUGGGCUCAUAUGAUGCCUCUUCUUCAGCUUCUUCCCGCAUUGCCGGCUCAGCUUCUUCCCACAUUACCGGCUCAGCUUCUUCCCUCAUUGUUGUAUCAUUGUAUUCAGGGAACCCAUGGCCAGGAUAGUUGUCGUCGUCCUCUUCUUCUUCAUUGUCUUCCAUCAUAACCCCUCUUUCUCCGUGCUUGGUCCAAACAUUAUAGUGGGGCAUGAAACCGGACUCAAACAGGUGGACGUGAAUGAUUCUUGACGUAGAGUAAUUGCGAUCAUUCUUACAGCCAGCACAUGGACAAGGCAUAAAACCAUCCGCCCGCUUGUUUGCCUUAUUCGCAAGCAGAAAAGUAUGCACGCUCUCAACGAACUGGGGAGAGCAUCAGUCAUCGUACAUCCAUUGCCGGCUCAUCUUCAUUACACAACACCGAAUAGACCAAAUUAAUACAAGUUCAUACAUAAAGUUCAUACAACACUUAAAUGCAACAAACAAAUAACUCUCUAGCUAAAGCAUUUAAAUGCAACAACAAAUGCGAUCAAGAUCGCAACUGAGGUAACAAUUGAUCCAACAGCAUAAUGAUACCAAGCCUCACUAUCAAUGGCAUAUUUUCUAAUCUUUCUAAUCUUCAAGCGCAUUUUCUCCAUCUUGAUCUUGUGAUCAUCGACGACAUCGGCAACAUGCAACUCCAAUUCCAUCUUCUCCCCCUCAAUUCAUUUCAAUUUUUCUUUCAAGUACUCGUUUUCUCUUUCAACUAAAUUUAACCUCUCGACAAUAGGGUCGGUUGGAAUUUCCGGUUCACAUACCUCCUAGAUAAAAAUAUCUAUGUCAACUUGAUGGGCAUAAUUUGUCAUAAACACGAAAUGCAACAAAUAGUUUUAAAAGAGAAUAUACCACAUCCGAAUCAUAACAAGGACGAGGGCCGACGGGGACGGAUAUCAAAACCAUGGCACUAUGUAUAACAAACAACGUACGGGUAAGAUAAUUAUUAUACGAGUAACUAUGUAUCCAAAUCACACAAACAUCAAUUUUUUAUAUAAAAUUUCAUGAACAAGAGGCUCACCACAAGGUGGUGCCGGCGACGGGACGGUGCGGGCGAUCGACGGUGGUUACGACGGAGAUUUAGAAGGCACUAAGUAAACCACACCUACAUAUGCAAACUAAGUGUUAUUUUAACCUCAAAUUGUAUAUAAAUCAAAUACUAGCACAUAUAUAUAUUUCCUCUCAAAUUACUAAACUCACAAAUUAAUAACUAUAUAAAGCAUUGCAAGAGCUAAUCUAGCAAUGAGAGAUGAAAGGACAAAGUUGCUAACCUUUGUGAUCAUUUGAAUGGAUGGGGGCCUUCAAAUCUUGACAAAUUUUGGGCAAAAUGUGUGAUGAGCUCGAGAGGAAGAGGGGAAGAACAGAGAGGAGAGGGGAAAGGGGAAGAACAGAGCGAGCUCGGGUGGACGAAGGGUUUAUGUAGGACGACCUUUAGUACCGGUUCGUGCCAAGAACCGGUACUAAAGGUGCUGGAGGGGGCCCAGACUGACAACAUCCUGCCACCACUCUCAUUAGUACAGGUUCGUGGCACGAACCGGUGCUAAAGGUUAGCCACGAACCGGUACUAAUAAGAGCGGCCCGGCUAGCCGUUGGAACCGGCACUAAUGUAUACAUUUGUGCCGGCUCAAAUACAAACCGGCACUAAUGUGCUUCACGUUUGACCCUUUUUCUACUAGUGGACGUACGACUACAUCAACCACGUUUUCAUAACGCUUCCGCUUACGGUCUACGAGGGUACGUGGACAACACUCUCCCCUCUCGUUGCUAUGCCAUCACCAUGAUCUUGCGUGUGCGUAGGUAAAUUUUUGAAAUUACUACGUUCCCCAACAGAGAGAAGAGAGCAAACGGAUCCGGCGGCUGGGGGAGGAGGGGUGGAUUUGGUGUAAUUGAGGGUGGGUCAGGCUGUCAGGUCCGACGUGGCGGGCGUGCCCGGGCGCGCUCAAACGCCCUCAUAUCUGGCCCAUAUUUGGGCUGGAUAUAAGGGGUGCCGGUCAGCCCGGGCGUUUGAAGGCCGUUUGAGAGGGGUCAGAAAAUCGUAACCGACAGUGGCCUGGUGGCCCCGCCCAAGCGACGGGGCGUAGAUGCUCUAAUCCAUUGAUGGUUUAACUUUUUUUUGAGCCGUAAACCAACACUUUAUUCAAGACGGGGUUCGGUUUACAGGAAUUAUAAACGGGUCAUGGGGAAAGCCCAGCCACACAUGGCGACCCAUUGCUAACGAUGAAGAAAACUUGGCCAAACUAUGGGCUUCAAAAUUCAAAACACGACUUUUAAAAGUAAAAACACAGCUAUCAAAAUCCCUAGCUGAAGCUUCAAUCUCCUUGAUGAUCACGCUAUAUAGGCCAGCCGACCCCUUAUGAAUCUCUUCCACCACUGUUUUGCAGUCGCAUGCAAUAACGAUUCUUCUUAGAGAGAGAUCUUGCGCCAGUGCCAUAGCUUCUGUGCAUGCAAGCGCUUCUAGAGUCGCCGGGUCAUGAAUGUCACUAAAUACCAUCGCGGAAGAGCCCAGGUAUGUGCCAUCCUGAUCCCGGCAUAAAGCUGCCGAUGAACCUCCAUUCCCUACCCUCGCCAGACCCCCAUCCACGUGUAUUUUUGCCAUGCCCGGGCCUGGUGCUCUCCAUUCAUAUCUAGCUUCUGUUCUCCUUGGCACUACGUUCUAUUGGCCAGGUUGUUGCAUGUUUACUUCAUUGAUUACUUCAAGUUCCGCAAUAAAAUUGUUAAUGAAGGAGUUAGUGGCAUGAGGGCUCUGAAGAAUUCCUUCAUGUAUUGCUUUGCGGCGUGCCGACCAAAUCACCAACAAAGUCACCACGAUUCUGAUCAAGAGUGCAUGCGGCAUAAGUUUGAUCAGUGAAAAGAUCCAUCUCUUGGCGUCCCCCUCUGAUGUAGCAUGUAGUAUAGAUGAAAUAUCAUCUUCUGUGAGAGCCCACACGCAUCGGGCCAUAGUACACUCCAGAAGGGAAUGGCGCCAUGAAUCAUGCGCUCCACAUAUCUGGCAUCGAUCCACGGUCGCCAUCUUCCUGUGUAGCCUCACAUCUUCUGUUGGAAUUGAGUGCUUUGCUAGUCUCCAAAGGAAAUUCCUAAUUUUCCCUGGUACUUUCACUGACCACAAUGAUUUCCAAGAUCUCGCUUUUGCUUCAUAGUUUGAGUUUCCUGCCCUACCUUCCAGCCAAUCUUCUCUUCUUCUCUUAGUAUCAGCUAGCAUGCAAUAAGCAGACCGUACCGAAAAAACGCCACUCUUCUCAUGAUUCCAGGCCCAAAAAUCUGCCAUUCUCCUUGUGCUCAGGGGGAUCCCUACGAUUAUGUUUGAAUCAGCAGCAAUAAAAAUCUGUUCUACGAGUUCCUUUCUCCAAGAAGCAUUAGUUUCAUCUAUCAGAUCACUUACAAGCUGCGGUGGGUUAGCAGAAAGGCAAGCUAUCGGCCUCAUAGUCCCGUUUCUAGGGAUCCAAUUAUCUUGCCAUAUCCGCGUAGUGAUUCCAUCGCCAACUCUCCUUAUUAGACCCUGGAGUAACACGUCUCGGCCUUCCAAAACUGCCCUCCACACCUGCGAGGGAUGACCCCCAAGCUCAGCCGAGAGUAUGUUAGAGUCAGGGAAGUAUAUGGCUUUUAACAUACGAGCACAUAGCGAAUCAGGUUGCUGCAACAUGCGCCAUGUCUGGCGAGCUAGGAGAGCAAGGUUAAAAAGCUCAAAAUCCCGAAAUGCAAGACCUCCCAUGAACUUUGGUUGUGUCAUAGUAUGCCAUGAUACCCAGUUGGGUUUUCUCUUCCCCUCCUUACUCCCCCACCAAAAUUGACAGAUUAAUUUGUUCAGGUGCUCACAUAAGCCUCUAGGAAGUUUAAAACGGGACAUGGAAUAGACCGGUACUGCCUGUGCAAUUGACUUCACUAGAACCUCCUUUCCCGCUGAAGAAAUAGUUUUCUCAAUCCAACCUUUCACUUUACUCCACAAUCUGUCCUUUAAAUAUUUGAAAGCCCCAUACUUAGAUGCUCCUACAUCAGUGGGCAUCCCAAGAUAUUUAUCCUUUAAAAUUUCAUUUGGCACGUUCAGAAUUGUCUUAACCACUUCCUUCACACUAACUAGGCAGCCCUUGCUAAAGAAUACAGUAGAUUUCAUUGGAUUAAUCCUCUGACCUGAUGAUUGACAAUAAGUUUCCAACAGGUUUGAUACCUCCGUCGCCCCUCCACCAUUUGCUUUGAAAAACAGCAGGCUAUCAUCUGCAAACAAAAGGUGAUUAACUGGUGGUGCCGAAGGGGCCACCUGUAUCCCACCCAUCUGAGAUGACUGAUUCACAUUCUUCAAGAGGCACGAAAGGCCCUCUGCUGCUAACAAAAACAGGUAAGGGGAGAUUGGAUCUCCCUGCCGAAUACCUCUGCUCGGUUUGAAUUCUUCCAACUUCUUGCCAUUUAGCAAAACCGAAAAGGAUACUGAGCUUCUAAGAUGCAUGACAAUGUUUACCCAUCUCUCCGAGAAGCCCAGCUUUAACAUGAUCGCUCGCAACUACUCCCAUUCAACUCUAUCGUAAGCCUUCAUCAUGUCCAACUUGAGUGCACAAUGUCGGUGUUUGACAGCUCGAUUGCGCUUCAUAAAAUGCAAGCACUCAUAGGCAGCAAUAAUGUUGUCAGUAAUCAUACGCCCCGGUACAAAAGCUGACUGUUCUGCAGAAAUAAUCUCUGGAAGCACCUCUUUUAAGCGAUUAGCAAUGACCUUUGAUGCUAUCUUAUAUAGGACAUUACACAAACUAAUUGGCCGGAACUGUGAGAGAAGAGUCGGAUCUUUUUCCUUUGGAAUAAGCACCAAAAGGGUUUGAUUGAUACCUUCCGCACUCUCCUGUCCCUCCACAAUCUUCAGAACAGCAGCCGUCACCUCCGCUCCGCAAAUGGCCCAAUGUUUCUGAAAAAAAUGGGCCGGAAAACCAUCCAGGCCCGGAGCUUUUGUCGGGUACAUCUGAAACAACGCCUUCUUCACUUCUUUUUCAGUAUAUACAGCAUCAAGUUGAGCUCUCAUAUCAGCCGUUACUUUUGCUGGGACAGUGUCCAGUACUUCAUGCAUAUUAAUUUUGCUGGACCAAAUCCCACGGCCCAAGCAGCCCAACCAGUUGUCCUAUCAUUCCUUUUUUUUAGAAUGCCUAUCCUUUCCCUGUUGAUAUCUUCUGCCCGUGAUCGAUUGCAAUUCCCAGAUCAGAUCCAAACCCUGAGCGAGCCGCCAGCGUGCUCUGUAUAUCGAUCGUGAUGAGCGAGCAUGACGACGAGACCACACGCCGCCAGCGUCGCCGCACCAUGCCGGCGGUGGGGCCUGCCUUCCCGCUCCACGGCGACGACGUCCUCGGGGAGAUCUUCCUCCGCCUCGGCCCUCUCAAACCCUCGCUCCUGCGCGCGUCUCACGUGUGCAAGCAGUGGCGAAGCGUCGUCUCCGACCCCGGUUUCCUCCGCCGGUUCCGCGCACGCCACCGGAAACCUUCGCUCCUCGGCGUCUUCACGCAGCAGCACGGAAAAGCCCUCUUCCGCUCGGUUCUCGACCCUCCUGUUAUUCCUUCAGAGCGCUUCUCCUUGCGAGGCUACGGCUCGUGGGAUCUGCUUGGGUGCCGCCAUGGACGCGUCCUCGUCAUGAACCACACUGAGGGCAAGGCCAUUGUGUACGACCCCGUUACUGGCGACCAGCACCGGAUAGCAGUUCCUCGGGAGUUCCGUCAGCAGCACUGCUAGGCGGACGACUAAUUUAAACGACCAGUGCACGACGAUGAAUCCCAGCCACCGAAACUCGUCCACAGCCCACACUCUGUUCGCUGGAUUUAUUGUCGUUCAUGGAUCGGCCACAUGAUGUCGUGUGUGGAGCAAUUCCGUUCCGUCAGAAUGCAGUGGUUGCUAAUAUCAAUGGCGCGGUGCUUUGCACGGGCACGGCCGACAACAAGGGCCACAUACAUGGUGCGUGCCGCUCAAGCCCCUUUAAAAUCGUUUUGGUACGCGCCUAUACGGCCUACUCGGCCAAGAGGAAUCUUACUUAUCGUAUGGCCCACGCAUGUGUUUACUCGUCAAAGACUCGAACCUGGGGCAAAAACGUCUCAGCGGUGCUACCAUGUGACAGUUACAUUUCUGGUCACCAUAGCGUCUUUGCUGGUAAUGCACUUUACUGGUAUCUUCCUGGCAAUAUACUAAAGUUUGAUAUGGGCAUGGAGAGCCUACAUGUGAUUAAGAAACUUCCUGUUGCAAACGAUUGCUACGAUACAAGCCAUAUUAUCCGCUCAAAAGAUGGCGGUGUUGGCAUUGCUUUAUUGUCAUACCCUACCUUUCAAGUGUGGGACAUGAAGAAUUUCAAGAAAAAAAAUAGAUGUCAUGGUGGAACUAGAUGGCUGCCGCAGAAGUCUAUUAGUCUCGAGCUAGGAUAUGGGAGUGGUAUUAUAAGGACGAAACAAGCUAUAUUGGGGUUUGACGAGGACGAGAAUGCAAUCUUCUUUCGAGUGGGCAGCAAUAUCUUCAUCGUCCAUCUUGUAUCAAUGAAGUCCAAGAAACUUUGGAGAAGCUAUACUACAUGCAAAUAUCAUCCUUACACGUGUUACUAUACCGCAGGUAAUUGCUCAUCUUUAAAUUGUUGGAGUUAUUAAGAUCUGAAUAUUUUUUCCUAGAUCGUUGCUGCGGGAUACCUAUUUUGUUCUUUGAAGUGUUCACCAGAAGCUUAAAUUUAGUUAUCCAUUUACCUUUAUACCUGGGCGUAGGAAUAUCAUACCCACAUCAUUUUAAAAGUCUUACAUUAUUAGCUGUUAGAAUACGAAACUAUAUUUAGUAUUGUUUAAGCCAUCAACAUGCAUUAUCAAUACAUUCUAUAUUAACCAUUUAUGAAAAUCCCUUUACCUAUUUAAGGUAGAGAAGUCACAGGUAAUUUUCAUGGAAAAUCUUAUACCAUAAUAUUUUAGAAUUCCGGGAUGUAAAGGGAACAUAAUUACUUCAUUUUACAUGCAUCAUUUAUCAUAGCAAGAGUUUUCAUUAGACAUUAUUAUAGCAUAAAAGCAUCAUUAGAUGUGAAAAACUUACUCGAACUUGCCUCUAGCUUCAUGAUGUUUUACGAUAAGGUAACAGUAUUCUUCUUCAUGUAGACAUCACCGAGCUGAAAUUUGUGGAGAGUAAGAGUAACAGUAAGAUUGCAGACCUCUGAGCGUUUAGUUGAAUUACAGACAGAAUUAGCAUUCAAGUAGUUGACUUUCCCAUUCCUACUUAUGCUCUCUAUCAAUUGUUCACUGCUUAAAAAAAAUUGAUCACUGCUUGCAGCCCUCGAAACUUCUGCUGAUAAUGCAAGUGCGACACACGGUGGAGACCAAAAAAAUACUGCUCAAGGAGGAAGCGUGCAGAUUUAGGCAACGUUCAGCUCCUCUCCGCUCCCUCCACUCCGCUCCGAAGCGGACCAGGAUCUAGCUCAUUUUCACGGAGAGGCUAAAAUUAAGCUCCACAACUCCGCGGAGUUAGAGCGGAGAGGAGGGAUUCCGAACAAGGCCUUAAUAAAGCGGGUGGCACUGCCUGUGUGUAUAUACAUUGAACUUGAGUAUUUCAUUAAGACAAACAGAUAAGCCAUCUAUUUAUAAAAGAAAGGUUGAUUACUCUAAAGGCUGAUUCAAUCAUUAAUGCCAGAAUGACUAUGAAACAGCAACCUUUUCGAUGGUUAUCAAGUUCUGGUUUUCCCAACUGUAGUGACUGAACAUAUUGGACAUCGUACCAGAAAAAAUGGGUAAAGUUAUUGUUGCACGAAAGGGGGAAAAGCGCAGCGAGACCAAGUGAAGUAAUAGAGUAGCUAGGUCAAUGUCAAAGCGCGGCGAUAGCGAGCUCGGGCACGCGCGCUCCCGCUAGGUGGACCAAUAGAGCGAUACCGCGUGGGUGGGCCUCUGGAGCGGACCGUACACACUAAUGUAGGGUACUGUCGAUACAUACGGCCAGCUCGCGUACGGCGUGCGGUAACGGACGGAGGUUGAAACCGUACCAUCGGUACAUUUGAUGGAUCGCGGUACAUCACUUACCCAACCAUCACCCACCCCUGCCACGUGGGCAACAUGUGAGGCGUUCAGCACGCAGGUGUUUUAAAAAUCAAGAAACAGCGACUACUACCGUCAUUGACUAUUCAUGAUUAGCUCGAAACCAAAAUUUCAUUAGCACUAGGCAUCCACUGAACCAAACAUACAUCCAAAAGCUCCACGAGUCUCAGAGUUCUUCUCCCACGUCGAUGCUAACACUAAUUAACCCCUGACAUAGAUCAUCUACUACAUGCUUCUUAGAUUCAUCCAAUUAAUCAAACGCACGCAUCACGGUGGAAGACACUACCAGUACAAGGAUGGCGAGGCAGAUGGCCAUAUUCCCAACAGACACCACCAGAUUGAUAGAUGCAGCAUCGAGAGUGAAGGAUGCCUGACGCCGACCAACAUCCCCCGCGCGGAGCUGAGAUCCAACAACGCCACUAGCCGCGGACAGCAUCUGCGAUCCAUCCGGUGCCCCGUUCUGCUGCCCCACCGUGCCGUCCGCCGGCUGCAUCUGACCACCUUGAUUUGCUGCAGCUACCUCGUUCUCUCCUGGAUUGAUUUGCGCCAACGGAGGUGCCGCCGGUCCAAGCUCAGCCACCUCUACCCGGCUGCCAUAGAUGGACAAAUCUAAUGAGACAUGAACACCGGAAAGGAUCCAGAACUCAUAAAAGCAAGAUCCACUUACAUUGUGAUUGCGGCACUUGUAAAACCUCUCAUCCUAGAACUGACCGCGCCUAGCAACGAACGUCACCACCCGCCUUCCACAAUCCGGGCAAGGAACUAAAGGCAGUGCGACCGGAUCUGCAGCUUGGUUGGCGUUCGCCAUGAGCUCUGUCUAUGGUUCUUCCUCUCGAUUUUGGGGGAACAAAUGAGCAGAUGGGGACGGGGCUGGUGGGUCGGUCGCGUAAUAAAUGGCCUCGCUGGCCCGCACUGCAGCCCGUUAGAGCCCAACUACCGUCUACGUCACCUCCGUUAUGCACGUAGACCUCCCCGUAUUCCGUACGUGUACAAGCGAAAACAAUAUAAUAAAACGUACGACCCGUAUCCCCAUAACCGGUUCAUGGCUGGCGAUUCCAGGAGCGCGCGCUCGUCCACUCCUUGCAAUUUUCGGGUCAAUGUUCUUCUAUAGUUGUGUCAGACCAUGAGGUUAGUGAACAUACAUAUAAUGAGAGAAUAAAUGGCAAGGCUAACAAUUCGCAGACACAGUUUAGGGCAUUUUAUACAAGUCUUUUCCUAAGUAACUAAAGGAUGAAAUGUCACUAGUACAGGACUCUCUCAUUAGCAGGGAUCCGAUAUGCCUUCAAGCGUCGUCCAGGUGAACCAUUACCUUUAUUACGGAUGUCUAAUGAUGAUAAUUUAGCCGGGUUGACUACAGUUCUAUGCACAGAUUUUGUUUGUCUGUUUUCAUUAGCCGGCAUAAUUAUUUUCUGAACGCCAUGACAACAACACCUAAUCUCUUGAACAACAGCAACAAUGACGCAAAGGAACAAAUCCUAAAAGCACACACACCUUCUUGUGCUUGAAAGUUUUGUCCAUGGGCAGUCCAAUGGCAAAAAACAAAUCAAACUUUAAUCUGGAAGCAAAGCACCGUGUAUGGGUGAUGUUUUGCUGAUCAUGGGAGCUUGCUGGAUCGGUUUAACACCUGAACGUAACUCCUGCUGGGGUGGCUCCGGAAGUGCCCUAGGCAACCUUUCCAGCUUCAUUAUUUGCUUUGUGCUUGUAAACUUUCUGGUUUCACCUUAUUUAUGGUGCUUGCUGCUGUCCCAGCGGUGCUUGCACCCGUUGGUCGUGUUCUACAGGGUGCAAAUACGAAAGAGCAGAGUGCGUGUCAAGAUCGAAAUUGCAUAGGAGCACUCGGCGACGACGCUCACUGCAAUCCCUCCCAUCCACUUGCAUCGGCAGUGUGAGCAUUUUGCAUUUUCUUGCAAAAAAUAAAUUAAACAAAUAUCUGCAUUUGCCAUGUGACUAAGAAGAUACAAGUACAACAUUGCCAGGAUUUAGAGGAUCAAAAAGGCCUAAAUAAGUGAUGAGAAUUUUUUUUUUAAAAUCAACAAUUGCCAUAUAUGGGAAGAAAAUAGAUAUCUACAAUUUGCCGUUGACUUUUUUUAGCAGAACAAUUUUCCGUGGGUUUGGGGCAUCGGCUGGUGGUGGCUUGGCCUAUGGCUCGCGCUCGGGGUGCACCAGAUUUGGGCCCGGGGCGGGUCAAGGCUGUCGCUCUAGGUAGGAGUGAAUGGCGUGGUCUAGGCGGUGAGGUUCCUCUCCUCGCGUGCGCAGUGGUCGAUGGUGGAGGUUGCGGCAGCCCACCCUAUGCACAAGCUGAAGCUGAUGGCCACCGGCACAGGCGAAGUUCAAAUGCAACGUCUGCAAGGAGGUAGGUGCCGGCCGGGAGCUUCGUGAGGGGGCGUCUCAACGAUGCAACAGCUGCCGGGAAAGAAGCGGACCUGGUUCUACCUACAUGACCGUGUGCCUGCACGUCGCCUGUAUCAAAAAGUUUGCUCGUCGGGAUUGUGGCGCCGGCGCCGGCUCGAGUACUGAUGUACCGCACAAAGAUGGACGAGAGUGAAUUAGAGCGCAUCAUUCUCAGGCUAGUUAUUUUUUUCUUGCAGGUAAUUCUCGGGCUAGUUUUUUUUUUUGCGGGAUAAACUUUCGAUUUAUUCAUCUUCAAUCAUGGUAGUAUAACGAACACUAAAAGUAAUAAAAAUUAAAUCCAGAUCCGUAGACCACCUAGCGAUGACUACAAGCACUGAAGCGAGCCGAAGGCGCGCCGCUGUCAUCGCCCCUCCCUCGACGGAGCCGGACAAACCUUGUUGUAGUUGACAGUGGGGAAGUCGUGGUGCUAAAGCCCCGUAGAACCAACGCAUCAGAACAGCAACCGCCGCCGAUGAAGAGUGUAGAUAAGAAGGAUCUAACCUGAAGACACACAAACAAAGACGAACGACGAACAGAUUCGAGCAAAUCCACCAGAGACAGAUCCAUCGGAGACACCUUCACAUGCCCACCGACGAUGCUAGAAGCAUCACCGGAACGGGGACUAGGCGGGGAGACCUUUAUUCCAUCUUCAGGGAGUCGCUACCGUCUCGCCUUCCUGAGUAGGACACAAACCCUAACAAUCCUCAAAAAAAUCUAAAAACUGAGCUCUCCCACCGGCAAGGGCUGGGAUCCACUCCGUUCCCAUGGCCCCCAAGGCCACGGUAGACGGGGCGGACCGACACUGGCGCCGACGGGAGGCAGAGAAACCCAAGUUUUUUUAGGCGGCGGCUGGCUGGGCGUCUCGCCCCGUGUUUUACUUUCUCGGGCUAGUUGUUGGUGGUAAAUGCUGCAAAGCCUUUAAUUUUCUCCAAAAGAAAUUUUGGAGGUUAAUUAAACAAUUUCCUAAUGAGGCUACUGCCUAAACCGCGUGUUUUCUUAUGAUUGUUCCACAGAUCAUAGAUUUCCUUCUUCCAUAUCAAAAAAGACAUUGUCAAGUACGUACAAAUAAAUAUACGUCGAGAAGUGUAUGCUAAGGUUCCAAUGGAUGCGUAAUACUGAUAUAUAUAUAUAUUGACUGGUCGCUGCUACGUGGAGAUUCUUGGGCCUGCAUAAGCAACAAAAUUUGAAGAGCUACUGCUGGUGCUGAAUAAGGUAACCUAGAAAAGAAAUUUAAAAAGCGGGGAUAGCUCAGUUGGGAGAGCGUCAGACUGAAGAUCUGAAGGUCGCGUGUUCGAUCCACGCUCACCGCAAUCAUUUUUUUUUUUGCCUCCCUUAUCUUGUCAUUAUUUUUUGAGGCAUUAUCUAGAGGGUCAGUAUUCUUUCCAGUAGUGACACGCCUCCUCUGCCAUACUCUGCGUACUAAUCUUGCUUAUGUAUUCCCUCCGUUUCAAUUUACUCGUUAUGGUUUUAGUACAAAUUUGAACUAAAACCACUACGAGUAAAUCGAAACGGAGAGAGUAUUUGUUAAUGUGUCUAUGCAGUGCCUCACUAUUCCUUCCGUUUUUAAAUAUUUGUUUUUUUAGAGAUUUCAAAUGGACUACCCCAUAUGGAUGUAUAUAGACAUUUUAGAGUGUAGAUUCACUCAUUUUGCUCUGUAUGUAGACAUUUUGCUCUGUAUUCUUUCCAGUAGUGACACGCCUCCUCUGCCAUACUCUGCGUACUAAUCUUGCUUAUGUAUUCCCUCCGUUCCAAUUUACUCGUUAUGGUUUUAGUACAAAUUUGAACUAAAACCACUACGAGUAAAUCGAAACGGAGGGAGUAUUUGUUAAUGUGUCUAUGCAGUGCAAUGAUCACUAUUCCUUCCAUUUUUAAAUAUUUGUUUUUUUAGAGAUUUCAAAUGGACUACCCCAUAUGGAUGUAUAUAGACAUUUUAGAGUGUAGAUUCACUCAUUUUGCUCUGUAUGUAGUCAUUUGUUGAAAUCUCUAGAAAGACAAAUGUUUAGAAACGGAGAGAGUAGUUGUUAAAAAAAUAUCAACCACCUUAAGGGGCAUAUUACAUUCUUUAGAUUAAACAUUCUUUUGCUUGUUGUAUACUGGUGCUAUGUAUCUAUAGCUAACUCCUCUCAAGCACAAUCAAUUAUUCAUUAAGACAAUCGUCUCAGGAUGAUACUCUAAUUUUGCCUCAAAAUGUAGCUCAGCGCAUGAACAACAGUACAAGACAUGGUUUUGUUUCAGCCUGAUUAUUCUAACUAAUCAUUUCAGUUCAGAUGCAACAGAAAGAGAAUUAAGAGGGACAGAGAAAAUAAGUGUAAAAAGGAGGUAGCAGACCUUGAGUGCACCCUUCUUGGUUGGAAGCCACAGCAUGCAGUUUUUUUUUUCAUGGUAAUACGUGUCUCAUUCAUAUCAUAAAGAACAAAGUACAAGUCAUGUAAGAACCAACAUGACAAAACUGAAAAGAUAGCAGAACAUCUCUGAGCUUGACACUAACGCCCGUCACCUGCCUCCGGCACCACCACAGCAGCCACCGAAGAAAAGAAUGACGGAUCACCUCCUCACCCGAGCUCGACACGACUCCAUCGCUGAUAUGCAGCUUUGCGGACCUCCAAGGUGGCUCACCAAAAGUGAAGCCAUUGCCGUUGAAUGAAUCAGACCGGGGCAACACCCCGGACACGCCAUCGAACUCCAGAUCUGGCACCCCACCACGACUAAGACGCUAAAGGAGGAAACCAUACCUGCCAUCCACGAACCACGAACCCAGCACACGUUCCGUCUUCCAGAUGUCGUCGAUGCAGACCACAAUCUGCAUCCGCUCCUUGACUACCUCCCAAGCUCCACGCCGACGCUGGAGCAAACGUCGUCGCAACGACGGAGCCCGAGGACACAGGUCCACCACGAGGAUACCGCUGCCGCCACGCCAUCCUUGCUAGAACAGACUGAUUUCCAGAUCCAUCCCCAACCAUAGGACCGAUGACCUCGUCAGGAAAGGAUCCGAAGAAUAUUUAUUCAGCAUCGUCAUCGUCACCGUCGUCGAAGCAAAGGCGAUGGACAACCUAAAACCUAGACUACAGAUGAGUAAAAACGAGCCACAGCGUGCAAUUCACCACCGCCUUAUGACCCGGCAGGGUGGUCACGGGAUUCAGGACCAGACAGUGCAACAUCUAGCUGUGCAGGGUUCUUAAUGUGAAGUGACAUAGCAAAAAUACUUCAGAUUCACAGCAUAAGGGAAACAUAACUAAUUCUUUGCUCCAACUCCCAGAAAAAACACAUAAUGAAAACUAUCUGUUGAAAGUGGAUAGGAAAAUGAACAGGCACAAGAUAUACUUUCAUUGGAACGACUAGCUAAUAAGAGCCAAGACAAUGGACAAGUGCAUUGUUGGUUGGGUAUUGAAUGGCAACCUAUGUCCUUCACGAGCAAGCGCAUCCUCAUAAGUCACAUGCAUAAGAAUUCUCAGAUGUAGCAGGGAAAAUUUGUGUGGGUGCUCACUGCAAACAGAAGAUUCUCAACUGUCUUCCCACAUCCGGUUAUACCAGCCUGUUGAUAUGCAAAUCUAUAGUGAAAAUGACAAAAUGUGGUAGGCCUUAAAUAGAUAAAUGGCACUGAUUCGGUCAGGCAAACCAACGCACGUGCAUGUUUAUGAAAAAUUACCUAUGAAACCAUCUGUUGAGCAGUCCUACUCAAGAUCCAGUUAUUAGUUCAUCCUUUUACAUCACCCUCACACAUGACAGUGUUGGAAAUAUUAGCACUUUUCCCAUUAGACUAAUCCACGAGUAAACAGUAAGCAUGGCAAAUGCGGUAUGCAUCUCAUACCAAUUCCUAAGCAUACUAGCACGUACAGAACAUAGAAGCAAACCAUCUAUGAGCAGCACAUAUACGGCUAGCACAAGCACGAGUAAGUGAGGGAUGAACAGAUCAUACCCUCCGAUUGGCCAGGCCAACGCGGCGGCGGCAGCAGCAGCCUCGGCUUCGUCCGUGGCCUUCUUCUUGGCGGCAGCGUCGUCGGCCAUGGUGUUGAUGCAGGGGAAGUAGUGGAAGCCGAGGCUGAUGGAGCUGGGGACGGAUCGGGAGCAGUCGCGCCGAGACGCUCCCCAAAAACCUUAUUGCCGUUCUCCCGGGCAGGAUCUUGAACGACGGGGUUCCGGAGGCACCUGCUCUCCCGACCAACCGUGCACGCGGUCGUCAGGAUGGGAUCAUCGGAAGCAGCACAGAGCAAGGACCAGUAGACGACGGCUAGGUAACGCGAGGGGGAGUGAGUGAACCGAACUAGGUCACUCCACUGGGCAGAGCCUUCUUAUAUAGGCCGUCUGGCAGGAAGUCAUGGGCCUGGGCGGAGGCCCACGACCGAGUCGACGCACUCCCCGGCAAGGGAGCAUCCCGGCAAGCGUCGCACUCCCGACAAGGGAGUCAGCAAAUCCUGGCAACGCAAGUGAGCCCAUAGUCCAACGUCUCGGACAGUGGUCCACCUUGAUUAAUUAAUUCGUUCCUGAGCGGCAAAAAUAAGCUCCUGCUCGGCUCAUUCCCGCAACCCGCAACCCGCAACCCGUGGCGCGCGCGCGCAUCAUGACGAGGCGUGGCGUGGCGAGGCGGGCGGCGGAGGAGGAGGAGCGCGCUUGUACCACUCCUCUUCCCAAGCUCCCAUUGGCAAGUGGUAGAGCAGCCCUUAUAAAGGGGUCUCAACUCUCCUCAACUAGCAAGGUGGGACUAAACUUCCCACCACCUGCCAUCUCAUACAUGGGCCUCAAGAUUAACUAGGGAUUUAUGUCUUAUAUGGGCCUACGCCCAUCUAUAAUCCAUCAAUCCCCCACCAGAUCUCGAGGCACAUAAGUUUGUCAACUGUUCCAAACAAUGUUUGAUAUAUCAGAAAUUUCAGUGGAGACUGUUAAGUUGAACUUCCACCUAGAUCAACAUGAUUAGACUUCUUCACAGCUGAACAAUGGACUAAGCCUUGAAUUGUCAGUUUGGCGUGCAGAAGUUUCGCCUAUUGUCCGCUGAUACGUGGUUGCCGAAGGCUAAACCCCACGGGUGGAGCUCAUUAGUCAUACUUCAUACCUUCUUAUGAGCUUCCUAGAGAUCACCCAAUCUCAUAGACUGUGACCAGCAGUCGGGCUCACAUAGGUGUGUUCCUCCAAAGAAUGCUAUGUAGGUUAGCAUCUUGCUUACACAAACUUUGGAACACAUUAAGACAAAAGUCAGCCUGCCUUACAGAAUUGAGAGUAUUAUUGCAUCUCCAACGGAGUGGGAUAAUUAAAGAUACUCUCCUCAGUUGACCGCUGGAUUGUUUUCCCAGGUCCUAAUUCACGGGACCUUCGAUCACAUAGGUUGAGUUACCCCCAUGGCAACUUAUGUGGGUCUCAUACCCAUCUCCCUCGAUGCAUUUUCUAUCACAACCCGUGAUAGCCCUUUCGUAAAAGGGUCUGCCAUAUUCUUAGCCGUCUGGAUAUAAUCCAACGCUAUCACUUCAGAGUUUCUUGAUUUUCUGACAAAUUUCAAUCUUCGUCUUAUGUGCUUUGUGGAUUUCAUGUUCUCCUUUGAACUCUUAGCCUUGGCAAUCACCGUUUGAUUGUCGUAGUUCAUAAGGACAUUCGGCACUGGUUUAUCAACCAUUGGCAAAUCCAUCAAAAGCUCUCGAAGCCAUUCUGCUUCGACGCAAGAUGUGUCUAAUGCUGUGAGUUCUGCUUCCAUAGUCGAUCUGGUUAAGAUCGUUUGCUUGCAAGACUUCCAGGAGACAGCACCACCACCAAGUGUGAAUACAUGUCCACUUGUGGCUUUCAUCUCAUCAGCAUCAGAUAUCCAAUUCGAAUCACUAUAUCCCUCAAGUACCGUCGGGUACCCAGAAUAGUGAAUCCCAUAGUCUGCAUUACCUUGCAAGUAACGCAUCACUCGCUCAACAGCAUGCCAAUGCACAUCUCCCAGAUUGGAAACAAACCGGCUCAGUUUGCACACAGCAAAUGAGAUGUCAGGAUGAGUAGCACAUGCUAGGUACAUCAGUGAACCAACCACUUGAGAAUAUCUCAAUUGAUCUAGAGUCGUGCCUUCGAACUUUCGAAUCCGCACGCUAGGAUCAUAUGGUGUUGCAGAAGGUUUGCAAUCCGAAUAUCCAAAACGGCUUAAGAUCUUCUCACAUAGUGGGAUUGCAAAAGUGUAAUCCCACCCUCAGAAUUUCUUAGUAGCUUGAUGUUCAAGAUAACAUCAACCACUCCCAGGUCUUUCAUUUCAAAGUUAUGAGAUAGAAAAGCCUUGACCUCCUCAAUGACUUUGAGGUGAGUCUCAAAUAUCAGUAUGUCAUCGACAUACAGACAGAGUAUAACUCCUUCGCCCCCACCAUAGCGAUAGUAUACACAUUUGUCAGCUUCGUUGACAACAAAGCCAACAGAUGUCAGAGUAGUGUUGAACUUCUCAUGCCAUUUCUUAGGCGCUUGUUUCAGGCCAUACAAAGAUUUCACUAUCUUGCACACCUUUCUUUCCUGACCAUUUACUACAAAGCCAUCUGGCUAUUGCACAUAAAUUUCCUCGUCGAGCUCUCCGUUAAGGAAAGCCAUCUUAACGUCCAUCUGGUGAACGAGAAGACCAUGCGAGGCAGCCAAAGCGAGUAACACUCGAAUGGUUGUCAGUCUAGCCACAUGUGAAUAAGUGUCGAAGAAAUCCUCUUCUUCUUUCUGGGUAUAACCAUUGGCCACAAGCCUACCCUUGUACUUCUCAACAGUACCAUUGGGCCUAAGCUUCUUCUUGAACACCCACUUACAUCCCAAUGGUUUACAACCAUAAGGACGAUCAGUGAUCUUCCAUGUCCCGUUAGCCAAGAUGGAAUGCAUCUCGCUACGGACCACAUCCUUCCAGUAGUCAGCAUCCGGAGAUGCAUAAGCUUCUGAAAUGGAACUGGGAGUGUCAUCAUCCACGAGGUACACGAGGAAAUCAUCACCAAAAGACUUUGCAGUCCUUUGUCUCUUGCUCCUAACAGGAGCUUCCUCAUCAUCCUCCGUGGAACUCUCAUCACUUUUACGUUCAUAAUAUUCCAUCAGAAUGGCAGGUUCAGGAGUCCCAUCAGAUUCCAGUCUAGAAGUGCUUUGCAUAUCUCUCAUGGGGAAAAUAUCAUCAAAGAAUGUAGCAUCCCUAGACUCCAUGAUUGUACCGACCUUCACGUCGUGUACAUCAGAUUUCACCACUAGAAAUCUAUAGCCAACUCUAUGCUUGGCAUAGCCAAGAAAAACGCAAUCCACAGUCUUUGGUCCCGACUUGCGCUUUUUGGUUAUCGACACGUUGACUUUCGCCAAACAGCCCCAAGUGCGUAAGUAAGAGAGUGUAGUUCUUUUCUUUUCCCAUUGCUCAUAGGGAGUAGUUUCAUUAUCCUUUGUGGGAACUUUAUUCAGGACAUGACAUGAUGUCAAUACAGCCUCCCCCCACCAUGCCUUGGAUAAACCCGAUGUAUCUAACAUGGCGUUAACCAAAUCAGUUAGAGUACGGUUUUUCCGUUCGGCAACCCCGUUUGACUAGGGUGAGUAGGGAGGCGUCCUCUCAUGAAUAAUACCAUGUUCCGCACAGAAUAAAUCAAACUCAUUAGAAAAGUACUCUCCACCACGAUCAGACCGGACCCGUUUUAUUUUCUUCUCAAGUUGCACAUCGCUUGCUGCCUAGGGCCCCUCUCUUUGUUGUAGAUUUCAUCGUUACAGAGUCUGUUAGGCUUUUCUAUGCAAGAAUUAUUAACUUUACUACAACCGUUGUGAGUGAUGGAGUUGAGUUUGCCAUCAACAUUACUACUUGCUUCUUUUACAACUUUGGAGCCGGUACGAAAAACAGUCCUAUAGUGUUUUCCUGAAGAAUGAUCUUUGCUUAAUAUUGUUAAGCUUUAUGCACUAGCCAACGCAACUGUCAAACAUGAUAUGCAAGGCAUUGCUGUUCCGGUCCCACCUGAGUCGAACUAGGUUAGUUAGAGAUAGAGUUAGGCAAUAUUCUUGUAACCUCUUUCAUCUCUAUCUUCUCUCUUUAACUUGGUCCUCAAGAUGUAAUCGCAACAGCAUGUAUGCUUAUCUCAGGGAUACUCCCCUGCCUAUAUAACACGAAACCGUCGCCUCCAACGAGCUACGACGUUCAUCGCUACUUUACAUGGUAUACAGAGCCUCCUCUAUCCACUACAUCAAGAAAACAACCCAUCCCCUUCGCCAGCCAUGUCGUCCUCCUCAAGCAUCGGCCAGUCCUCCCUUCCUGGGCAGGUCACAUAGAAGCUCACCCGCACCAACUACGUGUUGUGGCGUGCGCGGGUGACACCGCAGCUGAGGGGAGCUGGUUUUUCGGCUACGUCGACCAGAUCAUGCCGGAGCCCGCCAAGUUCCUCACCACGAAGGACAAGGACGGGAAAGAUGAACAGACGCCGAAUCCUCUUCACGCGAUCUGGUUCAAGGAAGGACAGGAGGUACUUGGUUACUUGCUAAACAAUCUCACCAAGGAAGUCCUCGUGCAGGUCACAUCCAUAGCUACGCCGCAUGAACUCUGGGCUGCCCUUGCGCAUAUGUUCUCGUCGCAGUCCAGAGCCCGCAUCAACAACAUCCGCGCCACACUCUCCACGGUGCAGAAGGGCACGCAAACGGUGGCGGCGUACUUUGCUCACAUGCGAUCUCUCGCAGAUGAGCUUGCGGCCGCGGGAAAGCCGAUCGACGACAAUGAACUAGCUUCCUACAUCACUGCCGGCCUCGACAUGGAGUACCAGCCUCUCAUCUCCGCCAACGAUGCCCGCACCACGCCCAUCAGCCUCGACGAUCUCUUCGCUCAGAUGAGCAGCUUUGACCAGCGCCUUGCCCUCUACAAUGGGGCAGGUUCUGGUGGAGGCUUCAAGUCUUCUGCCAAUGCGGCUGUCCGUGGCCGUGGAGGUGGUGGCUCUCGCUACCGUGGGCGCAACAAGGGCAAGCCAUCGGGCGGAGGCAAUAGCAGCGGCGGCAACUCCUUCAACAACGGCGGCGGAGGCGGGCGGCCCUUCUACAACAGCAUCAGGGGUCGCUGCAACUCCUCUGGCAAGCCUCGCGCGGGCUCCGACGUCACGCGCUGCCAAAUUUGUGGCAAGCCAGGCCACACAGCAAAGGAUUGCUGGUACCGUUUUGAGGAAGAUGAGGAAUCUUCCCAAGAUGAGAAAGUUGCAGCAGCAGCAGACGGCUCCUACGGAGUCGAUACCAAUUGGUAUGCGGAUAGCGGCGCGACAAACCACAUUACAGGCGAGCUGGAGAAGGUGACCGUGCGUGAGAAGUACCGUGGACAGGACCAAGUUCACGUUGCAAAUGGAGAAGGUAUGAGAAUUAGUCAUAUUGGUAAUUCAAUAUUUAAAACUCCCCAUAGAAAAAUCCAUCUCAGAAGAAUCUUGCAUAUCCCUAGUGCCUCGAAAAAUCUCCUUUCCGUCCAUCGCAUUGCCCUUGAUAACAAUGUCUUCCUUGAAUUUCACCCGUUUUUCUUUUUGAUCAAGGAUCAGGUCAUGAAGAAAAUCCUAUAUCGAGGUAGAUGCGUUCGAGGACUUUAUUCGUUGAUUCCGGAGCUUAGGAGACUGAAUAAACAAGCCUAUGGUGUCACCAAAGUCUCGUCAACAUGGUGGCAUGAUAGAUUAGGGCAUGCUUCUUUUUCUUUGAUCAAUCAAGUGCUUAGGAAAAAUAAACUCCCAUUUGUUGGUGAGCGUAGUAGUGAAACAAUUUGUGAUUCAUGUCAACGUGCUAAAAGUCAUCAAUUGCCUUACCCUGUGUCUACGAGUGUUUCUACCAAACCUCUCCAACUUAUUUUUUCUGAUGUUUGGGGGCCUGCCCCUACCUCUGUUGGAAGACACUCUUAUUAUGUUAGCUUUAUCGAUGACUAUAGCAAAUACACAUGGAUCUAUCUUCUUAAGAAACGAUCCGAUGUGUUUCAAGUGUUUCACAACUUUCAAGCACUUGUAGAAAGAAAAUUUGAUUGCAAAAUUCUAGCUCUCCAAUCUGAUUGGGGAGGAGAAUACAGAAAUCUAAACUCAUUCUUCCAACAAAUUGGCAUAUCUCACCAUGUGUCUUGUCCUCAUGCUCAUCAGCAGAAUGGUUCUGCUGAGCGUAAGCAUAGGCACAUAGUUGAAGUGGGUCUUGCCUUGCUUGCUGCUGCAUCCAUGCCACUAAAGUUCUGGAAUGAAGCGUUUCUUACCGCCGUUCAUCUUAUUAACAUAUUGCCUAAUCGGGUCAUCAACAAUGAAACUCGGUAGAACGCUUGCUUCACACCAAACCUGACUAUACUUCCCUAAGAGUAUUCGGGUGUGCUUGUUGGCCUAAUCUUCGCCCAUACAACAAUCGCAAGCUCAUGUUUAGAUCAAAACAAUGUGUUUUUCUGGGUUACAGUCCACAACACAAAGGUGUAAAAUGCCUGGAUGUGUCCACCGGACGUGUAUACAUCUCCCGUGACAUUGUGUUUGAUGAAACUGUUUUUCCCUUUGCACAUCUACAUCCAAAUGCCGGUGCGCUUCUUCAAAAAGAGAUCCUUCUUUUACCAUCUCACCUCACCGGCGUUGCCCAUGGGGACGAAUUAAAUACUGAUGAUCCAUUAUUGACUAAUCCUCUUACUAAUGGUGCACAUGAGUAUUGUGAUGAUACAGAAAAAAACGGUGCAGAAAACGCUGAAGAAAUUGAUCAAAUUCAGCAUUUUAUGUGUCCUGGACGUAGCAGCAGCAGUACAGAGGCGAAUCAGCCUCGGGAUCGCGGCGUGGCAGCCUCAGGAUCCGCUCCCUACGGGUCUGUCCUGCAAUCUCCCGCGGGAUCCGCGCCAGGUGCAGCAGCGCGAUCCGCUCCGGGACUUGCGCCGCGUCACGACACCAACAGCGGCUUGGUGGAUGGCGGCUCGGUGCGCUCCUCCGCUCCGCACAAAUCGUCGCCUGCCGCAUGGCCUGGGCGAUUCGGCACCGACCCACGCUGCUACGUGCGGCGUGCAUCAAGACACGGCACGGAAACCCGUCCGGAUCCGGCUGGGGCCGCGCCAUCAUCUGCUCAUCAUGAGCCUGCGGCGGAUGGUGGGGCUGGUGCGGGAUCCUCUGCGGGUUCCCUCACGCUCAUCGCCUGCUACAACUACCGCUGCAGCCACAGAAGGUCACACCGUGUCGCACCAGCCCGACAGCUCGCCAUCGGGAUCCACGACCGAUCCUGCUGGGAGAUCUCCUGUGCAGCUAGCGGGAUCUUCUGCGCCAAAUUCUUCACCGCUACGGACAAGGCUUCAAAGGGGAGUAACUCAACCCAAAAAUUAUAAAAGCAUAGUAAAAUUUGGUCUUGCUUGUACCGCAGAUGAACCAGCUACUAUUGUUGAAGCCUUGAGUGAUGCACGGUGGAAGAAGGCUAUGCAAGAGGAGUACAUGGCGCUUCAGAAAAAUAAAACUUGGCAUCUCGUUCCUGCUUGUCAAGGUAAAAACGUUAUUGAUUGCAAGUGGGUCUACAGAAUUAAGAGAAAAUCUGAUGGAACCAUAGAUCGCUAUAAAGCUAGACUCGUUGCAAAGGGCUUCAAGCAACGGUAUGGCAUAGACUAUGAAGACACCUUCAGUCCUGUUGUGAAGGCUGCUACUAUUUGUCUUGUCUUGUCUAUUGCUGUAUCUAGGGGAUGGAGUCUACGUCAACUUGAUGUACAAAAUGCGUUUCUUCAUGGCAUUCUGGAAGAGGAAGUGUUCAUGCGACAACCUCCUGGGUUUGAGGAUAAAAACAAACCCCUCCAUGUGUGCAAGCUUGAUAAGGCUUUGUAUGGACUCAAGCAAGCUCCUAGGGCAUGGUAUUCCAGAUUGAGCUCAAAACUUCAAACACUUGGGUUUACUCCUUCUAGAUCUGACACCUCAUUGUUCAUCUAUAAUAAGUCAAAUACCUCCAUAUUUGUUCUAAUAUAUGUUGAUGAUAUUAUCGUCACAAGUUCAUCAAAUGAGGCUGUUACCGGACUGCUGAAGGAUUUAAACUCUGAGUUUGCUCUUAAGGAUCUAGGAGACUUGCAUUAUUUUCUUGGGAUUGAAGUUAAGAAGAAUGGAGAUAGUCUUCACUUAUCUCAAGAGAAGUAUGCAACUGAUCUUGUAGCCAGAGCAAGAUUGCGAGGUUGUAAGCCAGCUCCAACACCUUUAUCCAGUACAGAAAAGUUAUCAUUGUCAGAAGGAGAUCUCUUGAAUCAAGAGGAUAGCACCAGGUACAAAAGUAUGGUUGGUGCGCUAUAGUACUUAACUCUGACUAGACCUGAUAUCUCUUUUGCUGUCAAUAAAGUAUGUCAAUUUCUUCAUGCACCCACUACAGUACAUUUGACAGCUGCAAAACGCAUACUUAGAUAUGUUAAAGAUACCUUGAGCCUUGGGUUAACUUUCAGCAAGUCAUCAUCAACUCUUGUCAGUGCAUUCUGUGAUUCUGACUGGGCAGGUUGUCUGGAUGAUAGGCGCUCAACAGGUGGUUUUGCAGUCUUCUUUGGUCCUAACCUAAUCUCUUGGUGUGCAAAGAAAUAAGCUACUGUAUCCAGGUCUAGUACAGAAGCAGAAUACAAAGCGCUAGCUAAUGCCACGGCAGAAAUCAUUUGGGUUCAGUCCUUGUUGAGAGAGCUUGACAUACGUUGCAAGCAAGCUCCGUGUUUAUGGUGUGACAAUCUUGGUGCCACAUAUCUUUCCGCUAAUCCUAUCUUUCAUGCAAGACCAAACACAUCGAGAUUGAUUUCCACUUUGUCAGAGAAAGAGUUGCUGCCAAGAAGUUGGACAUUCAGUUUAUUCACUCUCAAGAUCAAGUUGCAGAUGGUUUUACCAAAGCCUUACCUACAAGAAGUUUCGAAGAGUUCAAACGUAAUCUCAACUUGACCAAGUUGUGAUUAUGGGAGGGUGUCAAACAUGAUAUGCAAGGCGUUGCUGUUCCGGUCCCACCUGAGCCGAACUAGGUUAGUUAGAGAUAGAGUUAGGCAAUAUUCUUGUAACCUCUUUCAUCUCUAUCUUCUCUCUUUAACUUGGUCCUCAAGAUGUAAUCGCAACAGCAUGUAUGCUUAUCUCAGGGAUACGCCCCUGCCUAUAUAACACGAAACCGUCGCCUCCAACGAGGUACAGCGUUCAUCGCUACUUUACAGCAACCAAAAGUCCGAACUAAUGGAAAAGGCUAGUCAAUCCACAUAUACACUUCGACAAAUAUGACAUCUUCAUUUCCUAAUCUUGAGUCCUGAUGUCCAAUUUGAACAUUAGUACACACUUCUUUGAAUUGAGACUAACAACAUGUUCGUAGACAGACAAGGCAUCAAUCCUAGAAAAGCUUCUUCUGUAUCCAGAUGCAUGAGCCUCUAUCUUUCGAACCUCAUCAAAUGAGAAAAGCUGAAAGAAUAACACUUCAGUCCAUCACUAAAAUGACAAGUAGUUCCAGCAUAUGCACACCCAAAACACGUAUAAAGACAUUGUGAUUCACCUUAAUAGGGCGGUAGACUUCAUAUGAUGCUCCAGGGUAACAGAUCAUCUUCAGAGCUGUUGCAAAAUGGAUUAAAACCCAACUCUUAGUGUCAAUUUCAGAUGUAAUCAUGAAGUCCUUUAGAAGAAGGCGGAAGAACUUCAAAUACUCCUUUUCACAUAAUUCGGUAUCAUGCAAGAGAUAAGCUGACUGCUUAAGAGACGUGUCAUCAACCUGAAAGGAGCAUUUCUUCAUCACUGAAAGAAAGAUGAAGGCCAAAAAUUCUAAUGCAGAGGUCGGUUGUGUGCUCAAAGAAAGAUGAAUAAAACAAAUUGAGGUUCUCAGAUGUUAAUUUCUAAUAGAGGCCGGUUGUGUGCUCAAAGAAAGAUGAAUAAAACAAAUUGAGGUUCUGAGAUGUUAAUUUCUAAUACAGAGGCCGUUGUGUGCUCAUUGUGUUUGUAUCCCCUUGAUGCUCCAUUUUAGCUAAUAAAAUCCACCCUUUAUUAAAAAAAAUUCCAAUACGGUGUGUCUAUGAAAAACUUUCCAAUCAUUGGAAAUAAAGCAUUAUAAGCGUACAAUCAAUCUGAAAGGGCUAAUACUGCAUAAGAAGAGGCGAUUUAUUCAAGCUAGUGCUGGUGGCUGAAAAGAAAAAACAAGAAGAAAGUACUAGCAUUGACCACGGAGAAAUAAAGCAGAUAAUGAAGGACAAGCUGUAAGCUCACCAUCUUAAGGUUGACAUCAAAACCAUGUUCAUGUAAGAAUAAUUCCAAAUCUUUGGUCGGAUCUGUUUGUUGUUGAGGCAAUAAAGCGGGCUUGUUCAUACUGCAAAUUAUCACCUCGCAAUCCGGAACAUCAACGUGAAGACAAGUUAUUCCCUAAAAAGCAAAUGGUGAUCAAUACUGUUCACCCAGAUAGAAGCAACAACAAGCUUACAAAGUUAACACUUACCAAUUUCAUCUCAAUUAUCCGUUUAUAUUCAGAACUUCCCACAACUAGUUUCCUCCCAGAACCACACAGCUUCCUGAGCCUCUUGACCAGGCGACCAUCGAUAACCUCAGUAGAAGGGUUGAUGGGGAUGGGCAUCUGCUCCUUCUUUAUGAACACUAUCAGACGCUGGAAAAUAAACACAGACAGGAUCUAAAAAGCUUAUCAAAUAUAAUGCAAGUGCUUAAAUCAUGAAAUGAGGCAGGUUAAUUUAGUAGCCCUUGCAUCAAUCAUAAAGUAUAGUGUUGCUUAAGUCUUUGUUUGUACAAUUCUCUCAGUGGUGCUCCCAAAACAUUCAUACGUAAAGCUAGAUGUUAGUAUUUUGGAAACAAUCCAUAGUGUCAUUCUUGGUAGGAGUACCAUGCCAGGACUCAUUCAUCCCUAGCUAAUAAGAUGUAACCACUUCAUACAAAUUUAUGCCUAGCAGUGCCCACUUAGGUUCCAACCAGCACUAAUUGAUAUUUUAAGGAUCUAUUAGCAGAUGUCUGGCUAUAAAGACACUGCACCAUGGCACCAAAAUAGAACAUGGUAAUCAGGAAAGACUCCAACCCAGAAAAAUAUUAUGAUCGACCAGCUUGAUUUGAUUUGAAUUGAACGAAUCAGUUCAAUACAAAUAACAACAACUGAGUAGUAAUGACUUAAUGUUAAUAUUCACCCACUCGUUACAGCAAGAAUUGACAAUAAAGACUGGUCAAACAUUACUCUUUUCUAGUUGGCAACAAGAAGCGUAAGGAAAUAUAACAAAACUAGUAAGAAAGAAAAUAGGAGGGCUACUAACAAGCUGUGGCAAGCAUGCCCAGAAGUCCUGUGGAAAAAACAGACAGAUAUCAAUCAGAUGAUCUUGAUCUCUUCUUUGAUGACAUUAUGACAAAGAAAAACUAAGUAGCGUCCGCAACGAAAAAACAAGUACCUCCACUGAAUCGUUGAGGUAACUCCCAUCAAAACAGAAAAUUGCGAUCCCAGACGGUGCUUGGUAUAACAGCAUAGCCAAUGCAUCAUUAACCUUAACUGACUGCAUGGGAUUCUUCAGACUGCGAAUUAUCACCUCACAAUCCGGAACCUUAACAUACAAACAGUUUAUUGCCUGAAAAAGCAAAUGGUGAUCAAUGAUACUGUUCACCAGACAGAACCAACAAGAAAACUCACAGAGUUUUACUAACCAGUUUCUUUCGAAUUAUUCUUUCAUAUUCAGAACUUCCCACAAGUAAUUUCUUCUCAGAACCACACAGCUCGGUGAGCCUCGUGCCCAGGCAACCGUCAAUAGCCUCAUUAACAAGGUCAAUGGGGGUGGGGACCUUCUCAUACUUUAUGGAUAGUUUCAGACUCUGGAAAUAAACAUAGCAGGGAUCUAAAAAGCUUGUCGAAUAUAAUGCAACGUCUAAAUCAUGAAAGGAAGCAAGAGGUAGCUUAGUAGCCCUGCAUAAUUCAUAUAGUACAGUGUUGUUUAAGUCUUUGUGUGUACAAUUGUCUCGGUGGUGCUCCCAAAACGUUCAUACGAAAGUACUCCCUCCGUCCCAAAAUAAGUGUCUCAACUUUGUACUAACUUUAAUACAAAUUUGUACUAAGGUUGAGACAGAUAUUUCGGGACAGAGGGAGUAGUAUUUUAGGAACAAUCCAUAGUGUCAUUCCAGGUAGGAGUACCAUGCCAGGGGUCAUUCACCCCUAGCUAGGAAUAUGUAACCACUUCUUAGAUAUUUGUGAGUAGCAGUACCCACCUAGGUUUCAGCCAGCGUUAAUUGAUCUCUGAAAGAUCUAUUAGCAGAUGUUUGGCCAUUGAAGACAGUGCACCACCAAAAUAGAACAUGGCAGUGAGGAAAGACUCCAGCCCAGAUAAAAAAAUGGUCGACCAGCUUGAUUCAAUUUGAAAUCAGUUCAAGAACAAAUAACAACUACCGAGAAAUGAGUUAACGUUCACUAUAUUCCAACCACUUGUUGCAACAAAGUUGACAAUAAAGACUGGUGAAACGUCUAAGUGAAUUUUGUAAGGCAUUGCUACUUUUUUUUUCGAACCGGGCUUUUCCCCUUUCCAUUACUUUCAUAACGGAAAUACAGUGUCUCAGGAACUGAAACCAGCAAGACUAGAAAGAAAGAGCAAAAGCGAGUUCGGGGCAACAUCAGGAAACCCACUAUCUGCGCCUGUCAACAGGAACAACAGAUCAUGGGGCGAAAACCUGAUGUCACCCAAAACCGCGCUAACACACCUACGGAAAGUAUCACAAGUCUUACAGAUAACACCAUCAGACGCCAGGCCACAACCGCCAUAACAUCAAAGAUCCAAAAGAACUACCAUAACCCUCCUACCAAGGUAAAAAUGGCACCACCCAGGUCACCCAGCCUGGCUCCCAGGAUGCAUCAACGUCUCUCCUUCUGCAGAACAAACACGCCAGCAGCUUACUCAACAGGGAGCAGUAGCGCCUUCUUCCUUAGUUCUCAUCACGCCCAUCUUUAGUUGGACCUGGUGGACCGCAAAGCAGCAUCAUCUGCGAAGUGUUCUCUCUCAGCAUCUCCGCUCCUUUCUUCACCAUCUCUCCCAUCUCUGCUUUCUGGAGACCUGCCCAGUUUACCAAAAAAGCACAAGCUGUGAAAACAAUCUCAAAUGGAGAGUUAAUCCAUUUGAGCUCAAAAGUGGCUCGGUUCCUGGCCAACCAAAUAGCCCAACAUAUAGCAGCCAAGCCAAUAGUGUAAACUUUGUCCAACCCAGGUAAGAAACUGUAUAUCCACGUAUAAUAUUGCUAAAUAGAAUUGGGACAACAAUUAGUUCCAAGCAAGGAACCUACGUUUCUCCACACCACCCUGGAAACAGGGCAUAAAAAGAAUAAGUGCUCAGCUGUUUCUAAUUGAUUACAGAACGAACACCAAGGGGCCCCCGGCCAUAAUCUUUUUUUCAUAUUGUCCCUGGUUAGGAUGGCAUUCUGCGCCAUCUGCCAUAAGAAGAUUUGAAUUUUAAGAGGGAGCUUUGCAUUCCAAAUCCAUUUAAAGUUAGAUCCUGCUAUAUCUUUUUCCAACCAAGUAUACAUGGAUUUAGUGGUAUAACUGCCCGAACUUUCCCAUUUCCAAUAAAUCUCAUCUGGCCCAUCACUAAGUUUAAGAUUUAACACUUCAUUGUUCAUUGCCUCCCAUUGUUUUAACAUCUCAGGGGACAUCCUCCUCCUAAAAGAGGAGAUCUGGUCCAGACAUUUAAAUUGGUCAACAUUACAAUUCUGUUCAUUGCAAGUUUCAAAGAGCAGUGGGAAUCUGUCUUUAAAAGGAAUUUUACCCUCCAGGCUAUCCUGCCAGAGCCUAGCCACAUCUCCCCUAUUCAACUUAAUACCUCUUCCCACCAUAUAUAGGCCUUUCCCUUUCAAAAGCGAUUUCCAGCAAGGUGAGUCACUGGCUUUGUGUUUUACCAUGGCAACCGAAGUUUUCUUAAGGUAUUUAGCCUUAACUAUAUCUUGCCAUAGUCCAUUAUUUUUCUCAAGCUUCCACCACCAUUUCACUAAAAGACUAAUAUUCUGUUUCCUCAAGUCUUUAACACCCAAACCCCCUUUCUUUUUGGAUCGACAUAUACGGCUCCAUUUGACCAUAUGGUAUCCUCUCUUUUUCUUAUUGUCAUGCCAGAAAAACUUCCGCCUGGGUUUGUCCCAUUUUUCCAAGGUAGUCUUGUUCAGAAGAAGAAGGGCAGCCUUGGCGUAGUGGUAAAGCUGCUGCCUUGUGACCAUGAGGUCAUGGGUUCAAGUCCUGGAAACAGCCUCUUACAGAAAUGUAGGGAAAGGCUGCGUACUAUAGACCCAAAGUGGUCGGACCCUUCCCUGGACCCUGCGCAAGCGGGAGCUACAUGCACCAGGUUGCCCUUUAGUCUUGUUCAGAAGAAACAUAGACAUGUACUCCCUCCGUUCCUAAAUACUUGUCUUUCUAGAGAUUUCAACAAGUGACUACAUACGGCGCAAAAUGAGUGAAUCUACACUUUAAAAUAUGUCUACAUACAUCCGUAUGUUGAGCCCAUUUGAAAUGCCUAGAAAGACAAGUAUUUGGGAACGGAGGGAGUAGAAAGUAGGAGUGUGAGAUAGUACAGAAUUCACUUUGAUCAGCCUCCCCCCCAUGGAUAGGAUUUCACUAAUCCAGUUUUCGCAGUUACUGCAUUUCAAGCCAGCGUAACUCACAGGCAUGCCUAGGUAUUUAAUAGGAAAAUUACCUAUCUGGCAGUUAAACAUUUCAGCAUAGUUUUGCAUAGUAGUAUCAUCAGCACAAAUCAAAAAGAUUUCACUUUUCAUAAAAUUGAGUUUUAAUCCAGACAUGACUUCAAAGAAAUAUAACAGCAGCUUAAUAUUGAGAGCGUUUCUAGGAUUAUCUUCGAAACAUAGGAUCGUGUCAUCCGCAUAUUGCAAGAUAGCCACCCCAUUGGGUACCAAAUCAGAUGUUAAUCCUUUGAACAGGCCAUUUUGCUAAGCCUUUACCACCAUUUUUGUUAAGCAGUCAGCGGCUAAGUUAAAGAGAAAAGGUGAGAAGGGGUCACCCUGGCGCACCCCUUUCGAGCUUUGAAAAUAGGGUCCAAUUUCGUCAUUCAAUUUCACACUUACUGUACCUCCUACCAGGAUCUUCCUAACCCAUUCAAUCCAUUGUGGAUGGAACUCCCUCAUCUUAUGACAGUUUAACAAGAAAUCCCAGUUAACUUUGUCAUAGGCUUUUUCGAAGUCUAGUUUCAACACUAUCCCUGACUUUUUCUUACUGUAAGUAUGAUGGAGAAUCUCAUGUAAAGACAUGAUUCCAUCCAUUAUGUCUCUUUUUUUGAUAAAAGAAUUUUGAUGCCUACUAAAUAGGAUAUCCACAAAAGGCUCCAGUCUAAUCGUAAGCACCUUAGUGAUGAGUUUAUAAAUGCAUCUCAGCAAGCAUAUGGGUCGAAACUGCUGAAUUUUAUUCGCUCCUACCACUUUGGGUAGUAAAGUAAUUAUCCCAUAGUUCAAACGUUGUACAUCUAGUUUGUUGUCAUGAAACCACUCAAACAAGAGUAGCACUUCAUUUUUUACUAUGUCCCAACAAUGUUGAAAGAAUUCAAUGGGCAUAUUGUCUGGACCUGGUGCUUUAUUUUUCUUCAUAAAGAAAAGAGCAUUUUUUAUUUCUGUUUCAGAGAAAGGUCUAGUAAGAAUAAAGUUGUCAAUAUUUGGCAGUUUUUCAUUUGGUUCCCACAUAUUUUCCUUAAGUUUGCAUAGAUUUCCAGCCGCAGGCCCAAAAAGUUCUUUAUAAAACUCAGUUGCAUGUUUCAGCAAGUUUCUAGUUCCCUCAAUUAUCUCAUCUCCACAGCUAAGUGAGAAAAUAGUAUUUCUCCUUCUUCUCCCAUUUACAAUUCUAUGAAAGUAUUCAGUAUUUCUAUCCCCUUUCAACAGCCAAUUUUCAUGAGAUUUUUGCAUCCAUGCAAUCUCUUCUUCCACCAAUAGAUCAUAAAGUUUUGCCAAAAUAUCCACUUUCUUGCAGUAUAAUUCGGGAGAAAGCACAUCAGUUUCUUCUAAUUUUUCUAGAUGUUCAAGUUCCUCUCUAAGGUCUCUCCUUCUCUUUUUAGAUUUCCCAAACAAGUUGGAUCCCCACCCUUUGAAGAAUUUUUUGAAUCUCUUCAUUUUGAUGUUUAACACAUCAAUGGGAUCAACUGCAUUUACAGGUUUCAUCCAUACCUUAGCAACUAAGGGAAUAAACUCAGGGUUUCUGAGCCAAUUAAGAUCAAAUCUGAAUUCUCUUUUAUGACUUGUGUUAGGAGUGCAGUCUUCUGUAUUCAGGAUCAAAGGACUAUGAUCUGAAAUCUCUUUGGUCAGUUUCCUGACAAAAGUCAAAGGGAAUUGCCUUUCCCAAGAACUGGACAUAAGUAUAAGGUCCAACUUUUCAAGGGUAGGGUUCUGUUGAUUAUUAGACCAAGUGUAUAUACCUCCAUUCAUGUCAAUUUCCCUGAGACAGAAUGUGUUAAUGAUGGAAUUAAAGAGAUCAGUAGCAUGACUCAUCCUGGUCUUCUUAUUUUUUCCCUUAGCAUAUCUAAGCAUAUCUAAGGGCGAGUUAUAUUGCCACACAUGUCAAAUAACUCAGUCAAAAAUUCCAUCUUAUACUCUUCAUGAGCAGAUCCAUAUACUACCAGUAUACAAUACAACAUUUUUUUUCCUCUUAUACCAUAAUUCCAGUUUCAUGAUAUAUUUGCCUGUCUCAUAUGAUCUCACCUCAAAGGUAUCCUCCUUAGUACCACACAGAAUUCCUCCAGACUUGCCUAGUGAAGGGAUCCAUCUCCAAUCAAAAUACUGUCCAGGAUCAAUUUUCCUCAAGAAUUUAGAGGAAAAAUCCUUUUUCAUUGUUUCCUGAAUGCCAAUAAAAUCUAGGCAGUAGUCUCUAAUUAGGUCAGAUAAGCAAGUUGCCAUACCUCUCUUUCCCACUCCCCUACAAUUCCAGAAGAGGCUAAUCAUUUUUUCUUGCAUUUGGGGGACUGUCCUUUGUUGCUAGGUUUACCAGGGAGCAUGGUCGAACCAGCAUCAAAGGACAUUUUGUUUUUUUUGACUUCUAGUCACAGGUUUAGAUAUUACCACAUUCACCUUCUUCUUAUCCCUUCUUCUAGAUCUAACAACAGUAAACUCCUCUUCAUCCACCUCCCCAUCUCUAACCCAGUUUGUAUUAAGGGGGCAUUUGUCCCCAGUUUGUAUUAAGGCAUUGCUACUCUGUUCUAGUUUGCAACAAAGUAAGGAAAUAUGACAAAAAUAAUGGGAGGGUUACUAACAAGCGGUGGCAAGCAUGCCCAGAAGUCCUGCAGAUAAAAUAGAGAGAAACAGAUUAGUAGAUGGUAUUGAAUUUUUCAUUGAUGACAGAGAUAAAAACUAAGGAGUGUGAGCAACUAUAAAUAAAACAGUACCUUGACUGGAUCGUUGAGGUAGCCCCCAUCAAAAGAGAAAACUGUGAUGCCAGAGGGUGCUUGGUACAGCAGCAUAGCCGAUGCAUCAUUCAUCUUUCUUUCUGUCAUUAGGGAUGAUGCAUCACUAAUCUUAAUGUCUCCUGCCGAGAAACGAAACAAACGUAAUCAGAUGGGAUUACAUGAACUCCCACACAGCCCCUCAAUCUAUCACGAAUAAGCCUCUUUCUAGGCGAAAAGAUCGUCUCCUAUCAUUCAUACGACGGAAUGAAUCACCAAACAAAAUCAGUGUGAUUUAGCUGCUUACUUGUGACAAUUUCUGGUUGAUGUGUUGACGAAUCUGGCAGGGGUGAGGGGGCGGCGUCGAGGCUCUCUAGGGUUUCAUUUCUUACUGUAUUUCUUAUCUCAUGGCUCCAGAUUUCUGAGAGAGAGAAGGGUGACUCACCUGCGUUGAAGGGCGUCGCCGAGGCCAAAUGCCGGCGGCGGUGUCGUCGUCGCUCGUGCGAGAGACAUGGGCCGUGCUUCUAAGGCGGCCUCCGGGCACAGAUUCUGGAAAACCCUAUUUGCCGCUCCUUGCGGCAAAAUGUCGGGAGAACGCAUAGGGGAUCGAGCGGUCGUUCCAGGUGGGCCGGCCCGUUAAGUGUUUUCAGUAUUGCCGCUUUUAGGAAACUUCUAGGAUGUUCCAGCCGAUUCUUUUUUAUUUUAGGAACCUUCCAGCAGGUUCCUGAACCGGUUUUUUUUCAUUUUCCGUUUCUUUUUCGUUUUUCCGUUUUUCUUUGUUGUUUUUCUUCUUCUUUUUGUUUUUAGUUAUUUCUGUUUCUUUUUUUAUUUCUUCAUUUUUUUCUGUUUGUUAUCUUUCUUUGGUUUGUUAUUUUAUUUUCUCCUUUUUUUCAAAACAAAUUCAAAAUAUUCAAAUUUUGUUUGUGUUUCCAUAAAAUGUUCAGUUUUGGAAAAAUGGUUCUCAAAAUUCAAAAUUGUUCUUGUCACAUAAAAAAGUUCAAAACUUUUGAAAUUCAGAUAAUGUACCGGAUUUCAAUUUUUUGUUCACAUUUUCAAAAUAUGUUCACCCUUCCAAAUGUAUUCGGGAUUUUUCAAAAAAAAGUUCUCUGUUUCAAAAUUUAUUCUCAAUAUUCAAAACAUGUUCGUGCUUUUAAAAACUGUUCGGGCUUCCAAAUUUGUUCCCCGUUUCAAAAUUUGUUCUCAAUAUUCAAAAAAAGUUCAUGCUUUUAAAAAUUGUUCGUGCUUCAAAAUUUGUUCUCUGUUUCAAAAUUUGUUCUCAAGAUUCAAAAAAAUGUUCGUGCUUCCAAAUUUUUUUUCUGUAUCAAAAAAUUCCGUAAAUUUAAAAAAUGUUCGGGGAUUUUUAUAAAACUUCUCGUUUUCCAAAUUUGUUCGUAAUUUCAAAAACUAUUUGACUUUUCAGAAUAUGUUCUCUGUUUGUUUUUCCUUUUGGUUUUUCUUUCCUUUUUUUGUUGUCAUUUUUCAUGUUUCUUUUGUUUGAAAUUUUCAAAUAUUUGUUCUCAAUAUUAAAAAAAUGUUCUCAUAUUCAAAAUUUAGAAAAAUGUUCUGGAAUUUUAAAAUUUCCAGUAUUUGAAAAAAUGUUAUAUUUUUUAAAAUAUAUUCACGAUUUCAAAAAUAUAUUUUAUGGAUUUCAAAUGAAUAUUUCAUUUUCGUCUUUAAAAAAAUGCACUAGCUACAUUACUACUACAAUACCUAUAGCUAGUCCUGGCCAUGGGCCGCCCGGCCCGGACAACCCGGCCUGACCCGGCCCGACGCUGCUCCCGGGCCGGGCCUGGGCCUAGGUUUUGAGCCCAAAGACUAGGUCGGGCCGGGCCUGGGCCCGCUGUUUAUGCCAUUUACUAAAGAGGCCCGGCCCGAGGCCCGAGGCCCGACGUGUUUUUUGCUGUGAUGGGCCGGGCUCGGGACUGAAAACUAGGCCCGACGGCCGGGCCGGGCCGGGCUCGGGCCUGAGUUUUCUACCUCGGGCUUGGUCAGGCCCGGCCCGAAGCCUGGCCCGGCCCGGAGGAUGGCCAGGUCUACCUACAGCAUGUCUGUCACCAAAGUUCGAUUGGUUUGUUGGCUAGCGUUGCGCCCACUAUAGCGGGAGAUCCAGCUUUCGGUUCCUGGUAAGCGCGUGUGUUUUUCCAUUUUUGUAUUUUCAAUUACGCGAUACACUUCACCGACUGGGCCGGCCCAGGUCAGACUCCUUCUGUGCGUUUGCUCGACUCCUUGCCGCAGCGAGCGGCAGCUAGGAGCUCCCACGGCCGGCACGCGAACGGAAAGGGUGCACCUAUAUCUGCCAAAUUCGGAAAACCCUAUUGAACGCUCGCUGCGGUAAAGUAUCGGACGAUCGCACAGAGCAGUCCAGCGACAAAACAUGGGCCGGCCCACUUCCAAAUGCACACAGUCCGUCCAAACGGUUUUGGAAACCUUCUAGAAGGGUUCCUAAACCGGGUUUUUUUGUUAUUUUGAUUCUUUUCUGGUUUUUCUGGCUUUCUAUUAUUUUUUUCUUUUCCCAUUUUUCUUUUUUCUUUUUUCUGCUCCUGUUUCUUUUUAUUUUUCUCUUUCUUAUUUUCAGGUUUAUUUUCCUUUUUCAAAAAGUGUCCAGAAUUUUCAAAAUUGAUUACAUUUUUCAAAUUUUUGUUACAAACAUAUGAAAAUGUUUCCUCUUUUCAAAUUUUGUUUCAAAUGCACAAAAUUCGAAAAAGAUGAGAAUCUCAAUAAUUGUUUGCAUUUUCAAAAUUUGUUCAGAAAUUUCAAAAAAUGUUCUAAGUUGCAAAUUUUGUUUUUUUUUCAAAAAUUGUUCGGAAUCUUACUUUUGUUCUGAAACUUUUUUUGGAAUGUUUCUUUUUGUUCUCAUUUUUUUUCAAAUUUUGUUCAUGUUGUUCGUGUUUUCAAAAUUUUGGAGUUCAAAAAUUGUUCGGAAUGUUAAUUUUUGUUCUCAUUGUUGUUCGCGUUUUAAAAAUUGUUCGGAAUCUUUUUUUUUUCUUAAAAUUUGUUCAGAAUGUUAAUUUUUGUUCUCAUUUUUUCAACUUUUGUUCAUGUUGUUCAUGUUUUCAAAAGUUUAGAGUUCAAAAUUUGUUUGGAAUGUUAAUUUUUGUUCUCAUUUUUACAAAUUUUAUUCAUUUUUACUGAAAAUGUUCCUGUUUUUCAAAUUUUGUUCAUAAAUUUCAAAAAUUGUUCGCUCAUUUAAUAAAAUGUUCAAUAAUUCACAAAAUGCUCAACUUUUUAAAUUAUGUUGCCACACCAAAAAUUGUUUUUUUCAGGAAAAAAUUCACAUUUUCUAAAAAACAAUAUGGAAAUUUAAAAAAUGUUCACAUGUUUAAAUUUUGUUAUAAAUAAAAAAUGUACGGGAAUUACCACAGUGGCUAUGGCUAGCGUCCGUGGCAUGAGGAGAAGAGUUCGAUUUGUUUCCCACAAAUUUCAUUUAUAUGGAAUUUGGUGAACUUGUUUUAUUUUCACGGCUGCCUAUAGUUCUUUAAGUUUCGCGUUGCAAUUCUUACAUUGUAGAGCGCGUGUUGCAGUGGCUUGUGCAUCACGGGCAUCUAUAGAAGGUCGUGAGUUUGAUUUCUACGUAGCGCGUCUCUUUUUUGCUAUUUUUCAUUCCGCAAGGGCAGCGAAUGGCGGGCCCAGGUGACCCGUCUCCUGUGCAAACCUGCAGCAUUUUGCCACAGUAAGCGGCACAUAGGAGGUCUCGCAAAAUCCUAUACGGCACCCUCAGCGCCCGAUAUAGGGUUAACUAGCACAAAUGCCUGUAUGUUGCAACAGGAGAAACAAACUCACGCACAGACCUAGCGAGUCAUCUUCGUUGCCAUUUCUCCCAUGUCAUCAUGACGGUGGUCACUUGCCCACCUAUUACAACAAAUAUCAUCAAUCCCAAGGCGGCGAGUUUGGUCAUCACACUCUACCAUGCCGAUUUUAGAAACCUCUCCCUACACUGGCUUGUAGUUCCUUGUGCGUCACAUACAUCUUCAAGUGCUUCAACACAAAUGUCUUAAACAAAUCAGCCGAUGCAUAUCCUUCUUAGCGCACACAAUAAUAAUUAUUAAUGCAAAUUAAGUUAAGUCAGGAGGACAACAAUUACUUGAGUCAACACAAACUGCAUACACUUCACUGUCAACACCGUCCUACUUCUUCAUCUCUAGCAUGAACUUGGGUAUGUUUCCAGCAGCGAACUAUGCGUGCUCUUUAGCCAUGGCUAUCUAAUCAUAGUUUAAAAAACAAACGAGCGACUCACCGGUUGUACCGCCGGCUCAUCGGUUCAUUCAUGACAAAAAAAGAAUAUUUAAGUUAUUCAAAAUUAACCUUAGAUCAAAUGAGUACACAUAAUAUUGGAUGUAAUCCAUUAAAAAAUCACAAAAUGUUUAUGGCCUAGUUGGUUAUUGGUCCUUUAGAGUCCAUGGGCUCAAGGACAACGGUUUGAUCACAAUUUAAUGCACCAUUUUACAAAUAUUUUCUUGAAUUUUUAUGAAGUCUUAAAAAAUAUGCAAAACGUUGGUUCCCAUUGGCUACAAAUCAAUAAUUGUUAACUUAACAUUCACACUGCCCAAAAUAAUUCGUGCUUCAUAUUUCUUCUUUUAAAUUCCUUCCUUUUCUUCCUAAUAACAGAGGUCCGCUUCCAGCAAUCCUUCCUUAAUUGUGCAACUGUUAACCGUUAAUUAUGGGUGCAUUAGCAGCCCACAAAUACCGUAUCCUUUAAAGGACACACAAAUCCAGCCCCAUCAUGAUCCCUCCCUUUAAUCAAGGGGACUCCUCGCCGGCAAUUAAUGCCCAAGGAUAUUUCUCUUUAUUUGCAUGGCAGCCACACAAUCUCAGGGCCAAUUCCUUUCAGUGUCUUCCAAGCAAUUAGAGAACAUAUAUCGGGGUGAUUCAAUAUAAACCCUUCAAGUGGAAUUAAUCACAAAUAGAAGUUAGUUGAGUUGGUUACCGCGGGUUCUUUUGAUAUGAGAGGUGUUGUGUUUGAUUCUCCACUGUGUAAUCUAUAUAUUUACUUGAUAAUAUUACGAAGCCCACUCAUUUUUUACUUGAUUUUCAGGAGCCCACUCGCAGCCCAGUGGAUGCCCGUAUUUGUUUUUUGCUUGGAUGGGCUUCGAUCGCAUACACUGGCCCAGCCAAGUGAUCGUUCAACCCAGAAACAAAAAUGUGAGCAAGCUUGCGCAGCGUCAAAAAAUAGUACCACCUUGGAUAAUAAAAAUCUUCGAGGCGGGACGAAACCAAAAAAUAGUACCACCGGAUAAUAAAAAUCUUCGAGGCGGGACGAAACCAAAAAAAAAUCACCUAAACGGGACGAAACAAAGCGAAACCAAACCAAGAAUACCCAUUCCCUUUAAUAGUAGGUAUAGAUAUAGAUGGUAUGGGGCGCACAACCCCUGUCCAUGCUGGGCCGGCCCAACAGUUUCUGUUUUAAAGAAGCAAAAAAGAACGAGUGCAAGUACCAUUAUUCGAACUGGCGACCGCCUACUUUAAACUUUGCUUCCUUGAAAUAUCGGCCACAUAUGCUUAACGUGUUUAGUUAUAGGCCUUUCCUUCUUUUCUUCUUACUUUUUUGUUGUAAUAGUUUUGUUAUUUUUUCUAUUUUUAUUCAUUUCCAUGUUUGCCUUUUUUCCUAAACUUUUUUAUAAUACAACAAUUUUUUGUUUCAGAUUCGUGAACUCUUUUCUAGUUUGAUGAUUUUUUUAAAAAAAAUCAACAAACUUUUUUUUCAAAUUCGAUGAACUUUUCAAAUUCAAUGAACUUCUUUACAAGUUUGAUGAACUUUUUCUCAAAUUUGAUGAACUUUUUUCGAAUUUGGUGAACUUUUUUCAAAUUUGAUGAACUUUUUUUAAAUUUGAUGAACUUUUUUUAAGUUUGAUGAACUUUUUUUCAAGUUAGAUGAACUUUUUUACAAGCCCGAUGAACUUUUUUCAAAUUUGAUGAACUUUUUUCAAAAUCAAUGAACUUUUUUCAUACACUAUGAUAUUUUUUUUCAAAUUUACGAACUUUUUUGAAAUGACUAGCAAAGGAGCGAACAGCGAUCAGCGAUUUAACAAGCAGCUACCGAGCGAGUUUGCGGAAGCUCCUAUUUGCCGCUCGAUGCGGCAAAUAAGUUCUGUUUCGCACAGGAGGGUGUCCAACUGGGCCGGCCCAUGAAUGUAACAACCGACAGUAUGCUGUAGCUAUAAAAAAUGCAAACGUCACGGGAAUUCGAAACCAAGAACUCUCGCUAAACCUGACGUGGUUCUACCAGUUGAACUAGCAUUCUUUACUCAUUAUACAGCAGUGCCAAGCUUAAAGAACCAACUGCAACGCAGAUCCACAUAAUAUCUUGAAUUUCAAAAGCAUUUUCUAUUGAAAAAACCGAAGGGAUCUGUGAACACAAACAAAUUGCUAAGUUGCAAAUAAAAUACUAAAACUGAAAUAUAUUUUCAAAUAUGGAACAUUUUUUGAAAUUCCAAGAGAAAAUUUGAAAACAUGAACAUAUUUUGAAAAAUGUGAAACCAAGAACAUUUUUUGAAAUUGGUGAACAAAAAAUUGGAAUUGAACAAUUUCGACACUCCUGAAAAAUGAAAACUUGUACAUUUUUGAAAUUUGUGAACAAUUUUUGAAAACAGGAAUAUGUUUUCAACUGCCCGAACAUUUUUUGAAAAUUAUGAACAAAUAAUUGAAACUGAAAAAUUUCGAAACUCCUGAAAAAAUGAAAAUGGGAACAUGUUAUGAACCACCCGAACAUUUUUUGCAAUUUAUGAACAUAAAUUUCAAACUCAAAAAUUAGCCUGUGCACAUUUUUCGAAAUUUCUGAACAUUUUAUUUAAAAUGGGAACUUGUUUUGAACCACCUGAACAUUUUUUUGAAAUUUGUGAACAAAAAUUUGAAACUAAAUAAUUUUGAAACUCCUGAGAAAAUGAGAACAUGCACAUUUUUCGAAAUUUGCAAACAAUUUAUUUAAAGCAGGAACAUUUUUUGAAACUAGAACAGUAUUUUAAAAAUGGAACAUUUCCUGAAUUUAUGACCAAAACUUGAACUCGUGAAAGGUUUUAAAAAUUUGAACAUUUUUCAAAAAUAUGAAAAAGUGAUGAAAGAAAAAAGAAACUCGAAAUAAGAAAGAGAAACAAAAAAAGAAACAGAAAAAAGUAAAUACAAAGAAGAAAAAGAAACAGAAUAAUGAUAAAAAGAAAAAGGAAAAAAUAAAAAAGAAAAACAGAAAUUAAAAGGUAAACCGGUAAAAGAAAAUAAACCGGUUCAAGGAACCUUCUGGAAGAUUCCCAAAACCGGACGAUAGUACAGGAACUGCGUAUGCAUAAUGGGCUGGCCCAUCGUGUCGCUCGGUCGAUUCGCCUGCGCGAAGCGCCGGCAGUUUGACGCAGCGCGUGUCUAAUAUGAUGCAGCGCGUGUCUAAUAGGGUAUUCCGGCGGGGAUUUCCUAUAUGACGCGUUCUGCGUCAAAAUGCUGCCCUUUCGCACAGGCAUGUUAUCGCGGUGCGCCGAUUGGGCCGGCCCAUUGUAGUGCAUGGAAAAUAAUGCAAAAAUUUAUGUGGCGCGAUGGACGGGAAUCGAACAGAAGACUGCGGACUUGUGUGCGCACGCUUCAAGCCACCACGACGAAAGGGCUUACUUGACAAACAUACAGCGGAAAACUAACUAGUACAAAGUUGAGUCAUCUAUUUUGAAACAGAGGGAGUAUAAGAUUUAACACAGUUUGAAAAAAAUCCUUUACAAUUUUCCAAAUUUUAGUUAAAUUUUGAGCGUACGAUUUGUUUUUACAAGAGCAAACAAUUUUAUGAUAUCACGAACAUAUUUUGAAUUUAUGAAAUGUAUUUCGAACACAUGAGCAUUUUCAGAAUAUGUGAACAAUUUUCUAAAGCAAGAACAUUUUCAAAAAUUUGAGAACAAAUUUUGAAACGGAGAACAAUUUCGAAAGUCCUAAAAAAAUAUGGAACACAAACAUUUUUUGAAAACAUGAACAUUCUUAGAAUUUGUGAACAAUUUUCUAAAGAAAGAACAUUUUUAAAAAUUUGAGAACAAAUUUUGAAACGGAGAACAAUUUCGAAAAUCCUGAACAAAAAUGGAAGCACAAAUAUUUCAGAAUUGGUGAAUAAUUUUCUAAAGCAAGAACAUUUUUUAAAAUUUGAGAACAAAUUUUGAAACGGAGAAACAUUUCAAAAAUUCUAAAUAUGGAAGCACAACCAUUUUUUGAAUACAGGAACAUAAAUUUGAAAUCCAGAAACUUUUUUGAAAUCUUUGAACAAAUUUUGCAAAGCACGAAGUUUUUUUAGAGACAACGCAAUCUUUUAUUUGAAAAUAUUCUAGCAUUUGUUGGAAAGGCAAACAAAUUUCAAAUAUUUUGAAAUUUUUUUAUUUUGCAUUUUUUAACAUUUUUUUCCAAAAAUGCUAACAUUUAUAAAAUUUUGAGAGUAAUUAAACUUUGAAUAUUUUUUGGAAAUGUGAACAAAUUUUAAACAUUUUUACUAAAAAAGAAGGACAAAAGGAAAAACAAAUGGAGAAAGAAAUAAAGAAAAAACAAAUAAAAUAAAAUAAAACAAGGAAAAAAGAAAACAAAAAAAAAGAACAAGGAAAAAACCCACGUCAGGAACCUUCUAGUAGAUUCCCAAAACCAGAGAAAACCGGCUGGUAACCUCUAGAAGGUUCCCAAAACCGGGGACGCUGAAAGCUUAAACAGGCUGGCCCAGUCGAGCGAUCGCUGGGUCUCCCCCUGGCGAAACCUCGACAGUAUAACGCAACGUGCGUCCAAUAGGAAAUUCCAUAUAGGCACGCCCUUUCUAUUCGCGCCGGCAAGAAUCUGUGCCCGGAGGCCGCCUUAGAGCAUCUCCAGCCGCGCCCCCCACAUGCCCUCCCCAGGAGCUAAGAAAAUCUUUUGAGAACUAAGGAAAUCUUUACUAUUGUUCUCAAGAUCAGAGGGAAUCUUAUUAUAAUUUCCAUAAGAAUUGUUGUAGAAAUUACCAUAAUUAUUAGAGGAAUUACUAGGAAACGGCCUAGGAUUGAAAUUCUCUCUAUAUGCGUUAUUACCAAAAUUGUGCGUACCAACAAAAUUCACAUCCAUAGAUUCAUUAUUAUUUGCAAUCAAAGAAGACAAAGGCAUAUCAUUAGGAUCAAUAGGAGCACUCUUACUAUCAACCAAUUUUAUAUGUCCAUCCAUCUUUCCACUCAAAACAUUGAUUUCUUCAAUUGCAUGCACUUUUUUACUAGUGGAAGAUCUUUCGGUAUGCCAUUCAGAGUAAUUUGACAUAUUAUUAUCUAGGAGUUUAGUAGCUUCUCCUAAUGUGAUUUCCAUAAAAGUACCACCUGCUGCGGAAUCCAAAAAAUUUCUAGAUGCAAAAUUCAGUCCCGCAUAAAAUGUUUGUAUAAUCAUCCAUAAACUCAAACCAUGCGUGGGGCAAUUUCUUAUCAUCGAUUUCAUCAUCUCCCAAGAUUGUGCAACAUGUUCAUGAUAAACUUGCUUAAAAUUCAUUAUAUCAUUCCUAAGGGAGAUGAUCUUAGCGGGAGGAAAAUACUUGGAAAUAAAAGGCAUAUUUACACUUAUUCCAUGAAUCAAUACUAUUUUUAGGCAAAACUGAAAACUAAGUUUUAGCAUGAUCUCGUAGUGAGAAUGGAAAUAGCUUCAAUUUAACAAUAUCAUUAUCCACAUCUCUUUUCUUUUGCAUAUCACACAACUCAACGAAAGUAUUUAGAUGGGAUGUGACAUCUUCACUAGGAAGGCCAGAGAAUUGAUCUUUCAUAACAAGAUUCAAAAAAGCGGCAUUAAUUUCAUAAGAUUCCGCACUAGUGACAGGGGUGAUCAGAGUACUAAUAAAAUCAUUAUUAUUAGUGUUGGAAAAAUCACACAGAUUAGUAUUCCCUUGAGUCAUCGUGGUUAAUCAAGCAAUCUAGCACACAAACAAACAAAAAGCAAACGAAAAGACGAAGUCAUGAAGGGUGAAUAAAAAAGGCAAAUAUUUUUGUCUUUUUUAAAAAUCAUUUUAGAAGUGGGGGAGAGGAAAACGAGAGGCUAAUGGCGAAUAAUAUAAUGCAAGAGAUGAUAGUUUAUGAUGGGUACUUGGUAGGCUUGAUGUAGAACCUCCCCGCCAAUGGUGCCAGAAAUUCUUCCUGCUACUUGUUGAGCUUGCGUUGAUUUUUCCCUUGAAAAGGAAAGGGUGAUGCAGCAAAGUAGAGAUAAGUAUUUCCCUCAGUAAAGAACCAAGGUAUCAAUCCAGUAGGAGGAACAAACAAUUCUCCAAUCUAUGCACCUGCACAAACUAAGAAACACUUGCACACAACGCAAAAGGGGUUGCCAAUCCCUUCCCGGUCACGAACAAGAGUGAGAUCUAAAAGAGAAAGGUAUAGAAGAUAAAUAAAAGAGCAAACUAAAGUAAAUAUAAAUAAAUUGCAACAAGGUUAUUUUGAGUUUUUUUGGUUUAUAGAUAUGAAAAUAUAUGAUGGAAAAUAGACUUGGGGCCAUAGGUUUCACUAGAGGCUUCUCUCUUGAAAGAAAAUACACGGUGGGUAAACAAAUUACCGUCGAACAAUUGAUAGAAAAGCGAAUAAUUAUGACGAUAGCUAAGGCAAUGAUCAUGAAUAUAGGCAUCAUGUCUGUGACAAGUAGACCGACUCCUGCCUGCCUCUACUACUAUUACUCCACAUAUCGACCGUUAUCCAGCAUGCAUCUAGAGUAUUAACCUCAAGAGAACAGAGUAACACAUUAAGUAAGAUGACAUGAUGUAGAGGGAUAAACUCAAGCAAUAUGAUGAAAACCCCAUCCUUUUAUCCUUGAUGGCAACAAUACAAUACGUGCCUCUCUAGCCCUACUAUGUCACUGGGUGAGGGCACCGCAAGAUUGAACCCAAAACUAAGCACCUCUCCCAUUGCAAGAAAAAACAAUCUAGUUAGCCAAACCAAACCGAUAAUUCAAAGAUAAACACAAAGAUAUCAAAUCAUGCAUAUAAAAAUUCAGAGAAGAUUCAAAUAAUAUUUAUAGAUAAUCUGAUCAUAAAUCCACAAUUCAUCAUAUCUCGAAAAACACACCGCAAAAGAAUAUUACAUCGGAUAGAACUCUAAGAACAUCGAGGAGAACAUUGUAGUGAAGAUCAAAGAGAGAGAAGAAUCCAUCUAGCUACUGGCUAUGGACCCGUAGGGUCUGUGCUAAACUACUCACGCAUCAUCGGAGGGGCAAUAGGGUUGAUGUAGAUGCCCUGCUUGAUCAAAUCCCCCUCUGGCAGAUCAUCGGAAAAGGCCCCAAGAUGGGAUCUCACGGGAGCAGAGGCUUGCGGUGGUGGAAAAGUAUUUUCGUGGAUGCCUCUGAUGGUUUGGAAAUAUAUAGGCCAAAGAUUAGUGUUAGGAGACCUUCAGGGGGCAGAAGCCCAGGGGCGCGCCCCUACGGCUUGUCGUUGCCUCGUGGGUCUUCUAACUUCAUCUCCAAGUCUUGUGGGUGUCUUCUGGUCCAAGAAAGAUCAUCACAAAAGUUUUACUCCGUUUGGGCUCCGUUUGAUAUUACUUUUCUGUAAAACUCAAAACAAGGAAAAAAUAUAAACUAGCACUGGGCUCUAGGUUAAUAAGUCAGUCCCAUAAAUAAUAUAAAAUAGCAUAUUAAUGCAUAUAAAACAUCCAAAACAAAUAAUAUAAUAUCAUGGAACAAUAAAAAAUUAUAGAUACGUUGGAGACGUAUCAGGGGCGCCCCCUGGCUUGUGCCCCCCCCCCCCGGGGAGUCCACCGACCUCCCUCUCAGCUCUAUAAAUUCAAAAAUAUUCCCAAACAACCAGAAGCGUCCACCAAAAUACUUUUCCGCCGAUGUAACCUUCUGUUCCCGUGAGAUCCCAUCUUGGGGCAUUUUUCGACAUCCUGUCGAAGGGGGAUUCGAUCAUGGAGGGUAUCUACAUCAACUCUAUUGCCCUUCCGAUGAAGCGUGAGCAGUUUACCACAGACCUACGGGUCCAUAGCUAGUAGCUAGAUGACUUCUUCUCUCUCUCUUUGAUCUUCAAUACAAUGUUCUCCUCGAUGUUCUUGGAGUUCUAUCCGAUGUAAUCUUCUUUUGAGGUGUGUUUGUCAAGAUCCGAUGAAUUGUGGAUUUAUGAUCAGAUUAUCUAUGAAUAUUAUUUUAAUCUUCUCUGAAUCCUAUAUGCAUGGUUUGAUAUCUUUGCAUUUCUCUUCGAAUUAUCGGUUUGGUUUGGCCAACUAGAUUGGUUCUUCUUGCAAUGCAAUGGGAGAGGUGCUUAGUUUUGGGUUCAAUCUUGCGGUGUCCUCGCCAAGUGACAAAGUAGGGGUAGCGAGGCACGUAUUUGUAUUGUUGCCAUCAAGGGUAAAAAGAUGGGGUUUUCAUCAUAUUGCUUGAGUUUAUCCCUGUACAUCAUGUCAUCUUACUUAAGGCGUUACUCCCUUCUUAUGAACUUAAUACUCUAGAUGCAUGCUGGAUAGCGGUCAAUGUGUGGGGUAAUAGUAGUAGAUGCAGACAGGAAUCGGUCUACUUGACACGGACGUGAUGCCUAUAUUCAUAAUCAUUGCCUUGGAUAUCGUCAUAACUUUGCGCUUUUCUAUCAAUUGCUCGGCAGUAAUUUGUUCACCAUCGUAUUAUUUUCUUUCAAGAGAGAAGCCUCUAGUGAAACCUAUGGCCCCCUGGUCUAUUUUCUAGCAUAUAUUUUCAGAUUAAUAAACCAAAAAACCCAAAAAUACCUUAUUGCAAUUUAUUUCUUUUUUACUUUUUUUACAUUUUAGUAAUCUUUUAUAUCUAUCUCUAUCAGAUCUCACCUUUGCAAGUGACCGUAAAGGGAUUAACAUCCCCUUUAUCGCGUUGGGUGCAAGUGUUAGAUUGUUUGUGCAAGUGCAUAGAUUGGAGACUUGCGUGUACCUCCUACAGGAUUGAUACCUUGGUUCUCAAACAGAGUGAAAUACUUAUCUCUACUUUGCUGCAUUACCCUUUCCUCCUCAAAGGAAAAUCAACCCAAGCUCAAGAAGUAGCAUGGCCCACCCAAAACCCCUCCUCCAUCCUGCGCGCGCUUCCUCCUGGCGCCAGCUACCCGCAUUCACUCCGCUAUAGAGUACGCCUCUCCAUAUUGAAGACGGCCUAGGGCAGACACGACCUCUCACUGCCUCCGCCAUUGAAGCGGUGCGCUGGCUGAGGGCUGGUUGAGGGCGCCGCCCGCUGCACGCCCAGCUGAACACGCCUCCUCGCCGCACUCAAACGCCUACAUUAAAGACGGUGCAAGCCGAGGAACCUACUCCGGCCACACGUUCCUUCACAAGUGGUCCGACAUUAAAUGCAACAUCGAGCAAGGUCCUCCCAUCUGCCCUUAAAUGCGACCAAGAGUUUUUUGUAGGGGGUGUCUGCACUUGCUAGUAGGUCAGUUUUGGUUGGCAAUGGUUUACGUAGAAGGGCUAAGAUGGAGAAUUAUCCUACUACCAGUUUUAGAAAGUGUUGAUCCGUGCUUCUCCGGAUUCAUUGGAAAGUAUACUGGACAACUAUUUUAUAUCGACUCCGGUGGAAUUGAAGGACACGGCUCUAACGCAUUUUUGUGCUGAGAUAUAUCAGUGGGAUGUGACUUACCUUGAUUGCAAGUGCAUGCAUUGGAAUUAUUGCACAUGCUUUGAAAUGUAGCUCCAAAGAAGAUGUUUCAGCUUGGCUUCAACCUCGAAGUGAUUGCAAUACACCCACAUGCCAUUAUAAUAUUCUUUAUAGCUCAUUGGAAGAAUGAACUGGUUGCAUACGAUCUGGAUCAUCAUGAAAGCGCAAUUGUGUAUCACAUUGAGCCUAACAAUAGGAAGUUUAGGACUUUUUUCUCUUAUGUGCCAUUGUCGUCCCGCCUACCACUGGAUGGAGGAAUAUGGCUAGCAACUCCAAAUUGAUGAAUAUUGCUGAUUAAAAAGUGGGUGGUCAACAAUGAGGUGCUCCUUUGCGUUCUCAAGAGUAAUCUUCAUAGAGAUUCAAGUACAAAUAUUAUUGUUUUGGGUUGAAAAAUGCCAACUUCAGUUUUUAGUUCAGUUGGAAAAUGCCAACAAGUAGAGUUGCAUGGGAUACCUUAGUGUUUCUAUUUAGACAUGUACCUGAUAUCUCUAUUAAAUCUUAUGUUCUGAUAUGAAAAGGCACAGUCUCAUAUGUGCACAUUCAAUCUGCAUUGGUCAGUUCUAUCUUGUUGUCUGCACUCCUAAGAUUUACUUGGUGUUUUUUUGCGUGGUUGAUGUUAGAUUCAUAGAAGUUUGCAUAUGUGUGAAGAAUGUAUUGUGAUCAUGUGAUAACCCACAAGUAUAGGGGAUCACAACAGUUAUUGAGGGUAGAGUAUUCAACCCAAAUUUAUUGAUUCGACAUAAUAGAAGCCAAAGAAUAUUCACGAGUAUUAAUAGUUGAGUUGUCAAUUCAACAACACCUGAAAGACUUAAUAUAUGUAGCAAAGUUUUUAGUAGCAAAGUAGUAUGGAAGUAAUGGUAACAGUGGUAACAAUAGCAAUAGCAAUUUUGCAAUGAUUGUAACAGCAGCACGUCAAAAGUAACUUAGCAAAAAUCAAUAUGUGAAAAGCUCGUAGGCAUUGGAUCAAUGAUGGAUAAUUAUGUCAGAUGCCAUUCAUCAUGAAACAUUUAUAACCUAUAGCGACACAGAACUAGCUCCAAUUCAUCAAUUUAAUGUAGGCAUGUAUUACGUAUAUAGUCAUACGUGCUUAUGGAAAAGAACUUGCAUGCCAUCUUUUGUCCUACCCUCCCGUGGCACCAGGGUCCAUAAGGAAACUAAGGGAUAUUAACGCAUCCUUUUAAUAGAGAACCGAAACAAAGCAUUAGCACUUUUUAUAUAAAACAUAAUAGGUUCAGAUCUGAAAUCAUGGCACUCAGGCCCUAGUGACAAGCAUUAAGCAUAGCAAAGUCAUAGCAACAUCAAUCUCAGAACAUAGUCGAUACUAGGGAUCAUGCCCUAACAAAACUAACUCGAUUACAUGAUAAAUCUCAUCCAACCCAUCACUGUCCAGCAAGCCUACGAAGGGAUUACUCACUCCCGGCGGUGAGCAUAAUGAAAUUGGUGAUGGAGGAAGGUUGAUGAUGACGACGACGUCAAUUUCCCCUCUCCGGAGCCCAAAACAGACUCUAGAUCAGCCCUCCUGAUGAAGAACAGGAGGUGGGGGCGGCUCUGUAUCAUGAAACACGAUGAAUCCUUCUCCCUGAUUUUUUUCUUCGUGAAUUUGAAUGUAUGGAGUUGGAGUUAGGGUUUUAGACGGUCCAGGGGGCCCACAAACCUCCAGGGAGCGCCUAGGGGGUAGUCUUGCCCCAGGGCUUGUGGCUCCUGGGUGGCCCCCCUCUGGUAUAUUUUUCGUCCAGUAUUUUUUAUAUAUUCCACAAAAAUACUCCAUAAAUUUUCAGGUCAAUCCGAGAACUUUGAUUUCUGCACAAAAAUAACACCAAGGCAAUUCUGCUGAAAACAACAUUAGUCCGGGUUAGUUCCAUUCAAAUCAUGCAAAUUAGAGUCCAAAACAAGGGCAAAAGAGUUUGAAAAAGUAUAUACGAUGGAGACGUAUCAUCAUGGUAUCUCAAAAGUCUAAGAAAUGUCAAUGUUGAUAAUUCAUAUCCUAGAUGGUUUAUAUUCUGUAUCACAAAAAUGAUCAUAGUCUCCUAAUGGAACUUGGAAUUGUUUCUUGCUCCUUUUUUCUUAUUCUAAUGGCUCUAAAUUAAAACAAUGGCCCAAGUAUCUAGUUUCGUUUUUCCUGUCCUCUUUAGAACUUUCAAUUUAGUUGGUGUGUGAUAAAGUGGUGGAGUGGGCCAGUCCCCUGCCCACAAUUAUGUUUCUAAUCUAUGAGAGGCACUAAUAUCUUCCUCUUGUUCCAUUUCCAAUAGUUUGGGAUAAAAGCAUGUCCCUGAUUUGAAACUUUUUACUCAUUACCAACCAACGAAAUUGAAAACAUUAGCCUUCAUGUGUGGGAUCUUUGUCUCUCUCCAAACCUGAUUGCUUUCUCUAGCAAGUGUGUAAGAUUCUGUGUGGAAAAUCAAAGGUCCUAGUCCUGAUUUCAUGGGCUAAUUAGAGUAGUUGCCUUGCCCACCAGUAUCCAUAGAUGGUGUAAUUUGCAGUAUGCUGAUCACUCCAAGGGCAUAGUUAGCAGAAUAAUGAUAGACUUAUUUUCCAGUAGAUAAGCAUGUCAGGGAUAGUAUGAAACUUUUUUAGCUUGGUGCUUGUUAAGUUUAGCACUUAGCACAUGCAUUUUAGCUAGUGUUAAUGUAACUGUGUUGAUGUUUAGGCUAUUACUUUAUAGACCUUUUUUGUUCUAAACUAUUUCCUUUCAUACUCAUCACUACUUAUUUCUUGGCUUCCUGCCUUAAUUAAUUAAGGCUAGACUACUUAUGUUGCAUCGAUUGGUUAUAUACAACUUUCCGUAAAUAACUUCUAUUGUCAAUAUGUGUAUUCUAAUGAAUAACGUGAAGCAUAUCGCCUGCUAAAACCUUUCUUACCCAUUGAACUAUUCAACUCCCUCUUACUAGUAAUUACCUACACUUAUAUCCCCUCCUUGGACAGAAUUUUGCUAGCUUUGCAACCAAUUCCUUGUAAAUAAUGGAUAUUAGUUUUCAUGUGAAGUUCUUAAAAGUCUUCUGUUUGAGUCAAUUAUUGAUACAUCCAUUUUGCAUCAUGUUUUCCUACUGUUAUUUAUAAUAUUUUUAUGCAUAAUAAUGCUUUUUGGAGUAAUUCUAAUAUCUUUUCUCUCAUAAUAUGCAAGGUUCACACAAAAAGGGAGAAUACUGGCAGCUGGAAUUCUGGGCCUGAGAAAGCUACGUCAGGCCACCUAUUUUGCACAACUCCAAAUGAGCUAAAACUUCACAGGGAUUUUUUAUGGAAUAAAUAGGAAUUAUUGGAGCAAAUAACCACCAGAGGGGGCCCACCAAGUGGGCACAACCCACCCUGGGCGUGUUAGGGAGCCCAGACGUGCCCUGGUGAGUUGUUCCCUCCUUGUCCUACCUCCAGUGCCCAUCUUCUGGUAUAUAAGUCAUUUUGACCUAGAAAAAAAUAGAAGAGGACUCGGGACAAAGCGCCGCCGUCUCAAGGCAAAACUUGGGCAGGAGCACUUUUGCCCUCCGGCAGAGCGAUUCCGCCAGGGGAACUUCCCUCCCGGAGGGGGAAAUCAUCGUCAUCAUCAUCAGCAACAACUCUCCCAUCUUGGGGAGGGAAAUCUCCAUCAACAUCUUCAACAAUGCCAUAUCCUCUCAAACCCUAGUUCAUCUCUUGUGUUCAAUCUUUGUACCGGAACCUUAGAUUGGUGCUUGUGGGUGACUAGUAGUGUUGAUUACAUCUUGUAGUUGAUUAUUGUAUGAAUUAUUUGGUGGAAGAUUAUACGUUCAGAUCCAUUAUGCUAUUUAAUACCCCUCUGAUCGUGAGCAUGAUUAUCAUUUGUGAGUACUUACUUUGGUUCUUGAGGUCACGGGAGAAAUCUUGUUGCAAGUAAUCAUGUGAACUUGAUAUGUGUUUGAUAUUUUGAUGGUAUAUAUGUUGUGAUUCCCUUAGUGGUGUCAUGUGAACACCGACUACAUGACACUUCACCAUACUUGGGACUAAGGGAAUGCAUUGUGGAGUAGUUAUUAGAUGAUGGGUUGCGAUAGUGACAGAAGCUUAAACCCUAGUUUAUGCGCUACUUCGUAAAGGGCUGAUAUGGAUCCAAAAGUUUAAUGCUAUGGUUAGGUUUAUUCUUAAUACUUUUCUCGUAGUUGCGAAUGGUUGCGAGGAGGUUAAUAAUAAGUAGGAGGUUUGUUCAAGUAAGAGUAGCACCUCAGCACCGGUCCCUCGACAUAUCAAAUUAUCAAAGUAGCGAACACGAACCAAACCAACAUGAUGAAAGUGACUAGAUGAAAUUCCCGUGUACCCUCAAGAACACUUUGCUUAUCAUAAGAGACUGUUUUGGCAUGUCCUUUGCCUCAAAAGGAUUGGGAUACCUUGCUGCACUUUUGUUACCGAUACUAUUACUUGCUCGUUACAAAUUAUCUUGCUAUCAAACUACUCGUUACUUAUAAUUUCAGUGCUUACAGAGAAUACGUUGCUGAAAACUACUUGUCAUUUCCUUCUGCUCCUCAUUGGGUUCGACACUCUUACUUAUCGAAAGGACUACUAUUGAUCCCUUAUACUUGUGGGUCAUCAAUUAUUCAGUAACGUAUAUAUACUAAUUUCUAGAGAAUCAUUACCCAUUCUUUUGAAGUCAUCUUUGCCUUACUAUGAGAAGGCAAGAAUCCAUCUUCUUUAAGUUGGGUUGUUACUCUAUUUUGAAGACUCAAAUAAGUAGUUCUUUAGUUACACAUUUGAUGUUAGGGUGUGCAUCUGCAGACCACAUUGGUUGGCAGUCCAAAACUAUGGGGUUAGUUUGCUUACAAUACUUACUGAUCUUUAGCUUUCUUUGUUGUCCCUUUCUCGCAUUUUUCAAUAUAGUUUGAAUGUUUAGUUUUCUUAGCACAUUUUCUAUGCAGUGUCAUGAUUUCAGAUCGAUCUAAGAAUCGAUUAUGCUUGGAAGACAGAUUCAUCAGAGGUUGCUUGAUCUCAUACUAAUCUGCUACCCCUUCCGAGCACAGUUUAGCAUCGAUCAGUUCACUUCCAUCAGCAUGUUACAUUAGCAUAAUGACUUUUUUGUGAUCGAUGGCUAGGUGCACAUAGACCGGGAUGGCCAAGACACAAUGGGUAAACUCAAAGGUGGUAUAAUGUUGGAGAAAUUUGGGGACAAAAAUAGCGGAUAAGUGGGGGUUCUGAGUGAGUCUCAGGCCGCUGGUGAAGGAAAUAUGCCCUAGAGGCAAUAAUAAAGUUAUUAUUUAUUUCCUUAUAUCAUGAUAAAUGUUUAUUAUUCAUGUUACAAUUGUAUUAACCGGAAACAUAAUACAUGUGUGAAUACAUAGACAAACAGAGUGUCACUAGUAUGCCUCUACUUGACUAGCUCGUGAAUCAAAGAUGGUUAAGUUUCCUAACCAUAGACAUGAGUUGUCAUUUGAUUAACGGGAUCACAUCAUUAGGAGAAUGAUGUGAUUGACUUGACCCAUUCCGUUAGCUUAGAACUUGAUCAUUUAGUAUGUUGCUAUUGCUUUCUUCAUGACUUAUACAUGUUCCUAUGACUAUGAGAUUAUGUAAAUCCCGUUUACCGGAGGAACACUUUGUGUGCUACCAAACGUCACAACGUAACUGGGUGAUUAUAAAGGUGCUCUACAGGUGUCUCCGAAGGUACUUGUUGAGUUGACGUAUUUCGAGAUUAGGAUUUGUCACUCCGAUUGUCGGAGAGGUAUCUCUAGGCCCUCUCGAUAAUGCACAUCACUAUAAGCCUUGCAAGCAAUGUGACUAAUGAGUUAGUUGCGAGAUGAUGUAUUACAUAACGAGUAAAGAGACUUGCCGGUAACGAGAUUGAACUAGGUAUUGAGAUACCGACGAUCAAAUCUCGGGCAAGUAACAUACCGAUGACAAAGGGAACAACGUAUGUUGUUAUGCGGUUUGAUCGAUAAAGAUCUUUGUAGAAUAUGUGGGAGCCAAUAUGAGCAUCCAGGUUCCGCUAUUGGUUAUUGACCGGAGACCUGUCUCGGUCAUGUCUAUAUAGUUCUCGAACCCAUAGGGUCCGCACGCUUAAAGUUCAAUGACGGUUAUAUUAUGAGUUUAUGUGUUUUGAUGUACCGAAGGGGUUUGGAGUCCCGGAUGAGAUCGGGGACAUGACGAAGAGUCUCGAAAUGGUAUAGACGUAAAGAUUGAUAUAUUGGACGACUAUAUUCGGACAUCAUAAAGGUUCCGAGUGAUUCGGGUAUUUUUCGGAGUAUCGAAGAGUUACGGGAAUUCAUAUUGGGCCUUAAUGGGCCAUACGGGAAAGGAGAGAAAGGCCCCAAAGGGUGGCCGCACCCCUCCCCGUGGACUAGUCCGAAUUGGACUAGGGAGGGGGGGCGCCCCCUUCCUUCCUUCUCCUUCUCCCUUCCCUUCUCCUACUCCCACAAGGAAAGGAGGAGUCCUACUCCCUGUGGGAGUAGGACUCCCCACUUGGCGCGCCCUCCUCCUAGGCCGGCCGCCUCCCCCCUUGCUCCUUUAUAUACGGGGGCAGGGGGCACCCUAGAGACACAACAAUUGAUCAUUGAUCUAUUAGCCAUGUGUGAUGCCCCCCUCCACCAUAAUCCACCUCGAUAAUAUUAUAGCAGUGCUUAGGCGAAGCCCUGCAUCGGUAGAACAUCAUCAUCGUCACCACGCCGUCGUGUUGACGGAACUCUCCCUCGACACUCGGCUGGAUCGGAGUUCGAGGGACGUCAUCGAGCUGAACGUGUGCAAGAACUCGGAGGUGCCGUGCUUUCGGUGCUUGAUUGGUCGGGCCGUGAAGACGUACGACUACAUCAAACGCGUUGUGCUAACGCUUCCGCUUACGGUCUACGAGGGUACGUGGACAUACUCUUCCCUCUUGUUGCUAUGCAUCACCAUGAUCUUGCGUGUGCGUAGGAAUUUUUUUGAAAUUACUACGUUACCCAACAGUGGCAUCCGAGCCUAGAUUUUAUGCGUUGAUGUUAUAUGCACGAGUAGAACAUAAGUAAGUUGUGGGCGAUACAAGUCAUACUGCUACCAGCAUGUCAUACUUUGGUUCAGCGGUAUUGUUGGAUGAAGCGGCCCGGACCGACAUUACGUGUACGCUUACGUGAGACUGGUUCUACCGACGUGCUUUGCACACAGGUGGCUGGCAGGUGUCAGUUUCUCCAACUUUAGUUGAACCGAGUGUGGCUAUGCCCGGUCCUUGAGAAGGUUAAAACAUCACUAACUUGACGAACUAUCGUUGUGGUUUUGAUGCGUAGGUAAGAAUGGUUCUUGCUCAGCCCGUAGCAGCCACGUAAAACUUGCAACAACAAAGUAGAGGACGUCUAACUUGUUUUUGCAGGGCAUGUUGUGAUGUGAUAUGGUCAAGACGUGAUGAGAUAUAAGUUGUUGUAUGAGAAGAUCAUGUUUUGUUGAAGUUAUCGACAACUGGCAGUAGCCCUAUGGUUGUCUCUUUAUUGCAUAAGAUGCAAGCGCCAAAUAAUUGCUUUACUUUAUUGCUAUGCGAUAGCAAUAGUUGCAAGAGCAAUAGUUGGCGAGACGACCAUGUGACGACACAUUGAUAUAUAUCAAGAUGAUGGAGAUCAUGGUGUCAUGCCAGUGACAAUGGAGAUCAUGACGAUGCUUUGGAGAUAGAGAUCAAAGGCACAAGAUGAUGAUGGCCAUAUCAUGUCACAUAUUUUUGAUUGCAUAUGAUGCUUAUCUUUUAUACAUCUUAUUUUGUUUUGAUUGACGGUAGCAUUAUAAUAUGAUCUCUCACUAAAUUUCAAGAUAAAAGUGUUCUCUCUGAGUAUGCACCAUUGCCAAAGUUUGUCGUGCCCAGACAUCACGUGAUGAUCGGGUGUGAUAAGCUCUACGUCCAUCUACAACGGGUGCAAGCCAGUUUUGCACACACAGAAUACUCAGGUUAAACUUGACGAGCCUAGCAUAUGCAGAUAUGGCCUCGGAACACUGAGACCGAAAGGUCGAGCAUGAAUCAUAUAGUAGAUAUGAUCAACAUAGUGAUGUUCACCAUUGAAAACUACUCCAUUUCACGUGGUGAUCGGUUAUGGUUUAGUUGAUUUGGAUCACGUGAUCACUUAAGAUGAUUAGAGGGAUGUCUAUCUAAGUGGGAGUUCUUAAGUAAUAUGAUUAAUUGAACUUAAAUUUAUCAUGAACUUAUCCUGGUAGUAUUUUGCAAAUUAUGUUGUAGAUCAAUAGCUCAAGUUGUUGCUUUCAUAUGUUUAUUUUUAUAUGUGUUCCUAGAGAAAACUAAGUUGAAAGAUGUUAGUAGCAAUGAUGCGGACUUGGUCCGUGAUAUGAGGUUUAUCCUCAUUGCUGCAUAGAAGAAUUAUGUCCUUGAUGCACCGCUAGGUGACAGACCUAUUGCAGGAGCAGAUGCAGAUUUUAUGAACGUUUGGCUAGCUAAAUAUGAUGACUACUUGAUAGUUUUGUGCACCAUGCUUUAUAGAUUAGAACCGGGACUAAAAAAACGUUUUUGAAACGUCACGGAACAUAUGAGAUGUUCCAUGAGAUGAAAUUGAUAUUUCAGACUCAUGCCCGUGUCAAGAGGUAUGAGACCUCUGACAAAUACUUCGCCUAAAAGAUGGAGGAGAAUUGCUCAACUAGUGAGCAUGUGCUCAGAUUGUCUGGGUACUACAAUCGCUUGAAUUAAGUGGGAGUUAAUCUUCUAGAUAAGAUAGUGAUUGACAGAGUUCUCUAGUCACCAUCACCAAGUUAGUAGAACUUCGUGAUGAACUAUAGUAUGCAAAGGAUGACAAAAACGAUUCCUGAGCUCUUCGCGAUGUUGAAAUCAACGAAGGUAGAAAUCAAGAAAGAGCAUCAAGUGUUGAUGAUUGACAAUACCACUAGUUUCAAGUAAAGGACAAAGGGAAAGAAAGGGAACUUCAAGAAGAAUGACAAGCAAGUUGUCACUCCCGCGAAGAAGCCUAAAGCUAGACCAAAGCCUGAAACUAAGUGCUUACACUGCAAAGGAAAUGGUCAUUGGAAACGGAAAUGCCCUGAAUAUUUGGUGGAUAAGAAGGAUGGCAAAGUGAACAAGGGUAUAUUUGAUAUACAGGUUAUUGAUGUGUGCCUUACUAGUGUUUAUAGUAGCCCUUGAGUGUUUGAUACUUGUUCAGUUGCUAAUAUUAGUAACUCAAAACAGGAGUUACAUAAUAAACAGAGACUAGUUGAGGGGAAGUGACGAUGAGUGUUGGAAGUAGUUCCAAGAUUGAUAUGAUCAUCAUCACACACUCCCUAUACUUUUGGGAUUAGUGUUAAACCUAAAUAAAUGUUAUUUGGCAUUUGCAUUGAGCAUGAAUAUGAUUUGAUCAUGUUUAUUGAAAUACAGUUAUUCAUUUAAAGUCAGAGAAUAAUUGUUGUUCUAUUUACAUGAAUAAAACCUUCAAUGGUCAUACACCCAAUGAAAAUAGUUUGUUGGAUCUCGAUCGUGGUGAUACACAUAUUCAUAAUAUUGAUGCCAAAAGAUGCAAAGUUGAUAAUGAUAGUGCAAUAUAUUUAUGGCACUGCCGUUUGGGUCAUACCGGUGUAAAGCACAUGAAGAAACUCCAUAAAGAUGGAUUUUUGGAAUCACUUGGUUAUGAAUCAUUUGAUGCUUGUGAACCAUGCCUUUUGGGCAAGAUGACUAAAACUUCGUUCUCCAGAACAAUGGAACGAGCUAGUGACUUGUUGGAAAUAAUACAUACUGAUGUAUGCGGUCCAAUGAGUAUUGAUGCUCGUGGCAUGUAUCAUUAUUUUCUGACCUUCACAAAUGAUUUGAGCAGAUAUGAGUAUAUCUACUUAAUGAAACACAAGUCUGAAACAUUUUAAAAGUUCAAAGAAUUUUAGAGUGAAGUGGAGAAUCAUCGUAACAAGAAAAUAAAGUUUCUACAAUCUGAUCGUGGAGGAGAAUAUUUGAGUUACGAGUUUGGCCUUCAUAUAAAACAAUGUGGAAUAGUUUCACAGUUCACACCACCUGGAACACCACAACGUUAUGGUGUGUCCGAACGUCUUAACCGCACUUUAUUGGAUAUUGUGCGACCUAUGAUGUCUCUUAUCGGUUUACCACUAUCGUUUUGGGGUUAUGCAUUAGAGACAGUUGCAUUCACUUUAAAUAGGGCACCAUCGAAACCGUUGAGACGACGGCUUAUGAACAGUGGUUUGGCAAGAAACCAAAGUUGUCAUUUCUUAAAGUUUGGGGCUGCGAUGCUUAUGUGAAAAAGUUUCAACAUGAUAAGCUCGAACCUAAAUCAGAGAAGUGCGUCUUCAUAUAAUACCCAAAGGAAACUGUUGGGUACACCUUCUAUCAUAGAUCCGAAGGCAAGAUAUUCGUUGCUAAGAUGGAUCCUUUCUAGAGAAGGAGUUUCUCUCGAAAGAAGUGAGUGGGAGGAAAGUAGAACUUGAUGAGGUAAUUGUACCUUCUCCCUUAUUGGAAAGUAGUUCAUCACAGAAGAUAGUUCCAGUGAUUCCUACACCAAUUAGUGAGGAAGUUAAUGAUGAUGAUCAUGAAACUUCAGAUCAAGUUGCUACCUGAACCUCGUAGGUCUUCCAGAAUAAGAUCCGCACUAGAGUGGUACGGUAAUUCUAUUAUGGAAGUCAUGUUACUAGACCAUGAUGAACCUACGAACUAUGAGGAAGCGAUGAUGAGCCUAGAUUCCGCGAAAUGGCUUGAGGCCAUGAAAUCUAAGAUGGGAUCCAUGUAUGAGAACAAAAUGCGGACUUUGGUUGUCUUGCCCGAUGAUCGGCAAGUCAUAGAAAAUAAAUGGAUCUUCAAGAGGAAGACGGACGCUGAUAGUAGUGUUACUAUCUACAAAGCUCGACUUGUCGCAAAAAGUUCUUAGACAAGUUCAAGGUGUUGAAUACGAUGAGAUUUUCUCACUCGCAACAAUGCUUAAGUCUGUCCGAAUCAUGUUAGCAAAUUGCCACAUUUUAUGAAAUCUGGCAAAUGGAUGUCAAAACUACAUUCCUUAAUGGAUUUCUUAAAGAAGAGUUGUAUAUGAUGCAACCAGAAGAUUUUGUCGAUCCUAAAGGUGCUAACAAAAUGUGCAAGCUCCAGCGAUCCAUCUAUGAACUGGUGCAAGCAUCUCGGAGUUGGAAUAUACGCUUUGAUAAUUUGAUCAAAGCAUAUAGUUUUAUACGGACUAGCAGUGAAGCCUGUAUUUACAAUAAAGUGAGUGGGAGCACUACAAUCUUUCUGAUAAGUAUAUGUGAGUGACAUAUUGUUGAUCAGAAAUGAUGUAGAAUUUUUUGGAAAGCAUAAAGAAGUGUUUGAAAGGAGUUCUUUAAAAGAAAGACCUCAGUAAAUCUACUUACAUAUUAAGCAUCAAGAUCUAUUGAGAUAGAUCAAGACGCUUGAUAAGAUUUUCAAUGAGUACAUACCUUGUAAAGAUUUUGAAGUAGUUCAAAAUGGAACAGUCAAAGAAAGAGUUCUUGCCUGUGUUGCAAAGGUAUGAAAUUGAGUAAGACUCAAAUCCUGACCACGGCAGAAAAUAGAAAGAGAAUGAAAGUCAUUCCCUAUGCAUCAGUCAUAGGUUCUAUAAAAGUAUGCCAUGCUAUGGACCAGACCUAUUGUAUACUCUGCCCUGGUUUGGCAAGGGAGUACAAUAGUGAUCUAGGAGUAGAUCACUGGAUAUUGGUCAAAAUUAUCCUUAGUGAAAUAAGGAUAUGUUUCUCGAUUAUGGAGGUGAAAAAAGGUUUGUCGUAAAGGGUUACGUCGAUACAUGUUUUGGCACUGAUCUAGAUGACUCUAAGUCUUAAUCUGGAUACAUAUUGAAAGUGGGAGCAAUUAGCUAGAGUAGCUCCAUGCAGAGCAUUGUAGACAUAGAAUAUUUGCAAAAUACAUACGGCUCUGAAUGUGACAGACCCAUUGACUAAACUUCUCUCACAAGCAAAACAUGAUCAUACCUAGUACUCUUUGGGUGUUAAUCACAUAGCGAAGUGAACUAGAUUAUUGACUCUAGUAAGCCCUUUGGGUGUUGAUCACAUGACGAUGUGAACUAUGGGUAUUAAUCACAUACAGAUGUGAAUAUUGGUGUUAAAUCACAUGGCGAUGUGAACUAGAUUAUUGACUCUAGUGCAAGUGGGAGACUGAAGGAAAUAUGCCCUAGAGGCAAUAAUAAAGUUAUUAUUUAUUUCCUUAUAUCAUGAUAAAUGUUUAUUAUUCAUGCUAGAAUUGUAUUAACCGGAAAAAUAAUAUAGGUAUGAAUACAUAGACAAACAGAGUGUCACUAGUAUGCCUCUACUUGACUAGCUCGUGAAUCAAAGAUGGUUAAGUUUCCUAAUCAUAGACAUGAGUUGUCAUUUGAUUAACGGGAUCACUUCAUUAGGAGAAUGAUGUGAUUGACUUGACCCAUUCCGUUAGCUUAGCACUUGAUCGUUUAGUAUGUUGCUAUUGCUUUCUUCAUGACUUAUACAUGUUCCUAUGACUAUGAGAUUAUGUAACUCCCAUUUACCGGAGGAACACUUUGUGUGCUACCAAACGUCACAACAUAACUGGGUGAUUAUAAAGGUGCUCUACAGGUGUCUCCGAAGGUACUUGUUGAGUUGAUGUAUUUUGAGAUUAGGAUUUGUCACUCCGAUUGUCGGAGAGGUAUCUCUGGGCCCUCACGGUAAUGCACAUCACUACAAGCCUUGCAAGCGAUGUGACUAAUGAGUUAGUUGUGAGAUGAUGUAUUACAUAACAAGUAAAGAGACUUUUCGGUAACGAGAUUGAACUAGGUAUUGAGAUACCGACGAUCGAAUCUCGGGCAAGUAACAUACCGAUGACAAAGGGAACAACCUAUGUUGUUAUGCGGUUUGACCGAUAAAGAUCUUCGUAGAAUAUGUGGGAGCCAAUAUGAGCAUCCAGGUUCCGCUAUUGGUUAUUGACCGGAGACGUGUCUCGGUCAUGUCUACAUAGUUCUCGAACUCGUAGGGUCCACACGCUUAAAGUUCGAUGACGGUUAUAUUAUGAGAUUAUGUGUUUUGAUGUACCAAAGGAGUUCGGAGUCCCGGAUGAGAUCAGGGACAUGACGAGGAGUCUCUAAAUGGUCGAGACGUAAAGAUCGAUAUAUUGGACGACUAUAUUCGGACAUCGUAAAGGUUCCGAGUGAUUCGGGUAUUUUUCGGAGUACCGGAGAGUUACAGGAAUUCGUAUUGGGCCUUAAUGGGCCAUACAGGAAAGGAGAGAAAGGCCCCAAAGGGUGGCCGCACCCCUCCCCAUGGACUAGUCCGAAUUGGACUAGGGAGGGGGGGCGCCCCCUUCCUUACUUCUCCUCCUCCCUUCCCUUCUCCUACUCCCACAAGGAAAGGAGGAGUCCUACUCUCGGUGGGAGUAGGACUUCCCCCUUGGCGCGCCCUCCUCCUAGGCCGGCCGCCUCCCCCCUUGCCCCUUUAUAUACGGGGGCAGGGGGGCACCCUAGAGACACAACAAAUGAUCAUUGAUCUAUUAGCCGUGUGCGGUGCCCCCCUCCACCAUAAUCCACCUCGAUAAUAUCGUAGCGGUGCUUAGGCGAAGCCCUGCAUCGGUAGAACAUCAUCAUCGUCACCACGCCGUCGUGCUGACGGAACCCUCCCUCGACACUCGGCUGGAUCGGAGUUCGAGGGACGUCAUCGAGCUGAACGUGUGCACGAACUCGGAGGUGUCGUGCUUUCGGUGCUUGAUCGGUCGGGCCAUGAAGACGUACGACUACAUCAACUGCGUUGUGCUAACGCUUCCGCUUACGGUCUACGAGCGUACGUGGACAUACUCUUCCCUCCACUACAAGAAAUAUGUCAACUUGUGACCUUGACUAUUGGUCACUGACAGGUCAUUGUUUUUCAUUUGCGACCUUUUUUUGACCAAAAACAGAAGGUCAAAAGCUGGGGGUCGUAAACUGACUAUAGCGACCUUCUCUGUGAGAAGGUCGUGGACGUUUACGACCAAAAUAUUCCUACUGUGGCGUUUUGGUCACUAGUAACCUCCCCAGGCCACGUAGGCAUCCAGCGUGGCAAGCUGAUGUGGCACAAGAUUCAGCCCGGUCCAAUUCGGUUUUCUACAUGGGCCUAGCCCAACAAUUCGGCCUUUUUAUAUAUUUUUUCUUAAUUAAUUUUGGUCAACUACAUGGGCCAGGCCCAACAUUUAAGCCAUUUUAUUUUUGGGCCGUAGCCUUUUUAGUCCAUUGAUUUUUCUAGUUUCAACCAUUAUACAUUGGGGUACCACUAGUAAGCCAGCCCCACAUGUCAUGCUUAUCUCAAAAUAUGUCCCACAUGUCAGAAAUUUCGAAAUUUGUCAAACAACCAUUAUAACUUGGACCCUCUUGUCAGGUUUCCAUUUCACGGGUAUUCAAAUCACAUACACAAUCAUUGUUUUGAACAGACUAGAGAGCAAAUGAAAUUCGUCCAAAACAAGACUACAUUAGUCUAUUACAAUUCAGUAUACUACAACCCAGAUAUGCGUACAAUUACAACACAUAAUAUGCUCCUCUUUGUUGAUAUGAUUCACAGCUUCGACCUUGGAUUCACACUUCACCUGUGCAAAGAAUAAGAAUGAAAAUAUAAGAAUAAGAAUGUGCUCAUGGAGUGAUCCAAUAACUUAUAAGCAAGAAUUGACAUCAAAUGCCAUGUAGAUAAAUAGUAUGACUAACACUAACCAGUAUGUGUUCAUGGAGUGACAAAUGUUCUCACUAGCUAGGAUUUUUUUGGUAUAUAGUAUACUGACAUGUGCAACUCUAACUAAAUUGAUCAUAGAAAUGAAAAGAACUGUAAGCAUGUUUUUUGGGUAUAUAGUACACUGACAUGUUCAUUCAGAAUCCAGACAACAUCAGAUACACAACAGCAGAUACACAGCAGAUACACAUUCAGAAUCUAGUCAAAUUUUAAGCAACAGCAGAACAGAUCUAACAAACCAGACCAUAAUCAGCAUGCAUCAGGAUUUAUGGUUCUAGCAAAAAAGUGGCUGACUAACAAACUAGAUAUGCUUCUGCAGACUAACAAAAUGGCAGUAAACAUACUAAUCAGAUUGAUUCGUUCAAUUAGGGCUUGUUAUAGAUUAUGCCCAUCUAAUUUAUUCCCAUCUAAUUUAUACAAAAUGGCAGCAACAUACUAAUCAGAUUUAUACUAACAAACUAGAUAUAUUCCCAUCUAAUUUAUUCCAAUGGAUUAUGCCAUGUUAGUACUGAACCUACAACAUUCUAAUUACCUGCAACAAAUCAGUAGCAUACAUGACAUCAAAGGGAUGCAAACUAGAUAAUUUAGUAGUCUUUUACAGCACAGAAUAGUAGGCAUUCUAACUUGCAGCAGAAAAUCAGUAGCUAGAUGACCACCAACAACACAAAUCAGCUCAAACACUCGGUCCUCGACGUGGCGUACAGCAAAUAAUCAGCCAUGGAACCGAGGCCAAACUCUAGCAUCACAGAAAGCAGAGGGGAACAAAGGGGUGGAGGGGCUCACCAUGGGGGUGCUGCUGCUACUCAUCCAUGGUCGGUCAUCCUACAUCCAUCCGGCGACAACUGCUCAUUCAUGGCAGCAAACCACAUCACAUCUCAGUCAAAGGAAUGGAGGGUAAGGGAAGAAGAAGAAACUGAAGGUAAGAAGACCUGGAUGGCGUCGGAGCUGUGGUGGAGGGGCGUCCUCCAUGGGCGCCACCUCUGCGUCCACCACCGGGAACAUCUCGUUCAGGUCCUUGGCCCAUAGCGCCUGCACGCACCAGAUUAGAUCACAACGCGGCGUCAAAGCUAGAGAUCGGUGCAACUUCAAUUCAAAACUGGAUAUCAAAGAACAAUGUAAAGAACAAUGAGAAAGCAGUAAAGUCAUUUGGUAACUAGCUGUCUGAACUGUGGAGCAUAAAUGUCCUGAAUACCACUGAAGCCUUGAGAGAUUCUUUACAUGCUGUUUAACAAUAAGGAUCCAAUUACAUGCUGCUUUAGCUACAAAUGAUGAAACGAUCAUGUAGAUAAUUAACACACUACCAGUUACAUUUGGUCCAUAGAAUUUUCGAGUUGAUUGGCAUGAUGAAAACGGAAGCAGAUUAUUACCAGGUUUAGACAACUGAGCAGACUAAUGAAAAUAACUAGUAGUAAUAUGCACCUAAGUUAACACACCUAACUAAUUAAGAAUCCAGGAACAUUGACCACUUGGGUUAUAACUAAGAGCAAGCAAGCAGUACUAUCUGUGCAUAAAAAUCAAAACAAGCAAGCAGAACUCUCUGCAGUUAGAAAUCAAACCAGUCAUACGUGCAUACAUAUGCAACACAGAACUGUAGUACUUGUCUAUGGCUAGGUCGCACAAGAACAAAAUAGAUUAGUGUUGUAGUAGCUUGGUUCCAGCAACUAGAUUAGUUAGCUACGGCGCAAAAUAUUACAUAUGCGGGCACAUGUAUCACUGCGCCCAAUGACCGUGUCACAAGAAGAGGAGAAUAUACGGGGCAACCAAAUCCACAGAUAUCUAUUUCGAAAGCGCGAGGCCGCAGAUCUGAGAUUGGGAUGCGAGGGGCACAUCGAUCCUGCCGUGAGUCUGGGAGGAUUCGAGAGGAUCUACACGAGAAAAAGAGGCAGGUACCUCGUGGGGCUGGAGGACGUAGGGGAGGAAGGCAUCGAGCGGGCUGUGGGCGUAGGGCAGGCCGAGCGCGCCCCGCCAGCGCGGCAGAGCCUUGCGUAGGCCUUGGGGUAGCCCAGCGCGUCAUCCACCACCCUCUCCUCCUCCAUGAACGCCGUCAUCGAUCCACAUCAGACGCGCCAGCCCCUCCGCAUCUGAGAGGGAGAGGGAACACGGUGAGGCAGAUAGGGAGAGAUGCGACGUGGAGGAGUAGAGGGGGUCACCUGAGUCACCGGAUCACCGGAACAACGCCGGAGCCACGCCGGCGACGCGGUGGCUCAAACCCUAGAGGACGGUUAGGUUCACGAGUGGCCGCAGGAGGACGCUCCCGUCGGAUCCCGUCGACGCCGUUGCCGUCCUGGUUGCCGGAGUGCCGUGGCCAGCAUGGGGCAAAGCCACCACUAACCCUAGAUCUGCUGUAGGACAGGAGCGGGUGGCGUACGGGAGGGUGGCAGGGGCUAGGGGAGGGGGGAGGAGGGGGCGACGGCAAGGGCUAGCGGAGAAGGGGGUCGACGAGGUGUGAGAGGCGGCGGCGUCGUUCUCGUGAGGGAAGGGGAUCGAGGGGAGCCGGCGGCAUUCUCGGGAGGGAAGGGGAUCGAAGGAGGAGACAGAGUGUGUGGGAGGGAAGGGGAUCGAGGGAGGUAGGAUAGCUGGAGAGGUGAGGAGACGUUGGAUCAGGACGGCGUGGACGGCUCAGAUCGCCUACAGGAGGGUGAUCCGGGAGAGACGUCCUGAUUGGUUGGGGACAUGUAUCAUUUAAAAUAGUCUCUAAGUGCUAAAAACAAAGGGGUUUAUGAAGUAACUACCAAUAAUAUUUUGCAAAAUCGCACAACAAAAAUUUUCACUCAGGGGUUAUACCACAUUUUAUGGAUGAUAACCAACUUGUAUGAAUUUUCGACCUUUCUAGCUUUUUUUAUCCAUUUAAACCAACUUGUACCAAAUUAGGAUGAAUCGGGUCAAAUUCGAACUACAUCUACUUCAUAGUUUGCUAAUUAUUUUUUCCAAAAAUAAUUUUUAGGUACACAUGUAUAUAUUUCAUUAGAGAAAUACUAUGAGUUUUGUAAGAUUCCACCCGUAGGUACGAACGAUGAUGCCCGCGGUUUUGACCGUGUUUUGAAAUUGGCAUAAAGAAUUCAAAAAAAUCAAAAAAAAGGAAAGCCUUUGCAUUGUGUCCAGGAAAAAUAACAAACUCGCAAUACUGUAAAUACCUUAAAAAGUCUUCUUAGAAAUAAGAUACCAUAUGUGAAGUUGCAUGGCUUUCAAGCCAAAUGACCAAUAAUUUGGCCACAUUCAUGGCAUAGUAUGAUCUCAUAUUGUGCACAAGGGUGCAUCUUGGAAUUCCAAACAAUGUUGCCUAAGGGAGUUUUCACUUUCAUUGCACAAAAAAGCUAUUUUCCAUUUUCCGAGUGCCCCAAAUGAGGUUUUUUUGUGAAGGACCUACCAAAUAAUUAUUGCAAAAUUGGACCAAAUCAUUUUUAUAAAAUACUAGGCCAUAUUUAAUGCAUAAUUGACCAAAUGGUUGGGUGUAAAAAGUUUUUAUCCACCUCUGGUGAAAAAGACAAAUUUCCGCCGAUUCAGCUGGAAGCGGGUCAAAUUUGAACUGCAGCUGCCUCAUAGUUUGCUCUUUAUUUUUUCCAAAAAUCAUUUAUAGGUACAUAAGUAUCUAUUUAAUCAGAGAAAUAUCAAAACUUUUCCAAGAUUCAACCACUAGCUAGGAACGGUCAUUCCCGCCGUUUUGACCGCAUUUUGAAACGGGCAUAAAAAAUUCAAAAAAAAUCAAAAAAUUGGAAAACCUUCGCAUUGUGUCAUUAUAUGUGGCCAAGUUCACAGAAAAAAUAACAAACUUGUAAUACGGAAAUUAUUUUAAAAAAGUGUUCUUAGAAAUGAGCUAUCACGUAUGGAGAUCAAUGGCUUUCAAGCCAAAUGAUCAAUCUUAUGGCCACAUUCAUGGCAUAGUUUGUUCAAAUGAUCUCAUAUUGUGCACAAGGGUGCAUAUUGGAAUGGCAAAAAAUGUUGCCUAAGGAAGUUUUCAUUUUCUUUGGACGAAAAAACCAUUUUUCAUUUUUUGAGUGCCCAAAAGGAGGUUUUUUUGUGAAGGACCUCCCAAAUAAUUGUUGCAGAAUUGGACCAAAUCAUUUUUAUAAAAUACUAGGACAUAUUUAAUGCACAAUUGACCAAAUGGUUGGGUGCGAAAAGUUUUGAUCCACCUCUCAUGAAAAAGACCAAUUUCCUCCAAUUCAGUUGGAAGCGGGUCAAAUUUGAACUGCAGCUGCCUCAUAGUUUGCUAUUUAUUUUUUCCAAAAAUCAUUUCUAGGUACAUAAGUAUCUAUUUAAUCAGAGAAACACCAAAAAUAUUCCAAGAUUCAACCACUAGCUAGGAACGGUCAUUUCCGCCGUUUUGAUCGCAUUUUGAAACGGGCAUAAAAAAUUCAAAAGAAAUCAAAAAAUUGGGGAACCAUCGCACUGUGUCAUUAUAUGUGGCCAAGUUCCCAGGAAAAAUAACAAACUUGUAAUACGACAGUUAUUUUAAAAAAGUGUUCUCAGAAAUGAGCUAUCAUCUCUGAAGAUUCAUGGCUUUCAAGCCAAAUGAUCAAUCUUAUGGCCACAUUCGUGGCAUAGUUUGUUCAAAUGAUCUCAUAUUGUGCACAAGGGUGCAUAUUGGAAUGGCAAACAAUGUUGCCUAAGGAAGUUUUCAUUUUCUUUGGACGAAAAAACCAUUUUUCAUUUUCCGAGUGCCCUAAAGGAGGUUUUUUUGUGAAGGACCUCCCAAAUAAUUGUUGUAAAAUUGGACCAAAUCAAUUUUCUAAAAUACUAGGACAUAUUUAAUGCACAAUUGACAAAAUGGUAGGGUGCAAAAAGUUUUGAUCCACCUCUCGUGAAAAAGACAAAUUUCCGCCGAUUCAAUUGGAAGCGGGUCAAAUUUGAACUGCAGCUGCCUCAUAGUUUGCUAUUUAUUUUUUCCAAAAAUCAUUUCUAGUUACAUAAGUACCUAUUUAAUCAUAAAUACAUGGUUUGGUGGCGAUACGUCGAGGUUUGGGCGGUGGCCGAGGGCCCCAACUCUAGAGCGCGUAAACUCGCAUGCCCGCCGCGUGAUCACAGCGUGACCGUGGCGUUGCCAUGUGUUCUGGGCAGCCUAGGCAUAUCUAGUGGGUUGGGCACUCCCCAGGUAGGUGCUAGGAAGAAAAUUACAACAUAAGAUUCUCACGAGGAGACCGAUCGAUGCUCAAACAUGAAUUAGCAGCUAAGUGUUUGAUUAGCGGUACGGGAAAUGUACAUGGCUAAUGGGCGUGAGUUUUGGCUGAGGAUGAUCAGUUACUAAGAAGACCGUCUUCACAAAUUUUCAGCUCAAAAGGAGGGGCCUAGGUGGUACUUUCUUUGCAAACUACCACACUGGACAUAAAUAUGAAUGUUGAAGCUCGGCUCAAAAUAAUGAAUGGAUUGAGCUGGCAUUUGGUGGAGGAUGGUUAUUUGGGCAUAGGAAAGCACUGUAGAAAAUGGAUACUAUUUGGACAUGCCAAAGUGGUACUUCCUUCACAAACUGUUGUUCUGAACAGAAUAGGAAAAUGAAUAUUUUUGAAUUAUUUUUGAACUAGGCAAGGAAGGUUUUUACAUAUUUGAUGAAGAUAUGACCCAAAGAAUUUAUGAAUUUUUUUGGGAAUUUUGGGAAUGACAGAAAUAUAGGUUGCUUCACAACCUAGGGCAAAAACUGCCACAUGGACAUGACACAUAGGCAAAACUGAUGAGGUGGCGCCUAGUCAUAGCAACCCACCACAAUUUACAAGGCUAUGACCAUCUAUAUUGGUCGUUAACAACUAGAAAUAAGGCAGCGGACUAGCGCUGUUUGCUUUAUGACCUUUUCGUGUAAGGAAAUUACGACCUUUCUGACCAAAAUGGUUGCAAUGGUUUAGGGUUUCGAGCCCCCCGAACAGCUUUUGACCAAUUGGUCUGAAAUGGUCAUAGAUCUAUGACCAAUUCUUCUAGGGUCACUGACAGAAGGUCACUAGUUGACAUAUUUCUUGUAGUGCUCUCGUUGCUAUGCAUCACCAUGAUCUUGCGUGUGCGUAGGAUUUUUUUUGAAAUUACUUUGUUCCCCAACAGCUGGCUGCAGAUGGCUGUCACCCCGCAGGAGCUGAGACGCAGGAAAUUCUGGCUGGACAACACCAUGCCGGUGUUUUUGUAUAUCCCAGAGUGGGGGCAAGAGGAAAGUUGCAGGCCUUCCUUGUGGUUACAUCGCAUAUUCUCAAUUGGAGAGAAAUAUUUGAUGGUUCCUUGAUAUGCGCCUCAUAUUUAGAAAUUGUGACAACUUGAUAAACACAUGUUGGUGACCAUGCUGAAUAGCGGCCAUCCACGACAUCCUUUGUGGCGAACAAUGCAGCACAAGGCACAAGUCAGGUUUGGAGAUCCCACAUGCCUACCAGACGCAGAUUAUUCGCGACAACAGAUAGGCUUCAGCACUGUGGGAUUUCAGCGACCAACUGUUGGAGACGAUGCCACAUUUGCUUCUUGGAUGUGUCGUUGCACGAGAGGUCUCCAUUCCAUCCUCCAUGAAUGGCAGUGAUACAUCUCCAUCAUAUCUACUUUUCCAAACACUUUUACCCUGCCCUUGUUUUGGACUCUAACUUGCAUGAUUUGAAUGGAACUAACCCGGACUGAUGUUGUUUUCAGUAGAAUUGCCAUGGUGUUAUUUCUGUGCAGAAAUAAAAGUUCUCGGAAUGACCUGAAAAUUCACAGAGAAUAUUUUUGGAAUUAAUAAAAAUACUAGCAAAAGAAUCAAGGCCAGGUGGCCCACACCCUGUCCACGAGGGUGGGGGCGUGCCUACCCCCUGGGCGCGCCCCCUACCUCGUGGCCCCCCUGGUGCUCCACUGACCUCAACUCCAACUCCAUAUAUUCACGUUCGGGGAGAACAAAAUCAGAGAGAAGGAUUCAUCACGUUUUACAAUACGGAGCCACCGCCAAGCCCUAAUCUCUCUCGGGAGGGCUGAUCUGGAGUCCGAUCGGGGCUCUGGAGAGGGGAAUCCGUCGUCGUUGUCAUCAUCAACCAUCCUCCAUCACCAAUUUCAUGAUGCUCACCGUUGUGCGUGAGUAAUUCCAUCGUAGGCUUGCUGGACGGUGAUGGGUUGGAUGAGAUUUACCAUGUAAUCGAGUUAGUUUUGUUAGGUUCUGAUCCCUAGUAUCCACUAUGUUCUGAGAUUGAUGUUGCUAUGACUUUGCUAUGCUUAAUGCUUGUCACUAGGGCCCGAGUGCCAUGAUUUUAGAUCUGAACCUAUUAUGUUUUCAUGAAUAUAUGUGAGUUCUUGAUCCUAUAUUGCAAGUCUAUAGUAACCUACUAUGUGUUAUGAUCCGGCAACCCCGAAGUGACAAUAAUCGGGACCACUCCCGGUGAUGACCGUAGUUUGAUGAGUUCAUGUAUUCACUAAGUGUUAAUGCUUUGGUCCGGUACUCUAUUAAAAGGAGGCCUUAAUAUCCCUUAGUUCCAAUAGGACCCCGCUGCCACGGGAGGGUAGGACAAAAGAUGACAUGCAAGUUCUUUUCCAUAAGCAUGUAUGACUAUAUUCGGGAUACAUGCCUACAUUACAUUGAUGAAUUGGAGCUAGUUCUAUGUCACCCUAUGUUAUAACUAUUGCAUGAGGAAUCACAUCCGACAUAAUUAUCCAUCACUGAUCCAAUGCCUACGAGCUUUUCACAUAUUGAUCUUUGCUUAGUUGGCAGCAUCUGGAGUGGACACCUGACCACAACGAGCAAUUUAUUCGCAUGGCAGACAACGCUCAGUGUGAUGGAUUGACACAAGAUACAUGUGGACAACCAUCAUGUUGGUGUCGGGGUGCAUCUGUCUGGUAGCACCGUGAAUAAUGUUAUCGUCAAUUACGUGGAGGUUUCAGGAGCCAUUGCUGUAUAUGCCUAGAAAUAAGAGAAUCUUGACAUUUUGUGUUCAGGAACUGAGUUUAGCUUUAACGGAUUAUUGUGUAACUGUGCCACUAUUCAAUUCUUGCUAUAGCAUGUUGUCUAGGAGCAUAGUCUGCGCCAGAAGAUUUGAAAAAUGGCAUAGAAGUUCUUACUGAACAGAGAUAUAUUGUUCUUGGAAGGAAAGCAUAUAUAUUCAAUAAGUUAGUACCAUCGGUUGCCCCAACACGUGUGCAUCUAUAACACCAACAGCUGCUCAUCUGUUGUCAUGCCAUCUCGCAGCGACUACAUGCAUCAUAGUAGUUCUGACAGAAGAAGCAAUACAUUUUUAUCAACAUGAAAUUUGUUUGGUGAAAUCCAUGAGAACUUCAUCAGUAACAAAUUGAUUGGUACCCCACAUAACACAAGCAGGCGUGUUCCUUUCCAAAAAACUUCAAAAUGGACAUCACUUUUUAAUGAGUUCUUUCCAGAGUAAAGUAAGGUAAGGUCUUUGGUCACCAUUCACCUACCAUUUUAGUUAGUUCUACAUGUACAACUGAUUCAGCAACUCGAAUUUGAAAGGAAUUCUUUAAAAGGAAAUCAGUUAAGCAACUCGAAUGAAUCCAUCAUGCAUUGGUCUGAAAUCCAAGGAAAUAUGAGCAAAACCUCCCAAAUCUAAUCGAAGCACCGAACAUCUUUCAGAAGGAAAUUAACUCUUUCAGAACCUUUCAAAAGAUGGCAUAUCAAGGAUCAAAAUCGACCACAUAGAUUGAUGACCAAGACUUCAUCCAUUAGUCUGGAUGCCUCAUAUGUUGAUAAUUCCAACCAUGGAACCACAGGUGUGGUGAUCCGUGAUAGCCCAUGUACUCUUCUUCAUACACGGGCCCUCUGGUAUGAUUUGCUGCUAGUCCAAUGGCGACGGAAGUUGUAGUGAUUUGCAAUGGAGUGCACAUGCCUCUUGAGAGGGGUUAUGUAGAGUAAUGAUUUAGAGUGAUGCACAAGCUAUCAUCAAGCUAUGGGAGUCAUGCGGCUUCGAUCAUGGAGAGAUUGUUGGAGCCUUGCGGAUUGAAGAACUGAUUGUGCAUUUUGAGAGUUCUGUGCUCAGCUUUGUUGGACAAGAUGCUAGUAUGGCAGCCCAUUUAUGUGCUAAACUGGUGACCAAGUUUAGGAAGAGAUGUUUAUGGCUUAAUUUUACCCCUCUACUCCUAGUGAACACAUUGCAUUGUGAGUGUAUGCUUGAUUAAGUAAGCAAUAAAGCUCUUUCACUCACAAAAAAGUAGAAAUUGCAAUGCGGCCAUCCCAGCAUAUCAAAACAUUUCUGAUUGUGGCGAUGACCUUUUUUUCCAUAUGAUCCUAUAAAAUGGAUCGGGUUCCAUUCUCAAGGGAUAACGAAACUACAAAUGCACAAAAAACAUCCUGGUGCAAGAACAUAGCCUAAAACUGGUUUCAACUGCUAACAACAAAAGCUAAUGGAUCCAAAUCUACUGCAAGUUGACUUGGGGUUCACAAUCAUCCCAAGUAAAAUGUCUUUGAUCACUAGCAUAAUCAUUCAGAAAACUCCAUUGCAUCGCUCUUCGUCCAGUCUUUCUCCUUUGGUUCACCUUCACCAACUUCUUGUUCCUCAGUUUCUCCAGCGUUACUUGCCUCGAUCCUCAACACAAGAUUUCUUGGCUCCGCGUGCCCAACAACAUGAUGUGCCAAUGCUUCUCACUGCAAAGAAACAACACCUAGUUCCUGAAUCGCACACUCUUCAUUAUUUUGUAGAGCUGCCCAAUAAAGCAUAAACAAGCAUGCAUAAUAGACGAAUUCAGCAAGAGAUCUAGUAUUUUUUUCUCAAAACAAGAUCUAUUACAUAACUUGGAUGGGAAUGUAGUGGCUUAUCAUGAAGGUGAUGCACUCAUGGACUUGUAGUAGAGCUGGUAGCUGCCACAACAGCUUCCCUAUAUGUGGGUGGCUUUGAGGCAGGCGUCACAGAGGGGCAUCUCUCCUCCAUAUCCUAUUGGGUCACAUCUGUGGAGUCCCUCAGCAUCUACCAUGACUUUGCUAUCGGGUCCCAUGGCUAUGGCUACUUCAAAUUCCACCCACAGAAGGAUGAUGAGAUCUGAUCUAUUAGAUCCCAAAAUACCUAAAUCAUUAUAUCUCCAUGAGCAUGCAUGCUAAAGGUAGCAGAUCAAACCCAAACGAACAAGUAAAAAAGGCCAAGACACUCACCGUCCUCUUGGGGUAAAAAUCGAUGUAGUUGUAGCCACAAGACCUAUAAGCAACUUCAUGGCAGAUGCGCAAGGAAGCCACGGGCGCGACCUGGUCAUAGAUCUAGAAGAGUUGCCCCUCCGUAACACCUGCCUUGAGGUCAUCAUUGAGGCCAGGAAUGGUUGGUUUGUCAUUGCUGACGAUGGUCGCCAACCCAAUGGACCUAGGAGGUGGCGGCGUCAUCGGAUUCAGGGCGGAACGCUUGCCAUUGGCGGUGGAUGUUCACUAACCAGACGAGUGAAAACUACUAUACUAUGGGUAACCGGCUUGUCUAGUUGUAUCGAUUGUAUAUUGAGUCCUCUCUUAUCGGCACCGAGUCCUCCUGUCUGGUGGAUGCUCUCUCCGGUAUGCUUUUGUAUAGGUGCUAAUUAAUGACAUUUAUUUGCUACCUUUUAGAUAGGCUUCGGGUGUAACUGUUAGAGGAGACGAGUAUUUUUUGUGUAUCUGCAUGCUGGAGAGUUGCGGUAAUUGGGUCCACAUGCCAGUCUAUAUGCGCGUGAUGGGCUGCUGUAUGUAGGUAGAUAUGGACUACAAAGUUCUUCUAUCUAUUUAGAAGAUAUCACUACUGAUUAAUGUUUGAGAUAGAGUAGAUAUCACCACAAAUUAAUGUUUGAUAUAGAUUAGAUCAACUUUUACCACAUCGUGGUCAAUGAUCAUUGACUCGUGAGGGGUCCCUCACCGCCUUUCUUGGUCAAGGCAUCUCCAACACCGCCCCUCAAGCCUCCUGCAUCCGUCCAGACAGUGAAAGCUAUCCAACGUGCUCCUGUAUUGGUACGAGGUGCGGUCCAGAUGUAUACUUUCUCCCGCAAAUGGGAGACAAACGUGGGGAGUGGGAGGGGGCUUGCGGGAGUCCGCACCGCUCCCAUGCCCGCUUCUGACCUCCCUAGCCCACCCAAAACCCCUUUCGCAUCCUGCCGCUUCUUGCCCGGCGCCAACUGCCCGCAUUCAUGCCGUUGUAGAGCGCGCUGCUCCACAUAUUGAAGUUGCGCAGUGCCCGAUGGCGCUGGCCGCUGCCCGCUCAACUGAACACGGCUCCAUUAAACCCGUGUGAAAGCCAAGGAGCCUACUCCGGCCACACAUUUGUUCACGAGUGGGCCAGUAUUAAACACAAUGUUGGACAAGCUCCUCCCAUCUGCCCUCUAUUUAAACAAGGCCAGACGCUGGGCAAGAAUCGCACCACUCCACCACUCCCCAUCUCAUCCUUCCACAAUUUUCUUCGCCCUCUCAAUGGCAUCCGAUGAGCAGGAAGAGCAUUUCCCUGGCAUAAAAGCCAGCUAGGUGUCACACUAAGCCCGCCGAAUAUGAGUGAGGCAGCUCGCUGCUCCACCUCCCUCGCCUGGCCCGACGGAGCUAGUUGCCACCCCAAGCCGGCGCGUGGUACACCACCUCGCCACUCCAAGCCAGCUCACAAGGGAGCGGUCAUUUGCUCUAGGAUGACAUGACGGCACAGGCAUCGUAGCAGCCGUGCCGAUGCCGCGUCAUACUGCGUCUCUCAUGCCUACGAUCGCGCCAUCCGCCGACAAUGCGUGAGUAGCCGCGCCCUACCGGCAGAGAAAGAAGCCGGCAGCACAAAGAUCGACGAGUCGGUGGAUGACGCGUCCGCGUCCGCCGUCAACAUCAAGGGAAAGUAGAACACAGAGGCCGCCGCCACUUGGGUCCCAGGAAGGCCACCACUUGCGCGUCAACGGCUUGUAUAGUCGGUGACCUGUCCGGUUCUUCUUUAUCUCAGACCAUCAUCAGCCCCGCCUAGGCUCCACGAAAGAGGAGCUCCCCUUUCCCUCCAGCUGAAGCACCCUCUUUUCCACUGCGAUGAGCGGCGCAACCAGACAUAGGGAAGAUAUGGGGGAAGAAUAUACCCUCGGGGCUCUCGGCAGUCCGGGAAGUGGGUUGCCGACAUGGGGAAGACAAAGGGAUCCGCCGCAUCCGGCCAUAGACUAGUGUAGUGUUUCCGUGUCAUAGGAGUGGAGCUCCGUGCGACUGUAUGUGCACAUAGUUUUAUCUUUUUAGUUAAAAACAUGUCCAAAAUGUAAUUGUUUUGUCCGGUUUGUAUGAAAUCCAUCAUGUUUAUACGAAAUCCACCCAUGUUUGCAUGAAUUUCAUCUGGUUUGUUGAAAAAAUGUUUGCAAUAUAUGCGGCUACGGUUGGAUGGCGGCCUCUCACAUCCAUGCCCGUGGAUGGAUGCGGAAGGAAAUUUGUUGGUUGCCGUUGGAGAUGCCCUCAAGCCAAUGUUUGGGCGGGUGUAAGGUGUCCCGUCAUGGGUACAUACAAAGUAUUGUAGGAUUUCUGGUCAAUAGAACGGGAAAGUCUCCGGGUGUGGAAACAUCCUCAUAAUCUUUACUACUCCAUCAUGAUUUUUAAGUCUCACGCAUAUUUCAGUAUAAACAUUGAAAAUUAAUUUAUUCAACGAAAUAUUAGUUAUAUGUCACAAAAACAAAAUAUUAGAUUCACAUUUUAAACAAGUUUUCAAUGGUAUACUUUUUGUGACAUAUAACUCAUAUUUUAUUGAUAAAUCAACGUACAUUUUUUAUUGAAAUGCCUGAGACUUAUGAACCAUGAUAGAGGUCAGACACCACGAACGACGGAAUUUAUCCCCAUGGUAUCUCUGACAAAAUGGUUACUCUAAUGUCACUUAUCAAUAUGUGUAUUCUAAUGAAUAAUGUGAAGCAUAUCGCCUUCUAAAACCUUGCUUACCCAUUGAAAUGUUCUACUCCCUCUUGCUAGUAAUUACCUACACUUAUAUCCCCACUCCUUGGACAGAAUUUUGCUAGGUCUGCAACCAAUUCCUUGUAAAUAAUGGCUUUUAGUUUUCAUGUGAAGUUCUUAAAAGUCUUCUGUUUGAGUCAAUUAUUGAUAUGUCAAUUUUGUAGAAUGUUUUCCUACUAUUAUUUAUAAUGUUUUUACGCAUAAUAAUGCUUUUUGGAGUAAUUCUAAUGUCUUUUCUCUCAUAAUAUGUAAGGUUCACACAAAGGGGGAGAAUACCGGCAGCUAGAAUUCUGGGCUUGAAAAAGCUACGUUAUGCCAACUAUUCUGCACAACUCCAAAUGAGUUGAAACUUCAUGGGGAUUUUUUAUAGAAUAGAUAAGAAUUAUUGGAGCAAAUAACCACCAAAGGGGGCCCACCAGGUGGGCACAACCCACCUGGGCACGCCAGGGAGCCCAGGCGCGCCCUGGUGAGUUGUGCCCUCCUCGUCCCACCUCGAGUGCCCAUCUUCUGGUAUAUAAGUCAUUUUGACCUAGAAAAAAAUUAGGAGAGGACUUUUGGACAAAGCUCUGAUGUCUCGAGGCGGAACUUGGGUAGGAGCACUUUUGCCCUCCGGUAGAGCGAUUCCACCGGGGGAACUUCCCUCUCGGAGGGGGAAAUGAUCGUCAUCAUCAUCACCAACAACUCUCCCAUCUUGGGGAGGGGAAUAUCCAUCAAGAUCUUCAACAGCACCAUCUCCUCUCAAAUACUAGUUCAUCUCUUGUGUUCAAACUUUCUACCGGAACCUUAGAUUGGUGCUUGUGGGUGACUAGUAGUGUUGAUUACACCUUGUAGUUGAUUACUAUAUGAUUUAUUUGGUGGAAGAUUAUAUGUUCAGAUCCAUUAUGCUAUUUAAUACCCCUCUGAUCAUGAGCAUUAUUAUCAUUUGUGAUUAGUUACUUUGGUUCUUGAGGUCAUGGGAGAAAUCUUGUUGCAAGUAAUCAUGUGAACUUGAUAUGUGUUUGAUAUUUUGAUCGUAUGUAUGUUGUGAUUCCCUCAGUCGUGUCAUGUGAACAUCGACUACAUGACACUUCACCAUACUUGGGCCUAAGGGAAUGCAUUGUGGAUUAGUUAUUAGAUGAUGGGUUGCGAGAGUGACAGAAGCUUAAACCCUAGUUUAUGCGCUACUUCGCAAGGGAUUGAUUUGGAUCCAAAAGUUUAAUGCUAUGGUUAGAUUUAUUCUUAAUACUUUUCUCGUAGUUGCGGAUGCUUGCGAGGAGGUUAAUAAUAAGUAGGGGGUUUGUUCAAGUAAGAAUAGCACCUAACCACCGGUCCAUCCACAUAUCAAAUUAUCAAAGUACCGAACAUGAAUCAAACCAACAUGAUGAAAGUGACUAGAUGAAAUUCCCGUGUACCCUCAAGAACACAUUGCUUACCAUAAGAGACUGUUUUGGCAUGUCCUUUGCCUCAAAAGGAUUGGGCUACCUUGCUGCACUUUUGUUACCGAUACCGUUACUUUCUUGUUACAAAUUAUCUUGCUAUCAAUCUACUCGUUACUUAUAAUUUCAAUGCUUGCAGAGAAUACCUUGCUGAAAACUACUUGUCAUUUCCUUCUGCUCCUUGUUGGGUUUGACACUCUUACUUAUCAAAAGGACUAUGAUUGAUCCCCUAUACUUGUGGGUCAUCAAUUAUUCAGUAACGUAUAUAUACUAAUUUUUAGAGAAUCAUUACCCGUUCUUUUGUAGUCAUCUCUGCCUUACUAUGAGACGGCAAGAAGCCAUCUUCUUAAUGUUGGGUCAUUACUCUAUUUUGUAGACUCAAAUAAGCAGUGCUUCAGUUGCACAUUUGAUGUUAGGGUGUGCAUCUGCAGACCACAUUGGUUGGUAGUACAAAACUAUGGGGUUAGUUUGCUUACUAUACUUACUGAUCUUUAGCUUUCUCUGUUGUCCCCUUCUCUCAUUUUUUCUGCACAGUUUGAAUGUUUAGUUUGCUUAGCACAUUUUCUGUGCAGUGCCAUGAUUUCAGAUUGAUCUAAGCAUAGAUUAUGCUUGGAAGACAGAUUCAUCAGAGAUUGCCUGAUCUCAUCCUAAUCUGCUACCCCUUCUAAGCACAGCUAUUGUUCGAAUGCCAAUUCUUCAAGACAAGGCAAAUGCAUUGGCCAAGCAUCGAUCAGUGCACUUCCAUCAACAUGUUACAUUAGCACGAUGACCAUUUUGUGAUUGAUGGCUGGGUGCCCAUAGACCGGGAUGGCCAAUACACAAUGGGUAAACUCAAAGGUGGUAUGAUAUUGGAGAAAUUUGGGGGACAGAAACAACGGAUAAGUGGGGGUUCUGAGUGAGUCUCUGGCCGUUGGCCGCAGAUGGCUGCCACCCUGCAGGAGCUAAGAAGCAGGAAAUUCUGGCUAGACAACACUAUGCUAGUGUUUUUGUAUAUCCCGGAGUGGGGGCUAGAGGAAAGUUGCGGGCCCUCCUUGUGGUUACAUCGCAUAUUCGCAAUUGCAGAGAAAUAUUUGAUGGCUCCUUGAUAUGCACCUCAUAUUUGGAAACCGUGACAACUUCAGAAACACCUAUGGUGACCGUGCUAAAUAGCGGUCAUCCACGACAUCCUUUGUGGCGAACAAUGCAACACAUGGCACAAGUCAGGUUUGGAGAUCCCACACGCCUACCAGCCGCAGAUUAUUCGCAACAACAGAUAGGCUUCAACACUAUGGGAUUUCAGCGACCAACUGCCGGAGACGAUGCCACAUUUGCUUCUUGGAUAUGUUGUUGCACGAGAGGUCUCACAUUCCAUCCUCCAUGAAUGGCAGCAUCUGGAGUAGACAUCUGCCCACUACGAGCAGUUGAUUCGCAUGGCAAACAACACGCUCAAUGUGAUGGAGGGACACAAGAUACAUGUGGACAGCCAUCAUGUUGGUGUCAGGGUGCAUCUGUCUGGCAUCACCGUGAAUGAUGUGAUCGUCAAUGACAUGGAGGUUUCAGGAGCCAUUUUUCUCUAUGCCUAGAAAUAAGAGAAUCUUGACAUUAUGUGUUCAAGAACUGAGUUUAGCUUUAACGGAUUAUUGUGUAACUGUGCCACUAUUCAAUUCUCGCUAUAGCAUGUUGUCUAGGAGCAUAGUCUACACCAGAAGAUUUGACAAAUGGCAUAGAAGUUCUUAUUGAACAUAGAUAUAUUGUUCUUGGAAGGAACGCAUAUAUAUUCAAUAAGUUAGUAGCAUCGGUUGCCCCAGCACGUGUGCAUCUGUAGCACCAACAGCUGCUCAUUUGUUGUCAUGUCAUCUCGCAGCGACUACAUGCAUCUGUAGUAGUUCUCACAGAAGAAGCAAUACAUUUUUAUCAACAUGAAAUUUGUUUGGUAAAAUCCAUGAGAACUUCAUCAGUAACCAAUUGAUUGGUACCCCACAUAAGACAAGCAGGCGUGUUCCUUUCAAAAAAACUUCAAAAUGGACAUCAUUUUUCAUGAGUUCUUUCAGGAGUAAAGUAAGGUAAGGUCUUUGGUCACCAUUCACCUACCAUUUUAGUUAGUUCUACAUGUACAACUGAUUCAGCAACUCGAAUUUGAAAGGAAUUCUUUAAAAGGAAAUCAGUUAAGCAACUCGAAUGAAUCCAUCAUGCAUUGGUCUGAAAUCCAAGGAAAUAUGAGCAAAACCCCCCAAAUCUAAUUGAAGCACCGAACAUCUUUCAGAAGGAGAUUAACUCUUUCAGAACCUUUCAAAAGAUGGCAUAUCAAGGAUCAAAAUCGACCACAUAGAUUGAUGACCAAGACUUCAUCCAUUAGUUUGGAUGCCUCAUAUGAUGAUAAUUCCAACCAUGGAACCACAGGUGUGGUGAUCCGUGAUAGCCCAUGCAUUCUUAUUCAUACACAGGCCCUCUGGUAUGAUUUUGCUGCUAGUCCAAUGACGAAAGAAGCUGUAGUGAUAUGCAAUGGAGCGCACAUGCCCCUUGAGAGGGGGUUAUGUAGAGUAAUGAUUUAGAGUGAUGCACAAGCUAUCAUCAAGCUAUGGGAGUCAUGCGGCUUCGAUCAUGGAGAGAUUGCUGGAGCCUUGUGGAUUGAAGAACUGAGUGUGCAUUUUGAGAGUUCUAUGCUCAGCUUUGUUGGACAAGAUGCUAGUAUGGCAGCUCAUUUAUGUGCUAAACUGGUGACCAAGUUUAGGAAGAGAUGUUUAUGGCUUAAUUUUACCCCUCUACUCCUAGUGAACACAUUCCAUUGUGAGUGUAUGCUUGAUUAAGUAAGCAAUAAAGCUCUUUCACUCACAAAAAAGUAGAAAUUGCAACGCGGCCAUCCUAGCAUAUCAAAACAUUUCUAAUUGUGGCGAUGACCUUUUUUCCAUAUGAUCCUAGAAAAUGGAUUGGGUUCCACUAUCAAGGGAUAACGAAACUACAAAUGCACAAAAAACAUCCUGGUCCAAGAACAUAGCCUAAAACUGGUUUCAACUGCUAACAAUAAAAGCUAAUGGAUCCAAAUCUACUGCAAGUUGACUUGGGGUUCACAAUCAUCCCAAGUAAAAUGUUUUCGAUCACUAGCAUGAUCAUUCAGAAAACUCCAUUGCAUCAUUCUUCGUCCAGUCUUUCUCCAUUGGUUCACCUGCACCCACUUCUUAUUCCUCAGUUUCUCCA